AUGCAUCCCCAAAGCUUCCUGCUUGAUUUCUUACAUGGGAUGGAUCCACCUUGUAGAAUACCGGAAUAACUCUCUGUCCAUUGUUUUUUCUACGCUCAAGAAUCUUAGCAAGCUCCUCCAAGCACCAUUUGGAAGAUGCAUAGUUUGCAGAAAAAACAAUCAAAGAAAGCUUGGCCUCUUCAAUUGUUCUCAGAAGUGAUGCCGAAAUCUCAUCUCCUCUCACAAGCUGAUCAUCUAUGAAAGUUAGGAGUUGUUUCCGUUUCAAAGCAGCAUGGAGGUGGCUGGUAAAACCAACACGAGUGUCUUCUCCCCUGAAACUAAGGAAGACAUCAUAUUUAAUUCCUUGUGGCUGGGCGGUGGUUAAGGUGGAAGGAGUAGAUGGGGAUGGAGAAACAAGGGCGGUGGUUAAGGUGGAAGGAGUAGAUGGGCAUGGAGAAACAAGGGUGGUUAAGGUGGAAGGAGUAGAUGGGGAUGGAGAAACAAGGGCGGUGGUUAAGGUGGAAGGAGUAGAUGGGCAUGGAGAAACAAGGGCGGUGGUUAAGGUGGAAGGAGUAGAUGGAGAUAAAUGACGGUUUCGUAUGAUGAAUCUCCAGAUAUAAGCAAACACUUCGAAGAAACAAGAGUAAUUAGACUCUGGUGGUAAGGUAGGCAUGGAGGGAGAGAGCGGAAGUAACUCAAGGAAAAAAGAUGAGGCUGAUUUUGAAUCAGUAGCUUAGGCUUUACGUGUUUAAGACCCUGCCUUACGUAUAAUUUAUAAUAAUCAAAUCCAAGAAUUUUCUUAGAACAUUACAAGAUUGCACAUUGUUGAUUUCCUGGAGAUUCCCCAGUUACAAAGUGAUGUGAUAGGAAAAGGCAUUUAUACGUUGUUUUGUUUUUAUGGUAUUCCCAGUGUUUUUAUAAAUUUUAAUUUUUAAAAAAAUUAAAUUUUUAUUAUUAUUUUAAUUUACUGAUAUAAAAAUAAUUUUAAAAAUAAAAAGCAUAUAUAUAUAUUCUUGUUUAUGAUAUCACAGCUGUGAUAGAUACCUUUUUUAAUAUUUCAAAUGUAUUAGCCAUUCACUUGGCGGAGUAGCAGAUCUUCUCUUUAACUUUUUUAUUAUAUAUUUUUUAAAAACACUAAACACUUAUAUGUGUCCCACAUCGAUCAUUCUUUAGUCUAUUAAUUUUUAAUUCAAAUUCUGUUAUAAUUUUCCAGGAAAUUACGAAUUUCUUGUCUUUGUUCUUUAAGGAACGGUUGCCUUUGAUAAUGGUCAUAUCAAAAUCUGUCAUAGCACUUUUUAGAAAUAUACUGUGUUUUAUAAAAAAUUAAUUUUUUAUUUAAAUUUAAUAUUUUUUAAUUUUUUUGAUAUACUAAAAUUAAAAAUAAUUUUUUAAAACAUAAAAAUAAUAUUUUAAUAUAUUAUAAUUUCCCUAGCAGCCCAAGGGAGCUGCCGUGCACAUGGAAGGAAAGGCGCGUUUAUCCUUGCUUGUAAACAAUGUUUUUAUAAAUUUUGAUCUUUUUUUAUUUUUUAUUUGAAAUUAUUAUUUUUUAUUUUUUUCCGGUUUGUUUUAAUAUGUCAGUGUAAAAAAAAAUUAUUUAAAAAUAAAAAAUUCAUUGUUUUAAUAUAUUUUUAAAUAAAAUACACUUUAAAAAAUAAUUAUUACUAUACUUAUAAAAGUUUUCUAUAUUUUCAGUCCAAGUAUUUGCCGGAGGAAUUUUUUGCUUUCAUGUUAUAUUAUAAUAGUUACGAUGAUUUAAUUGAAAAAAACAUGUUAGAGAGCUUAUUUGAUAUUGUACUAGUGAUUAAUUUUUAAAUUGUUUUUUUAUUAGAAAUACAUUAAAAUAAUAUUUUUUAUUUUUUAAAAUUUAUUUUUGAUAUGAGAACCUCAAAAUAAUAUAAUUAAAACAUAAAAAAAUUAAUUUAAAAUAAAAAAAAUUCAAAUUCAAGUAUUUUCCUUCCUGGAAAUUUUCCAUGCACAAAAAGCUUCAAGUCUUAUUAUUUGUGAUGCGGUAGGAAAGGGCGUUUAGGCUUUUGUUUGUCUUUGCUGUGUAAUCAAUGUUUUAAUAAAUUUUAAAAUUAUUUUAUAUUUUAUUUUAGAUUAAUUUUUUUUAGUUUUUUUUAGUUUUUUUUGGUGUUAAAAAUAAUUCUUUAAAAGUAAUAAAAAACAUUAUCUUAAUGUAUGUUCAAUCAAAACAUAUUUUAAAAAUUAAUUUCUACUACACUCAUAAACACCCUUUAUAUCUUCAAUCCAAGUGUAUGCACAUGCCAAAGACUUUUUUGCAUUCACGCCUAUUGUAUAUUUGAUUGAGAAGAACUUAUUAAAGAAUGUACUUGGUAUUGAGAUAAUAAUUGUUAUUUAAGAUAAUUUUCAUUUGAAAAUACAUUAAAAUAUUUUUUAAAAAUUUAUUUUUAAUAUCAAUAUAUUAAAACAAUAUAAAAAUAUAAAAAAUUAAUUAAAAAUAAAAAAAUCAAAUUCAUGUAUUUUCUCAGACGUUAGAGAGGGUGCACAUCUACUUGGAAAUUUCCUGUGGACAGAAAGGCUUAAUGUCUUGUUAUUUGUUUUUUCUUUUUGUGAUUUGGUAGGAAGGGUAUCGAGUCUUCCAUACAAGUGUUUGCACGAACUAGGACUUUGUUGACUUCCAAUUAUAUUAUAGUGAUUAUAAUUAUUUCAUUGGGAAAAACUUGUUACUCUGCCCCAAUAAUAGGAAUUUUUUAAAAAACAAAUUGAUACAGUUAGAGAAAUAAUAAUAUGGUUUAAUUUUAUUUAAAAAGGAACAUGGUUUUUUUUUAUAAAAAAACUGCUAUUUUAAACUACGAUUUUAAUAUAAAAGCGAUUCAGAAUCACAAUCGUGGUUCUGUUUACUGCUUUUGGCAAUAUAAUUGGCAUGCAUCCAUGUAAUUAUAAUUACUUCUUCUUUUUACAUGCUUUCUUCCACCUCAUUACACACAAUCUAUUCAAAUAAAUCGGCAGAUGCCUUUUCCUUUUCCUUUUAUAUAUAUUUAUUUAUUGUGAAGAAGAAGAAGAAAAAGAAGUCGUCUUGAAGGAGAGAGGAAGGGACUGGGGAUCGAUGGGGCCAAUCCUCUGGGACGACGACUUGACCUUAAGUACUCUUCCUGGCGAGUGCUUGGGCACCGUGUUCGGGAAGCUGAGUUUGGAAAUUACGUGUUUCAUCAUGGCUGUUGACGAGAAAAAGAAGAAGAAGAACAAGAAACAGUAAAAUAAUUAUUUUUUAUCAUUUAACUAGCUAGAUUUUUUUUAUAAAAUUCAUUUAUCAUGGUCAUUGUUGUAAUUAUCAAAGACAAAAUAAUUUUUAAACAUUUUACAAGUACAAAAAAAUAAUUUAAAUAUUCUUAAAAAUAAAGUUCUUAAAACUAAUAUUCAUGAGUAUUUUGGUCUUUUUAACAUUUUCAUAACAAAAAUAACUAUAUUACUCUUAAAAAAAAUAAAAUAAAAAUAAAAUAAAGAAGAAGUUCUUAAAACUUUAUUUAUUUUUUUUAAUUUUUUCAGAUUGAACUGAGUUAACCCAUAAAACCCGGGACUCGAUCCCUUGGCCGGGUUAACUUCCAGAUCGAGUUUAAUAACUAUAGUUUUUGCAUGUCGAUGAUAUUUUUGCCUAACAUUAUAUUAUAAUAGCUAUCAUAAUCUGAUUGAAAAGAAUUUGUCAGAGAAAUUAUUUGUCAUUGUAAUAAUAAUUAUUUUUAAAGUAUUUUUAACUUUAAAAUAUAUCAAAAUAAUAUAUAUUUUUUAUUUUUUAAAAUUAAUUUUUGAUAUCAACACAUUAAAAUGGUAUAAAAAAUAAUAAUUUAAAAUUAAAAAAAUAAAAAAAUUCUACUCAUUUCUUUCCGCUUUCGUUUUUCUGCUUAAGGCUGGAUGGGGGCCAAAAAUGACAUGCAAGCUCGAAAAUGGUAAGGGUAAAAAAAUUCAAGCUUGCAUGUCAUUUUUGGCCCCCAUCCAGCCUUAAGCAGAAAAACGAAAGCGGAAAGAAAUGCUUUUUCUUAAAACCUUGAUCCAGUGACCUUAGUUUGGAUUAGAUUUAAAUUCAUUCAGAUGAAGAUUAACCCUAUUCAUGAAAAUUUAAGAUUUAAAUUAUUAAUCAGAUGAAAAAUUAAAUUAUUCUAGUGUUAGUGUAGGGUUUAAGUAAUAGACUACCACUAAACUAAGCUACUUAGAUAAGCUCAAAACAAUUGAACUCUUAUUCAUGAAAAUUUAAAUUAUUUCUUUGUCAACGAAGAGGGCUGGACAACUUGCUAUGUCUUUUAAUUAAAAUUAAAAUUAAAAAAAACUAAAAAUUAUUCGUAAUUAUAAGAGACAAAAUAACUCUUAAAAAUAUUAGAAGUACAAAAAAAUAAUUUAAAUAUUUUUAAAACUAAUAUCCAUGAGUGUUUUGGUCUUUUUAACAUUUUCAUAACAGAAAUAACUAUAUUACUCUAGAAAAAAAUAAAAAAAAAUAAAAAAUAAAGAAGAAGUUGUCUUGAGUAGGGCCGGGGAUGGGCCAAUCAUCUUUUUGAUGGUCGGGCAAUAAUAGCCAUUUGGAUGGGGACGACGACUUGACCUCGACUCUUCCAGGCAAGUGCUUGGGCAGUGUGUUUGGGAAGCUAAGUUGCCUUGUGACAUUACGCAAUUAUGUAUUUCUUGUCUUAACGGUGGCUUUCGAUAAUUAAUGGUCAUAAUGAUUAGAGACAAAUUAAUUUUUAACCGUUUUAGAAGCACUGAGGAAUGUUUCAAAUAUUCUUUGAAGUAAAAUUUUAAAAACUAGGAUUCAUGGGUGUUUCGGUAAAAUAAUUAAAGUAAAAUUUUUAGUUAUAAUCAAAGUGAAUGAGAGAUAUUUGCAUCUUAAAAGCAUUCAUGUUUUUUAGACAGCACAUGUUACAUUUCUCCGCAAACAUGUGUGCAUGACCGGGGAUGGGCCAAUCCUCUUCUUCAUGCCCCUGCAAUAAUUGCUAUAUUGAAGGGAUGAUGACUUAAACUAAGUAUGUAUUUAGAAGUAUAGUUGUGAUUUUUUUUUAAUUGUUGUUAUUUUAAAAUAAAUUAAAAUAAUUUUUUUUUAUUUUUAAUUUUUUUAAAAUUAUCAUAUUAAAAUAAUUUAAAACAUAGAAAAAAUAUUAAUUUUUAAUAAAAAAAAUUUAAUUUAUUUUAAAAAUAUAGCUUUAACCACGUUGCAGACGGUGUCGGCAGAUGCAGAUGCCUUUUCUUUUUUUCUUUUUUAUCGGCAGAUGCCUUUUUCUUUUUAGAUGCCUUUUGCCUUUUCCUUUAUAUAUAUAAAGGAAAAAGAAAACACGUAAUUUCGAGGAAGACAUAAGGUCAAGUCGUCGUCCCCACCCAUCGAUAUGGCUAUUAUUGCCCGAGCAAUAAUGUCUUGUGGACAGAAAGGAUUCAAAUAUUCUUUGAAGUAAAAUUUUAAAAACUAGGAUUCAUGGGUGUUUCGGUAAAAUAAUUGAAGUAAAAUUUUUAGUUAUAAUCAAAGUGAAUUAGAGACAUUUGCAUCUUAAAAGCAUCCAUGUUUUUUUAGACAGCACAUGUGACUUUUCUCCGCAGACCAACACCACUUUUUAUGACUGUAUUAAAGCAUAACGACGUCAUUUUUUUAAUGGUUAGACACGUGUGCAUGACUGCGUAAUGGUUUGCCUCCAACAAUUAUUGCUGUAAUUAGAAGAAACAUAUAUUCUCGUGUAUCAUCAUAUCACAACUGUGAUAGAUAAUUUUUUUAAUAUUUCAAAUGGAUUAGUUGUUCCCUUAGCGUAUUAGCAGCUUUAGGAUCUUUUGUUAUUUUCUCUUCAAAUUUAUUUUUUUAUUAUUAUAUAAACACUUCUGUCCCACAUUGUUGACUUCCUGGGAAUUUCCCAUGUAGAAAAGGCUUCAUGUCUCGUUAAUUAUCAAAACAAGACAAAAGAAUGGCGGGCUAUAAUUCUCCGUGUGAAGAAGAAGAAGAAGUCGUCUGGAAGGAGAGAGGGAAGGGACCGGGGAUGGGCCACUCCUCUUCUUCAUGCUCCUGCAAUAAUAGCCAUAUUGACGGGGACGACGACGUGACCUUACAAUUAAAUUUGUAUCAUCAUUCUUACAAGAAUAUAAUAAUAUGAUCAACAAUUCUUUAAACAGUGUCUCCAAAAAGCCGUGUUUCCUGGAAAUUUAUUAUGUAUAAAAGGCUUCGGGUUUUUUUUUUUUUAUUAGGGCAUCAAGUCUUCGAUCAAGUGUUAACGCGUAUAGAGGAAUUUGUUGACUUCACAUUAUAUUAUAAUGGUUAUUAUGAUUUUACUGGGAAGAAAUAACGAGUUAUAUUGCUCAUUAUAUUACUCUGCCCCAAUAAUAGGAAUUUUUUUUAAAAAUGAUACAUUUAGAGAAAUAAUAUGGUUUAAUUUUUUUUUAGAAAACAACGUAGUUUCAAAAAAUCUGCUAUUUUAAAUCUCGAUAUCUGUGAUUUUGCAAAAUCACAAUCUAUCCAAAUAAAUCGGCAGAUGCCUUUUCCUUUUUCCUUAAUAUAUAUUUAUUUAUUGUGGAGAAGAAGAAGAAAAAGAAGUCGCCUUGAAGGAGAGAGGAAGGGACGGGGGAUGGGGCCAAUCCUCUUCUUCAUAUUGACGGGGACGACGACUUGACCUUAAGUAGUCUUCCUGGCAAGUGCUUGGGCAGCGUGUUCGGGAAGCUGAGUUUGGAAAUUACGUGUUUCUCGUCACCAGUGCUUUGACUGUUGAUAACGACAACUGGUGAUUUUGGGCCUGCUUUGGCAACUUGAUAGAAUGUUUUUGAUCCUCACCAUUUUCAUGAUGUGAGCUUGCAUGUCAUUUUACGCCUACAUCCAAUCUUAUGCGGAAAAACGAAAGAGGAAAGAAAUACUCAAUGAUUUUAUGAGAACCUGAAAACGAAUGUUUUUGCAUCUCAUUUCUGGCCUCCAGUAACCUUAGUUUGGACUAGAUUUAAAUUAAAAUAGAUGAGAAUUAUCCCACAAAACUACUAAAAUUAAAAACUAUGAAUAUAUUAUUGAGACUUUUACUGAUAACAAAAUGAACUAUGAACAAUCAGUACUAUCAAUGGUCAUAUUAAACUACAUAUAUAUAAAAAAAUAAAAUUACAAAUGCAGUAUCCACAAAGUUUAAGUCUUGAGUAACAAAGUUAUCUAUACAUACCAUGCAUUGAUGAUAUGAGAACCUGAAAAUAAACCCAAUAAACCUUCAAAGUACAGGUCUUUAAAAUUAAGAAAAAAAAAAAUUCUUCAUGUGAACUGAGCAUAUGAAAAUAAUAAGAGAAAAAAAGGGAACCUGCUAAGGGGUUUACUGAUAAUUAAUCUUCAUGUGAACUGAGGGCACAUUUUUUUUUAUCCUUUUUUUUCCAGUUUAUCUUAAACGUUAGAUUUACUGAUAAUUAAAUUUUAGAUUUUUAUUUUUCUCCGUGCGAGGUUUUCCCUUUGUAUGCAGCCCCUUUAACAGUUAAUCUGCAUUACAUGGGACAUGGAAAGUGAGCUCAGAAUAGGAAAAAGAUGUGAAUUUGUUGACUACACAUUAUAUUAUAAUGGUUAUUAUGAUUUUAUUGGAAAGAAAUAAUGAGUUAUAUUACUCAUUAUAUUAGUCUGCCCUUAUAAUUGGAAUUUUUUUAAAAAAUGAUACAGUUAGAGAAAUAAUAUGGUUUAAUUGUUCUUUAGAAAACAACAUAGUUUCAAAAAAUCUGCUAUUUUAAAUCUUGAUUUUAAUAUAUCUGUGAUUUUGCAAAACCACAAUCUAUCCAAAUAAAUCGGCCUUUUCCUUUCUCCUUUUUAUAUAUUUAUUUAACUGAUGACAGAAUGAACUAUGAACAAUCAAUGCUAUCAAUGGUCAUAUUAAACUACAUAUACAUAAGAAAAUAAAAUUACAAAUGCAUUAUCCACAAAGAUUAAGUCUUGAGUAACAAAGUUAUCUACACAUACCAUGCAAUGAUGAUACGAGAACCUGAAAAUAAACCCAAUAAGCCUUCAAAGUCCAGGUCUUUAAAAUUAGAAAAAAAAAUCUUCAUGUGAACUGAGCAUAUGAAAAUAAUAAGAGAAGAAGAGGGAACCUGCUAAGGGGUAGUAGAAACCAACACCUUGAAGGUGUUUGCCAUCUCUUGGAGUAUGGCUAUUAGCAGCAACAAUUCUAUAAAAUGCCCUGUUUUUGCAUCCCAGUCUUGCUAAACCAAUCUUCACCGCCAUUUUCUCUACUAAAAUAAAUAUCUUAGUAUUGGGUUGUGACUGAUUUUAUGAGCUUUCUUAUUAUCAUAUAGAACCAAUGAUAUAAAUUCAUGUUUUCUAUAUAUUUUUUUUCUUUUCCUUUUCGUUGCUUUCUUCACAUUCUUCUUGCCAACCAAGCUUGAACUUGGUUUCAGAGUGGGAGAAGACCUUAUAAUUUACAAUUUAUUGCCAUCAUUGGCCCCAGUCAGAUAUACUUUUAUUUUUUACAGUACUUUCGUCAAUGGUUCUUUCAUACACACACAUGUUGAUUUCUAAGCUGAUAAUGUUCAAAAAAAACUUCACACUUUUUUGAUAUUGUGCAAGCACUCAUAUCAUUUGAUGUAUUCCAUAAAAAUAGCGUGCAUUCGACCAUUAAGUUAGAGACUAUUUAUCGGUGGGUUGCUUCUUACAAUGGCCCUAAAGAUGUGAGUAUAGCCUUCCCCAGAAGUCUUUUAUCUUUCAUAUAUUUAUGGUGUAAUGGGCACAAUUUGGUAAAUCAUAAUGGAAACCAGGUCUAAAACCAAGUCUUGUUUAUUGUUCCAGGAAACUUAGAUUUUACACGAACAAUGCUAAAUGCCAUUUCUAGCAUGUUAUGAGAAGUAGUUAUGAGACACUCAUCAAUGAGCGUGCUUAUAUAAAAAAUCACAGGCCGACAAUAAAAGCCAUCUAAUAUUCUUAUAGCUUGGUUUUGUUCAAAUCUUCUAAAGAAAUAUGGAUUGUUUAUUCAAUGCACUGCACCAUUCUACAGUGCUUUUACCAUAGAGAGAGGAACCCAAAUCUAUAAGAGCCAACGGAUUGCCUUGUACAUGACUUACAAUCUUUUCUAUCAAUUCUCUAUGAUCAAUUGUGGGGUUGCAAUUCUUCAAGGCUUUUGAGCUAAAGAGUUUAAGAGAUUCUUCAUAGUUCAACCCCUCAACCUCGUAUGUUUCGUCUACUACAUUUUUAAGCACUUGCUUGUCCCUACUUGUUAUGAGAACUUUACUGCCCGAACCAAAUGAAUGUGUCGUCCAUCAAGCAAAUCUUUCCAUUCUUCCAAAGGCAUGAAAUCAUCCACAUCAUCCAGAACAAUAAAAACCUUUUUACGACGAAGUCUCUCCCUCUCAAAAGAAUCUCGAAAACUAAAGGAGCCAAUGUCAUAAUUUCUUGGCCAAGCAGCUGUGAAAGAAAGCUUCUUUGCAAAUCAGCCAUGGAACCAGUUUUUAAUUCUUGCCUAAAGUUUGCGAAAAAGAUUCCUUCAAAUCGAGAACGAACCUUGUUGCACACAGCUUGAGCAAUCGUUGUCUUACCGAUACCAUCCAUUCCCCAUAUCCCUACAAUGAGAACAUCUGGAGAUUCCAUAUUUAACAAAGAUUCAACUUUGUUAACGCGAACAUCAAUUCCAAAUAGACCCGUAGUGUGACUUGAAGACACAGCUUGCAAUUUGUUCGAAACAUCUCCAAUGAUUUUCUCAAUAAAUUCAGACUCCAGCCUGACAAACAAGAAGAACACACCUAAUUGUUAGCCAAAAUGGACCGGACAAGAAGAAACAUAUAAACAUGCUCACUCCUUAGUAGCUACAUCUAUACAUAGUAGACACGUAUGAGUAAUUGAGCAUCAUUAUUGGCAAUGGAUAGUGCUAAUGUAACACAUGAAUCAUAAACCUGGACAAGAUUCUCUUACUGGGCCUCUCGAGAGAAUGAAUUUGAGUUUAGAAAUAUGCAGCAGCUCCCUACUUGUAUCACGCUACAGUAAUCAAUCAUUGAAACUGGAAACUACUUGUAAGUGUAUAUCUAAGAAAAUCAAUGAAAUGCAAAUGCAUAAUAUGUUUUCUCAAAUCAUCAUAUCAUAUAAUCCUUUCAAUUAAAAAAGUUUAAGUUGUUAGGAGAAAAUCUCAAAAUAUAUAAUUUAUAGUAUUUUUUAAGUCAUCAUGAUCUUUUUCACCUCAAAUUAAUGCCCCAAUUUCAAGUGAAACGAUAGAAGAAAACAUUGAAACGUUGAUUGUCCUGAUAAAAAUUAAUAUAAGGAUUCCUAAAUAUCUUCUUUCUGUCUCCUAAAGCUUAAGAUCUGUACAAGUGUUUCGCUACAACGUUUUCAAAAUCAAAUAAAAUAAAUAUAAAUUCACAGAGCUCAUCAUUCUCAAUAAUUUUAAAUUAAAUCUCAAAUCCUCAACAAAUGAACGAAUAUUUUUCUUAUGGGAUAUAUUUCAGGAGCUUACUCAGACUUCCCUAAGCUCCAUCCAGGUAGAUUGGCUGCAUCCGUCAAAGCGUCACUGAAGCUCUGCACUUCUUCCAACGUCAGAGCUUUAUUCCUUAUAAGUCUAGCAAAUGCAUCCCCAAACCUUCCUGUUUGAUUUCUUACAUGGGAUUGAUCCACCUGGUAGAACACAGGAAUAACUAUCUGUCCAUUGUUUUUUGCACGCUCAAUAAUCUUUGCAAGCUCCUCCAAGCACCAUUUGGAAGACGCAUAGUUUUCAGAAAAAACAAUCACAGAAAGCUUGGCCUCUUCAAUUGUUUUCAGAAGUGACGCCGAGAUCUCAUCUCCUCUCACAAGCUCAUAAUCUAUGAAAGUUAGGAUUUGUUUCCGGUUCAAAGCAGCAUAGAGGUGGCUGGUAAAAGCAACACGAGUGUCUUCUCCCCUGAAACUAAGGAAGACAUCAUAUUUAAUUACUUGUGGCUGGGCGGUGGUUAAGGUGGAAGGAGAAGAUGGGGAUGGAGACAUCAUAUUGUUUUGUGGAGAGACAGUCGAAGAAACAAGAGUAAGACUCUGGUGGUAAGGUAGGUCUGGAGGGAGAGAACGGAAGUAACUCAAGGAAAAAAGAUGAGGCUGAUUUUGAAACAGUAGCUUAGCUUGAUUUUUGAAACAGUAGCGAGGAGAUGGCAUCAAAUCCCAGAAUUUUCUUAGGCAUUACGGAAGUAACCAUUUGUUGAUUUCCUGGAAAUUCCCCAGUUACAAAGUGAUUUUGAAUCAGUAGCUUAGGCUUUACGUGUUUAAGACCCUGCCUUAGGCAUAUGUAUAAUUUAUAAUAAUGGGGGCAUCAAAUCCAAGAAAUUUCUUAGAACAUUACACGAUUGCACAUUGUUGAUUUCCAUUGUUAAAAAUCAAAAGCAUAUAUAUUCUUGUUUAUCAUAUCACAGCUGUGGCCUGUGAUAGAUAACUUUUUUAAUAAUUCAAAUGUAUUAGGUAUUCACUUGGCGGAGUAGCUGAUCUUUUGUUAUUUUCUCUUUUUAACUUUUUUAUUAUGUAUGUUUUUAAAACACUAAACACUUCUGUCCCACGUCAUUCUUUAGUCUAUUAAUUUUUACUUCAAAUUCUUUUAUAAUUUUCCUGGAAAUUACGAAUUUCUUGUCAAAAUGUGUCAGAACACAUUUUUGAAAUAUACUGUUUUUUUUUUAAAAAAUUAAUAUUCUUAUAUUUUUAAAUUAUUUUAAUAUAUUAAAAUUAAAAAUAAUUUUUUAAAAAAUAAAAAUAAUAUUUUAAUACAUUUUAAUUUCCCGUAGCAGCCCAAUGGAGCUGCCAUGCACAUGGAAGGAAAGGCGAUUUUAUCUUUGCCUAUAAACAAUGUUUUUAUAAAUUUUUAUUUUUUUAAUUUUUUAUUUUAAGAUUAAUUCGUUUUAGUUUUUUUCGGUUUGUUUUAAUAUAUUUGUCUUAAAAAUAAUUUUUUAAAAUAAAAAUAUAUUAUUUUAAUGUAUUUUAAAAUGAAAAACACUUUAAAAAACAAUUGUUAUCAUACUCAUAAACACUUUCUAUAUCUUCAGUCCAAGUAUUUGCCUCGCGGAGGACGCUUUUGCCUUUAUAUUAUAUUAUAAUGGUUAUUAUGAUUUAAUUGAAAAGAACUUGUUAGAGAGUCUGUUUGAUAUUAUACUAGUAGUUAUUUUUCAAUUUGUUUAUUAUAAAUAUAUUAAAAUAAUAUUUUUUAUAUUUUAAAAUUUAUUUUUGAUAUUACAAAGUCAAAAAAAUAUAAUUAAAACACAAAAAAAUUAAUUUAAAGUAAAAAAAAAAAAUCAAAUUCAAGUAUUUUCUCAGGGCAUUACAGAAGGUGCCCAUUGUUAGCUUCCUGGAAAUUUUCCAUGCACAAAAGGCUUCAAGUCUUGUUAUUUGUGAUGCCGUAGGAAAAGACAUUUAGGCUUUUGUUUGUCUUUGCUAUGUAAACAAUGUUUUAAUAAAUUUUGAAAUUUUUUUAUAUUUUAUUUUAGAUUGAUUUUUUAUGUUUUAACAAAUAACAAGACAUUAAGCCUUUAAUAAAUGUUUUUUUUUUUUUUAGGAAAAGACAUUUAGGCUUUUAAUCUUGUUAUUUUAGAUUGAUUGACAUUUAGGCUCUUGUUAUUUGUUUUUUAUUUUUGUGAUUUUGUAGGAAGGGCAUCGAGUCUUCCUUAAGUCAUCUGCCGAUGAUAGAUUAUGUGUAAUGAGCUGGAAGGAAUCAUGUAAAAAGAAGAAAUAAUUAUAAGCCAUAUUGAUGGGGACGACGACUUCAUCUCAAGUCUUCCUUUAAAUUACGUGUUUCCUUUUUCCAAAUAUUUUCUCAUGUACAGAGGUGUUGACUUCCCGGAAAUUUCCUAUGUACAAGUCUUGUUCUUUGUUUAUUUGUGAUUUGGUAGCAAUGAUCUACACGCAACGAUCAAGUGUUUGUUAUUUGUUUUUUUUUUAUCUGCAUCGGUUAAAAACCAGACCAGCAAACCCGUUUGACCUACAAGGUCAACUCCUAGAUUUGAUUUAAUAAUUAUAUAGGAUACAUUCCUAUUAAGACGAAGCUACUUUGUUAGGCUUGAAACAAUUGAACUCUUAGAGCAAUUGUUUUGUCUCUUUUUUACAUGCUUCAAAAUACUAUUUUAUCAUUUAAGAUCAUUGCUUUGUCCAUGAAAAGGGUUUAGACAACUUGCUAUGUCUUCUAAUUAAAAUUUUUAAAACUAGGAUUGAUGGGUGUUUCAGUCUUUUAAUGUUUUAAUAGUAUAGUGAAAUAACUACAUUUGUUCUUAAAAGAAAAAUAAAAUAAAAUUAAUAUUUAGGGGUUUUUUUAUAUUUUUUUCAAGGCUUUUUAGUUAUAAUAAAUGUAAAUUAAAGGCAAUUUAGUCUUUUAAAAAAUAAAAAUAUAAUUAAAAAAUAAAAAUUAAUUGAUAUGUGUGUCUGGAUGACAUCCAUGCUCUAUGAGUAUCGCAUGUAACAUCUCUCAAUAGACAAACACUUUUUUUGUGAUAGAGCUGAAAGUGUCACAACAUCAUCUAAUUGCUAAUGACACAACAAUCAGCAAUAAAUAUUUUCUCAAGUAGAAGGACAUACAGGAACAACAAUCAGCAGAUGUUCCAGAUGUUUAAUAAUUUUUUUAAUUAAUAGAAACAAUAAAAAUGUUACCAAAAUACUAUGCAUAUAGACCAAAAAAAAUAACUAUUUAUUGCGACAGUUUAAUUAUAUUUUUCCACUUCUAAGAAAAAACCCAAAAGCUUAUGAGUUAAGGGCAAUUCAAUUUUUUGGCAUCGGUCAAUUAAUUAUUUGACCGGGAAACAUGUAUGUAACCAAAAGCUUUCGAGUUGAGGGCAAUUUUUUGACUAGGACAUAUGUAACUUUUGUAUUUUUUAUGCAUGAUAAAAUGAUUUUUUCAAACCCGGUAUAAAAAAAAUCUAAUGUUGUUUAUUAAGGAUAUUUAGGUUUUUUAGAUACAGUAAAAAAAACAUAUUUGCUCUUGAAAAUCAAGAAAAAAUCAAUCAUUAGUCUAGAGAUUUUUUUUUAUUCAUAUAGGUUUUUUUUUUAAUUCCAGAACUAUAAAGAACAAUUUAAUCCUUUUAAAAUAAUUAACUAAUUUUUAAAUUCAAAAACUUAUUGAUACAUACAAUUCACAUGUCAUCGCAUGGGAGACACUUGUACUCUUUGGACGAUGUGCUCGUGUCUCUAGUGGUCAAAUCUACCCUUUUAGUGGAGGUUAGUUUAUUACUGAUAAGUCAUUUUUUUUUCUUUUCUCUUUUCUCUUUUAAAAAUUAAAGGUUGGUCAUUUUUAUUAUUGAUAUUUUAGUUUUGAUCUUCAUUCUUUCCAUAUUUAAUUAUUUUCUUUAACAUUUUGUAAGAGUUUUAUUUGUUUUCAAUUUAGUUCUUCAAUUUCAAUUUAUCAUAUAUUAUUUUUUUCAAUUUGAUCCUUGUUAUUUGAUUUCUAAAUUUUUUCAAUGCCCUGUUUGUGAAAGUUUUAUUGUUUUUUUUUUUAAUUUCUUCAUUCAAUCCAAUUUUAUGGUGUAUUAUAUUUCUAGUCCAGUCCUCAUUCUUUUGAUUUUCCCCUUUUGUUAAAAUUAUUUUUCAUUUCAAUUUAACGCUUUAAUAAGAAAAUUGGUUUCGCCUUCUAAUUUAUUUAUUUUUUCAAUUUCAUCCUCAUUCGUUUAAUUACUAUUUUAAAUUUUUUUAAAAAAUAUUUUGCAUUAAUGAUUUUUUUAUUUCAUCAUUCAAUAUUUAAUUUGUUAGGGACAUGGUUCAUGAUUUUUUCAUAUAAGGUAUUUUUUGUCUAAUGACCUAGAUCAUGAGUUUAAAAGGUUAACGUGGACUAACAUCCUAUUUUUAGCUUAUUGUUUUUCUUAUUUCAUCGUUUGAUAUUAGUUUUGUUUUCAAAAAAUAAAUAAUAAAAAUUUCACAUUCAACAUUAGUUUUUUUUCCUUCUUCUAUUUUUUUUAUUGCUAUUUGUUUUGUUUUUUAACUUCUUUUGAUUUAUUCUUAUAUUUGUUUCUAAUUAUUUGAUUUAAUUUGAUUUUUUAUAUCAAACCUAGUUUUCACUCUUUAGAAUAUUUUAUCCUUUUAUUAAUUGAGUUUUUGUUUUUUUUUUUUACUUUCAUCCUUAGCAUUUGAUUUCAAUUUUUUUAUGUCGAAUUUUGUCCUCGUUCUUUUUAUUGAUGUUUAUUUUGUUUAAGAUCCUUUUUUUUAUUGCAUUUUUCUUUGUUAAUUUUAUCCCUCAUCAUUUUUAUGGAGGAUUUUGCUUCUUUUUUUUCCACCUUCUAUGAGGUUAAUUUUAGCCUCAUGACUAGGAUCAUGAGUUUUGAAAAUUGACAUGAGGUGGCUUUGGGUUUUUUUUUUUUAUGUGCCUCAACGUUAGAUUUUUUAGAAUUGGUCUUCUUGCUUCUUCUUUUUUUUUUAAUUUUUUUUAUGUGGAAUUAUCUCAUUCUUAUAAAUAUGGUCACAAGGUUAACGUGUUCCCCGGGUUAACUCUAACAACUCAAAUCUUAUUUUAUUUUAAUUUUUUUUAAUUUAAUUGGAGGCAUCUUUUUAUUUCAAAUUUUGUUUUGUUAUUUUUUAGUGUUUAUCUUCUAUGCAGUCGAUCUCCUCAAUUUUCGCUUCAGUCAUGAUCAUGAGUUUCAAAAGUUCACACGUGUAGAUUUUUAUCUUUUUAGUUUUUUUUUAUAAUUAUUUUUUUAAAAUUUCACCCCUAAUAUUUAUUUUCUAAGGAAAAGAUCUUUGUCCUUUUACUUUUUACUUUUUUUUACAUUUAAGUUUUUGGUGUUAUCAAAUAUAUUAAUUCUAUUUAGUUAUUUAUUGAUCAAAUAUGAAUUUAUAUAACUUAUUGUAUAUAUAAACAUUUUAAUUUAUAAUUAGAGAUUUUUUAUAUUAAAAAACUUUAAUUUUUUUAUUAAAAAAAUCUAAUUCAUAGUAAAACAUGAGUGAAAUAUCUAAUUUGUUUUUUUGAAAACAAUAUUUUUUUAGUUUUUAAAAUAAAACUAAAACCAAUUAGUUUCGAAAUUGACUUUGCUCAAUCGGCCAAUCAGUUAAUCGGGUUUUGGAUUCGAUCAGACACGGGCCCGUAUGAAAUCUAUGGUCAGUCCCCACCUGAAGAAACGAGAGGCAGAGAGAAACCAAAGAGAUGAGGUAACGGCAUCGACAAGCCACACGAUUCAAUUCUCUACCAGGAUAUAUAUUGUUUCCUUUGAUAAGUCACAACACAAAUUCCACUACUCAUUUUCAGUGUCCUAGAUUUGAGUAAGUUUUAGUUCUUUUUCAAAGUGGGUGGUUUGAUUUAGCUUAGCUUACCGUGUUGUAAAUUAUCAUCUUUUUUGUUGAAUGCUGUACUUGGACGUCACUUUUUGUAGUAUCAUGGUGUUAGUGAUUGUAUUGUGAGGAACCCAGUUGGGGAAUUGGUUCAUUUGUUCUAAAUCUCCAGUUUGGUUUGUUUUAGCUUAGUGUGUUUUACUUACUUGUGAGUUAUACACUUGAAUAUGUUGUUUUGUGGAACGAGUUCUUUGUUUUUCAUGAUUUUGUUUAAAAAUGGAGCUCGAGCUUGAGUUUCUAGAAGCCAACUUAAGGAGCGUUCAUCUUGGUAUAAUGAAUUGAAGCGGUCAUGAUUCAGUUUUGCUCAUUUUGAUCCAUUUCUCACUUGUCUUUCGUAGUUUUGAUCCACAUUGAUGCCAUUUGUUUUCACUAUUCGAGAAAGAGGUUACUUUUUUUUUAAUGUCAAGGAAUCCUCUUAAUCUGAUUACUUACAUCAGAAUAUAAAAUUAAGAUAUGAGGUCUGUAAGACUCUUCAAUAUACAAAUUCCUUGUCCACCUUUAAAUAACAGAAUUUGACAAUUUUCAGUGAGCCUUGCAGGCAGUAACUUCCAUGCACAUCGGUUAUCAAUUCACCAAGUUUUGUGUUAUCAUGUCACAUAUUUCUUCAUAUACCUCUGGUAUAGUAUUUCUAUUGUAAAAAAUUUCAUUCAUGUAUUUGAAACCACAACUACUACAGAUAACAUUCCAUGGAGGUUUGCAACCAUUUUGCUCAGUCUGGAAGGAUUUCGAGUCCAUAUGUAUGUCGUAGACAGGGUACUUUUGGGAAUGUCAAAUAUAACACAUCACCAAAGAAUUUUCUUCAAAACACAAGCUAUAAAGUCUUUCUACUCCAAUUUUAUUGAAAGCUUUGCUUUCAUUAAUGAUCAUUCUUGCCCAAAUGAACUAGGCAACAUUAAUUGCAACUUUUAUAAGGAUUGGGAUUCUUCAGUUGGAGCAAUAGAUGAACUGCACCCACACCCUAUGGGAGGUGGUAAAUUGAAAUUCUUAGAAAGUUAUAACAUAUCUGAUGUUGAAGAAGGACCUUUGAACUUUGCAGACCAGUUUGCUGAUAAUACAGAUAGUUUAAUACAACUUGUGGAACCUGAAAUAACAUCAACUAUUGAUAUGACACCAUUGAAUCCCAAUUUGCGAUCUGAUUCCCUAGAAAUGGAUAACGAUUCAUUAUCUAGUGCAAAGGCUGGUUUGAUGAUUUUUUGGGCGAGGCUAGGGACUCCAUCAACACUUCAGUAAAUAAUGGAGGAAAUGUUGUGCAAAGCUCACUAGGCACAAUUACUUCUUCAAUAACAUCGAUUAAGAAAGGGGCUUCAGAAGCAGUAGAUGGUGCCUUGAGUAAAGUAUUCUCUACUUUUGAUCAAACAGAAGAAUUAGAUGCCAAAGAUUGACUAGCUUUUCAUCUAGUUUUAGGGAAGCCACACAAAAAGCAACUGGCACUUCUGUUGAUGUGCUCAGAGUUGCAAUCGUUGCAGUGGAGGAAUCUAUAGCAAAAGGGGCUUCUUUUGUUGAUUAUUCUUAUAGGCCUGCCAAGGAUUUGCUUCCUCUAGAGAUAAGGGAUGCACUGAAUUUGUCUGAAGAAAGGGUAACAGAGAUUUUGAGGCCAAUUGGUCCUACUUUUCAGCAGGUACAUUAUGCUUGGCACGUUUUACUUUGAUGGCCAUUGUACUCUCGUUUAAUUGUAUGGACUUGGAAAAAAAAAUCUCCUGCAAAGAUAUAUUUGGAUUAUUUUAGAAAUCUUUUUAUUGGAGACAUCAGUCACUACUUUCAGCUUACAGGACUUCUAGUUGAAAACUCAAUUGCGUCCAUCUCUGUUACACUUCUUAAUUAUGUGCUGAUCUAACUAAUUUAUGAUCCAAAACCAAAGCUAAAUUUCCUAAACCUGCUUUUACACCUUAAGCAGGUUUACAUUGCAAUUGAGGGGCUGGAGAAAAGUCUUGGCUUGGAUCCAAAUGAUCCAGUUGUGCCUUUAGUUCUUUUCCUUGGAACCUCAGCCACUUUGUGGUAUGGUUGUCCUUUUGUGCAUGAAGGAUUUGUUUAUUUAAUCUGCAUUACAUGGGAAGCUUAAGUUUUCUAUUAGAUUUGUGCAGGGGUUUUUAUAGGGUGUGGGUAUAUGGUGGUUACUCUAGAGAUUUGUCUUCGCAAUUAACUUUGGAGCUCUUGGCAGGGAAGGAAGACACCUUAUUGAUGUCCGGCCUGAGGCAAGAGAGUAAAUUUUCUGGCCUUUUAUGUUCCUAAGUUUCUUUUUUGUUAGAAAUUUUAUUACCUCAAUGAGAGACACUAAAGCUGACUGCUCAGACAUUUUUUACAUCACAGUAAAAAAAUCUCAAAUCUGGCACCCUCAUUAAUUUCCUUUUUUUGCUCCUUAACUUGGCAUUGAACUUGGUGGACAUUGUUUAUAUGAAGGUUCUUAGAGAAAGAGAUGGCAUUCCUGAUCUUAGGCGAGCUGCUCGGUUUCGCUAUGCAAUUGUAACUCUACUAGAGGUUGGUUUUAUUUGAUAAUACUAUUCAAAAGCUAUGAGUGGAGAGGUAUUGCUAUUUGGUAUGAGGAUGAUAGUUUAGAACAAUUACUUUGUUUCUAAAUGUCAAAUAACUCUUUGAACCAACAAUAAAAAAAAAUAAAACAAGAAUUGGAGCUUGAAUAUAUCCCUUUUUCAUAACUCUGUCUUAUAUUCUUCAACUUUAUUCAGGUUGAUGGCCCAGGAAGGAAGCUUUUAAAGGGUGGACGAGAUCUUGAUGACAUCUUAAUUGAUGCAGUCAUUCGAAACUUGAAAGCUAUACAGGUAUAGCUUUAUGUUUUAAGAGCUUCGAUAUAACUAUUGUUAUGCAUGCCAUCUUUAUUUCAAGACAUUCAGAAAAAUGAGAAUUCUGAGUAGUGCAAGAAAGAAAGGAAAUUCUCGAGGGGAGGGGGUUUGGGCUUGGUUUCAUCAAUGUUGUGUGUUUUAGCAUCAGUGGCCUCUGAGGCCACAAGAAAUUGUUUUGGUAUUACCAUAUGCAGUACAGUUGCUACAUCACAAUCUCCUGAGUGUUCCAUGUUUAAAUCCUGAAGCAGGAACAUUGUCUCAAAUUUACCAGGUAAUAGUUAUGGAUGUUGAUGGUUCUCGCAUUGCUAGAUCCUUGAGAAAGCUUGGGGUUAAGGCAGGUAUUUAGAAUCUCUAAGAUUUUUUUUUUUAUCACAUAAAAGCCUAAACAUGUAAUUCAUCGUGGAACUAUAAGGGCGAAAUGAAUUUAUCCACUCUCCCUUAGUCAAGUUUCUUUGGGAUAAAAACCAUUUCUGAGAGUUUUUCAGUAUCAGUAACCUUAGAAACAAAUAACAAUAUCCAUAUUAACCAGAUUUGGGAAGAGUACAUUAAUGUCUUUUGUGCAUUUACAAUGUUGUUAAGUCAAAAAUUGUUACUCCAUAUGCAUGUUUUUCUGUCUUAUAAAUGCUGUAGAUAGAACCCAAUUUUCAUUCAUGUUGUUCUCAAGUGGUAUAAUUCAGAAAGCACAUUAGUAUUACAUCUAACAUGUGUCCUUAAAAUAUCUCUCUCUCUAAAAAAAAAAAAAGUCUUUACAUUGCUUCAAUGGGAAGUUGCAAUGUAUUAAUCAAUUUCAAUAUUCUUUUAUUUCAUUCCAUAGAUUGCUGGGCUGUAUUGUUGUGUAAAUGACUUGCAAAGAAACAAGUUAAAUGCAUGAAUUCUAGAUGAUAUCAUGGUUCAUUCCUGGACUAAUCAUAUAAUUUACAUACAGAAGAUAGUAUAAUUUUGCAGAAUUAAACCUUGUGACCUGCAUUAUAAGAAAAUUUGAACUACCAGGUGAGUCUAUUGUUAAUCUGGAACCACAACCUAUUGUAUCAUAUUGCUAAUUGUUUGUUUGCAAUUUUAUGUGACAGAGACCAUACUUGGUCCAAGGUGGCUUCCAGUCUUGGGUAAAACAAGGUAUCCAAGCCAAGGAGCUUAAACCUGAGACAGUGCUAACCAUACUUAAUAAGGUAAGGUUAUUGCAUGACUUGCAUAUUCUCCUAACUAGUAUAAAGUUCUAGAAAUACAAAAUUCUAUUUGCUAAAAGCCAUCGAUCAACUCAAAGUAUAUGUGUGGAAAAUGACAAGCUAUAGAUUAUAUAAUAAUAUAUUCAGCCAGCUGAGAUAAAACUAGAGAAUUGAUUAAUUUGACAUUUGUUUCAAAAACACAUGGAAAGAGUGAAAUUUCUUUGUUGGGUGCACAAUAUUGGUGCCCAAUGGAUACUAUCAAAAUGGUAUCCAUACAGCACAGAACAACAUGCACACACAGAGGCAUAUGAGAUGUACUUGUGUCUGUGUAGUGCGUGUGUAAAUUUACGUGGAGAGACUUGUUUCAAAAACAAAUAAAAAGAGUGUGCUAUGUGCACUCACACUUGUAUGAACAUGUGCAUCAUGAGUGUUUGUAUAUAUGUAAUUGAUGGGCUACCAUAAACUGGGUAUGCAGGCCAUAGGAAUUGUGUAUGUUUCGAAGCAUGAGAGAGAGAGAGAGAGAUUUCAAAAAAAUAAAAAUAAAAAGAGCGUGCUAUGUGCAAUCACACUUGUAUGAACAUGUGCAUCCUGAGUAUUUGUGUAUAUGUAAUUGAUGGGCUACUAUAAACUGGGUAUGCAGGCCAUAGGAAUUGUGUAUGUUUCGAAGCAUGACGGUGCACAGAUUUAUGAAGUGAAAUUAUGCACAGUAUCCAAGUAUUGAUUCUUGAGAAAAAUGAUUACUUUGUCUUUAAGCAAUCUAAUGGUGUUAGAAUUGGCAUCUCUUGUUAAAGACUUUUGGUUCAGAUUGAAUUAUUUCUUUGGUGAACUAGAUUGAAUUAUAUGGAAUUCAAUUGGAGAAGUGAUUGUUAUUCGAACUGUAGUUUUCAUAAAUUUUUCGACGUGUUAGGUGCAAUUGAUUAAAGAACUCUUGAAGCUGUUGUGCAGAUAAUGUAGUAAGAAAUCAACAAGAGGUUGUAUCCCAAGUAUCUGAGCCCAAGUCUACAUGAACGUUUUGAAACAUUCAAUCAAACAAGUUGAUAUGAUUCAUUACAACUCAGAAAGUUAUUUUGAUAUAUGCAACAAGCUGACUUGGAUCAUUUUACAAUCUGGGAGGAAGGUUGUUCUCCUUGUUCAUACAAAUCAACAACCUUCAGAUUUCAAUCAACAUUUUUCUUGUUGCUAAGACCAUUUGGUCGUGUAGGAUUUACAUUCAAUAUGCUUUGUCAAUCUAUGCUAUUCUUUUCAUGGAUUGCAAAUUAUAAUUACAAGUAUUUUCUGGAAGUGCUUGAUUUUCUUGUGCAAGAUCUAAGCUUUUCACAAUAUACUUGAUAGUUGUGACAACUUGGCAUCAUUUCAGGAGGCUGAAGCAAUUCUAGAAGAUAUCAGACCUUUGCUAGUGCAAACACUUGGGUAUGGUGUGGUACGUGUUGGGCGGAAUCCGGCGACCGGUGAUGUACUGAUAAUUGCUCAACGGAGGGAAAGAACACUAAGACACAAUAUUUUACGUGGUUCGGCAAAACCGCCUACAUCCACGGGAGAGAGUCAUUUUAUUAUAGAAAGAGAAGGGAUACAAUAAAUACAUGGAGGAGGAGGCACAUCCACUCAACUCAACUCACUAUUCACGCAGCUGCAAUGGCUACAGGGCUGCUGCCCAUGGCAGCAGCUCUUUCUCUCCUCUUUCUCUUCACUUCAUUCUCAUGUUCUCUCACACCUUAGCUCUCAAAACAUGCCUCUUUUAUAGGCAAUGCUAGCACCAACUCCAGCUACUUUUCAUCAAUAAUGGCUGCUGAAUUUUGACAAUUGAGAAGGCUGCACAUGGGAGUCAAUGGUGGCUGCUCUUCUUCAACAAAGGUGGAUGGUCAAAGUCAAUGGUUAGGCACAUUAAUGGCAACACACCUAACAAUCACCCCCUUUGACAUUUAUAUGGGCAAUUGUCCUCUUGCUUCUUCAGCACAAUCUUGCAUCCUGCAGCUCUUCCAAGCUUACCAUUCCGAGAGCGUCUCUGGCCAAGUUUACAGGUACUCGCCAAACCUUUCAAUCACCAGAGUCACCAAAGCACACCCUUGCUUACACCAAAGGAUCACUUCAACCAGAUGGUCUCACACAUCACAUCUGAAGAGUGUUAACGCUUGUCUCUGGGAACAUUCCCCUUCGAGCGUAUCAACCAUGCUCGGUCCGGAAUGAUUUAUCAAGCCUCACACCAAGGCUUACAACACCCCCUCAAACGGAUAUUCCAAGUGCGACAGUCAUUAUCUGAGUAUCUCAAUAUGAUCACAAGCCCACCACUCUUCCAAGAGUCUACUCAUCCAGGAGUUGCGCCUGCCCUCUGUUCCACCGUAGGAACCACGCCUUACUUCUCCGUGAGUCUCUCGCUCUUAGUCGUAAGAGUCCAGGUAGCUCUCCACCUUUAACCAUGGGGGCAACCCAUUAAAGGUUGAUCCAUAUCUGUCUUCAUACUCUGAGUAUUACAAUGCCAUCUCCGAGCUCACCACCUUGACAAGAGUCAACUCGUUCCCGGAACCUGCGCAUGCCCUCUGCUCCUUCAUAGCAGCCGCGUCUUAAUGCUCCACAAGUCACCACUUAUUGUCCAAGGCAAAUGUCUUCUAGCUCAUUGAUCUUUAGCAUGGGGGCAAUAUCCAUGAAAGUCAAUCCUGCAUUUGUCUUCAUACUCAUCAUAGCCACUUCAUUGGCUAUCCACCUGUCCACUCAUAUCUAGCCAUCACAUUGGCUCUGGGGCGUUCUGAACUGGGCUCAUAUCGUGGCCCACACACCUUCUCCUUAGGUGUCUCCGCUCGUCGUCAUGCGGCGGUCUGAAAUCUGGGCUCAUAUCAUGGCCCUCACACCUUCCAUCCGAGGUGUCUCCGCUCGUCGUGGAGCGGUCUCAUCCUCCUUCAUCGGGAUGACUCAAGUGGCUUCAAGAUUCUCUACCACCAUGUGGACUUGGGAGAGAUUACUGCCACUGACUACAUAGAAAGAGAAAAUUGCGGUAUACUCCUCGCAAUCCUCCACCUUGAUUUCUAUGUUUGGAGCUUCUAUGCCUUUCUGCUUGACAGCUCCACCUACACCAACUCUCUUUGGUGGCUUCGCCUUUCAUCAUAGGCGGUCGCCUUUUAUCACAGGCGUUUGCACCCCCUCAAUUAGGUGCCUCUGCAACAGCUCAUCUUUCCAUCCUUGCAUGCAUUGGAAAGGUCCUCGCUUGUUGUCUUUAUCAAGAGCAUAAGAGACUUCAUGUUGUACAUUCUUCACACAGUCUCUGCUCUGAGCUUCAUCUGGGAACUCUUCUUCUCCUUGCACCUGUUGUCUCAUUACAGUACCUCGUUGGAUCCCUCGGGUACUCUUGCACAAUCUCGUGUGCCCUCGUGCAAUUACUGUUCUCCAGAUUUCUCCCUAUUCCUUGCUUAUGUUUGACAGCAGCUCAUCCCGUCACAACACCUGUCCAAGUCAAAAUAGGGUGCCAAUCUUUAUCCCCUUGCUGUAUUUCUCUUCCAUUAUCAGGGUCUUCAUCAAUUCUCCCUCGAGAAAUCACAGUCACCGAAUCUGCUUCUUUGGAGAAAUCACCACUCCAUCAGAUCCUUGAUCAUGCGGAACCCAACUGUUCCCCUUGUGCCGUCAUCCUGCUAGUCUUCAACCGUUUCAUUACAAACUGCUAUAUAUACGAAAAUAGUACCGUAUGGAUAAUCCUUCCACUAAGCAAGUUCCCAGGAAAGAUUGGAGGGGUCACAACGGUCCCGCUUAAAACCCAAUCUCCUAGACAGAACUUCUUAGGCCAUAUCUAUCCAUCGUACUGUCUCUCCGUAUAUACAACCAUUUGCUAGCUUUGUUGCGGCUUUCCUUUACAAGUGAUCUGGAAUAUACAGGUUUAAUACAUGAUUUCUCAACAUCUAGCGAGACUACUAGUGCUUAGAUUCGUCAAGAUUGGUCUUCGUCAAUUUCCACUCUCCACCUCAAAUCGUCCACAUAACCGGGUGUCCAGAGUGUCCCAAUUUUGCCUUCCAUCAAGGCAUUAAAUUUAACCAUUUAACAGUUCAGCACAUGUAAUUGGGUAAACAUGUGCACCUUCUUCUUCUUCAUCUCCAUCGACCACUAUGAUGACCUUCAGAUGCCUCCUGAUCGGGCAAUCUCUCUUUAAUAAUUCACCACCGCCAUUUUUGGUCUCGAAUCUCAACGAUCGGACCGUACCAUUGCAUCCGGAAUGAUAAAAUUAGCUGGAAACAUGUCUUAAAUCGUCCAAAUCACACUUCAGACGGCUAAGCUUUGAUCAAAACAAUUCUGGCAUGAUCAACGGCUCAGAUUCAAUCUCAGAUUCGGUUGCACGUAGGAUCAGCUACACUGGAUCCUAUCCCUCGGCUCGGCUCAACUCGGCUCGCGGCUGAUGACGUGGCAGGUGGGCCCCCUAUGCUGACACGGAUGUUGACUAGUCAAUUUCUUGUUGACUGUGUAUGAUGAUGUCAUCCUUGCAUCAUGCUGAUGUCAUCCUGUUCAUGAUACCGUCACUAUUCAUGUCUACUGUUCACAUUGGUCGGGUCAACUGGUAUUCGGGUCGGGUCAACUCAUCCGGGUGAAGAAGAUGCGUGGGGCGCGUCUGUGCGCGUGGGCAGACGCCUUGCCGGAGAGUGAUGGAGAGUGCGGCCAUGUCCGACGUCCGAUUUUGACGCCGUUUUCACCGGUGGCUUCGUAUCGUCGUCCUCUACACAGUGGGAUGGUCAAAACACCAUUUGGACAACUUUCAUUUUUGAGCAAAAAAUCAAACACCACUUAAACCAUUUGGCUCUGAUACCAAUUGUUGGGCGGAAUCCGGCGACCGGUGAUGUACUGAUAAUUGCUCAACGGAGGGAAAGAACACUAAGACACAAUAUUUUACGUGGUUCGGCAAAACCGCCUACAUCCACGGGAGAGAGUCAUUUUAUUAUAGAAAGAGAAGGGAUACAAUAAAUACAUGGAGGAGGAGGCACAUCCACUCAACUCAACUCACUAUUCACGCAGCUGCAAUGGCUACAGGGCUGCUGCCCAUGGCAGCAGCUCUUUCUCUCCUCUUUCUCUUCACUUCAUUCUCAUGUUCUCUCACACCUUAGCUCUCAAAACAUGCCUCUUUUAUAGGCAAAUGCUAGCACCAACUCCAGCUACUUUUCAUCAAUAAUGGCUGCUGAAUUUUGACAAUUGAGAAGGCUGCACAUGGGAGUCAAUGGUGGCUGUCAUCUUCUUCAACAAAGGUGGAUGGUCAAAGUCAAGGUUAGGCAUAUUCAAGCAACACACCUAACAAUACGAAAUCAGAUUGCUUUUUUGUGAUACUGCACUAUGAUUAGUCUAUUUCAAUCAUUUCUACACUUGGAUUUCUUUUCCCCAAAAUCCAUCUUUUUUUUAAAAAAGGAUAUCUUGUGUCUAGAGAGAUGUGUUUAAGGGAUGGGAAUGAUCUUUUUAUUUUGUAGCAAGGACAUAAAAUAAUUACAGGUUGAUUUCUCUGUUUUGAAUGUAUGCUUCUGUAUGGUCUAGAGACAUGCUUCCAUAAAUAUGUGUACAUGAUUAACUAGAACUAUUCAUGCUGUUUACAUCAGGUCUUCAUUAAUCAUCAAUCCAUGAUUGAUAAAUAUCUAUUGCUUACCAUGCAAAUGUCCAGUGCAUCCUUUACUUAUACUAUAUUCACGCUGUGGACAGGGUUUUGCUGCAGCAUCAUAUGCAUUGCUAGGUUUGUACAUUUUCUUUUCUUUUCUUUCUUGUUGCUUUCUUCACGUUCUUCUUGCCAACCAAGCUUGAACUUUGUUUCAGAGUGGGAGAAGACCAUACAAUUUAUUGACAUCAUUGGCUUCAGUCAGGUAUACUUUUAUUUGUUAUAUUGCCCUGGUUAAUGUUCCUUUCACACACACAUAGAUGUUGAUUUCUAAGCUGAUAAUGAUUAAAACAAACUUCACACAUUCUGAUAUUGUGCUAGUACUCAGAUCCUUUGAUGUAAUCCGUGAAAAUAACAUGUAUCCUUUGAUAAUAGAUCUCCUUUGUCUAUUUUGCAUGUGUCCUAGGGAAAGCUUUAUGUCAUUGCUAAAUUUAGUUAAGUGAACAUUGAGUUUCUCUAAUUAUUGGUUUCUCAUACUCUGUCAGACUAUUGAUCAGCGGGUUGCUUCUUACAAUGGCCCUGAUGAUUUUAAGCAAGCUGUGAGGUAUAAAUUAGUUUGCUUAGGCUAGUUUUGAGUUUAUUUGAAAGAGUUAUAAAAUGUACAAUAAUAAAAUCUUGAAUUUAAAGUUUUUAUGUACUUACUGUUUUUCUUGAAUAAAUGCGCUAGAUGGUUGUUAUAGUUAGUUGAGGAAUUAGUUGAAUAACAGAAAGUUAGUUCGUUAGUCAGUUGCAAGGGAAGAACAAUAUUUACAACUAUCUUGAAAACCAAGUAAUAAUUGAAGAUCAAUUUGCAGUAAUUACAGAACUCUCUCUCCCUUUCUAUUUUCUUUUAUAUCUCCCAAAAUUUUCUUUUGAACUUUUUGUCCGCCGGUAUAUUUUCAUCAAAGUGCAGAUACACCCCCCAGCUUUUCAACUCCAAAGGCCUUUGGAUAUAAUGACCUACCUCCGUAACUCCAAGGUUGUAGAAAUUAAAUGUAACUUCAUUGCCAGAAUAUUGAUGUAAAUAAUUUCCCAAUUGGCGCUCGUAGUGUAGAAUCAUGUGAUAGGAGUCACAUGACACCAAGACAUCUGUUGGAAUCUGGUCUACCCCUAAAACAAAGUCGUAGACUUUAUCGUUUUUACACUUAACAUAGCAAUCACAAUAUGCCCUAUGAAAGGGAAGAGGGCCUAGAAAGACAAGGCAGAAAGCAAUUCCCUUGAGCGGACGACAAUUUGAGGGCAACUGUAUGGUGACUGAAGAUCCAAUUCCUUUGUCACCGAACCAUUCUGGAAUUUCACUCCCCGGUAGAACCAUAUCAAUUCUGCCAUUUAGGAUCUCCUCUCCGGACUGUAAUACAAAAGUCACAUUUCGAAAAUGUGAUGAAGCAAGCAAGAAAGAGAGAAGAAAUAAAGACGGGGUUAAAAGGGAUACCUGAAUUCUCAAAUGCAUUGCCUCUAUCAGUUGUUUCUGAUCCAAUUUGAAGCAAUUUCUAAAAUCCCAUUUGAAGCAGAUAUUGAUAGUUGAUGUCACGGUUUUUAGUGAUGCACAGUCAUGUGCUUUUAGAGUCUUCAGCGAAGGGGGAAGUUCAGGUAGCUCUUUAAUAGGUGUUCUACUCAAAGUCAGAUAUUCCAAACAUACCAUAUCUUUGAUUGACAAGGGUAGCUCUUUAAUAGGCGUUCUAUUCAAAGUCAGUUCUUUCAAACAUACCAUAUGCUUCAUUAAUGAUGAGGGUAUCUCUUUAAUGCCUGUUUCACCCAAGUGAAGAUAAGUCAACGUUUUGAGUCUUGUGAGAAACUGGAUUGAUGAUGGCACCUCUUUAAUAGCAGUUCCCUUUAGAUUUAAGCUUGUUAUAUCCCCUGAAAUCUCUGGAAACUUGGUGAUCUCCCGGCAACCACUUAGAGAAAGAUGAACCAAAUUGCCAGUAACUGAUUGUGGAACUUCUUUGAUAGAAGUUUGUUCCAACUCUAACUGUGUCAUAUUUUGUGAAAUCGUUGGACACGUGGUCACAUUUAGGCACCGACUUAUUACAAGGUAUAUGAGAACCUUUGAAUCAAGCAUUGGAAAACUUCUAAGAUUAUAGCAACCAGUGAGAUCAAUAACUUCCAGCUUGUCAAGAUAUUGAAGAGAUGACGGAACCUCGGUUAACCUUUUACAGUUACGAAGUCUUAAGCACUCUAAAUUGUUGGCCUUUGAUAGAUCUGGCAAUUCCGUCAAAUAUGGAGAGUCAGAUAGGUCAAUUGUUCUUAAAUUUCCAACAUCCUGUCAACAGAAAAAGGCAUAAUUAGAAAGUUAGCACCUCCAACUUCAUAUUUCUGAUCAUAAAUCUGUAGCAAUUAAAUCAUACCUUUACUACUGUCCAAAGUUUUACAAGCUUGCUUUUGCGUAGGCGAAGCUCGACAAGGUGUUCAGCACGAAAAGAUGGCGGCAAGGAUUUCGAAGGGAAUCCAUCCCAUCGCAAAUAUCUCAGCUCAUUAGGAAGAUAUUCGAGGCCAGUAGGAGGAAGGUGCAUUUUAUUUUCUAGGGAGAAAAAAUCGUGAGAGAAAUUGAGAAAUCUAAGACCAUCCAUCAUUGCGAAGGCAUCAGAUUUCAAGUGUAUGUCUCCCGAGAAUUCGGACAUGUCCAAAGAUAUGCCUUUAAUUUUUCGAGUUCCCUGUUAAACAAGAAUAAAGAAUAAACAAACAAUAAUACAAUCUACGCAAACACAUCAACUUUUGAGCAAAUACAUGAUCGACAGUUAAUGGCUGUAGCUUUCACCUUAUUUUCCUCCAAUACUUGAACGACAUCAGGAGGAUGACACAACCAGCUACGUUCGCCAGGAAAAUCAGAUUCUGCACGAACAAUGUUAAAUGCCAUUUCUUGUAGUAAAUCAUGCAUUUCUAGCCAGUAAUGAGUUGGAGUUAUGAGACACUUAUCAAUGAGCAUGCUUAUAUCGAACUCCACAGACCGAUCAUAUAAGCCAUCUAAUAACAUUCUUGUUACUUCUUCUGGCUCCCUCCUAUUGAAGAAGAAAUGUGCUAUGUCAAGAAAUAUGGAUUUUUGUUCUGAAUCCAACCCAUCGUAACUAAUUCUCAACGCCCUUUCGAUUUGAGGGUGCUGAGCUAGUUUAUUCAAUGCACUGCGCCAUUCUUCGAUGCUUUUACCAUAGAGAGAGGAACCCAAAACUUUAAGAGCCAACGGAUUGCCUUGUACAUGCCUUGCAAUCUGUUCUAUCAAGUCUCUUUGAUCAAUUGUGGGGAUGCAAUUCUUCAAGGCUUUCGAGCUAAAGAGUCGAAUAGCUUCUUCAUCGUUCAACCCCUCAACCUCGUAUGUCUCAUCAACUACAUUACUAAGCACUUGCUUGUCCCUACUUGUUAUGAGAACUUUACUGCCCGGACCAAAUGAACUGUUUCGUCCAUCAAGCAAAUCUCUCCAUUCUUCCAAACGCAUUAAAUCAUCCACAUCAUCCAGAACAAUAAAAACCUUUAUACGACGAAGUCUAUCCCUCACAAAAGAAUCUCGAAAACUCAAGUAGCCCAUAGUGUUCAGAGUUUCUUGGCCAAGCAGCCGUUUAAGAAAUUUUCUUCGCAAAUCAGAUUGUUGCCUAAAGUUUUCAAAAAAGAUUCCUUCAAAUCGAGAACAAACCUUGCUGCACACAGCUUCAGCAAUCGUUGUCUUACCGAUACCACCCAUUCCCCAUAUCCCUAUAAUGAGAACAUCUGGAGAAUUUAUAUUUAACAAAGACUCAACUUUGCUAACACGAACAUCAAUUCCAAAUAGACCAGCCGUAGUGUGACAUGACUCGAUAGAUCCGGAGGAAGACAUGGCAUGCAAUUUUUUCAAAACAUCUCCAACGAUUUUCUCAAUAAAUUCAGACUCCGGCCUGACAAACAAGAAGAACACACAUAAUUGUUAGUCAAAAUGGACCGGACAAGAAGAAACAUAUAAACAUACUCACUCCUUAGUAGCUACAUCUAUACAUAGUAGACACGUAUGAGUUAUUUAGCAUCAUUAUUGGCAAUGGAUAGUGCUAAUGUAACACAUGAAUCGAUGAUAACAUUGAGUUGAGUGAUAUGUAAAAAUACAUGACAUUCUUCAGUGAUAUGCAUGUAACACAUGAAUCGAUGAUAACAUUGAGUUCAGUGAUAUAUAACACGUAAAAACUGGAAACUACAUGUAAUCGGUGUUUAUCUAAUAAAAUCAAUUAAAUGCAAAUGCAUAUGAUGUUUUCUCAUGCCAUCCUUUUCACCUCAAACAAAUAGAAUAUUAUUUAACGACAAAAGAAAACUUUGUCUGUCCUUGUAAAAUUUACCGUAAGGAUCAAAAAAAUAUUUUUUAAAAAUAUAUUAUUUUUUAUAUAAAUACAUCAAAAUAAUCUUAAAAGACUUAAAAAAAUAUUUAAAAAAAAAAUAAUUCAAAAAUAUAUUUUUUUUGAAACAAAAAAAUAAACAACCACUUAAUAUCAAUACAAGCCUUAAUAUUUAUACAAGCGUUCCCCUACAAAUAAUUUUUUUUUCAAAAUUAUUUUUAAUAUAAACAUAUUAAAAUAAUUUAAAAAUACUAAAAAAAUUAAUUUAAAAUAAAAGCAAUUUAAUUUUUUUACAAAACAUUUUAAAACACAAAACAAACAACCACUUAAUAUCUAUACAAACAUUUUAUAUUAAAUAAUAAUUUUUUAUUUUUUAAAAAUAUUUUUUAAUAUACACACAAAUAAUAUAAAAACACUAAAAUAAAAUAAAAUUUUUUUAAAAACAAUUUUAAAACACAAAACAACCAACCACGUAAUAUCUAUCCAAGUGCUUCGCCACAACGUUUACAAAAUCAAAUAAAAUAAAUAUGAAUUCACAGAGCUCAUCAUUCUCAAUAAUUUUAAAUUAAAUUUCAAAUCCUCAACAAAUGAACGAAUAUUUUCUCAUGGGAUAUAUUUCAAGAGCUUACCCAGAAUUCCCUAAGCCCCAUCCAGAUAGAUUGGCUGCAUCCGUCAAAGCGUCUCUGAAGCUCUGCACUUCUUCCAACGUCAGAGCUUUAUUCCUUAUAAGUCUAGCAAAUGCAUCCCCAAAGCUUCCUGUUUGAUGUCUUACAUGGGUUGGAUCCACCUUGUAGAAUACCGGAAUAACUAUCUGUCCAUUGUUUUUUCUACACUCAAAAAUCUUUACAAGCUCCUCCAAGCACCAUUUGGAAGAUGCAUAGUUUUCAGAAAAAACAAUCACAGAAAGCUUGGCCUCUUCAAUUGUUCUCAGAAGUGAUGCCGAGAUCUCAUCUCCUCUCACAAGCUGAUUAUCUAUGAAAGUUAGGAUUUGUUUCCGGUCCAAAGCAGCAAGGAGGUGGCUGGUAAAACCAGCAAGAGUGUCUUGUUCGCUGAAACUAAGGAAGACAUCAUAUUUAAUUCCUUGUGGCUGGGCGGUGGUUAAGGUGGAAGGAGUAGAUGGCGAUGGAGAUAUAUGAUGGUUUCGUAUGAUGAAUCUCCAGAUAUAAGCAAACAUUUCGAAGAAACAAGAGUAAUUAGACUCUGGUGGUAAGGUAGGUCUGGAGGGAGAGAGCGGAAGUAACUCAAGGAAAAAAGAUGAGGCUGAUUUUGAAUCAGUAGCUUAGGCUUUACGUGUUUAAGACCCUGCCUUAGGCAUAUGUAUAAUUUAUAGGCAUCAAAUCCAAGAAUUUUCUUAGAACAUUACAAGAUUGCACAUUGUUGAUUUCCUGGAAAUUCCCCAGUUACAAAGUGAUGUGAUAGGAACAGGCAUUUAUACGUUGUUUUGUUUUUAUGGUAUUGACAGUCAGGGGCGGAGUUAGGAUUAUUUGUUAGGGGGAGCUAAAUUUAAUAUAGCAAGAUAUAAUAUUUGUUUUAAUUUAUUGUACAUGAGUUGUAAAACAAAGGUAAAAUAUUUGGAGUAAUAUCAAAUUAAAUCAAAGCCAUAAUGUUAAUUUCAUCUUAAUAAUAUAUCUAUUACUUUAAUGUUGUUGAUCUUUAUAUCUAUCAAAUAUAAACAUACAAAAUAUAUAAAAAACACUAUCUAAAACGAAGCAUUAUUUAUGUUUGAUAAACUUUAAAAUAAAGGAAAAAAUAAUAAAGAAUGAUUUUUACAUAUUUAUUUUAACUGUGCUCGUCGUUCUUUCAUAGAAUAGAAAUCAUCGAUUAUCAUAUCAAUUGUGAAUCUUUCAGCAAUUUUUUUUCUAUAUAGACAAUCAAAUAAUUUGUAAGAAAAUCAUCCUCCAUAUGAUGGAUUGCGAAGUCUUAUUUUAACAAUUGUUAUCACUGAAAAAGUUCGUUCAAUAUGAUGUGAAUUAUCAAUAUUUUUUUUAAAAAAAAUCAAUUCUUCUUAUUUUGUUCAUGUUUCAACCUAAAAUCAAAACAUUUAUCAUAAGAAAAAAUUGAUAAUUUUGGUGGUUCUGCUCUCUCUCUCUCUCUCUCUGUCUCUGUCUCUCUCUCUCUCUCUCUAUAUAUAUAUAUAUAUAUAUAUAUAAUUCAAGCACAAUCAAAACAAACCAAUAAAAUAUAUCUAAUUAAUUAGAAAAAAAAUCAUUAUAACAAGAAUUCAAAAAAAAUAAUUGGUAGAACUAACAAAUCUGAGAAAAAAAGGAGAAAAAAUCAUAGAAUUAUAUAUAAAAAAACAUUAUCAAAUUAUUAACAAACGUUUCAAAACAAAACAAAAUUAGAUUUUAAAUUUAAGUUGUCUUGUUUUGUUUGAUGAAAAACAAAUUAAUUGGUGGCUCUGCAUCGAUCUUUUUGUAGAAAAAUUUUGCUCGUAAUUUAUGUUUUUAUUUAUGUUUUUGAUCAGCUGCAAGAUUUAUAUUACGGUAAAUUGGUGUCUUUGUUUUUUAUUUUACAAAAUAAUACUCUUAUAUUUUUUCCCUUCCCACGUAGUAAAGAGUAAAUUCAAAAGAAAUCAAAAAUAAAAUCACACUUAAUUUAAAUUUAAAGCUCACCUCUUUAAAAUAAAAAAUAUAGCAUCUCCUCACAUUUAAUUACUAAUACCCAGCAAUUAAAAAAACAUUGUGUUGCAGGGGGGGCCCGGGCCCCUGCUAGCCCCCCCUUGCUUCCGUCCCUGUUGACAGUGUUUUUAUAAAUUUUGAUUUUUUUUUAUUUUUUUAAAAUUAUUUUUUUUAUUAUUGUAAUAUACUGAUAUAAAAAUAAUUUUUAAAAAUAAAAAAACAUAUAGAUUCUUGUUUAUCACAUCACAGCUGUGAUAGAUAACUUUUUUCAUAUUUCAAAUGUAUUAGCUGUUCCCUUAGCGGAGUAGCAGAUCUUUUGUUAUUUGAUCGAGUGCAGUAUAACCUUUUUAAUGAAGUUUAUUUGUUAUUAUCGUAUUGAUAGAGAAUAAAUUAAUUUUUUAAUAUUUUAUAAUUAUAAUAGAAUUAUUUAAAUAUUCUUAAAAAUAAAAAAUAUGAAUUAGAGGUUUAAUAUGUUUCAGUCUUUUAAUGUUUUAAUAGCAUAAUAAAAUGAUUUCAUUAUUUUUAAAUACAAAAUAAUUAAAAUUGAUGUCCAAGUAUUUUUUUAAUAUUUUUAUCGUAGCUUUUUAGUUAUAAUUAAUAUGAAUUAGAGGUAAUUUAAUAUGUUAUCACUUAUAAUUAUAAUUAGAGGCAAAUGUAUAAUUAUAAUACGGGGGUUAUCAAAUUCAAGUAUUUUCUCAGGACAUUACAGAGGGUGCACACUGUUGAAUCCAUAAAUUUCUUAUGUACAAAAAGCUUGAGGUCUUGUUAUUUGUUUUCCUGUGACUUGGACGGAAAGGGUAUUUAUGCUUUGUUUGUCUUUGCAGUAUAAACCAUGUUUUUAUAAUAUAUUUUUUUAUUUGAGAUUAAUUUUUUUUAGUUAUUUUGGAUGUAUGUUAGUAAAAAAAAAAUAUAAAAAAAAAAAAAAAUUAUCUUAAUAUAUUUUCAAUUAAAAAAUACUUUAUAAAAUUAUUACCAACUUGUAAACACUCUCCAUAUAUUGGGUCCAAAUGUUUGCGCGCGGUGAGGCUUUUUUUGCCUUUACAUUAUAUUAUAAUGGUUAUAUUGAUUUAAUUGAGAAGAAAUUGUUAUAAAUUAAUUUGAUAUUAUAGUAACGGCUGGUUUUUAAUAUAUUUUUUUAUUUUUUAAAUUUUAUUUUUAAUAUCACACAUCAAAAUUAUAUAAUAACAUGAAGAAAAAAAUUAAUUUAAAAUAAAAAAUAAAAUCCACAUAUUUUCUGGAGACGUUACAAGGGGGCGCAUUAUUUACUAUGUGGGAAUUUCCUGUGUACAAAAGACUUUAAUGUCUUCGUUCCAAGAAUUUGCUGGCACUUUGUAAUUUGUUGACUUCACAUUAUAUUAUACUAACGCGUUGAAAUGCCCGUGUGUUGCUGCGGUUUUAUAAAAUAAAAAUACUUGAUAGUGUUAUAAUUGUAAAUCACCACUAAAUAAAUAAUAAAAACUAAAGGUAUAAUAAAAUAAAUAUUUCAUGACGGAAAAAAAAGUUGUGUUGGUGAUCAAAAAUUUAGAGACUGAAUAAAAUGAUUUGCAACAAUCUACAGUGUUUUGUGAGAAAAGAUAUAAUGUUUUUGUCACAUGAUUUAGCUUUUAUGUUAAUAAAAAAGUAGAAAAAAAAUGCAAAGCUAAAUUCUCUACCAACUUAAUAUAUAUAAAAAAACCUUACAAAGAUAAUUUUAUAAGGAAAAAAACCCAUGAAAAAAAACAUUGUAGCAAUUGACAAUGUUUUGUACUAAUAUAUCAAAAACAAUGUUUUCCCAAUAAAAUAAAAUAAAAAACCAUUUAGAGAAAUAUUGUAGCAAUCCACAAUGUUUUGUGAGAAAAACUAUAACAUUUCCUCAUAUGAUUUAGCUUUAUUGUAAUUAUAAUUCUUAACCAACUCAAUAUUAAAAAAAAUCAACAAAGAUAAUUUUGGAAAAAAAUCAUAAAAAAAUCAUAUGGGAAAACACUGCAACAAUUCACGUGUUUUAAAGAAAAAAAUUACAAAACUAAAUUCUUAAUUAGCUCAAUAUUAAAAAAAAACGACAGGACAAUCUUAGAAAAAAAUAACAAAAAAAACACCAAAAAAGAGGGAAAAAUCAUGUUGGAAACAUUGUAGCAAUUCACAAUGUUUUUGAUGAAAGCUACAGUGCUUUCCCCACAUGAUUUAGUUAUUUUAUAUAAUUGUAAUUUUAAAACAACUUAAUAUUAAAAAAAUAAAAUUGACAAAGAUAAUCUGAAAAAAUUAUAAGAAAAAAAAACCAUGUGAAGAACACUGUAGCAAUCACAAUGUUUUGUGAGGAAAGAUACAGUGCUUUCCCCACAUGAUUAAGCUUUAUUACAAAGUUAAAUUCUAACCAACUCAAUAUGAAGAAAAAAAUUAACGAAGAUAAUUUUGGAAAAAAUAUUACAAAAAAAGAAAAUACAAAAAAAUUUGGAAAAAAAACCACGCGAGGAAAAACUGUAUCAAUCCAUAAUGUUUUGUGAUGGAAAACUUGUAUUUACUUGUAAUUGCAAUUCUUAACCAGCUUAAUAUUUAAAAAAUAAAAUUAAAAAAGAUAAUUUUAGAGAAAAACAUAACAAAGCAGAAAAAAAACUAUGUGGAAAAAAACAUUAUAGCAUCCACAAUAAUUUGUGAAGAAAGUUACAGUGAUUUCCUCACAUAUUAUAACUGUAAUUUUUAACCAGCUUAAUAUUAAAAAAUAAAAUAAAAAAGAUAAUUUUAGAGAAAAUAAAAAAAAACCAUGUGGAGAAAUAAUGUAGCAAUCAACAAUGUUUUAAAGAAAAAAAUUACAAAACUAAAUUCUUAAUUAGUUCAAUAUUAAAAAAAAUCGACAAAUAUAAUUUUAAAAAAUAAAAAAAUAAAAUAGAAAAACUAUAUAAAAAAAAUACCGUAGCAAUUCACAAUAUUAUUUUAAAGAAAAAAAUUUCAAAGUAAAAUUUUUAAUCAAUUCAAUAUUUAAAAAGUAAAAUUAAUUCAAAAUUACACACAAUCUAUUCAAAUAAAUCCUUAGAUGCCUUUUCCUUUUAUAUAUAUUUAUUUAUUGUGAAGAAGAAGAAGAAAAAGAAGUCGUCUUGAAGGAUGAAGGAGAGAGGAAGGGACGGGGGAUUGGCCAAUCCUCUUCUUCAUAUUGACGGGGACGACGACUUGACCGUAAGUACUCUUCCUGGCGAGUGCUAGGGCAGCGUGUUCCGGAAGCUGAGUUUAGAAAUUACGUGUUUCUUUUUAUAUGCUUCCUUCCAGCUCAUUACACACAAUCUAUUCAAAUAAAUCGGCAGAUGCCUUUUCCUUUUUCCUUUUAAAGGGAUCACCGGCCGUCGGUGUUGUUUGAACAUAAACAAUUGAACAUUGGAAGAAAUAAAUAAUUUCCCCAUGCUUAAAUUACGGCUACUAUUCUUUUCAACUCCUGCCAGACAUCAUAGGGCUUUAAUGUCUUCGAUCCAAGUGUUUGUUGGUACUGUAUACUUUGUUGACUUCACAUUAUAUUAUAAUGGUUAUGAUGAUUUCAUUGGGAAAAACUUGUUACUCUGCCCAAUAAUAGGAAUUUUUUAAAAAACAAAUUGAUACAGUUAGAGAAAUAUAUAAUAUGGUUUAAUUUUUUUUUUAAAAAAAACUGCUAUUUUAAAUUACGAUUUAAAUAUAAAAGCGAUUCAAAUAACAAUCGUGGUUCUGUUUAUUGGCAUGCAGCCAUGUAUAUUAUAAUUACUUCUUCUUUUUACAUGCUUCCUUUUUCUUUAUAUAUAUAUAUGCUGUUUGUCUUUUUGGUAUAAAUAGUGUUUUUAUAAAUUUUUUAUUGAUUUUUUUAAUAUUUUUAUGUAUUAAUAUCAAAAAUAAUUUUUUUAAAAUAAAAAAUAUUAUAUAAAUUUUUUAAUAGAAAAAACAAGAACUACCUACUACACUUACAGAAGAAACAUUCCAUGUAUUCAGUCGUUUGCGCGUGUCGAGGACCUUUUUUUGCCUCCCAAUAAUUAGUGUUAUUUGUAUUGUAACUUUUUUAAUAUUUCAAAAGGAUUAGCUAUUCCCUUGGCUUGGCGUAUUAGCAGCUUUUGUUAUUUUCUCUUCAACUUUUUUAUUAUAUAUUUUCUUUACACAGUAAACACUUAUAUCCCGGGUCAUUCCUUAAGUACAUUAACUAGUGUAUCGGCAUGCGAUUCACAACAGGGUUAAUAUUAAUCUUUUUAAAAUUAAAAUAACAAUCAUGUCAGCCUAAGCAUUUUGCAUCUAGAAUAGUAAAAAGUCUAGAAUAAUAUAUAUAUAUAUAUAUAUAUAUAUAUAUUAAAGAACUCUAAAAGGCGGGGAAGUACUGUAGCUUUCCACGCCUUUUAAUUACACUUAUAUAUAAUAAUAAUAAUAAUUAUAUUAUUAUUAAGUAAUAUACUAAAACGCGUAGCUUUUUCAAUGUAGCUAAAGCUUUUAUUUUUUGUUUUUUCUUCUGUGGUAUUUUUUUUUUGUAGCAGUUUUUUUUUAAUAUGUGGGUUUUUCACUGUAGCAGCUUUGUUUUUUUUUUUCUCGCUUUUGUUUCUUCUGUUUUUUACAUAUAAUUAAGUAAUAUACUAAAAUGCGUAGCUUUUUCACUAUAUCUAAAGCUGUUUUUUUUUUUUGCAGUUUUUUUUUUCUUCUGUGGCAUUUUUUUUUCAUUUUUGGUUUUUUUUUCUGUAGCAGUUUUGUUUUUUUUUUGCUUUUGCUUUUGUUUUUUUUAAAAUGUUUUUUCACUGUAGCAGUAAUUUUUUUUUUAUUUUUUUUUCACAUGUGGGUUUUUCAUUGUAGCAGCUUUGUUUUUUUUGUUUUUUACCUAUAAUGUAUCACUAUGUACACAGUGAAACACUUGACUUUCUUUGUUUUUUUUUUGUCGUUUUGCCCAUGGGUUUUUUUUUUUUGCUUUUUUCUUUGUUUUUUUUCUUUUAAUGAAUUCUUUUUUGUUUAAUUUAGUUUGUUAAUGUAAAAAAAAUUUAAUUUAGUUAUCAUAUUUUCAUUACACGGAUCUUCGUUUUUAUAUAUAUAUAUUAAGCUGGUUGAGAACUUAGCUUUGUAGCUUUUUUUAAAAAAAAAAUACUAUGGAUUACUACAGUGUUUCCCUUACAUGAUUUUUGUUUGACUGUAGUGUUUCCCCCACAUGUUUAUUUUUUAAAUUAUCUUUGUUAAAUUUAUUUUUUUUAUAUUGAGUUGGUUUAGAAUUUAGCUUUAGUUUUAGCUUUCCCCAUGCUUUUUAAUUAUAAUUAUUAUUAUAUUGUAUUAUAUUAUAUGACUGUUUUUUUCUUUUUAAUUUUUUUUAAUGAACUGUUUAUGUUUGAUUUAAUUUGUUAAUGUUAAAUUUUUUUUUAUUUAGUUAUCAUAUUUUCAUGAUACGAAUCUCGAGUUUGAUGGGUUAACCUGAUUUAACAAGUUAUUUUUUUUAUUUAGUUUAGUUUGUUAAAGUUAAUUUUCUUUCUAUUUAAUUAUCAGACUUUCAUGACACGUAUUAUGGGCUUGACAGGUUAACUUGGUUUGAUGGGUUAACCCGGUUAAUUCUAGGUAAACCCGUUAUUUUUUUUUUCUAUUUAGUUAUCAAAUUUUCAUGAUGCAAAUCUCAGGUUUUACGGGAUAACCUGGUUUAAAGGAUUAACCCAAUUAAUUCAAUUUUUUUUUCUUUUUCUUCAUUAGUUUUUUCCUUUCUGUUGAUUUUUUUCUUUGUUUUUUUUAAUUAAUCUAUUUAAUUAUCACACUUUUAUGACACGAUCUUAUAGCCAGACCCACAUCCACUAUUCUUGGAUCCGGUGUUACAGUCAGACUCACUUAAACUUGGGUCAUACAAGUUUAAUUUUAUUAUUAAUAUUAUAAAUAUUAUUCUUAGGUCAGGCGUUGCAGCCAAACCCAAGAUUUUUGGGUAUAACUUUAUAGAAAAACCCAAAAUUUUAAAUUUUUAUUUUUUAAAAAUAUUUUUUAUACAAAAAAAUGACUCGCAGCAGCGCGCGGGUAUCAAAGCUAGUAUAUAUAUAUAUAUAUAUAUGCUGUGAGGAAGAAGAAGUCUUGAAGGAGAGAGGAAGGGACGGGGGAUGGGGCCAAUCCUCUUCUUGAUGCUCGGGCAAUAAUAACCAUGUUGAUGGGGACGAAGACGACUUGACCUUUAGUCUUCCCGGCGAGUGCUUGGGCAGCGUGUUCGGGAAUCUGAGCUGCCUUGACAUUACGUGUUUUCUGGAAAUUACGUUUUUCUUGUCUUAACGGUGGCUUUAGAUAAUGUUCGUUCUUGAUAUUUAUAGGAGAUAAAUCAAAUUUUAAACGUUUUGAAGCACUUAGGAAUGAUUUAAAUAUUCUUAAAAGUAAAAUUUUAAAACUAAGGAUUCAUGGGUGCUUCUAUUUUUUAAUAUUUUCAUAGCAUAGUAAAAUGACUAUAUUAUUUUUAAAAAUAAAAAAAAUUUUAAAUUUUAAAUUCAAGUAUUUUCUCGGGAUAUUAUAAAAAAUAUUAUUUUAAUGUAUUUUUAAUUAAAAAAUAAUUACAAUAUUUUUACUAUCACAUCAUAUUAUAAUGGUGAUGAUGAUUUGAUUGAGAAGAAUUUAACUUGUUAGAGAACCUGUUUAAUAUUAUGGUAACAAUUGUUUUUUAAAGUGUUUCUUUUAGAAAUAUAUUAUAUUAAAAUAAUAUUUUUUAUUUUUAAAAUUUUAUUUUUAAUAUCAACACAUCACAAUAAUAUAAAACUAAAUAUAUAAUAAUUUAAAAUAUAAAAAAAAUAAAAAAACUCAAAUCCAAAUAUUUUCUUAGUACAUUACAGAUGGUUCACAUUAUUGACUUCCUAGAAAUUUUCAUUAACCACAAAAGGCUUGUUAUUAUUAUUAUUAUUUUGUAAUUUGGCAGGGAAAAAAAAGAGUGAAGAAUCUGUUUAUGGCAAGACUUUGAACAGCAAGUCUUCCAUCCAAGUGCUUGCGCGUAAAAGGGGAAAAAAAAAAGUGUUUGCGCGUAAACUUUGUUGCCUUUCACAUUAUAUUAUAAUUUAGUAGGGAAGGGCAUGAUUAUUAUGAGCUAGUUUAUUCAAUGCACUCUUCGAUGCUUUUAUCAUAAAGAGAGGAACCCAAAACUUUAAGAGCCAACGGAUUACUUUGUACAUGCCUUACAAUCUGUGCUAUCAACUGUCUUUGAUCAAUUGUGGGGAUUCAAUUCUUCAAGGCUUUUGAGCUAAAGAGUUGAAGAGCUUCUUCAUCAUUCAACCCCUCAACCUCAUAUGUGAUAUAUUAUCAUGGUCAAUUUGUCAUAUUAAAUGAGAACAAAUUAGUUUUAAAACAUUUCAAAAACGAAGUAAAAUAGUUUAAAUAUCCUUAAAAGUAAAAUUUUUAAAACUAGGAUCCAUGGGUAUUUUAGUCUUUUAAUGUUUUGAUAGUACAAUGAAAUUACUAUAUUGUUCUUAAAAGCAAAUAAAUUAAAAUUGAUAUUUAGGGUUUUUUUUUUUGUAUCUUCACCAUGGCUUUUUAGUUAUAAUCAAUGUAAAUUAGGGGCAAUGUAGUUAUAAAUAUGAUUCAAAAAAUAAAAAAUGGUUAAGGUGUGCGUUUGGGAAGCGUCUAUACUUUUUAGACAGCGCGCGCAACAUUUCUCAGUGGGCAAACACUACCUUUUGUGACAACAUUGAAAGCAUCACAACAUCCUCUUUCUAAUGGUCAGGGAUGUAUGCAUAGUAGCGUAGUGAUUGGGCUACAAUACAUUUUUUUUAUUUUCCUCCCUCUUUUCUCUCUCCUAGCCUCGAGUUUCAUGUCAUCACUUUUAAAAAUUAAAUGUGUUAUGUUCAAUUUGUAUUUGUAUUCAUUUUGUUCUCAUUAUUUUAAUCAUUACUUGUUUUGUUUUUAAUGCUUUUUUAAAGUUGAUAUUUUUUCAAUUUUAUCUUUUGACAUUUUAUUUUAUUUAGUUUUUUUAUUCAAUUUGGUUCUCGUUCUUUUAAUUGCUAUUUUUUUUUUAUCAUUUUUCUUGAUAUAUUUUUUUUAUUUCAUCCAUUGUAAUUUUAUUCACUUGGCGGAGUAGCUGAUCUUUUGUUAUUUUCUCUUUAACUUUUUUAUUAUAUAUUUUUUUAAAACACUAAACACUUCUGUCCCACGUCAUUCUUUAGUCUAUUAAUUUUUACUUCAAAUUCUUUUAUAAUUUUCCUAGAAAUUACGAAUUUCUUUUCAAAAUGUGUCAGAACACAUUUUUGAAAUAUACUGUUUUUUUUUUAAAAAAUUAAUAUUUUUAUAUUUUUAAAUUGUUUUGAUAUAUUAAAAUUAAAAAUAACUUUUUAAAACAUAAAAAUAAUAUUUUAAUACAUUUUAAUUUCCCGUAGCAGCCCCAUGGAGCUGCCAUGCACAUGGAAGGAAAGGCGAUUUUAUCUUUGCCUAUAAACAAUGUUUUUAUAAAUUUUCAUUUUUUUGAUUUUUUAUUUUAAGAUUAAAUCGUUUUAGUUUUUUUCAGUUUGUUUUAAUAUGUUUGUGUUAAAAAUAAUUCUUUAAAAAUAAAAAAUAUAUUAUUUUAAUGUAUUUUUAAAUGAAAAACACUUUAAAAAAUAAUUGUUACCAUACUCGUAAACACCUUCUAUAUCUUCAGUCCAAGUAUUUGUCUUGCGGAGGACGCUUUUGCCUUCGUAUUAUAUUAUAAUGGUUAUUAUGAUUUAAUUGAAAAGAACUUGUUAGAGAACCUGUUCAAUAUUGUACUAGUGGUUAUUUUUCAAUUUUUUUUAUUAGAAAUACAUUAAAAUAAUAUUUUUUUUAUUUUUUAAAAUUUAUUUUUGAUAUUAAAAAGUCAAAAUAAUAUAAUUAAAACAUAAAAAAAAUUAAUUUAAAGUAAAAAAAAAUUCAAAUUCAAGUAUUUUCUCAGGGCAUUACAGAAGGUGCCCAUUGUUAGCUUCCUGGAAAUUUUCCAUGCACAAAAAGCUUCAAGUCUUGUUAUUUGUGAUGCCGUAGGAAAAGACAUUUAGGUUUUUGUUUGUCUUUGCUAUGUAAACAAUGUUUUAAUAAAUUUUGAAAUUAUUUUAGAUCAAUUUUUUUAUUAUUUUUUUUGGUUUGUUUUGAUAUAUUUGUGUCAAAAAUAAUUUUUUAAAAAUAAAAAAAUACAUAUAUUAUCUUGAUGUAUUUUCAUGCAAAAAAACAUUUUAAAAAUCAACUGUUAUUAUACUCACAAACACCCUUUAUAUCUUCAAUCCAAGUGUUUGCACAUGUUUGCAUUAACGUUAUAUUACCACACUUGCUUUGAUAGAUUUGUGGUAUUGUGAUAACAGUUGUUUUUCAAAUUAAUUUUUACUUGAAAAUAAAUUAAAAUAAUAUAUUUUUUUAUGUUUUAAAUUUUAUUUUUUAUUCAGUCCAUUGUAAUGAUAUAAAAAUUAAUUUAAAAUAAAAAAAAUCAAAUCCAUGUAUUUUCUUGGACGUUACAGAGGGUGCACAUCUACGUGGUAAUUUCCUGUGUAUAAAAAGGCUUAAUGUCUUGUUAUUUGUUUUUUCUUUUUGUGAUUUGGUAGGAAGGGCAUCGAGUCUUCCUUAAGUCAUCUGCCGAUGAUAGAUUGUGUGUAAUGAGCUGGAAGGAAUCAUGUAAAAAGAAGAAAUAAUUAUAAGCCAUAUUGAUGGGGACGACGACUUGAUCUCAAGUCUUGCUUUAAAUUACGUGUUUCCUUUUUCCAAAUAUUUUCUCAUGUACAGAGGUGUUCACUUCCCGGAAAUUUCCCAUGUACAAGUCUUGUUCUUUGUUUAUUUGUGAUUUGGCAGCAAUGAUCUACACGCAACGCAAGUGUGUGUUUUUUGUUUAUUUUUUUUUUUUUUAUCUGCAUCGGUUAAAAACCAGACCAGCAAUUAGCCCAGCAAACCCGUUUGACCUACAAGGUCAACUCCUGGAUUUGAUUUAAUAAUUAUAUAGGAUACAUUCCUAUUAAGACUAAGCUACUUUGUUAGGCUUGAAACAAUUGAACUCUUAGAGCAAUUGUUUUGUCUCUUUUUACAUGCUUCAAAAUGCUAUUUUAUCAUUUAAGAUCAUUGCUUUGUCCAUGAAAAGGGUUUAGACAACUUGCUAUGUCUUCUAAUUAAAAUUUUUAAAACUAGGAUUGAUGGGUGUUUCAGUCUUUUAAUUUUUAAUAGUAUAACUACAUUGUUCUUAAAAGAAAAAUAAAAUAAAAUUGAUAUUUAGGGGUUUUUUUAUAUUUUUUUCAAGGCUUUUUAGUUAUAAUCAAUGUGAAUUAGAGGCAAUUAGUCUUUUAAAAAUAAAAAUAUAAUUAAAAAAUAAAAAUUAAUUGAUGUGUGUUUGGAUGACGUCCAUGCUUAUGCAACGCAUGUAACAUCUUCAACAGGCAAACACUCCUUUUGUGACAGAGCUGAAAGUGUCACAACAUCAUCUAAUUGCUAAUGACACAACAAUCAGCAAUAAAUAUUUUCUCAAGUACAAGGACAUGCAGGAACAACAAUCAGCAGAUGUUCUAGAUUCUCACACAUUUGAAAUGUUAAUCUGUACAACAGGGAAUGAUAAUCUCAAAGCAUUGUUUUUAACAGGUGGUUGGACAUAAGCAUAAAGAAUAAAUAUAAUGAACACAAUAAUGAAUUAAGAUAAUUUUAAACUUCAAUUCACUCAACAACCUGGAAAGGAAAUUUAGCUCCGAACCCAGUCAGUUGAGAGAAGAAACAUAAAAGCAGCAGAGAUGGUAACUUUUACAGGGUAAUUGACUUCUCUAGAUUCGAGGUCUCACCAGCUGGUCCCUUUUUCUGCCCAUAACAACCAUCGGGUGGCGAUAUUAAACCAGCUCUCAUAAGAAUGCACGCACAGUGUCUGUAGGCUGAGCACCGAACAGAACCAACACCUGCAAAGCAAGUAGAAGAAUAACCAAAAUCAACUAAACAAGAUGAAAGACAUUGCGCCAACCCAUUUAAUCAAGCAGCAAAUAGAAGCAGCCAUACAAGAGCUUCAUGCAAACUAAAGAUUGAUCCAUCAGUUUUCUCCUCCUUUAAUUCAAAAUUGGCAAAAACUGAACAGAUAACUCUCUCAUUGUGAAGUUAUCUCCUGCCUAAAAUAGAUGUUUAGCAAUUAAGAAUCAAAAGCUAAACAUGUUUAUCUUGCUAAACCUCCAGCAUUACCCACGACACCUUAAACUCCAAUCUCCAGGUUAAACUUAGAUACUAGGAUAAAUUUUUAUUACCCCAAAUACCAGAAACACAUAUACAACAAAAACAAGAAGUGAAAGCAUAUAGCUCAUAGAUAAUACAGCAUAAAUUGAACGUGAUAAGAAAAAGAGAAAAACUUACUUCACAAGGUCAACAUUAAGACCCAAUCUUCUAGCAUCGCCCUUGGCUGCCAAAAAGAAAAGCAAAAAUGUAAAAAUAAUUAAGCAACUUCCCCUAACAUCAAAGCUAAAAAUUAAGCAUGAUUAGUGCUUUAGUGACGAAAGGGAUCGUACUUUGUUUCGUUUUGAGACUUUAACUGAUGACAGAAUAAACUAUGAACAAUCAGUGCUAUCAAUGGUAAUAUUAAACUACAUUUGCAUAAGAAAAUAAAAUUACAAAUGCAUCCUAUUUUGCAAAUGCAUUUCCCCACGAAGUUUAGGCCUUUGGCAUUGCGGUCUAAAAGCGUUUUUUAAAAAAUUUGAAUUUUUUUUUUGCUUUAAAGUAAUAUGUGUUUGAUAUUUUCAAAUCAUUUUGAUGUGCUGAUCUCAAAAAUAACUUUUUAAAAAUAAAAUAAUAUUAUUGACAUGUUUUUCUGAAUGAAAAACACUUUGAAAAGCAACCUCAACCACACUCCCAAACACCUUAAUCCCAUUUUGCAAAUGCAUUUCCCCACGAAGUUUAAGUCUUUAAUAACAAAGUUAUCUACACAUACAAUGCAAUGCGAACUUGAAAACAAACCCUAUAAGCCUUCAAAGUGCAGGCCUUUGAAAUUAGAAAAAAAAAAAAUCUCCAUGUGAACUGAGCAUGUGAAAAUAAUAUGAGAAGGGUAAGAAAAAGAAGAGGGAACCUGCUAAGGGGUCGUAGAAACCAACAACUCGAAGGUGUUUGCCAUCUCUUGGAGUAUGGCUAUUAGCAACAACAAUUCUGUAAAAUGCCCUGUUUAUGCAUCCCAGCCUAGUUAAACGAAUCUUCACCGCCAUUUUCUUGGGCUGAUCUUCUUCAAGUGAGAAAUGUGAGAGUGAAUUGCAGAGGGAGGGAGGGACGGGUUUUUAUUAUGGAUAAGGAGGAUUGGGAUGCGGAUAUGGGCUUUUGUACUUCUUUCUUGUCAAAACUAUGCAGUUUUACCACAUUGGGCCUAAUUGAUCCCUCUGUUUUUUUUUUUUUUUUUAAAUUGUCCCUUUUGCAAUUGUUCGUUUUCGUGCAAAUCAAGAAAAAAUAUACUAGAUGUGACUGUACAUCUGUAGUAUUUAUUUAUUUCUUUUUUCAGACUGGCAGAAACUAAUGAACACUUCCUAUUGUUGUUUUCUUCGGUGUCCAUCGAAUUUUUUUCAAAGAAUAACAUGUUCAGGGGAUGAAGAAGAACCUCAUCCUCAUUCCUUCUGCAAUUACCACGAAGACAUCUUUCAGUGAUCACCUACGUCUCUCACUUUUGGGGAUUGAUAACAGCCUUUUCAGCAUUAGCUGCACGGUAACCAAUGACUAUCUCUCUUCUCUGUCGGGCGCGUAAUAAUACUUCAUAGAAACUCAAUUCCUCGCUUUCACUGAGGUAAAGAUCUGCUUGCCUUAUUUGUAGCUCAUUUCCCUGAUGAAGGCAAAAUGUUUGUGAAUGAUGAGUUAACUGAUUAAAGGAUCUUAAAUUCCAACAUCAUCAAUAGCAACAAUUUCACUAACACAACAAAGGAAUCACUCUGAUCAAUGCUCGAGGGUUGUUCUAAGCAGUAAAAGAGAGAACAUGCCAGCAAACCCUUUGCUGUUGUGGUCCAACAUAUUAACCAGCUUAAUUUAUCACAACCAUAAUGAUUAUUUGGAUGCUACUUUCUCAAUAUAAGAAGCAGGGCAUCUAAAUACACCAGGGAACGAAGCUAAUGAUAUACGAAGCAGUCAUUAUAAUAUAUGAUUUGAAGGAGUGGCCAACUAAAUAAACCAGGGAACGAAGCUAAUGAUCACCUGAUGUGUUUUAAGAUUUCAUCCUUUAGUUUAGCUAGCAAAGUUUCAUGGGCUCUAUAGUAUACGUGAUUGUUAAAAGUGCUUUCAAUAUCUUCCCUCCCUCAAGCAAGAGUUGGGCAAAAAACGGAUUUAAUGUGAUUGUUGGAAUUUUCUAUUGCAAUUUUGUAAGCCUACUGAGUUUGAAGGAAUGUAGGGAGAAACAAGAAAAACAUUGCCAUUGUUUUGAGGAGAAACGGUUGAAGAAAACAUUUUGUUUGGCAGUCUGGUUGUGGUUGUAUUUAUUUUUUAAAUAAUUUUUCGUGUCAAAAUGUAUGUCAAUGAUGUUUUUUUAUUUUUAAAAAAUUAUUUUUAAUAUCAGCACAUCAAAAUAAUUUGAAAACAUUAAAAACAUAUUAAUUUAAAGUUAAUAAAAAAUAAAAAAAUUUUAAAUUUUUUUAAAAUAUAAAAAUAAAGAGGCAGGGGUAAAUAUGCAGGGAGAGAAGGGAAGUAACUCAACGAAAAAAGAUGAGGCUGAUUUUGAAUCAGUAGCUUAGACUUUAUGUAUAAUUGUAAUAAUGGUUGUUUCAAAUCCAAGUAUUUUCACAUGUACUGAGAUGUUGAUUUCCUGGGAUUGUGAUAAUUAUGAUGGUUUAAAGUAUUUUUUGUUUAAAAAAAUAUUAAAAUAAAAAAAAUUUUAUUUUAAAAAAAUUAUUUUUAAUAUUAGUACAUUAAAACUAUCUAAAAACAUAAAAAAAAAUUAUUUUAAACAAAAAAAAUAAUCAACUUUUAAAAAAAUAAUUUCCACCGCAUUUCCCAUCACAUUCAACAUUCACUUUAUCGGCGAAGUAAACGUGCGAACUGAAACACCCUAAUUUUCAACUGGAAAUGAAAAAUAUUAAAUCAAUUAGGAGGGGCAAGAACAAAAAGGAAGGUUGAGGUACUCUAGGCGUUCCUUACGAUUUUUAAAAGUAGAAAAAUAUUUUAAAAUAAUUUUUUUAACUUGAUUGUUUAUUAUAUAUAUAUAGUCCAUUCAUAUAAAUUGUUUUUAAAAUUUUUUAUAUAAAAUAUUAAAAUUUAGAUAAUUUUUUUAACUUUUUUUAGAUUAACUUAACCAAUAUAAUCCAAAACAUUGCCUUAAUUUUGACCAAAUCAACCUUAGAUUUGGUUUCAAAUCCAAAUAUUUUCUCAUGUACAUAGGGUGCACAUUGUUUGAGCAGCACAUGCAAUAUUUAUCAGCGGACAAACACUGCUUUUUAUGACGGUGUUGGAAGCAUUACAACAUCCUUUUUCAAGUGGUCAGGUAUAUAUGCAUGGCUUUUUUUUUGUUUCCUCCCUCUUCUCUUUUUCCUAGCCUCAAGUUUCAUGUUGGCUCUUUCAAAAAUUAAAUGUGUCAUGUUCAAUUUGUAUUUAUAUCAACUUUGUUCUUAUUAUUUUUAAUUACUAUUUGUUUUGCUUGAAAUGCAUUUUAAAGUUGAUUUUUUCUUUAAUUUUUUCUUUUAACAUUUUAUUUCUCCUAGUCUUUCAAACAAUAAAGUUAGGUUGUCUUUAUGGUAUAAACAAUGUUUUUAUAAAUUUUUAUUUUUUUAGUUUUUUUUGUGUGUUUUGAUGUGUUGUUGUAAACAAAUAUUUCUUUAAAAAUAAAAAGAUAUUAUAUUAAUGUAUUUUUAAUAAAAAAACACUUUAAAAAAUAAUUAUUAAUUUUUUUAACGUUAUAUUAUAAUGAUUAUGAUGAUUUGAUCGAGAAGAACUUGUUAGACAACUAAUUUGGUAUUGUAGUUAUAGUUAUUUUUUAAAGUAUUUUUUAUUUAAAAAUCUAUUAAAAUAAUAUAUUUUUUUAUUUUUUUAUAUUAAUUUUUAUAUUAUAACAUCAAAAUAUUUUCUCAUGUGCAUAGGUUGCACAUUGUUGACUCCUGCGAAUUUAAUAUGUACAAAAAGCUUCAGGUUAUUUUUUUUUUGUAAUUUGGUAAGGAAAGGCAUCAAGUCUUCAAUCCAAGUGUUUGAGCGUACAGAGAACUUUGUUGAGUUUCACAUUAUAUUGUAAUAGGAAUUUUGUUUUAAAAACCUGCUAUUUUAAAUCAUGAUAUUAAUAUAACCAUGAUUUUGCAGAAUCACAAUCUAUCCAAAUAAUUUGGCAAUGCCUUUUCUUUUUAUAUAUAUACAAGCAUAUUGGUAUACACUCCGCAACAACAAAUCAAUAGCAAUUGUUUUUAAAAUAUAAAAAAUAUAAAGAAUAAAGAGAAUAUAUUAAAUGUCUUGGGUCUGAUAACAACCCAACUCUAUGUGGUCCUGAUGGCAGUAAAUCCCAACACUAUUAGAUCAUAACAAAGAUAGGGUUUGACCUUAUUGGAUCCUGCCUUACAGCAUGGGCCAAAAGUAUUGAGUCUUGAUAGGCAGCAGAAUCCAACGCUAGCAGAAAAAUAUUCAACUAACCCAAUCUCAAAUGAAAAAAUAUAUAUAUAUAAUCACCCAACUUUUGAACGAUAUACAAAAAGUCUCAUCAAUUUAUUUUAAUUUUAUCAUAUGAAAAAAAAAUUACAUAAGUAAAAAGAAAAACAAUCUAAAAAGCCAAAAAAAUAAAAUUGGAUAUAUCUAGGUUUGGCUAUGAACUAGAUCCCAUAACUAUAUAUGUUGUAUAUAAUUAAGUUUAAAGGAUUAUUUUUGAAAGAUUUUUAUAUCACAUUAGAAAGAAACUAUCUUAUUCUUAUAAGUCGAACAUAUAAGUCUCUUAUUGUGAAGUUAUUUCCUGCCUAAAAUAGAUGUUUAGCAAUUAAGAAUCAAAAGCUAAACAUGUUUAUCUUGCUAAACCUGCAGCAUGACCCCCGACACCUUAAACAAGAAGUGAUCAUCUCAUAGCAUUGUCUUUAUCAGGUGGUUGGACAUAAGCAUAAAAAAACAAAUAUAAUGAACACAAUAAUGAACAAGAGAAUUUUAAACUUAAAUUCAUUCAGCAACUUGAAAGGAAAUUUAGCUCUCAACCCAUUCAAUUGAGAGAAGAAACAUAAAAGCACCAGAGAUGGUAACUAUUACCAGGGUAAUUGAUAUAUAUCAGGAGAUCAAAAUAAUUUUAAAAAAAAACAAAAAAUAAUUUAAAAUUAAAAAAAAUUCAAAUCCAAGUAUUUUCUCACAACAUUAUAGAGGGUGCACAUUGCUGACUUUCAUAAAUUCUUAUGUACAAAAGGCUCAAGGUCUUUUUAUUUGUGAUGUGGUAGGAAAGAGCAUUUAGUAGCUGUUUGUCUUUAAGACAUAAACAAUGUUUUUAUAAAUUUUGAUAUUUUGAUUUUUUUUAGAUUAAUUUUAUUUAGUGUUUUCGGUUUGUUUUAAUGUGUUGAUACAAAAAGUAAUUUUUUAAAAUUAAAUAAAAUAAUAUAUUGAUAUAUUUUAAAUUGAAAAACAUUUUAAAAAGUAACUGUCAUGACACUCAUAAACAUCUUCCAUAUCUUGACUCCAAGUGUGUGUGUGCCGAUGACAGUUUUGCUUUCAUAAUAUAUUAUAAUGAUUAUGAUGAUUUAAUUGAGAAGAACUUGUUUGAGAACCUAUUUUGUAUUGUGUCAACAUUUAUUUUUUAAAGUUUUUUUUACAUGAAAAUAUAUCAAAAUAAUAAUUUUUUUAUUACUUUUUAAAAUUUAAUUUUGAUAUUACCACAUCAAAAUAAUAUAAAAAUAACAAAAUUAAUUAAAAAUAAUUCCUAAAAAUAUUCCAUGUACAAAAUGCUUCAUAUCCUGUUAUAUGUAUUUUUGUUUUGUUUUUUUUAUUUGGUAGGGAAGGACAUCAAGUCUUGGAUCCAAGUGUUUGCUCGUACUGAGGACUUUGUUGACUUCACAUUAUAUUAUAAUGGUUAUUAUUAUUUCAUAUGGAAGAACUUGUUGUGCAUAGCUUUCGAACCUGUAUAAAGUGUUGCGUGGAUAUCGCCGGCGAGAAGGAAAAGAUUAGCCAGCGGAGACAGAGGAGAUAAAGUUGUUGAUCUCUUGAGCUCGUCAAAUGCCAUGUCAAAUCUCUUCCAAGGUUUAUCUGGACAUUGAUGAUUCCAGGUUGUAGUUCUAGUGUUGUGAUCAAUAUAAUACGUUUUCCCUGAUGCUGCAUCAGAUCGCCUCUCCCAGCCUGGUGGCAAUGGAGCACUAUAUCCACCAUAGUUAUUGACUGACUGAUAACAGUAAGCCAAUUCACUAUCAAGUGAUUGGCCAACCUCCUGCAUUGCUCCAUUUUGAUGUGAUCGUAUGCAGAAAGCACCAGCAAAAUCAUCGCUGUAGAUGAUUUCACCCCUGCAAUCCUAUUCUUUAAAUCAUAAAAACAUGACACGCUAUGAAAAUAAAAUAAAAUAAAUUAAAAAUUUUAUCCUUUUAAUUUGAUUAAGAAAGUCAUCCUACAACUAUUUUACAUUUAUUUAAAGCAAGUUACAAGACAUGCAUAAACUCUUUUGUAAAAUUGCAGGUCUCCAUUCGGCCAGGCCAGCACUAAAGGAUGGUGAGAAUUGAGAAGAGUCGCAGCAACUCAGACAACAAAUAGAAAAUUACAAAGAAUUGAAGGGGUUAUGGCUAACUCCACAAGAAUAAAGAGCCACCGCAAGAAAAUAAUACUAUAAAAGAAUCAAAUUUAAAAAAUUGAUCCCUCACACGUAUAUUAAACUUGGCGGACUCUUGACGGAUUAAUUGGGGACUUCUUGACUCCAAAUGUAAUUUGGGUUAGAGUUUUUUUUUUUUUGUCAAAUCAACAUAUAUCAAUUCACUCACGAUAUGAUUAGCUUUAUCAAACCUAAAUGAGAUUCAAACGAGUUAAUUUUAAUAUUUUUUUUUAAUUAAUAGAAACAAUAAAACAUGUUACCAAAAUACUAUAGAGAAUACUAUGGAUAUAGACUAAAAAAACUAUUCAUUGGGACACUUUAGUUACAUUUUUCCCCUCCUAACAAAAAACCAAAAGCUUAUGAGUUAAGGGCAAUUCAAUCUCUUCGCAUUAGUCGUUAAUUAUUUAACUGGGAAACAUAUAUGUAACCAAAAGCUUAUGAGUUCAGGACAAUUUUUUUACUAGGACAUAAGUGAAUUAUUUUUUAUGCAUAAUAAAAUGAUUUUUUUAAGGGUAUUUAAGUUUUUUAAAAACAGUAAAAAAAACAUAUUUGCUCUUAAAAAUCAAGAAAAAAUCAAUCAUUAGUCUAGAGAUUUUUUUUGUUUGUUGACAUCAGUUUUUUUUGUAAAUUCCAAAACUAUAAAAGGCAAUUUGAUCAUGAUUAACUAAUUUUUAAAUAUUAAAAGUUAUGGACAUAUGUAGUUCACACGUCAUUGCAUGAGAGGUAUUUAUGCUCACGAUGUGCGUGUGCCUCAUGUGGUUAAAUCUGUCCUUUUGGUGAAGAUUAAUUGGUUUUGUUACUUUUUUCUUCUUUUGUGCUUUAUUUUACUGUUUUUCAUAUUUAUUUUUUUGUAUAUCAAAUAUUUUAAUUCUAUUUAGUUAUUUAUUUAUCAAAUAUUAAUUUAUUUAACUUCAUGUAUAUUUAAGCAUUUUAAUUUAUAAUUAGAAUUUUUUAUAUUAAAAAACUAAUAAAAAUUCUAUAUAUUUAAUUUUUUAUUAAAAAAAUUUAAUCCAUAACAAAUACUAGUUAAAUAUUUAAUUUGUUUUUUUAAAAUAAUAUUGUUUUAGUUUUAAAAAUAAAACUAAAAAUAAUUAGUUUUAAAAUUAACUUUGCAAUCGGCCAAUCAGCGAAUUGGGUUUUGAAUUCGAUCAAACAAACCUCAGGCCCAUAUGAAAUCUAUGAUUGGUACCCACAUGAAAAAAUGAGAGGCAGAGAGAAACAAAAAAGAUGAGGUAAUGGCAUCAACAAGCCACACGAUUAGAUUCUCUACCAUGAUAUAUAUACAUAUUAGCACAAGUCCAUUUCUAAAAAUUCAACAAAACCCUAAUCUCUGCUUAAUUUAUCGCUUUACACAGAAAAAAAAAUGAUAUUUCUAUCGUAACCAAAGCUUUUUAAGACUAAUAAAAUGAAAUCUAAAAACAGUUUUUUUUUUUUAAGAAGAAAUUAAAGAACACAUGUAAUGUAGUUGAAAGCUAGGGUUUUGAGAGUCACCAUUGUAGAAGCUUGAUCUGGGAGAGGGAGAGAGGGAGAAAGGGAGACGGCUGGUAGGGUUUGAGGGAGAGGUGUGAGAGAUAUAAUGGAACUUGUUAUAAACCCUAUUCCCUAUUGGCUCUUCAGAUGAACGGCUGAGAUUAUAUUUUUUAUAGCAGCAAGGGUUUUGUUGAUUUGUGACUGGAUGGCGUUUUUGUCAUUUCGCCACCAGUUUAAGCAUACAAAGCCCAAUUCGUUACUGAAGACCCAAAAUCCAUGGAGUCAAUAAAGAAACAAAAUUUCUUGGGUGAAAUAGAACAUUGGAAUCAUAGUUAUGGAGUCAAUAAAAGAUUUAAUUUUUUCUUUUAUUAAUAUAAGUAUUUGGAUUAAUUUACACCUAAACUAUUUUGUUUCUAAAUUUAUUUUUUCUUAACAUGGAAGACAUGAGGACAUCUCCCCUUUUUCCCUAACAUCUCCGUCACCUCAUAAGAUUAAUCACUGUAACCGAGAGCCUGUAGUUUCCACGUUAAGUGACUAUCAUGCUAUAAGCGUAGAUCGAGUGGAGAGAAAUGCAGACACAGGGUUAGCUAUGGCAACACAAGAGGGACAUUUCCAGGACUUCGUAUUGUAUCACUCUGCAGACAUUUUUAACUGCCAUCUAUUUUAACAGUAAGCUUCAGUUCUGUAGAAUUAAGACUGCCAUAUCCAAGAAGAAAUACACGGCUUAAAAAUCCGCCGGUCGGGACUUUGAGACCAUGUAUUGGCAGCCACAGGGUAGUUCCAUGCUUCAUGUUUGAGCUUCAUCUCCCGUGACGACUAGGAAUUUGUAGUGAACGAGGGAGGGGGGGAGGGGGAGGGGGAGGGGGGGAAAUUUAACAUGUCUAUGGAGGAUAGAGAUCCCAACCAAAUGGGGAAAAACUGAAAUCUACAGAAACGAAGAAUUGCUGUGUUCUUACAGAAUUUAUCAAGGCCUUUUGACAGCUUCACAGUUGCUCCAUUCAGAAGCCAACGCUUUUUAGAAUCCUAGUCUAUUUGGUAGGGGGAAAUUACCAGAGGAAGAUGUAAAACAACAGGGGUAGCAAAACGAAGGAAAAGUUCUUGGUCAAAAACAAUAACAGAGAAGAAGGGAAGCCAAAAAUCCAAUGGCCGCACUCUAUUUCCUCUCUCGCAGAGUAGAAAGAACAUGAAAAGAGAAGAAAAAAACGUAGAAGAGGAUUUUUCAACUUGAAAGAUAUUGUGUGAGUUUCAUAACUUGCAUAUCAUUUACUUGUGAUGCUAGGAAUAAGCAGAUAAUUACCCAUAUCAAGUCUUUUCUCUUGAAACUCAGAGGACUUGAUCCACCAUUGGAACUUGGACUCAUGAUAGGAACUGGCUUGAGAAGGAAACCAGAAGGCCGAGAAGGCACCAAACCAUGAAUUGGAUUUAAUACACAACUAAAUUGAGUACUUUAUGAGCUGAUUGAGAGAGAUCUUGGCACCAAACCAUGAAUCUGAUAUUUUCAUUCCAGAAAUGUUUCCAACACAAGUUUUGAGGUAACAUAGAAUGAUAAGACACAUGAGCACAUCCUAGUUAAAGAACAUGGAGUCAAUGGAAAGUAUAUGAACGAAAACAACAAGUGUCAGACAUGAUAAUGUUAUCAAAUUCGAAAUGCUUUGGGAUUUAAUUGCGAGGUGCUCUAAGCAAGGAUUAUGGAUAUAAAGGUGCACAACAGAAACUCCUUCCCUUCUAGAAAACAAGAUAAUGAGGAAUAGAGCUAGCCAACAAGUGACUUUAUGGUCCUAGUGAAACUGGUAUUGCUGCUUUGACAGGAGCAAAGAAUCUACAAAAGAAAACAUGGGUUGCGCGAAGGAAUCCCAGAAUAAAAAGCUGAUACAGAGAAUACAAACACAUACAUUUAGAGGUUGAACUGGAACUGAUGGAAGAUGCUGGAAAAGUCUCGUCCCAAGAAACAUUUCCAGCUGCUUCUGACGAGAGCUAUCUUUACAAGUACAUUUUUAUAUCUUCUCUGUAAAGUGAUUUGAAGAUUCUGAGCUACAGAAAACUGUUCAGAUUUUCCUGCUUCUUCAUUGAAUAUGUUUAGAAUUUGGCUAUGCAUAGCUUUUGAACCAGUAUAAAGUGCCAGCGGAGAUAGAGGAGAUAAAAUUGUUGAUCUCUUGAGCUCGUCAAAUGCCAUGUCAAAUCUCUUCCAAGGUUUAUCUGGACAUGGAUGAUUCCAGGUUAAAGUUCUAGUGUUGUGAUCAAUAUAAUACGUGUCGUUUUCCCUGUUGCUGCAUCAGAUCGUUUCUCCCAGCCUGGUGGCAAUGGAGCAGUAUAUCCACCACCAUAGUUAUUGACUGACUGAUAUAUAACAGUAAGCCAAAUCACACUAUCAAGUGAUAUGGCCAACCUCCUGCAUUGCUCCACAAAACAUUGCAGAACAUCAAAAUAACUAGAAACAUUCCAAGGAAUAUGCAAAAAUUAAAACGAUGACUCCAUUUUGAUGUGAUCUUAUGUAGAAAGCACCGGCAAAACCAUCGGUGUAGAAUUGAGAAGAGUCACAAGACUCACAACAACUCGGACAACAAAUAAAAAAUUACAAAGAAUUGAAGGGGUUAUGACUAAUUCCACAAAAAUAAAGAGCCCCACAAGAAAAUAAUACUACAAAAGAAUCACAUUAAAAAAAUUGAUCCCUCACACAUAUAUUAAACUUGGUGGACUCUUGACGGAUAAAUUGGGGACUUCUUGACUCAAAAUGUAAUUUAGGUUAGUGUUUUUUUCUUUUUUUUGUCAAAUCAACAUAUCAAUUCACUCACGAUAUGAUUAGCUUUAUCAAACCUAAAUGAGAUUCAAACGAGUUAAUUUUAAUAAUUUUUUUAAUUAGUAGAAACAAUAAAACAUGUUACCAAAAUACUAUAGAGAAUACUAUGCAUAUAGACUAAAAAAACUAUUCAUGGCGACACUUUAAUUACAUUUUUCCCCUUCUAUGAAAAAAACCAAAAGCUUAUGAGUUAAGGGCAAUUCAAUCUUUUCGCAUUGGUCAUUAAUUAUUUCACCGGGAAACAUAUAUGUAACCAGAAGCUUAUAAGUUAAGGGCAAUUUUUUUACUAGGACAUAUGGGACUUUUCUAUUUUUUAUGCGUAGCAAAAUGAUUUUUUAAAUCUUCAUAUAAAAAAAACUAAUUUUUUUUUAUUAAGGAUAUUUAAGUUUUUUAAAUAGAGUAAAAAAAAAUUAUUUGCUCUUAAAAAUCAAGAAAAAAUCAAUAAUUAGUCUAGAGAUAUCUGUGUUUGUUGACGUUGGUUUUUUUUUAUUAAUUCCAAAAAGGCUAAUUUGAUCAUUGAUGAAUAACUAGUUUUUAAAUUUAAAAAGUUAUUGAUGGAUGUAGUUCACAUGUCAUUGACACUUAUGCUCUUUGAGUGAUAUGCACGUGCCUCAUGUGGUCAAAUCUACCCUUUUGGUGGAGGUUGGUUAGUUUGUGGAUGACGAGUUAUUUUUUUUGCUUUCUUCUUUUUCAAUAGUUACAAGUUUGUUUUUUUUAUUAUUGGUAUUUCAGCUAUGAUACUUAUUCUUUUGAUAUUUAAUUCUUUUUCUUAACCAUUUUGCAAAAGUGUCAUUUAUUUUCAAUUUAGUUCUUCAAUUUCAAUUUGCCAUAUUUUUUUUUUAAUUUGAUCAUUGUUCUUUGAUUUUUAAUUUUUUUUGCUUGCCCUAUUUUUCAAUUUUAUUAUUCAAUCCAAUUUUAUGGUAUAUUAUUUUUCUAAAUCAAUCCUCAUUCUUUUGAAUUUUUUCUUUUGUUGAAUUAUUUUUCUUUUCAAUUUGACUCUCUAAUAAAAAAAAUUUGGUUUCGCAUUCUAAUUUAUUUUUUAUUUCAAUUUUCUCUCUCAUUCGUUUAAUUACAAUUUUUAUUUUUAUUUUUUUUGCAUUAAUGAUUUUUUAUCUCAUCAUUCAAUAUUUAAUUUGUUGAGUAUAUGGCUUCAUGAUUUUUUUCAUGUAUGGUACUUUUGGUAUUAGUUUAAAAUGUUAACAUAGACUAACAUUCUUUUUAUUUAGCUUGUUGUUUUUCUGACAUUAAUUUUGUUUUCAAAAAAUAAAAAAUAAGAAUUUCACGUUCACAUUAUUUUUUUUCCUUCUUUAAUUUUUUUAUUGUAGAUCAUUAAUUUUGUUUUGUUUUUUAACUUUUUUUGAUUUAUUUUUUCUUCAAUUUUUCUUCUAAUUAUUUGGUUUAAUUUUAUUUUUAUAUCAAAGUUGAUCUUCAUUCUUUAGAUUUUUCUAUCCUUUUUAUUAAUUAGGUUUUUUUUUAGUUUCAUCCUUAGCAUUUGAUUUCAAUUUUUUUAUGUCAAAUUUUGUUUUUAUUCUUUUUAUCGAUAUUUAUUUUGUUUUGGAUCCUUAUUUUUUAUUGUUUUUUUCUUUGUCAAUUUUUUCUUUAAUUAUUUUUUUAUGGAGGGUUUAGCUUCUUUUUUCCCCACCUUCUGUUAUGUUAAUUUCACUCUCAUGGUUAGGAUGAUGAGUUUUGAAAAUUGACAUGAGAUGACUUUGGUCAUUUUUAUGUCUCUCGGCGUUUGAAUUUUUGAAAUUGAUAUUCAUGGAUUUUUUUUUCUUUUUCUUAUGUGGGAUUGUCUUAUUUUUAUGCUUAUGGUUACAAGGUUAAUGUGUUAACUCGAAUCACUCGAAUUUUUUUUUUCUUUGUUUUUUUUUUUCAAAUUAAUUGGAUGCAUCUUUUUAUUACAAAUUUUGCUUUUUUAUUUUUUAGUGUUUAUCUUCUAUGCAGACGAUCUCUUCAAUCUUCGCCUCAUAGAUGACCACGAGUUUUAAAAGUUUACACGUGUAGAUUUUUACUUUUUUUGUUUUUAAUUAUUUUUUUAAUUUCAUCCCUAAUAUUUAUUUUUUUAAGAAAUGAUCUUCUUGCUUUAUUUUAUUUUUUUCGCAUUUAUUUUUUUGUGGUAUCAAAUAUCUUAAUUUUAUUUAGUUAUUUAUUGAUCAAAUAUUAAUUUAUUUAACUUAAUGUAUAUUUAAGCAUUUUAAUUUAUAAUUAGAAGUUUUUUAUAUUAAAAAACUAAUAAAAAUCCUAUCUAUUUUUUUAUUAAAAAAAUUUAAUUCAUAGCAAAACACUAGUUAAAUAUCUAAUUUUUUUUUUAAAUAAUAUUGUUUUAGUUUAAAAAAUAAAACUAAAAACAAUUAAUUUUAAAAUUGACUUUGCUCGUAUGAAAUCAGGUUUUGGAUUCGAUCAGACCCCAGGCCCGUAUGAAAUCUAUGGUCGGUCCCUUCCUGAAGAAACAAGAGGCAGAGAGAAACCAAAGAGAUGAGCUAACAGCAUCGACAAGCCACACAAUUCGAUUCUCCACCAUGCUAUAUAGAUUGCUUCCAAUACAAGAUUUCACAGGUUUACCGACGGAAAUAUUCCGUCGGUGUGUGACAGAACGUUCGUCGGUAAAGUAUUUCACAUGCCGUCGGAAUACCUUUUGUCGGUGAUUUCACAUUCCGUCGCUAUAUCGGUCGGUAAUAAAAAAAACACAUUUACCGACGGUUUUACCGACGGCCCGUGCGCGCCAAAAAAAAAAGUUUCCCGCUUGGAAUAUACCGACGGAAUAUAUUCCAUCGGUGUUAUGUAAAUACCGACGGACUACCUCCGUCGGCAAAAGUGUCGGUGAUAUUUCAUACCGACCGAAUAAAUCCGUCUGUAAAUUCGUCGGUAUUUUUAUACCGACGGAUUAUUUCCGUCGGUGAAUAUGUCGGUAUUUUUAUACCGACGGAUUUAUUCCGUCGGUAAAUCCCUGUGUAAUUUUUUUUUUUAAUUAUUUAGAAAACAUAAUAUAAAUUAAUAGUAAUACAAACCAAUUAUGCAAAUAAAAUUUAUAUUAAGCAACAAAAACUCAAAGUUAAAUAAUAUUCAUUACAAAAUGAAUGUGUUUUAAAAAAAAACAAUUAAUAUAAAGGUGGAGGAGGAGGAGGAGGAGGAGGAGGAGGAGGAGGAGGGUGGGGGUUAGGCGGCCAAAAAGGAUUCGGCGCACAUGUUCCGCCUUGUGUCAUGUUCAUGACCAUUUGACGAAGCUCUUCAUAGGCCGCUCUUUGUUGUUCAGACUCUGCUCUGCGUUGUUCGUCCGCCAAUCUAUGUUGUUCGUUCGCCAAUCUUUGCUCUUCUUUGAGUUGUGUGUACGCCUCUGAUAAGUGGUCGCACCUUUGCUGCAAGGCCACAAACUCCUUAGAUUGGGAGCUCGAUACAAAUUGGGAGCUCCCACCGGUUGAAGCAGUACCGAUCGACCGCAACUUGGCAGCGGUAGUGUUGGAGAGCCCGUAAACCCGAUUUUUAUCGGGUCCACCUGACGAUCCAACCUCCAUCCACAAAUCCGGAUCGAAUUCUGGAUGGGUCGAAGGAUCAUCCCCGUAUCUCUCCCUCAACCGAUUAUUAUAGGUCUCCUGAAAAAAAAAUAAUCAUAUUCAAUUCAAUAAACAUAAUAAUAACUUACAAAAUAAAAUGGUUGAACAAACACACCACAAACUGUUGAGCACGGUUGUCAACGAACUGUUGCGUCCCCUUUUGACGGUCAUGACUCCGCACGUGCGUCUCCACAAACAACUCCAUAGGGCUCGGCUCACGUCCAAGAGACGUAGCCUAUAUAUAAUGAAAAAAAUGUAUUAACAACAAAUUAAUUGAAUGAUAUAUUUCAUUUAAAUUAAUCUUACCAUCCGUUUCGCAUGUGCAGCAAACGGAACGGAGCCGCCGGUGUGCGUUGUAACCGAGCCAUGAAUUUGCCGAUUCCGGUUGCCGGCACCGGACUGUGAGCGUCGAGUGAACCGCUCAGACGUCAUGUGCUGAAGAUAGUGCGGCCAUAUAUCUUCCGGGAUGUAUAUUGGUUUGAAAUCCCUCCAAACCGCAACAUCGUUCCAGCCUUAUAACCCCUUAUCCCUCGCUGUUUUUUUUGCUUUUUUCUAGGCGUCAUACCAAAAAUCACGCAACCUAAUUCACGCACGAAAAAAUUACAUUUCAAAACAUAAAUAAUUAUGUAAAAAAAAGUCGUAUUGUUUUCGAUGUUACCUAAUUGCCGCGUGAUUUUCCCACACCCUCCUCACAACACUGUCAUGUUCAUCGUCCCAGCAGAAUCGAUGCUGUAUAUAAAAAAAUAAUUUUUUAAAAUGUUAAUAAUUUAUUUACAAUUAUAACAUGAAUUUAUAAUUAGAAAUAAGCUGAAAAUUAUAUAUUAACACGAACCUCAAAUCUACGAAACCAUGCAUUGAUUUGAGGCAUCCAUUCAGGAUGUCUGGAUAUCUGACUCCAUUGAAACAAUGGAAUCUCCAUCGACGCUUUAAACGCCGAUGAUAUUAAUCGGGCGGCCUCAAUGUUUGUGAACCUGAAAAGAAAUGAAAUUAAUUUGUGAUUACUUCAUAAAUUAUGUUUUAAAUUUGUUUUUUUUAUAUAAAAAAAAACUAAAACAUUAACAAACUUACAUUGAAAGAUCGUCCUUCCACUGUGCCUCGAACUGGCGGGUAAAUUGAUUCCGCUUCGAAGGCAUGCCGCGUCUGCGAUGUGAAACAUCGCUGGAAGAGGCAGCAUCGGUUGACGGCGCAGGUGGUGUAGGUGCCUCUUCUUGAGAGGCACCUAAGGAAACAUCAUCAUCGCUGCUAGACGAACUUGAUUCGACUGGACGACCAGCUCUGGUUUUUAUUUUGCGCAUCUAAACAAUUUUAUAUUAAUAAUUGUAAAAUAAAAUUCAAAAGUUAAAAAAAAAUCGGCAGCACCUCCCCUAUACUGGAUACUACCCAAAUCCACAAACCUGCAAAUAUUAACAAUAGCCACAACCAAUCGAACCAAUCUAUACUAAUUAUUCCAACAUAUUCAACUAUUAAUCCUAAGAUAAAUUCAACGUUAACAAUUACAAUUCACAAAUUAAUCAAUAAUUAUAUUCAAAACAAUAAAAAAUAUAACAAAAAAUAAAGUCAAUAAAUUCAACAAAUUAUACUUCAACAAAUUAACAAUUACAAUUCAACAUUAACAAUUAUAAUUCAACAUUAACAAUUAUAAUUCAACAAAUUCAAAAACUUCAAAAAAAUUCAAAUAUUCAACUUUAACUAAUUCUAAGUUAAAUUAACUAACAACAAUUCUAACAACACAACAACAAAAAAUAUUCAAUAAAUUCAACAAUUAAAUUCAAUUAUUCAACAAUUAAAUUAACAAAUAUUCAACAAAUUCAAAAAAUUCAAAAAAUUCAAAAAAUAUUCAAAUAUUCAACUUUAACUAAUUCUAAGUUAAAUUAACUAAUAACAAUUCUAACAACACAACAACAAAAAAUAUUCAAUAAAUUCAACAAUUAAAUUCAAUUAUUCAACAAUUAAAUUAACAAAUAUUCAACAAAUUCAAAAAAUAUUCAAAAAAUUCAACUUUAACUAAUUCUAAGUUAAAUUAACUAAUAACAAUUCUAACAACACAACAACAAAAAAUAUUCAAUAAAUUCAACAAUUAAAUUCAAUUAUUCAACAAUUAAAUUAACAAAUAUUCAACAAAUUCAAAAAAUUCAAAAAAUAUUCAAAAAAUUCAACUUUAACUAAUUCUAAGUUAAAUUAACUAAUAACAAUUCUAACAACACAACAACAAAAAAUAUUCAAUAAAUUCAACAAUUAAAUUCAAUUAUUCAACAAUUAAAUUAACAAAUAUUCAACAAAUUCAAAAAAUUCAAAAAAAAAAGGAACGAAAUAUACAUACCUUAAUAAUGUGUCAAAUUCAAAACUUUAUCUACAUUGCAACAAAAAACACCAACACAACAAAAAUAAAAACAACUAAAAAUAAAAUAAAAUAAAAUAAAUUAGAAAAAAAACACAUACCUUUUAAUAUAAUGAAGAUUUACAACACCAAAUCUUGCUAGAGAUUAAAGGUGAAAGUGUUUAAGGAUUGAAGGGAAAAAAAUGAAAAAUCUAAGGUGAAAAACGGAGGAGAAGCGAAGCGGCGGGGAGAAGAAGAAAAAAUGAGGCGAAGCGGCGGGGCUGAAACUUAUAGGUCAAUUUUACCGACGGCAUCACCGACGGAAUUAACAUCCGUCGGUAACAGGUCAAAAUUCCGUCGGUAUUUUUCGAAUUUCGCCCCGAACUUUUAAAAGCCCUCCAAAUUUUUCGCAGUCCGUCGGUGAUCUGAAAAGUUCAGAGGCGCAUUAAUUAACGCACUUUGGAAAACGCGCGGUCCGUCGGUAAUUCUGUCGGUAAUAUGUGUAACCGACAAAUUACCGACGGACCGAAGCCGUCGAUAAUCUCGUCGAUGGUGGUGUUAUGUUUUCGAGCUUACUGUGAGAUGCCGACGGAUGUUAUUCCGUCGGUAUGGGCGUCGGUGAUUGUGGCAUUUUAUUGUAAAUAUUUUCGAACUCUCUGUGAGAUACCGACGGAUCACCAUCCGUCGGUAUGGACGUCAGUGAUUAUGGCAUUUUGUUGUAAAUAUUUUCGAACUCUCUGUGAGAUACCGACGGAUCACCAUCCGUCGGUAUGGACGUCGGUGAUUAUGGCAUUUUGUUGUAAAUAUUUUCGAACUCUCUGUGAGAUACCGAUGGAUCACCAUCCGUCGGUAUGGACAUCGGUGAUUUUGGCAUUAUGCAUGAAAGGUUGUCUUUGUAUUGCCUGUUUACCUUCCUGCAAUAACUUAACUGAUAAACUGUCUAUCACAUAAAACAAUAACCACAUUGCUUAAACAAUAAAUAUUUUGUUUUACAAAAUACAUCAUCAAUAAUCUAAAUUACAUGAGACAAAUGUUUUUACAUAGGGCUUCAUUUUCAUAAUUAGUCGGAAUUUUCUUCUUCUUCCUCAUCAAUUGAAUUGUCAUCAUCUUCAUCGCAAUCUUCAAUAUGGAUAUCAUCUUCUUCAUCGACAUUUGGUUGUCCGCUAGAGCUGAGAACAACAUUCAACUCCUCUCCGUCAAUAUCAACAAGACUAUCAUCGAGAACUCGAAAAUUUGAAUUUUCUUCCAAUUCAAUCGAAGGAGCAACUCGAUAUGGUUCAACCAACUCACGAACUUGAAAGACUUCAUCUCGCACACUUGUGUCUUCGUUCUCAUCCUGAACAACCUCGACACGACCCCGUGGUUUCGUUUUUAAAACGGACAACCAAUCAACUCUUGAACGAUCCUUUCUAAAUGAAGGGGUGUAUGUGUAAUAAACUUGUUGACAUUGCUUUGCGAAAACAAAGACAUCGUUUAUGUUGCGGAGUCUAGCUUUUGAGUUGAUUUCGACCAGACCAUGGUGCGGAUCAACUCUGAUUCCUCUGUCCGUCGUGUCAUACCAAUAGCAUUUGAAUAAAAACACUUUAUUCUGCUCGCUAUGAUAUUGCAGUUCGACGACCUCUUCUAAUCUACCAUAGUAGUCAACUUCUAACUGGCUACUUGUGGAUCCCUUAACACAAACACCGCAGUUGUAUGUCUUUCUUCCUUGCCCGUAUUCUUCAGUAUGGAAAACAUAUCCAUUGACAAAAUACCCGUUGUAGCACUUAACUUUUCUUUCAGGGCCGAGGCUUAGUGAAGACAAUGACUUGGGCGCACUCCUUCCCAUUUGAUAAACCUUGUAAAUAUAUGUAAUUAAAUGUACAUCAAUACACGGUAAAUGAACGAGAAUCUCGUAAUGACAUGCAUACGUUAGAAUGAGUUUGUGAUAGUGCUUACAUGUGUUCUGAACCAUGUGGCAAAUUGUUCAUCUUGUAAUUGAAAGAUCUGGGAUUCGGUCAGCUGCGAGUUAUUGGAGAGCAAAUAUUGUCGAUGUUGCCUGCAAGUGAUAAUGAGUGUAUGAUAUUACAAUAUAUAAUUAACAGUAUAUUACUGACAAAGUUUAAUUACUAUUACACAUAUAUAGACUUACUGAAUAAAUGGUCUCAGCUCAUCACAGUUAAAUAGAACAUAGUUGUGUGCUUGUUUGAAUUCUAUUUCCGACAAAUAUCUUCCUCUUACGGCAUUUUUAGGUGUGGGUCGUCCAGUAUUGGAGAAUAUUGACAAGUUCCCACUGGAAGGCACUUCACCGCCAUCGUCAUGCCGUGGAACGCGAUUGAUUCUUGUUCUCAGAUGAGGUUCGAAAUAGUACGAGAUAAAUGUUGAUAUCUCUUCAACAAUAUAGGCCUCAGAUAUCGAAGCCUCAACAUGCGCCUUGUUCUUAACCUUUUUUUUUAGAUUAAACAAGUACCUGCAUUGAAGUACAAUUCAAGUAUUUUCAAAUAAGAAAAACAUAGAAAAUACUUUAAGAUAUGAAUUCCAUUGCAACUGUAAUAUCUCACCGUUCGAAUGGGUACAUCCAUCUAUACUGGACCGGUCCUCCAGCUUUUGCCUCGAACGGUAGAUGUAUAGGGAGAUGCUCCAUUGAGUCAAAAAAUGAAGGAGGGAAUAUCAUCUCAAGUUUGCAUAGUGUCUCGAUGAUAUUCGUUUGAAGCAUCUCAAUGUGCUCAACAUUCAUCUUGCUGGAGCAUAUAUCUCUGAAGAAAUGACUGAUCUCCGUUAGUGCAUCCCAUAUUCCCUUUGGCAACAAAUCACGAAAAGCUAAUGGGAUGAGUGUUUGCAUAAACACGUGGCAGUCAUGGCUCUUCAUUCCAUACAAUCUGCAGUCCUCUAUGUUAACAAGCCUUGAUAUGUUCGAUGCAUGUCCAUCCGGGAAACGCAGACUCUUAAGCCAUUUGUAGACUAGCAGUUGUGCGUUUUUCUCUAACACGAAGCUUGCCCUUGGUUUUGCAACCCGUGACUCGUCAUAAACCAACUCCAUAUUUUUACGGUUACAGUAUAAAGCUAUAUCCAAUCUAGCCUUCAUGUUGUCCUUUGUCUUCCCCUUCACAUCCAUGACGGUGUUGAAAAUAUUCUCAAACACGUUCUUUUCGAUGUGCAUGACGUCAAGGUUAUGGCGGAGAAGAUUAGUCUUCCAAUACGGAAGCUCCCAAAAGAUACUUCGCUUUACCCAAUUAUGGGUCAAACCAAAACCAGGAAACUUUUGCUUACCUGAUUGAAGGCCAAACACAAUGUCACCGUACUCUGAUACAACAUGAUGCAAUUCUUCACCAGAAAGACGCGGGGAUGCAACAUCUUUUUCAACUCUACCAACAAAGAAAUCUUUUCUGUUCUUUCUGAACCUGUGAUUAAGUGGCAAGAAGCGACGGUGACAGUAAAAAAAGAAGCUUUACCUCCGUUUGCUAGCGUGAAUGCCUUGUUGUUUUCCAUGCAGUAUGGACAUGCGAGUUUCCCAUGCGUGCUCCAACCAGAAAGCAUUCCAUAAGCUGGAAAAUCACUGAUAGUCCACAUCAAAGCCGCCCUCAUAAGGAAAUUUUGUUUCCUAGAUAUAUCAUAAGUCAGAGAUCCGGAGGACCACAACUGCGCCAGCUCAUCUAUCAACGGUCGAAGACAAACAUCUAUAUUCCGCCCCGGGCUGCUUGGACCGGGUAUGACAGUAGAUAGAAACAUGAACUCCGGCCUCAUACACAUUCCCGGUGGCAAGUUAUAAACUGUGAGAAUGACCGGCCAACAAGAAUAGGGAGCAGCAAAUGACCCAAAUGGGUUGAACCCGUCUGUACACAACCCAAGUCGAACAUUCCUUGAUUCAGCAGAAAAGUCAGGAUGAACACUGUUAAAGCGUUUCCACGCUUCGCCGUCAGAAGGAUGCACCAUCACACCAUCAACGACAUCGUGUGUUUGGUGCCAUGUCAUGUGCUCAGCAGUCCUUGGUGACAUAAAUAACCUCUGCAGUCUAGGUGUGAUCGGGAAAUAUCUAAGUUUUUUAUAUGCCACUAGAGUCUUCCCCCUGCCAGUUCUGGGUUUGUAACGGGAAUGCCCGCAUGUCAUGCACUCGGUCAUCACAGCAUUUUCAAGGUAGUAUAACAUGCAGAAGUUAGGGCACAUGUCAAUUUUCUGGUAUCCUAAACCGAGGGGUUUCAUCAUGGACUUCGCAGCAUAGAAGUUCUCUUUGAGCCUGUUCCCUUCUGGUAAAAUGCUUCUUGCCCAAUCAAUAAUUUUGUCAUACCCGGCCUCACUCAACCCGUGAUCUGACUUGAUGGUGAACACCUGUGCCACAGCCGAUAAUUUACUGUGGUUUGUGCAGCCAUCCCAUAAUGGUUCGUCAGAAUCUUUCAACAAAUCAAAAAACCUAGCUGCCUCUGCAUUAGGUUCUUCUUCUACGAUUGGACAUUGAUUGACAUUAUCUUGAUUCAUUCUCAUUGCAUCCAUAACCAUGUUUCUGUAAGGAUUAGUGUUGUCAUUUGCCGCUUCAUGCACGUUGCUAGCACUAGAAGUUGACCCAACCACCGUUUCUCCCAUUCUCCUAUUACUAACAAAUACCUCUCCAUGUGCAUACCAACACUCGUAAUCCUCCACAAACCCUUUGUGUAGAAGAUGCAUCAUUACAACAUCUGGAUGCAGAUACUUUUUAUUUUGACACUUCCUGCAUGGACACCUAAUACCGCCUCCAGUAAAAUUUCUGGGAAUAGAUGUUGCGAAAUUAAUAAAACCCUGAACCCCGUUACAAUAAUCCAUCCUCCGCAAUCCUUGGGGUGAAUCUAGAUACAUCCAUGAACGAUCAUCCAUGACUUCUAUCGAACCUCUAUAAAAAGGACCCAUUAAUUAAGCAAGCUCUUAAUUAUUUCAAAACAACAUGUAAUUCGGUAAUUCUACAAAUUAAGUUUUAACAAUUUUCAAACAAAUACAAUCUUACAAAAUCUAAAACAAACCAUAACAAGUAUAAAAUUAUACAUUCAUAUACUACAAGUUUGUUUGAGAAAUAACAAUAAAACAUGUACAUCUACUAAAAAAAAUAAUACAUAUACUAAAAAAACAAUAAAAUUAACAUUUAAAUGUUAAAAUUUUAAAAGAUAGAAUUACUUACAAAAAAUGAUAAAAUCCGUCGGUAAAUCAGAACACGGAUGCUGUGACCACAAAACAAAUACAACUUGUUGUGCUGAGAUGAGAAGAUUUUUGUUUUGGGGCGAGGGGGGGCUGGUUAUUUUGCAGAUGGGGAGGGUUAGGAUUAGGAAGAAGAAGGAGAAAUGGGGGAGGAGAGUGUCGGCAGAGGGGCCAUAUAUUCACUUUUGCCGACGGACUUACCGACGGUCUUUAUUCCGUCGGUAAUUCUGACGGGCAAUCGACACGUCACCGCACGGACCUGCUAUUCAAAUCCCUCGGUGAUUCCGUCGGUAUUUUUAACGGUGCACCCGUCACGUCACCGGUACGGAUCUGGCAUUUCAAAUCCGUCGGUGAUUCCGUCGGUAUUUUUUGACGGUGAAUAGGUCCCAUCACGCGUACGGGCCCCAGUUUUUAAUUCCGUCGGUGAUUCCGUCGGAAAAAUCACCCGCCAAAACCUCCGCGCCACUGCCCGCCCUUUUUUCAUUAAUUCUGAAUUUUCGGUCGGUAAUUACCGACCGAAUUACCGACGAAUAUUGUCCGUCGGUGAUUUGGGCCGAAAAAUACCGACAGAAAAAAUUCCGUCGGUAUGUCCGUUGGUAUUUAGCGAAUUUCUGGUAGUGUUCCUUGGACAAGUCGCAACACAAAUUCCAAAACCCAUUUUCAUUUUCCUAGAUUUUGAGUAAGUUUUAGUUCAUUUUCGAAGUGGGUGGUUUGAUUUAGCUUAGCUUAUCGUGUUGUAAAUUGUCAUCUUUUUUGUUGAAUGCUGUACUUGGACAUCACUUUUUGUAGUAUCAUGGUGUUAGUGAUUGUGUUGUGAGGCCCAGUUGGGGAAUUGGUUUAUUUGUUCUGAAUCCACUCUUGUUUGGUUUGUUUUAGCUUAGUGUGUUUUACUUGUGAGUUGUACACUUGAAUAUGUUGUUUUGUGGAACAGGUUCUUUGUUUUUCAUGAUUUUGUUUAAAAAUGGAGCUUAAGCUUGAGUUUUUAAAAGCCAACUUAAGGAGGGUUCAUCUUGGUAUAAUGAAUUGAAGCGGUCAUGGUUCAAUUUUGCUCAUUUUGAUCCAUUUCUCACUUGUCUUUCAUAGUUUGGAUCCACAUUGACGCCAUUUGUUUUCACUAUUCGAGAAAGAGUUUACUUUUUUUUUUUGAAUUUCGAGGAAUCCUCUUAUAAGUUGAUUGCUUGUCAGAAAUGGAAAUAACCCUUAUUCAACUUAGCUUGGUUUAAUUGCUGCUCUUUUUUUCAUGGGCCAAUUUGGAGAUUGAACUGUAUUUUAAUUGUAAAGUUUUACUUUCAUGCAGAACAUGGAAGCUUGGUGAUUUUGAUAAAGUUUAUAUUGAGUUAACAAAAGAUGUUGCCUGUUUGCUCUGCCACUCAGUGUUGUUCCUCUCAUUUUCAGGUGAGUUUCACUUCCUAGACUGUAAUUUAAUUCGUGUUGUUGCCAAGUUUCUAUCAUCCUUGUACCUUGGAUUUCAUCUAUGCCCUUAGUUUAGGGGAUGCAUGACCUCUAAUUAGGUGAAGAACAAGCCGGGACUGUAAUUGAACUUUUGUUAAAGAGAAAAAUUCUGGUGUCAAAAAUAAAAGAAAAAAAAAAUGUUGCAACUAGAAAUGUCCGCCUCUUUAUAAAAUAUGUUUGAUGUAUUUGAGUUGAAAAAUCUUGGGUGCCUAAGUGAAGGUUUUGAAUGAAGGUAUCAAUUAAGCUUCAACUGUUUAAGCGUAAAGGUCAGUAUGACAUCAUGUAGAGCUUAUGUGCCUAAGUGAAGGUUUUGAAUUGAUUCUCAUGCUCUAGCAUGGUAUCAUAGUCCAGUGCAGUUUUCUCCUUUUUCUUAGGCCUACACAUCAGAGGGAUGCUGGUUAAACCCCUUAACAAUCUAGCAGAAAGUUUUGCAUUGGCCUAAUAAUUGGCUUGUACACUCCCUUUAGUAGUUUAAGCUUGUCGGUGUGAUUCUCUGGCACCAACUUCCUUCUCAUCUGCAGUGGAUUAUGAUGGCAUUUUCUCUUCACUUAGAGCGUGUUUGAGAUUGUGGUCAAAAUAACGUUUACUAAAAAUUUAAUAUUUUUUGUUUAAAAUUAAUUUUUUUAGUGUUUUUGAAUUGUUUUGAUGUGCUGAUGUCAAAAUAAAUUUUAAAAAUGAAAAAAACCUUGUUUUAAUACGUUUCCGAACGAAAAACACUUUGAAAAGCAAUAGUUACCACAAUGUCAAACAUGCUCUUAAUCUAAUUACUUGAAUCAUAAUAGAAAAUUAAGAUAUGAGGUCUGUGAGACUCCAAUAUACAAAGUCCUUGUCCACCUUUAAAGAACAAAAUUUGACAAUUUUCAGUGAAGCCUUGCAGGCAGUAACUGAUGUGCGGAAUCCGGCGACCGGUGAUGUAUUGAUCUUUGCUUAUAGGAGGGGUAAGCACACUGAGACACAAUAUUUAACGUGGUUCAGCAAAUUGCCUACAUCCACGGGAGAGGUUCAUUUUAUUUAGAGAUAGAGAAAGAAUACAAUAAUACAUGAAGGAGGAUCUCAUCACUCAACUCCCAUCUCUCUUUGCUACAUAGGGCAGCAGCUGCUGGUGGCAGCAGGGCUGCUGAUGGCAGCCCUUCUCUUUCUUUCUCUCUUCUUCUCUCUUUUGUAGCUCUUCUACAAGACUCUCUCUCUCAUUUUGUGAUGCACUCUUGGUGUCUAUUUAUAGGCUUCAAUGACAGCUCCUCUUGCUACUUUGUCAUCAAUGGUGGCUGCCAAACUCAUCUCUUCUUCAACAAAGAUGGCUACCAAAGUCAAGGUUGGUGGUUGCCACCAACAAGCCUCCUUCUUUGACAAUGUCAACAUAAUUGGCAAUAUUCCAACAAUCACCCCCUUUGCCAUUUAUGUGGGCAAUUGUCAUUUUGCUUCUUCAGCACACGCUUUCUGGAGCGUUCUUGACCUGGGCUCCUUUCAUGGCCCUCACACCUUCUCUAAGGUGUCUCCGCUUGUCGUUGUGCGACGGUCUAAACUAGGGCUCCUAUCGUAGCUCAUAGUUUGGCACAUAUAAUUGGGUAAACAUGUGCACCUUCUUCUUCUUCAUCUCCAUCGACCACCAUGAUGACCUUUAAAUGCCUCCUGAUCGGGCAAUCUCUCUUUAAUAAUUCACCAUUGUCAUUGUUGGUCUCGAAUCUCAACGAUCGGACCAUACCAUUGCAUCCGGAAUGAUCAAAUUAGCUGGAAACAUGUCUUGAAUCGUCCAAAUCGCACUUCAGACGGCUAAGAUUUGAUCAAAACAAUUCUGGCCUAAUCAACGGCUCAUAUUCACUAUCAGAUCCGGUUGCACGUAGGAUCAGCUACACUGGAUCCUAUCCCUCAGCUCGCGGCUCGGCUCCAACUCAGCUCGGCUCCACUCGGCUCGGCUCGCGGCUGAUGACAUGGCAGGUAGGUCCCACUAUGCUGACAUGUCAGUUGACUAAUCAAUGGCUUGCUGACUGUUUAUGCUGAUGUCAUCCUUGCAUCAUGCUGAUGUCGUCCUUUGCAUGGCACUGUUCAUGAUAGCGUCACUGUUCAUGUCUGCUGUUCAUACUGUAUUCGGGUCGGUCAACUCAUCCGGGUGAAGAAGACGCGUGGGGCGCGUCUGAGCGCGUGGGCAGACGCCUUGCCGGAGAGUGAUGGAGAGUGCGGCCAUGUCCGACGUACGAAUUUGACGCCGUUUUCACCAGUGGCUUCGUAUCGUCCUCCUCUACACAGUGGGAUGGUCAAAACACCAUUUUGACAACUUUCAUUUUUGAGCAAAGAUCAAACACCACUUUAAACCAAAAAAGCUCUGAUACCAUUUGAUGUGCGGAAUCCGGCGACCGGUGAUGUAUUGAUCUUUGCUUAUAGGAGGGGUAAGCACACUGAGACACAAUAUUUAACGUGGUUCAGCAAAUUGCCUACAUCCACGGGAGAGGUUCAUUUUAUUUAGAGAUAGAGAAAGAAUACAAUAAUACAUGAAGGAGGAUCUCAUCACUCAACUCCCAUCUCUCUUUGCUACAUAGGGCAGCAGCUGCUGGUGGCAGCAGGGCUGCUGAUGGCAGCCCUUCUCUUUCUUUCUCUCUUCUUCUCUCUUUUGUAGCUCUUCUACAAGACUCUCUCUCUCAUUUUGUGAUGCACUCUUGGUGUCUAUUUAUAGGCUUCAAUGACAGCUCCUCUUGCUACUUUGUCAUCAAUGGUGGCUGCCAAACUCAUCUCUUCUUCAACAAAGAUGGCUACCAAAGUCAAGGUUGGUGGUUGCCACCAACAAGCCUCCUUCUUUGACAAUGUCAACAUAAUUGGCAAUAUUCCAACAGUAACUUCCAUGCACCCUAUAGGACGGGGUAAACUGAAAUUCUUAUAUCUUAUGUUAAAGAAGGACUUGUGAACUCUGCAGACCAGUUUGCUGAAAAUAUAGAUGGUUUAAUACAACUUGUGGAACCUGAAAUAACAUCAACUAUUGAUAUUACACCAGAGAAUCCUUAUUUGGGAUCUGAUACCCUGAAAAUGGAUAAUGAUUCAUUAUCUAGCGCAAAGGCUGAUUUUGAUGAUUUUUUGAGCAGGGUUAGGGACUCCAUCAACACUUCAGUAAAUAAGGGAGGAGAUGUUGUGCAAAGCUCACUAGACACAAUUACUUCUUCAAUAAAAUCGAUUAAGGAAGGCGCCUCAGAAGCAGUAGAUGGUGCCUUGAGUAAAGUAUUCUCAACUUUUGAUCAAACAGGAGAAUUGGUUGGCAAUAGAUUGACUAGCUUUUCAUUUGGUUUAAGAGAAGCCAUAAAAAAAGCUACUGGCAUUUCUGUUGAUGUGCUCAGAGGUGCAAUCGUUGCAGUGGAGGAAUCUAUAGCAAAAGGGGCUUCUUUUGUUGUUUAUUCUUAUGGGUCUUCCAAGGAUUUGCUUCCUCCAGAGAUCACGGGUGCACUGAAUCUGCCUGAAGAAAGGGUAACAGAGAUAUUGAGGCCAAUUGGUGCAACUUUUCAACAGGUACAUUAUACUUGGCAUGUUUUACUUUGAUGGCCGUUGUACUCUUAUGUAAAUUGUAUGGACUUGAAAAAAAAAAAUAUCCUGCAAAGAUAUAUUUGGAUUAUUUUAGAAAUCUUUUUGUUAGAGAUAUCAGUCACUACUUUCAGCUUAUAGGACUUCUAGUUGAAAACUCAAUUGCGUCCAUCUUUGUUACACUGCUUAAUUAUUUGCUGAUCUAACUAAUUUAUGUUCCAAAACCAAAGCUGAAUUUCCUACACCUGCUUUUACACCUUAAGCAGGUUUACAUUGCUAUUGAGGGGCUGCAGAAAAGUCUUGGCUUGGAUCCAAAUGAUCCAGUUGUUCUUUUCCUUGGAACUUCAGCCACUUUGUGGUAUGGAUGUCCUUUUAUGCAUGGAGGAUUUGUUAAUUUAAUCUGCAUUACAUGGGAAGCUUAAGUUUUCUAUCAUAUUUGUGUAGGGGUUUUUAUAGGGUGUGAGCAUAUGGUGGUUACUCUUGAGAUUUGUCUCCGCAAUUAACUUUGGAGCUCUUGGCAGAAAAGAAAGACGCCAUACUUAUUGAUGUUCGGCCUGAGGCGAGAGAGUAAAUUUUUUUGGCCUUUUAUGUUCUUAAGUUUCUUUUGUUAAAUUCUAGUACCUCAAUGAGAGACACUAAAGCUGACUGCUCAGACAUUUACUGAAGGGUCUGUACUGUUUUUCAACUCUGUUCAUUAAUACUUUAUAUCUUUUAGCUACCCCAUUUCAUAUUUUCAAUAUUUAAUUUCUUUUCACUAGGAAAUAUUACUUACCAUCAACCUAUCAACCCCAUUUCUUUUACAUCAUAGUCAAAGAAUCUCAAAUAUGGCACCCUUAUUAAUUUCCUUUUUCCCCCUUAACAUGGCAUUGAACUUGGUGGGCAUUGUUUAUAUGAAGGUUCUCAGAGAAAGAGAUGGCAUUCCUGAUCUUAGACGAGCCGCUCGGUUUUGCUAUGCAAGUGUAACUCUACCAAAGGUUGGUUUUAUUUGAUAAUACUAUUCAAAAACUAUGAGUGGAGAGGUAUCGCAAUUUGGUAUGAGGAUGAUAUUUUAGAACAAUUACUUUCUAAAUGUCAAAUAACUCUUUGAACCAACAUUAAAAAAAUAAAAUGAGAAUUGGAGUUUGGCUGUAUCCUUUUUUCAUAACUGUGUCUUAUAUUCUUCAACUUUAUUCAGCUUGAUGGCCCAGCAAGGAAGCUUUUAAAGGGUGGAAGAGAUCUUGAUGACAUCUUACCUGCUGCAGUCAUUCGAAACUUAAAAGUUGUACAGGUAUAGCUUUAUGUUCUAAGAGCUUCAAUAUAACUAUUGUUUAUGCAUGCCGUCAUUGUUUCAAGACAUUCAGAAAAAUGAGAAUUCUGAGUGUCGCACGUGUGCGGCGGCGCGACGAUCUUUCACCCUCAAGGAAAAAAAAAUCGGAAUAUUUAUUCCUGAAAAAUAGUCAGAGACAAGGAAUUCUUGUCUCUACAAGUAAAAAAAUGGACUGGGAGUCACCACCUAGUAUUCUGGUUACUAGGAACCUUAACUGGUCUUUAGAGAUCGGGUACGGAGACUGGUUGCGUAAAGGGAAGGUAUUAGCACCCCAACUAUGCCCUACCUAAGGUAGGCUGCAUUGUUUUAAUGUCUGAUAACAUCUAAGGUCGUGUUUGUGGUUUUUAAUUUUAUUGUUCGGAAUACGCAUUACAUGUAAUGUCAUAUCCCAAGUUCUAUUAAAAUAUAUAUAUAUAUAUAUAUAUAAUUAAAUUAAAUAUCCGGAAUAUGUAUUACGUAUAAUGUCAUACCCCGAAUAUUAAAAGAUAAACAAAAUAAAAUUUUUUUGUUUUUUUGAAAUUUUGGCCAAUAUUCUCUUGACUUUAAUAAACUGGUUAUUAAAGCCAAAAUGCAUGCUAAAACAUUGUUUUUUUUUUGUAUGAAAAAUACAAAAUGAUUUUUUUUUUAGACAUAUGGCCGUAUGCACAAAAACAUUUUUUUUUUUAAUUUGGUUUUUUGUAUUCUUGAAAGUCGAAAACCGGUAAUUUCAGUAUCGGAUUUGUAUUUUACAACAUAAAAAUAUUGUCCGAUAUUACAUAAAAAUGACAUAAAAACUACGCGGAAAAAUGAUAAAUGAAACAAGUAUUUUUGAUUUUUUUUUUAUGGGCCGGAUGAACAGUACCACGGGACGAAAACGGGGUAUUUUAAUACCGGAUUUAUAUUUUUACGAUGUAAAAUACAGACGAUAUUAAGCAAAAUGAUAGAAGAAAAUGUGCUUUUAAAAAAAAAAAUAAAAAAUUAUAACAAAAUAAUAAUAAUAAUAAAAAAUAAAAAAUAUGGGCCGGAACAGGCCUAAAUGCAUGGGCUGGGCCGACCAAGCCUAUUUACAUGGGCUGGGCCGACGGCCCAGCCCAAGCCCAAACGGGCUGGUUACUGUGCAUCAGCACAGUAACCAGCCCUUCGUUAUUUGCAGAACGUGAAUUAAUUCACGUUCUGCAUGAAGGCGCAGCAGAAAAAAGGGGCAGAGGCGGGCAACGAUGGCGUACCUGCGGUGGCGUCGAGGCGGUGCUGCUGGCGGCGGAGGCACGGUGGCCGGCGGUUUUCCUUUCUCUCUCUCCUCUGUUUUUGUUCUCUUCUCUGCCGAUCUCUUUCUUCUUCUUUUUUUUUUUCUUUCUGUUUCUCUCGUCUCUCUCUACCCUCUUUCUGUCGUGCAAUCCUUCUCCUUCUCCCCUCUUUUUUUUUUUUUUGGUCUCUUCCCCUGUUUUUAUAGGCAAAAAAGGGGAAGACGUCACGUGGUGGGGCGGCCACUGUUGGCCGCCCCUCCACUAUCGUUCAGUGAAAAAAGGAGGCAAGUGGGCGUCGAAUGGUGGGCGUCUUAUUGCGCAAAAACGGGGAAAGAAGUUAGGCGAAAAGGGAGAAGAAAAAUCUUCUUCUUCCCCUGCCUCGCGCGUCCAGGGGAAGAAGAAGACCUACAGUGCCGUCAAAACGGCACCGUUUUGGGCUUCUGUUUUUUUUUUUUUUUUUUUUGCAACAGUGAAUGAAACGGCGCCGUUUUGGUCAAAACGCGCCGUUUCAUUUAAAAGAAAAGGCGCCAAAAGCGUCAGAUUUCAAAGAAGGCCCUCAAAUUGCGCGCGUUUUACAAUUUCGUCCUUGGUCUCGGAUUUCUUCAAUUAGUCCCUAAUUGGCCAUUAAACUUCAAUAUUUAUGCAAUUAAGCCCCUGAUUUGACCAAAUUAACUUUCUUAAAAAAAUAAUUUGACCCCAGAAAAUUAAUUUCUUCCAAUUAAAGCCCAAAAUAACUUCAAAAUCAAUUGUUUUUUGCAAUUAAAACCUCUAUAAAUUCAAUUAAACCUUCAAUAAAAUUUAAUUGAGUCCAUAAACUUCUAAUAUUGCAUUUUUCUUCCUCAAAUUGAAUUUUCUUUAUUAUCGGGGCUCGCAUCAGUCAAUGAUAUACUGUCAAGUUUUAAUUUUAAUUUUUUUUUUUGAACAUCCUCAAUCAAUUUUUGAAUAUUUUUAAGGCGUUCUGGCAUUUUUUUUUCACUGUUAUAUUUUUUUGAUAAUAUAUUUUUUUGAAUUUUUUUGAAUUUUUUUAGGUGAAGACCCAAAAAUGGGUUAUAACACUGAGUAGUGCAAGAAAGAGGAAAUUCUCGGGGGGAGGGAUUUGGGUUUGGUUUAAUCAAUGUUGUGUGUUUUAGCAUCAAUGGCCUCCGAGGAUGCAAGAAAUUUUUUUGGUAUUACCAUGUGUAGUACAGUUGCUACAUCACAAUCUACUGAGUAUUCCAUAUUUAAAUCCUGAAGUAGGAACAUUGUCUCAGAGAUUUUUUUGUUCUUAUACUUGUAGGACAGGUACCAAGUAAUAGUUAUGGAUGUUGAUGGUUCUCGUUCUAUAGACAUUGCUAGAUCCUUGAGAAAGCUUGGGGUUAAGGCAAGUAUUCGGAAUCGCUAAGAUUUUUUUUAAUUACAUAGAAGGCUAAACAUCUAAUUCAUCAGGGAACUAGAAGGGCAAAAAGAAAAUUUAUCCACUCUCCCUUAGUCAAGUUUUUUUGGGAUAAAAAAACAUUUCUGAUUGUUUUUUCAGUGUCAGUAACCCUUAGAAACAAAUAACAAUAUCCAUAUUAACCAGAUUUGGGAAGAGUACGUUAGUGUCUUUUGUGCAUUUACAAUGUUGUUAAGCUGAAAACCGUUACUCCUUAUGCAUGUUUUUCUUUCGUAUAAAUAUUAACCAGAUAGAACCCAAUUUUCAUUCCUAUUGUUCUCAAGUGGUACAAAUCAGAAAAUGCAUUAGUAUUACAUCUAACUUAUGUCCUUAAAAUAUAUAUCUCUCUCUAAAAAAAAAUAGUCUCUACCUUGCUUGAAUGGGAAGUUGCAAUGUAUUAAUUAAUUUCAAUAUUCUUUUAUUUCACUCCAUAUAUUGUUGGGUUGUAUUGUUGUGUAAAUGGCUUGGAGAGAAACAAGUUAAAUGCACGAAUACUAGAUGAUACCAUGGUUCAUUCCUAGACUAUCAUAUAAUUUAGAUAGAGAAGAUAGUAGAAUUUUGCGGAAUUAAACCUUGUGACCUGCAUUAUAAGAAAAUUUGCACUGUCAGGUGAGUCUAUUGUUUAUCCGGAACCACAACCUAUUGUAUCAUAUUGCUAAUUGUUUGUUUGUAUUUUUAUGCGACCGAGACCAUACUUGGUCCAAGGUGGCUUCCAGUCUUGGGUAAAACAAGGUAUCCAAGUCAAGGAGCUUAAACCUGAGUCCGUGCUAGCCAUACUUAAUGAGGUAAGGUUAUUGCAUGACUUGUCUAUUCUCUUAACUAGUAUAAAUUUCUAGAAAUACAAAAUUUUAUUUGCCAAAAGCCAUCGAUCAACUCAAAGUAUAUGUGUGGCAAAUUACAAGCUGUAGAUUAUACAAUAAUAUAUUCAACCAGCUCAGAUAAACCUAGAGAGUUGAUUAAUUUGACAUUUAUUUCAAAAACACAUGAAAGGAGUGAAAUUUCUUUGCUGGGUGCACAUUGGUUUCCAAUGGAUACUAUCAAAAUGGUUUCCAUAUAGCACGGAACAACAUGCACACACAGAGGCAUAUGAGAUGUACUUGUGUCUGUGCAGGGCGCGUGUAAAUUUACAUGGAAACACAUAAACAGAAGUGUGUGUGUGUGAUGGAUACUUAUUUCAAAAACACAUAAAAAGAGUGCCAUGUGCAAUCACACUUGUUUGAACAUGUGCAUCCUGAGUGUUUGUAUAUAUGUAAUUGAUGGGCUAUCAUAAAUUGGGUAUGCAGGCUAUAGGAAUUGUAUGUUUCGAAGCAUGACAAUCCAUAGAUUUAUGAAGUGAAAUUAUGCACAGUAUCCAAGUGUUGAUUGUUGGAUAAUUAAAUGCACCAAAUCUGAAGCAAUUUUGACAAAAAUUAUUACUGUCUUUAUGCAAUCUAAUGUUAGAAUUGGCAUCUCUUGUUAUAGACUUUUGGUUCAGAUUGAAUUAUUUCUUUGGUGCACUAGAUUGAAUCAUAUGGAAUUCAGUUGGAGAAGUGAUUGUUAGUCAAACUGUAGGUUUGGUAAAUUUUCCAACAUGUUGGGUGCAAAGUGGUUAAAGAACUCCUGAAGCUGUACUGCAUAUAAUGUAGUAAGAAAUCAACAUGUGUUAUGUCCCAAGUAUCUGAGCCCAAGUUUACAUGAACGUUUUGAAACAUUCAAUCAAACAAGUUGAUAUGAUUCUUUACAACUCAGAAAGUUAUGUUGGUAUAUGCAACAAGCUAACUUGUUGGAUCAUUUUACAAUCUGGGAGGAAGGUUGUUCUCCCUGUUCAUACAAAUCAACAACCUUCACAUUUCAAUCAACAUUUUUCUUUUUGCUAAGACCAUUUGGUCGUGUAGGAUUUACAUUCAAUCUGUGCUAUUUUUUUCAUGGAUUGAAAAUUAUAAUUACAAGUAUUUUCUGGAAGUGCUUGAUUUUCUUGUGCAAGAUCUAAGCUUUUCACAAUAUACUUGUGAGUUGUGACAACUUGGCAUCAUUUCAGGAGGCUGAAGCAAUUCUAGAAGAUAUCAGACCUUCGCCAGUGCAAACACUUGGGUAUGGUGUGGUAAGAAAUCAGAUUGCUUUUUGUGAUACUGCACUAUGAUUAGUCUAUUUCAAUCAUUUCUGCUCUUUUGGAUUUCUUUUCCCCAACUAAAGCCAUCUUUUUUUUAAAAAAAAAAAGGAUAUCUUGUAUCUAGAGAGACGUGUUUAUGGGAUGGGAAUGAUCUUUGUAUUUUGUAGUAAGGACAUAAAAUAAUUACAGGUUGAUUUCUCUUUGUUUUGAAUGUAUGCUUCUGUAUGGUCUAGAGACAUGCUUCCACAAAGAUGUGUAUAUGGUUAACUAGAAUUACUCAUGCUGUUUACAUCAGAUCUUCAUUAAUCAACAAUCCAUGAUUGAGAAAUAUCUAUUGCUUACCAUGCAAAUGUCCAGUGCAUCCUUUACUUAUACUAUAUUUAUGCCGUGGACAAGGUUUUGCUGCAGCAUCAUAUGCAUUGCUAGGUUUGUACAUUUUCUUCCUCAUGGACAGGCUCUCUAUUACUUUUCAAGAACAACUCCCCAAAAUGUUGAAGAGUUUGAAAUACUUCAGUUGUAUUAUACAGAACAAAUGAUAUAAAUUCUGGUUUUCUUUUUCUUUUCUUUUUUGUUGCUUUCCUCACAUUCUUCUUGCCAACCAAGCUUGAACUUUGUUUCAGAGUGGGAGAAGACCUUACAAUUUAUUGCCAUCAUUGGCCUCAGACAGGUAUACUUUUAUUUGUUAUAGUGCUCUGGUUAAUGUUUCUUUCACACACAUAGUUGGUGAUUUCUAAGUUGAUAAUGGUUAAAACAAACUUCACACAUUAUGAUAUUGUGCUAGUACUCAGAUCCUUUGAUGUAUUCCGUAGAAAUAGCAUGUAUACAACCGUUAAGCUAGAUUCCCUUUGUCUAUUUUGCAUGUGUCCUAGGGAAAGGUUUAUGUCAUUGAUAAAUUUAGUUAAGUGAACCUUGAGUUUCUCUAAUUAUUGGUUUCUAGCACUGCGCCAGACUAUUUAUCAGCGGGUUGCUUCUUACAAUGGCCCUGAAGAUUUUAAGCAAGAUGUGAGGUAUAACCUACUUCGAAAAUCUUUUGUCCUUAGUGUAUUUAUGGUGUAAUUGGCACAAUUUUGUAAAUCAUAAUAGAACCAGGUUUGAAAUCAAGUCUAUGUUUAUUCAUGCACAAUGAAUUAUAUAAGACGCACCUAGUAUCAUGUUAGAUAGAUAGGUGUCAUAUGUUAGUACAACAUUAUUUAGCAACCCAAAUCACAUGUUUACUGGGACGAUGAGUUUUUAUUAACAAAAUGAACCAAACUCUUCUGUAAAGGGCAUGAAAAAAUUUAUAUAUAGCAAAUCGCAUCUGUGUCUAAAUGUUCUUUCAACACUAGGUUCUUGACCAUGUUCUGAUUAUGUCAGAAGUUUGAGUCGUGUCGAUAACCAAACUACCUAUGAAGUUUUAUAAUGAGGGUGGUUAGUUGUAAAGGUCACGAAUUCAUCUAAAUUAGUUCAGGAAUUCGUUAUAACUUUCAGACUCCGUAGAUUUUGUCAAGAUCUAGUUUUAAAAUGAGGUUGGUUAGUUAUAAUCUAGAUUUUUGAGUUUAUUUAUAAUCGGCUGAGAUCUAGAAUUUUUCUAAAUUAGGUUAAAAAAAUAUUGUCUGAGCUAAUUUUGUUAUUUUUCAUUUUCAUUUUCAUUUUCUAUUUCUUAGUUUGUUUAGGCUAAUUUUGAGUUUAUUUAAAGAGUUAUAAAAUAUACAAUAAUAAAAUCCUGAAUUUAAAGUUUUUAUGUACUUACUGUUUUUCUUGUAAUUUGGUUAGUAAAUAGUAAUCAAAGAUCCAAAACAUGACUAAAUGUACUUAUUCUGCAUGUGCAAGAAUAAAUGCGCUAGAUGGUUGUUGUAGUUAGUUGAGGAAUUAGUUGAAUAACAGAAAGUUAGUUCGUUAGUCAGUUGCAAGGGAAGAACAACAUUUACAGCUAUCUUGAAAACCAAGUAAUAAUUGAAGAACAAUUUGCAGUAAAUACAUAACUCUCUCUCCCUUUCAUUUUCUUUUAUUUCUCCCUCAAUUUAUUUUCUUCUGAACCGUUGUUUGUUAACGGGUAAAUAUCUUUACCCGUCAGUGUCCGUCGGUAGAUUUUCAUCAAAUUGCAGAUACACCCCCCAGCUUUUCAACUCCACAGGCCUUCGGCUCCUAAGACCUCCCAUUUCAUCCAGGUAGAAUUUAAAUGUAACUUCAUUGCCAGAAUAUUUACGCAAUUUAUUUACCAAUUCGAGCGAGUAGCGUAGAAUCAUGUGAUCUGAGUCACAUGUCUCCAAUAAAAAUAAUGGAGCAUGUCUUUUCUGGGAAGCGAAGAUGACUUCAUCAUCACCAUCAUUUUCACCGUUUUUACUCUUAACAUGGCAAUCAAAAUAUACAUUUGAGGGCAUGUAUCCCGUUUGAAAAAGACCAUGGGAGGGAAGAGGGAGUAGAAAGACAAGACAGAAAGCAAUUCCCUUGAGCUGAUGAUAAUUUGAGGGCAACUGUAUGGCGAGUGAAGAUCCAAUUCCUUUGUCACCGAACCAUUCUGGAAUUUCACUCCCCGGUAGAACCAUUCGAAUUCUACCAUAUGGGAUCUCCUCUCCGGACUGUAACACAAGAGUCACAUUUCGAAAAUGUGAUGAAGCAAGCAAGAGAGAGAGAAGAAAGAAAGACAAGGGGGUUUAGAGAGAUACCUGAAUUUUCAAAUGCAUUGCUGCUACCAGUUGUUUCUGAUCCAAUUUUAAGCAAUUUGUAAAAUUCAAUUGAUGCCAUAAUCUACCGAUAUUUAUGAUUGAUAUCGCGGUUUCUAGUGAUGCACAGUUACGUGUAUGUAGAUACCUCAGCGAAGGGGGGAGCUCAGGUAACGCUUUAAUAGGCGUUCCACUCAAAUUCAGGAAGUCCAAACAUACCAUAUCUUUGAUUGACAAGGGUAUCUCUUUAAUGCCUGUUUUACUCAAGCUAAGAGUGUGCAAAGAUUUCAUAUCCUCUAAAUUCUCCGGAAACUUGGUCAUCUUUGAGCAACCAUCUAGACAAAGCCAUUUCAACCGGCCAGUAACUGAUUGUGGAACUUCUUUGAUUGAAGUUUCCGCCAAACAUAAGCUUUCCAAAUUUUGUGAAAUCGUUGGACACGUGGUCAUAUCUAGGCACCCACGUAUAGAAAGUUUUCUGAGAACCUUUGAAUCAAGCAUUGGAAAACUUCUAAGAUUAUAGCAACGAAGGAGAACAACUUCUUCCAACUUGUCAAGAUAUUGAAGAGAUGACGGAACCUCGGUUAAGCUUGGACAGUCCACAAGUCUUAAGGACACUAAAUUUUUGGCCAUUGAUAGAUCUGGCAAUUCCGUCAAAUAUGGAGAGUCAGAUAGGUCAAUUUCUCUUAAAUUUCCAACAUCCUGUCAACAGAAAAGGGCAUAAUUAGAAAGUUAGCACCUCCAACUUCAUAUUUUUGAUCAUAACUCUGUAGCAAUUAAAUCAUACCUUUACUCCUGUCCAAAGUUUUACAAGCUUGCUUUUGCGUAGGCGAAGCUCGACAAGGUGUUCAGCACGAAAAGAUGGCGGCAAGGAUUUCAAAGGGAAUCCAUCCCAUCGCAAAUAUCUCAGCUCAUUAGGAAGAUAUUCGAGGCCAGUAGGAGGAAGGUGCAUUUUAUUUUCUAGGGAGAAAAAAUCGUGAGAGAAAUUGAGAAAUCUAAGACCAUCCAUCAUUGCGAAGGCAUCAGAUUUCAAGUGUAUAUGUCUCGAUAACAUGGACACGUCCAAAGAUAUGCCUUUAAUUUUUUGAGUUCCCUGUUAAACAAGAAAAAAGAAUAAACAAACAAUAAUACAAUCUACUCGAACACAUCAACUUUUGAGCAAAUACAUGAACGACAGUUAAUGGUUGUAGCUUUAACCUUAUUUUCCUCCAAUACUUGAACGACAUCAGGACGAUGACAUAACCUGCUACGUUCGCCAGGAAAAUCAGACUCUGCACGAACAAUGUUAAAUGCCAUUUCUCGUAGUAAAUCAUGCAUUUCUAGCUCGUUACAAGUUGCAGUUAUGAGACACUUAUCAAUGAGCGUGCUUAUAUCGAACUUCACAGACCGACCAUAUAAGCCAUCUAAUAUUCUUGUUGCUUCGUCUGGCCCCCAUCUUCUUGUGAAGAAAUGUGCUAUGUCAAGAAAUAUGGGUUUUUGUUCUGAAUCCAACCCAUCGUAGCUAAUUCUCAAUGCCCUUUCGAUUUGAGGGUGCUGAGCUAGUUUAUUCAAUGCACUGCGCCAUUCUUCGAUGCUUUUACCAUAGAGAGAGGAACCCAAAACUUUAAGAGCCAACGGAUUGCCUUGUACAUGCCUUGCAAUAUGUUUUAUCAAGUCUCUUUGAUCAAUUGUGGGGAUGCAAUUCUUCAAGGCUUUCGAGCUAAAGAGUUGAAUAGCGUCUUUAUAGUUCAACCCCUUAACCUCGUAUGUUUCAUCAACUACAUUCUUGAGCACUUGUUUGUCCCUACUUGUUAUGAGAACUUUACUGAAUGGACCAAAUGAACUGUUUCGUCCAUCAAGCAAAUCUCUCCAUUCAUCCAAAAGCAUUAAAUAAUCCACAUCAUCCAGAACAAGCAAAGCCCUUAUGCGACGAAGUCUCUCCAUCACAAAAGAAUCCCGAAAACUCAAGGAGCCCAUAGUGUCCAGAGUUUCUUGGCCAAGCAACCAUGAAAGAAAGCUUCUUCGCAAAUCAGAUUGUUGUCUAAAGUUUGCAAAAAAUAUUCUUUCAAAUUGAGAACAAACAUUGUCGCGCACAACUUCAGCAAUCGUUGUUUUACCGAUACCACCCAUUCCCCAUAUCCCUACAAUGAGAACAUCUGGAGACUCCAUAUCUAACAAAGACUCAACUGCACUAACACAAACAUCAAUUCCAAAUAGACCCGUCAUAGUGUGACUAGAAGACAUGGCAUGCAAUUUUUCCGAAACAUCUCGAACGAUAUUCUUAAUAAAUUCAGCCUCUAGCCUGACAAAUAAGAAAAACACAUAUAAACAUACUCCUUGGUAGCAGGCACGUAUGAGUAAUUGAGCAUCAUUAUUGACAAUGGAUACAGUUAAUCAAUCCUUAAAAUUGGAAACUACAUGUAAUCGGUGUUUAUCUAAGAAAAUCAAUGAAAUGCAAAUAUAGCAAAUUAAGUUGGCAUAUGAUAUUCUUUUCUCAUAUCAUCUUAUCUUAUAGAAUCAUCUCAAUCAGUAUUAUUUUUUUAAUAUAGCAUUCUCCUUUUCACCUCAAAUAAACACUCAAAUAAAUAGAAUAUUAUUUAAGGACACAAGAAAACAUUGACUGUCCUCAUAAAAUUUAACGUAAGGAUUCCUAAAUAUCUACUUUUUAUCUUAUUCAAGAAAAAAUUUAAAAAUAUAUUAAAAAAUAUUUUUUAAUAUAAAUACAUUAAAAUAAUCUGAAAAAACUAAAAAAAAUAGUUUAAAAUAAAAAGAAUUAUUUUAAAAAUAUAUAUUUUUAAAAAACAUUUUGAAACACAAAAACAAACAAUCACUUAAUAUCAAUACAAACCUUAAUAUCUAUACAAGCAUUUCACUACAAAUAACUUUUUAUUUAAAAAAAAAACAUUUUAAAACAGAAAAACAAACAACCACUUAAUAUCUAUACAAGCAUUUCACUAGAUAAUAUAUUUUUUUAUUUUUUAAUAUAAACACAGUAAAAUAAUCUAAAAACAUUAUUUAAAAAAAAAUUAAUUUAUAAAAAAACAUUUUAAAACACAAAAACAAACAACCACUUAAUAUCUAUACGUACAAAGAUUUAGCUACAAAUAAUAUUUUUUUUUAUUUUUUAAAAUAUUUUUUAAUAUAAACACAUCAAAAUAAUCUAAAACAAAACUAAAAACAAUUAAAUUUAAAAGAAAAUAACAUUUUAAUACAUAGAACAACCAACCACAUAAUAUCUAUACAAGUGUUUCGCUACAACGUUUUCAAAAUCAAAUAAAAUAAAUAUGGAUUCACAGAGCUCAUCAUUCUCAAUAAUUUUAAAUUAAAUUUAAAAUCGUCAACAAAUGAACGAAUAUUUUCUCAUAGGAUAUAUUUCAAGAGCUUACCCAGAAUUCCCUAAGCUCCAUCCAGAUAGAUUGGCUGCAUCCUUCAAAGCGUCUCUGAAGCUCUGCACUUCUUCCAACGUCGGAGCUUUAUUCCUUGUAAGUCUAGCAAAUGCAUCCCCAAAGCUUCCUGUUUGAUGUCUUACAUGGGUUGGAUCCACCUUGUAGAAUACCGGAAUAACUAUCUGUCCAUUGUUUCUUCUACACUCAAAAAUCUUUACAAGCUCCUCCAAGCACCAUUUGGAAGAUGCAUAGUUUUCAGAAAAAACAAUCACAGAAAGCUUGGCCUCUUCAAUUGUUCUCAGAAGUGAUGCCGAGAUCUCAUCUCCUCUCACAAGCUGAUAAUCUAUGAAAGUUAGGAUUUGUUUCCGGUCCAAAGCAUCAUAGAGGUGGCUGGUAAAACCAACACGAGUGUCUUCUCCCCUGAAACUAAGGAAGACAUCAUAUUUAAUUACUUGUGGCUGGGCGGUGGUUAAGGUGGAAGGAGUAGAUGACGAUGGAAACAUUGGGGCUUCGUAUGAUGAAUCUCCAGAUAUAAGCAAACACUUUGAAGAAACAAGACAUCAAAUCCAAUAAUGGAAAUUUUCUUAGGCUUUACGUGUUUAAGACCCUGGCUUAGGCAUAUUUAUAAUUACAAUAAUGGGGGCAUCAAAUCCAAGAAUUUUCUUAGAAGAUUACAAGAUUGCACAUUGUUGAUUUCCUGGAAAUUCCCCAGUUACAAAGUGAUGUGAUAGAAAAAGGAAUUUAUACGUUGUUUUGUUUUUAUGGUAAUGACAGUGUUUUUAUAAAUUUUAAUUUGCUGGUAUAAAAAUAAUUUUUUAAAAUAAAAAACAUAUAUAUAUUCUUGUUGAUCAUAUCACAGCUGUGAUAGAUAACUUUUUUAAUAUUUCAAAUGUAUUAGCUAUUCACUUGGCGGAGUAGCAGAUCUUUUGUUAUUUUCUCUACGACUUUUUUUAUUAUAUAUUUUAUUAUAUAUCUUAAUAUAUUUUUAAAUAAAAAAUAUUUAAAAAAACAACUCUUACUAUAUUUGUAAACACUCUCUAUAUCUCCGGUACAAGUAUUUGCCUUAUAGAAAACUAUUUUGCUUUCAUAUUAUAUUAUAAUGGUUAUGAUGAUUUAAUUGAAAAGAUCUUGUUAAAUAACUUGUUUGAUAUUGUACUAUUGGUUAUUUUUUAAAUUAUUUUUUUAUUAGAAAUAUAUUAAAAUAAUAUUUUUAUUUUUAAAAAUUUUAUUUUCAUAUCAGAACAUCAAAAUAAUAUAAUUAAAACAAAAAAAUUAGUUUAAAAUAAACAAAAUUCAAAUUCAAGUAUUUUCCCAAGGCAUUACAGAGGACGCACAAUGUUAACUUCCUGGAAAUUUUCCAUGCACAAAAGGCUUCAAGUCUUGUUAUUUGUGAUGUGGUAGGAAAGGGCAUUUAGGCUUUUGUUUGUCUUUGCUAUAUAAACAAUGUUUUCAUAAAUUUUGAAAUUAUUUUAUAUUUUAUUUGAGAUUAAUUUUUUUUUUAGUUUUUUUGGUUUGUUUUGAUAUAUUGGUGUCAAAAUAAUUCUUUAAAAGUGAAAAAAACAUUAUCUUGAUAUAUUUUCAAGCAAAAAAUAUUUUAAAAAUCAAUUUUUUGCAUUCACAUUAUAUUAUAAUAGUUAUGAUAAUUUAAUUGAGAAGAACUUGUUAGAAAACUUGUUUAGUAUUGAGAUAAUAAUUAUUUUUCAAGAUAAUUUUUAUUUGAAAAUACAUUAAAAUAAUAUUUUUUUAUUUUUAAAAAUUUAUUUUUAAUAUCAAUAUAUAAAAAUAAUAUAAAAAAAUUAAUUUAAAAUAAAAAAUCAAAUCCAUGUAUUUUCUCGGACGUUACAGAGGGUGCACAUCUACUUGGAAAUUUCCUGUGUACUAAAAGCUUAAUGUCUUUGUUGACUUCACAUUAUAUUAUAUUGAUUACGAUGAUUUCAUUGGGAAAAACUUGUUACUCUGCCCCAGUAAUAAAAAAUAAUUGAUAUAGUUAGAGAAAUAUAUAAUAUGGUUUAAUUUUUUUUUUUUUUAAAACCUAAUAUUUUAAACUACUAUUUUAAUAUAAAAGCAAUUCAAAAUCACAAUAGUGGUUCUGUUUGCUACUUUUGGCAACAUAAUUGGCAUGCAGCCAUGUAAUUAUAAUUACAUCUUCUUUUUACAUGCUUCCUUCCACCUCAUUAUACAUAAUCUAUCCAAAUAAAUCGGCAGAUGCCAUUUCCUUUUCCUUUUUCCUUUUAUAUAUAUAUAUUGGGCAGCGUGUUCGGGAAGCGGAGCUGCCUUGGCAUUACGUGUUUCCUGGAAAUUACUUGUUGCUUGUCGUUUUCGUUUGGCAUUGGGGUUGUAAUUUUUUUUUGUUCAAUCAUAAUUUAUAAUUGUUUGAUUAAAUAUUUAAAAGUAGAUUUUAAAGAUGAGUUCCACUAAAAAUUGAGUUCAUACCACCUAUGGCUUUUGGUAAUGUUCGUGUAUUUCCUUGAAAUUACGUGUUUCUUGUCGUUUUUAUUUGGCAUUGGGGUUGUAAUUAUGUUUUGUUUACUCAUAAUUUAUAAUUGUAUGGUUAAAUAUUUAAAUAUAGAUUUUAAAGAUAAGUUCCACUAAAAAUUGAGUUCAUACCACCUGUGGCUUUUGGUAAUGUUCAUGUAUUUCCUUGAAAUUACGUGUUUCUUGUCUUAACGGUGGCUUUUGGUAAUGUUCAUGAUAGAGAUAAAUCAAUUUUUAAAAGUUUUAGAAUCACUUAGGAAUGAUUUAAAUAUUUCUUAAAUUAAAAUUUUUAAAACUAAGGAUUCAUGGUGUUUCGUUCUUUUAAGAUUUUUAUAAUAUAGUAAAAUGAUUAUACUAUUUUUAAGAAUAAAAAAAUUAAUAUAAAAUAAAAAAAUAAAAAUUUCAAAUCCAAGAAUUUUCUCGGGAUAUUAUAAAAAUAUACUUUUAAAAAUAAUUAUUGCAACACUUAUAAACACCUUCCAUAUCUUGAGGACAAGUGUUUUAGCACGUCAAGAACAUUUUUCCCUUCAUAUUAUAUUAUAAUAAUUUGAUUAAGAAAAACUUGUUAAAGAAUUUAUUCAGUAUUAUAAUAGUGAUUGUUUUUUAAAAUAUUUUUUUAAAUAUAUUACAAUAAUAUAUUUUUAUUUUUUAAAAUUUAUUUUUGAUAUCAGUAUUUUAAAAUAAUAUAAAAAUAAAAAAAAUAAUUUAAAAUAAAAAAUAAAAAAACUCAAAUCCAAGUAUUUUUUAAAAAACAUUACAGAGGUGGACAUUAUUGACUUUCUAGAAAUUUUCUAUGUACAAAAGGCUUCAUGUCUUGUUAUUUUUUUUUUUUGUUUUUUUUUUUUGUAAUUUGGUAGGGAAGGGUAUCAUCAAGUCUUCCAUCCAAGUGUUUGCGCGUAAACUUUAUUGACUUUUACCUUAUAUUAUAAUGGUUACUGUGAUUUCAUUGGGAAGAACUUAUUAUGUAUUUUCUUGGACAUUACACAGAGGGAGUGAAAGAUUGUUCACACGCACACGGUGUAGCAGUCGAUACCUACACCAGCCUUGUUCUUUGUUUAUUUUUAAUAUAUUAUAAUGGCUGUGAUGAUUUGAUUGGGAUGGGAGGAACUUAUUACUCUACCCCAGUAAUAGACACGCAACAAUCAAGUGUUUGAAAACACAGUGAAAUAAAUUAAAUAUUUCUUAAAGAAAAAUUUUAAAUAAAUUAAAUUAAUUUUAAAUAAAUAAAUUAAAUUGUUAUUACUUCAGUAUAUUAACUAGUGCGAUUCACAGUUGGGUUGAUAUUAAUCUUUUUAAAAUUAAAAUAUCAAUCAUGUCAGACCUAAGAAUUUUAUAUCUAGAAUAGUAAAAAGUCUAUAUAUAUUGUGAAGAAGAAGAAGUCUUGAAGGAGAGAGGAAGGGACGGGGGAUGGGGCCAAUCCUCUUCUUGAUGCUUGGGCAAUAAUAACCAUGUUGAUGGCGACGGCGACGACUUACCUUAAAUCUUCCCGGCGAGUGCUUGGGCAGCGUGUUCGGGAAUCUGAGCUGCCUUGACAUUACGUGUUUUCUGGAAAUAGCGUUUUUCUUGUCUUAACGGUGGCUUUCGAUAAUGUUCAUAUUGAUGGGAAAUAAAUCAAUUUUUAAACGUUUUGAAGCACUUAGGAAUGAUUUAAAUAUUUUAAAAAUAAAAUUUUAAAAACGAAGGAUUGGGUGUUUUUAUUUUUUACUAUUUUGAUAGCAUAGUAAAAUGAUUAAAUUAUUUUUAAAAAUAAAAAAAAUCUCAAAUUCAAGUAUUUUCUCAUGAUAUUAUAAAAAAUAUUAUUUUGAUAUAUUUUUAAUUAAAAAUAAUUAUAAUAUUUUUGCCUUCACAUUAUAUUAUAAUGGUUAUGAUGAUUUGAUUGAGAAGAAUUUGUUAAAAAACCUAUUUAAUAUUGUGAUAACAAUUGUUUUUAUUUUUUUAAAAAAUACAUUACAUUAAAAUAAUAUAUUUUUAUUUUUAGAAAUCAAAUCUUGAGUACAAGUGUUUUUCCAUGUCAAGUAUAUUUUUGCCUGCACAUUGUAUUAUAAUAGUUAUAAUGAUUUGAUUGAGAAGAACUUAUUAAAGAAUUUGUUUAGUAAUGUGGUAGCUAUUAUUUUUUAAAGUAUUUUUUUUUUAAAUGCAUCAAAAUAAAAUAUUUUUAUUUUAUAAAAUUUAUUUUUAAUAUCAGCAUAUUAAAAUAAUAUAAAUAAAAUAAUUUAAAAUAAAAAAUAAAAAAACUCAAAUCCAAGUAUCUUCUUAGGACGUUACAGAGGGUGCAUGUUAUUGACUUCCUAGAAAUUUUAUAAUGUACAAAAGUCUUCAUGUCUUGUUAUUUUUUUAUUUAUUUUUUGUAAUUUGGAAGGAGCAUCUAGUCUUCCAUCCAAGUGCUUGCGCGUAAAAGAAUAAUAAUAAAAAAAAAGUGUUUGCGCGUAAACUUUGUUGACUUUCACAUUAUAUUAUAAUUUGGUAGGGAAGGGCAUGAUUAUUAUGAUUUCAUUGGGAAGAACAUGUUACUCUGCCCCAAUAAUAGGAAUUUUGUUUUAAAAAAUAAUAUGGUUUAAAUUGUUUUAGAAAAACAACAUAUAAUUUUAAAAAACCUGCUAUUUUAAAUCACGAUUUUUAAUAUAACCGUGAUUUUGCAGAAUCAUAAUCUAUUCAAAUAAUUUGACAGAUGCCUUUAUAUAUAUAUAUAUAUAUAUAUAUAUAUAUAUAUAUAUAUAUAUAUAUAUAUAUUGAAGAAGAAGAAGAAGAAGUCGUCUUUGGAAGUGUGUUUGGGAAGCUGAGUUGCCUUGACAUUGAGUAUUUCCUGGAAAGAAUGCAUUUCUUGUCUUAACGGUGGCUUUCGAUAAUGGUCAUAGCACUGCUGCAAGGCCGGAAAAUGAACACAGUUUACAACAACUGGUGAUUUUGGACCUGUUUUUGAACCUCGCCAUUUCAUGAUGUGAGCUUGCAUCUCAUUUUACGCCUACAUCCAACCUUAAGCGGAAAAACGAAAGAGGAAAGAAAUACUCUUUCUUAAAACCUUAGUUCUGACUAGAACUAUGAACAUAUUUUUGAGACUUCAACUGAUGACAGAAUGAACUAUGAACAAUCAGUGCUAUCAAUGGUAAUAUUAAAUUACAUAUACAUAAGAAAAUAAAAUUACAAAUGCAUUGCCCCCACAAAGUUUAAGUCCAGGUCUUUAAAAUUAUGAUAUACCAUGCAAUGAUGAUAUAACCUGAAAAUAACAAAGUCAUCUACACAUACCAUGCAAUGAUGAUAUAACCUGAAAAUAAACACACUAAGUCUUGAAAGUCCAGGUCUUUAAAAUUAGAAAACAAUGUUUUCAUGUGAACUGAGCAUAUGAAAAUAAUAAGAGAAGGGUAAGAAGAAGAAGAGGGAACUGCUAAGGGGUCAAGGAAACCAACAACUUGAAGGUGUUUGCCAUCUCUUGGAGUAUGGCUAUCAGCAGCAACAAUUCUGUAAAAUGCCCUGUUUUUGCAUCCUAGUCUAGCUAAACGAAUCUUCACCGCCAUUUUCUCUUUAUUUCGAAUGUAUGCUUCUGUAUAGUCUAGAGAUAUGAUUCCACAAAGAUAUGUAUAUGGUUAACUAGAACUACUCAUGCUGUUUACAUCAGGUCUUCAUUAAUCAUCUAUCCAUGAUUGAGAAAUAUCUAUUGCUUACCAUGCAAAUGUCCAUUGCAUCCUUUACUUAUACUAUAUUUACGAUGUGGACAGAAUUUUGCUACAGCAUCAUAUGCAUUGCUAGGUCAGUAUAUUUUCUUCCUCAUGGGCAGGCUCUCUAUUACUUUUCAAGAACAACUCCCUAAAAUGUUGAAGAGUUUGAAAUACUUCAGCAGUAUUAUAUGGAAACAAUGAUAUAAAUUCUGGUUUUCUUUAUUUAUUUUUUCCUUUUCUUUGUUGUUGCUUUUCUCACAUUCUUCUUGCCAAACUGUUACCAUCGUUGGCUUUAGACAGGUAUACUCUUAUUUGUUAUAGUGUUUGAUCAAUGUUUCUUUCACACACAGAGAUGUUGAUUUCUAAGAUGAUAAUGGUAAAAAAAAAAAAAAAACUUCACUCUUUUCUGAUAUUGUACUAGUACUAAGAUCCUUUGAUGUAUUCCAUAAAAAUGGCAUGCAUUCGACCAUUAAACUAGAUCCCCUUUGAUGGAAAGUUUUAUGUCAUUGUUAAAUUUAGUUUAGUAAACCUUGAGUUUCUCUAAUUAUUGGUUUCUCACACUCCACCAGACUAUUUAUCGACUGGUUGCUUCUUACAAUGGCUCCAUAAGUCUUUUGUCCUACAUGUAUUCAUGGUGUAAUUUGGUAAAUCAUAAUGGAAACUUAGAUUCUUCACAAUGCUAAAUGCCAAUGCUAAAUGCCAUUUCUAGUAUGUUAUGAGAAGUAGUUAUGAGACACUCAUCAAUGAGCAUGCUUAUAUUGAAAAUCACAGGCUGACAAUAAAAGCCAUCUAAUACUCUUGUAGCUUGGUUUUGCUCAAAUCUUCUGAAGAAAUCACAGGCUGACAAUAAAAGCCAUCAAGAAAUAUGGAUUGUUGUUCUUGAUCCAACCCAUUGUAACUAAUUCUUUACGUAUUUUUUAUUCGAGGGUUCUGAGCUAGUUUAUUUAAUGCACUGCGCCAUUCUUCGAUGCUUUUACCAUAAAGAGAGGAACCCAUAACUUUAAGAGCCAACGGAUUGCCUUGUACAUGCCUUAUAAUCUGUGCUAUCAAGUGUCUGUGAUCAAUUGUCGGGAUGCAAUUCUUCAAGGCUUUUAAGCUAAAGAGUUGAAGAGCUUCUUCAUCGUUCAACCCCUCAACCUCAUAUAUCUCAUCAACUACAUUAUUAAGCACUUGCUUGUCCCUACUUGUUAUGAGAACUUUAUUGCCCGCACCAAAUGAAUUGUGUCGUCCAUCAAGCAAAUCUUUCCAUUCUUCCAAAGGCAUUCAAUCAUCCACAUCAUCCAGAAGAAUAAAAACCUUUUUACGACAAAGUCUAUCCCUCACAAAAGAAUCUCGAAAACUCAAGGAGCCCAUGUUCAGAAUUUCUUGGCUAAGCAGCUGUGAAAGAAAGCUUCUUUGCAAAUCAGCCAUGGAACCAGUUUUUAAUUCUUGCCUAAAGUUUGCAAAAAAGAUUCCUUCAAAUCGAGAACGAACCUUGUUGCACACAACUUGAGCAAUUGUUGUCUUACCAAUACCAUCCAUUCCCCAUAUCCCUACAAUGAGAACAUCUGCAGACUCCAUAUUUAACAAAGACUCAACUUUGUUAACAUGAAAAUCAAUUCCAAAUAAACCUGUAGUAUGACUUGAAGGCAUGCCUUGCAAUUUGUUCGAAACAUCUCCAACGAUUUUCUCAAUAAAUUCAGACUCCAGCCUAACAAAUUAGAAGAACACACAUAAUCGUUAGUCAAAAUGGACCAGACAAGAAGAAAUAUAUAAACAUACUCACUCCUUAGUAGCUACAUCUAUACAUAGGAGGCACGUACGAGUAAUUGAGCAUCAUUAUUGGCAAUGGACACUGCUAACAUAACACAUGAAUCAUAAACCUCGACAAGAUUCUCUUACUGGGCCUCUCGAGAGAAUGCAUUUGAGUUCAGAAAUCUACAGUUAAUCAAUCCUUGAAACUGGGAACUACUUGUAAGUGUAUAUCUAAGAAAAUCAAUGAAAUGCAAAUGCAUAAUGUCGCACGUCCAAAAAACCCCGCGCGCGGCUUCGGCUGGUGAUUUUUCGUUGUUGCGUAGUGUUUGCUUGAAUUUGGAGUUGCCACCUAGUAAUUGAUUUCGGGCUACUAGGAAACCGGAUGUACUGGUCUUGUCAGAGAUUCGCGGGUAAGGGACUAGUUGUGGUUAGGGAAGGUAUUAGCACUCCUAACGCACCCUACCUGAGGUAAGCUGCUUCGAGCUUUGACGUGUUAAAGAAGUUUUAAUAAUUGUCUUUUCAUCGGAAAUUAGAAAUAUCACUUACAUAUAAGUUAAUAAUUCUUAACCGUGAUCCGAUCAAAAUAUUAAAUUCUUCUUUAAUAUAUUUGCAAUUUUAUCAUUAAAAAAUAUAUACAAAUAAAAAAAACAAAAUACAAGCACACACAUACACUUUCACUAUUUUAUUUUUGUUUCUUUUCUUUUCUUUUCUUUUCUUUUACAUCCAUAUUUACAAAAUACAAAUAAAAAUUCAAUACUAAAUAAAAAAAUUACAACAACUCAAAAUUACAAAAUAAUCCCUAAAAUUCAAGAAACACAAAUCUGAAAAGCAUUCUGGGUCUGCCUGAACAGUGUUGAGGGAGGCUGCUAGGCGCGUGAACAGUGCUUGGACAGCUGCGGCACGUGGGUUCACGCGCCGCCGCGAGAACGCCGGAAAAAAGGGUUGGCCGCUUCUUCUUCCUUUUCCCUCCCCGCAGACGGUAAGAAGCCACAUCAUCUACAACAAAAAAAACAAACGCACAAACAGUCGAUUUUAAGCUUUUAUUUCUUUGUUUUUUCGGAUCUGAUUUUUAUUCUUUCUUUCUUCUCCGAUCUGCUCCUUCCUCUUCUUCUUCAGAUCGUCUUCUCCCCGGGUCAGUUCGUUAGGGGUUCCGUCUUCUUCUCCUCUGCUUCGGGUGCCAGAUCAGGCGCUACAAAGGGGGGUCACAGCUGUGGUCGUUGCUGCUGUCGUCCGUCCGGAGGCUGAAGCCACAGUGGAGAUGGGCUUGAUGUCGAUGUUCAGGCGGAGGAAUGGACUGAUCGAGGUCGGUGGGCGUCCCUGUUGGAGGCGGUGAGCUGGGUCUGAUGGCUUGUGGGUUGUUGCUGUUGGCGAUUCUACUGGCGUUCGACGAGCCCGCCGCUGCUACUGGAGGCCGAAUGAAGGGGAGGACUUGCGUUGUGUGGCCGGCGGCUGGUCUGUGAGAAGGAGAAAAAAUGAGUAGCCGAGAGAGGGGGUCGUGGGAGGCUGAACAAGGGCUGAGGCUAGUUGGUGAGCAGAAGAGAGGAAAAUUAAUCACCAAGAGUGGGGGGCGUCCGAUGGCUGGUUUUUUUUUGGUGAGGGAGAAGACCAAAGGGGGAGAAGGGGAGGAUCUGAAAUGGCGUGGGGGAGAAAAGGGAAAAUGUCAGGUGGCCGGGGGUUCAAAAAAAUUUAAAACCGGAGGGGGGGGGGCGGCUCCUUUAGGUAGAAUGAGGGAGGUUUUUUUUGUUUAGGGUUAGGGUUUUUUGUAUUUUUGUCUUUUGAUAAUUUCAAAAUUACCCCCCUCCUUUAAAAUUCAAUGUAGCAUUGUAUUUAUAGGAAAAGUUUUGCUAGGUUUUCAAACUAGUCCCUCAACUUUUUCUUUCCUUCUAUUUUCCUCUUUUUUUUUUGUAAAAUUUCAUUUUUCUUAUUGUUUUUGGAUUUUUUUGAAAACGAGCAAUAUCAACGUCGACUCGAUGAGGAAAAUCAAUGAUUUUAAAAAUGGUGCGUGAAAAGUCGAACGCGUUCCGAAAAACCUUUGAAAAUUUAAAUUCUUUUUUUUUAGACGACGUUGAAAAUGCUAAAACGAUGCAAAUAUAUUAAAAACAUAUUUUUUGGAUUUUUAUUGUUUUUUGCUAUUUUUGGAUUUUUCAAAAAUUUUAUAAAAAUAUGGGUCAAAAAUUGGGUAGCAACAGUUGCCCCCUCUUUACAAUGCUUACGAAGCAAAACUCCUCAAAAUUUUGCAUAGUAAGCUUUGUAGAGAAAACAAAAGGAAAAUGAUUUCAUUAUCUUGGGCGACCUGCCCACACACUCACACUAAUCUAUUUUCACGGGCGACCUGCCCACACAUACUCAAAGUGGUCUAUUUUCAGGGGCGACCGGCCCACACACUCACACUGGUCUAUUUUCACGGGCGACCUGCCCACCCAUACUCACUCUGGUCUAUUUUCACGGGUGACCUGCCCACACAUACUCACUCUGGUCUAUUUUCACGGGCGACCUGCCCACACUUUCACACUGGUCUAUUUUCACGGGCGACCUGCCCUUUUAAUUGGGUUUACCUAAGAUCCCAUCUGACGAUCUAACAAGAACAAAAGUUGGUGUGUAGCUCGGUUAAACUGAAAUCCCAUCUAGCGAUUCCCUUUAACCAAAGCUAAAUGAGAUCCAUCUGGCGACCUCAUUCAACUGGAACAAAAAUAUUGUGUAACUCGAUUAACCUGAAAUCCCAUCUGGCGAUUUCCUUUAACCAAAGCUACAUGAGAUCCCAUCUGGCGACCUCAUUCAACUGGAACUAAACUGUGUGUAACUCGGUUAACCUGAAAUCCCAUCUGGCGAUUCCCUUUAACCAAAGCUACCUGAGAUCCCAUCUGGCGACCUCAUUCAAUUGGAACGAAAAUAUGUGUAACUCGGUUAACCUGAAAUCCCAUCUGGCGAUUCCCUUUAACCAAAGCUACAUGAGAUCCCAUCUAGCGACCUCAUUCAACUGGAACGAAAAUAUUGUGUAACUCGGUUAACCUGAAAUCCCAUCUGGCGAUUCCCUUUAACCAAAGCUACAUGAGAUCCCAUCUGGCGACCUCAUUCAACUGGAACGAAAAUAUGUGUAACUCGGUUAACCUGAAAUCCCAUCUGGCGAUUCCCUUUAACCAAAGCUACAUGAGAUCCCAUCUGGCGACCUCAUUUAACCAAAACAAAAGAAUGUGUAAAAAACGGUCUCAUUGUAAUGGGUGACCUACCUAGGUGGAAAGAAUAUGAAAAAAACGGUCUCAUUAUGAUGGGUGACCUACCCAGAUGGAAAGAAUAUGAAGUGCAGUCUUAUUAUAAUGGGUGACCUACCCAAUGGAAAAAAUAUGAAGUGGUCUCAUUGUAAUGGGUGACCUACCCAGAUGGAAAAAAUAUGAUGAAGUGCGGUCUCAUUGUAAUGGGUGACCUACCCAUGGAAAAAAAAAUGAAGGUCUUGUAUGAUGGGCGACCUACCCAGAUGGAAAAAAAUGAUGAAGUGCGGUCUCAUUGUCAUGGGUGACCUACCCAGAUGGAAAAAAUGUGAAAAACGGUCUUAUUAUGAUGGGCGACCUACCCAGAUGGAAAGAAUGUGAUAUGACAAGUGUGAAAAAUAGGACUUACCUGGCGAAGUCCUGAGGGGAUGACAGAAGAAGGGCUGGAAAACUUGGUGCUUCCUGAUAAUUCCCGAUCAUAGGGUUUGAAAACUCGGUGUUUCCUGACUGCAAGGGUUGAAAACUCGAGGCUUCCCGUUGCAAGGUUGAUCUAUUCAUUUCUUUGGGAUUUUCCUAAUGGUAGGGUUCAUCCCAUCGUCCUUUUAUUCCAUGAUCAAAACCGAUUCUUUAUUAUCAUCACCACAAUGCUUCUUUCUUUUCCACCAUCUUGCUGGACCUCAUUAAGGAUUUUCCUGUAACAAUUCAAAAAUAUGUGCAAAUGGUUUUUUUUUUUUUUUUUUAGGUUAGAUGAUAUGCAUGCAUCCUUACCUGAUUUGAAAUAUAGGUCCCCCUCUCUUUGAUGCUCCAUCGUCAUAGGGUGCCCUUGUUUGCAUUCCCAAAGCUUUCUUUUUCUUCCGAUGCAUUGGCUCAUUCAUGUGCUAGCCAUCCACUCAGCUGUAAAUGCAGUGCCCAUCCCGGGCUGUCUUCGACAAUUACUGCUGCAUCGUUCAUCAAGCUUGACCCUGCCCCCAAGUGUGGUGCUGCUUGAUUCAUCAUGAAGGAUUUUCUCUCCUGGAUUCUUCUGAGAAUUAUCCUUGAUUGAUUGUGUGCAUCAUGCCAACACCCAUCAAGAUUGUUAAUCAGUCAUGAACUUGCCUUCGGUUGAAACACCAUUCAAGUAUAUAUGGUCAUCCAUAAUCAUGGAACUGCCAGUCAUCCGACAUGCAUCUCAUACUUUGCAGAAAGCUCAUUGUUGUAAGCUCAAUGUUUUCUCUAGUUCUUCUCAGCAUCUAAUCAGAUCUUGAAAAGAAAUGUAUUGGCAUCAUCAAUGAUGUUCAUGUUAUCACCCAUAUUCAUGCGGUGAAGUGUGCAUUUGAGCUUCAAAACAAUGGUCCCACAGUCAGUCUUGGUGGGUGCAUCCUUCCAGCAUUCAUGCACAUGCAACUAUGUGAUACAUCGUCAAAAGUCAUAACCAUUUGAAGAUGAUAAACCAAGAUGAAGAUAUGAAAAUAUCCUUCUAGUGCAGCGUUGCUCAUCAAUUGCUGCUGAAGUGCACUAGAUCAUGGAUUGUCUUUGAACAACAUUGCCCCAAUAUGAUCUGAAGGUUCGUUCAUCGGUUUAUACUCAAGAAGGUUUUUCCUUUGUCAUUGUCAGAUGCUAAACAUAACUUUGAUGAACUUUGACGACUCAUCAUCUGAUUCUUUCUUUGCCCCCAGCUGAUCAGAAUGUUGUUUGUUUUUCUUCAAGGGUCCACUGUAUUGCCCCAGGUGGUCAACGUUUCAAGGAGUGUCGAGAAAUGUUGAUGUCAUUUUUGUCAAGGAUUUUGCAAACUCAAUUGAUGUUCUUGUUUGAAAUCUUUCUUGUUCUGGAAUCAAAUCUCAUUUCAAAGAUCAUGUCUAUUCAAGUCUAAUUGUUGAAAUGAAAUCAGAGAGAUAUCAGUUUUUUUUUUUAAAGUUUUUGAAAUUCAAAGCUUCUUUGGUCAAAGACCCAACACACUAUUCAAUGCAGUCCUUGAUUGUCUUGUAUUUUGAAAACAGAAAUGACCCGUUGUAAGAUUAAAAUGGUUUUCAUGGUUCUUUGUGUCCACUUUAAACUCUGAUUUUGGGUAUAUCUUUUGAUGGUCUGCGAUGAGGUGACCUUUGUGAAUUUCAAAAACAAAGGCUCAAGUCAAAACUUGAGGAUUCAUAAGGAAAUUUUGUUUUUUAGCAAUUUAUUUUAUCAACAUGCAUAAACCAGUAGCUUAAUUCAUGAAGUCACGACUCUUAUGGAAAACUCUUCAAGUUUUGAGAGCGCCAUUUAUCGGUUCAAGUUGCUUGCUUGAUUAAAAAGGGCUUUUAAAAGCACGUAAUGCAGGCUAUGGUUCAUGGCUAUGAAAGAAAGAAUUUCAAAGGCUCAAAAGGUGUUUGAGGGUUUCAAAACCUAGGAUCAACAUCAAUUAUUCAUCAACUCUUUUCUAUUGUUGUCUUUGUAGAGAAAUGACAUAUAACCUUGUUAACCUCAAAGAUCAACUCUUAACAUAGGUCAUAAUGCAAAUCCAACUUUUUCUUUGAUGAAUAACUAAUCUAAUUUUUGAAGACAUUAGAGGCUCUAUCCAAGACACACCAAAAGAUAUGAAGCAUCGAUUUUUCUAGUGUUGACUUUUGGCAUUUGCUGUCUUUUCUCAAUUGAAAACUGUCUUGCCUCUCUUAGAAUUGAUAGGCAUUCUCCUUUCCUUUAUCUUUAACUUGUCUUUAAGUGAAGGCAAUUUCAACUCAUAGCCUUCCUCAAAAUUUUCUUAUAUGCCCCCAGUCUAUGUGUUUUCUUUUAGCCUUCUCUCAAUCAUUGGACUUUUGUUCUAAGCCUUCCUUUAUCCAUUAAUGUCUUCAAAAUAUCUCUCAUUUCCCCCAGUGUGGGGUGUGAUCCUAGUCAGGGUUUCUUUUGAAAAGAAAUAUUCUAUCAGGCUCAAAUGGGGACCGCAAGGGAUAAUAUUUCAAGAAAUGUGAAGGAUAACAAAAUGGCCUUUUCUCAUUUCAAGCAAGGUCGGUUAGAACCGAUAAAUUUUGACCUCAUCUAGUGUAAUGAUUAGAACUUGUAAGAGUCAUGAUUCACGAGUCCAUAACUAUUGAAUCCACUACAUGUCAUUAUGCAUAUUGCUAAAACUUAGCUAUAUGAUGUGUGGUUCAAUUUAUGUGUGAGCUCAAAAUUUGUUCAGUCACCUCAUGUCAUUUCAACAAGAAUCGAGUCAUUUCUGUAAUCAAAACACUUUUAAUCUUCAGGAUUGAUUAACCUUUAUCGCAUGUUGGAGUUUGAUCAAAAUAUUUUGUCAGAAUAAAAUGCUAAACCUCUGUUGAUUUCAAAACAACAAAGAGACAAAAGCAAGACAUGUUUCGGUAAAGGAUGAGAUGUGAUCCCAAAACAAAAUGAAGAAUUUCAUAACAAUAUGAUUGACAUUUCAUCACCAUUCUUGAAUCAGCUCUUCUGGCAAUAUUUGUGUUUUUCCAAGCACCUUCGAUCACAUGUCAUUCUGAGGAUGUUCUGGCGACAACAUGAUUGAUGACAUCAUCUUUCACAAACUCAGCUCGAUUCUUGAAACUCUUGUGUCUGUUCAACUGAAAUGGUCCACGAACCCUCCAUGAUAUUCACAUCUGGUUUGAAUUAUACCACGGUGGUUGCAUGCAAUUUGUCUAUCUGGCAGAUGCUGGUAAAUAAACCCACAUGGCAAAGGAAUGUCUAUCUUUGGCAAAGACAUUGGAGUAGUUGAUGCUUGAGCGAGACUUAACUAGGCAAAAUAACUGAGGUUUCUCAAUCGAGAGUCAUCUUUUGAUUCAACUCUCUUCACAGUUCUGGAAUCCAUAACAAAACCUUCAAUCCUUCCCUUCUUCAUAGCUUGCUCAAUUCUUUUGAUGAUCUUCACAACAUCAUGUCAAUCUUCCAAUGUUGUUGUGGUUGGUUGAGGGUUAUUGGAAAACUUCUACCAGCUUGGUAAUCUUGGUAGCGCACAACACCACCGCUACCGACACGUGGAAUCAUGCCUUAUCUCUUCUAUGGGAGAAAAUGAUGGACAUGAAUCUCCUCUAUUUCUUCUUCGAUUCCUCUCGAACGGUGCAGCAAACAAGCACCAAUAGAGGUUCUGCUCUAUGGAAGUUUCAGUCUUCUUCAUGUUUUUCAGUCUAGGCAUGUCUCUUCUCUCUACUUUUGCGUUUUAAUACUGACACUGUUGGAGGAAAAUCAUUUCAAUUAAAAAAGUUUAAUUUGUUAGGAGAAAAUCUCAAAACCUAUGAUUUCUAUUAUUUUUCACUCAAAUAAAUAGACUAUUAAUGACCCAAUUUCAAGUGAAACAAUAGUAGAAAACAUUGAUUGUCCUAAAAAAUUUAACAUAAGGAUUCCUAAGCAUCUUCUUUCUGUCUCCUAAAACUUAAGAUAUGUACAAUGUUGCGCUACAACGUUUUCAAAAUCAAAUAAAAUAAUUACGGAUGCAUAGAGCUCAUCAUUGUCAAUAAUUUUAAAUUAAAUUUCAAAUGCUCAACAAAAGAACGAAUAUUUUCUCAUGGGAUAUAUUUCAAGAGCUUACUCAGAAUUCCCUAAGGUCCAUCCAGAUAGAGUGGCUGUAUCCUUCAAAGCGUCUCUGAAGCUCUGCUCUUUGUCCAUCGUCAAAGCUUUCUUCUUUAUAAGUGUAGCAAAUGCAUCCCCAAAGCUUCCUGCUUGAUUUCUUACAUGGGAUGGAUCCACCUUGUAGAAUACCGGAAUAACUAUCUGUCCAUUAUUUUUUCUACGGUAAAAAAUAUUUGCAAGCUCCUCCAAGCACCACUUGGAAGAUGCAUAGUUUUCAGAAAAUACAUUCACAGAAAGCUUGGCCUCUUCAAUUGUUCUCAGAAGUGAUGCCGAGAUCUCAUCUCCUCUCACAAGCUGAUAAUCUAUGAAAGUCAGGAUUUGUUUCCGGUUCAAAGCGGCAUAGAGGUGGCUGGUAAAAUCAAAACGAGUGUCUUCGCCUCUGAAACUAAGGAAGACAUCAUAUUUCAUUCCUUGUGGCUGGGCGGUGGUUAAGGUGGAAGGAGUAGAUGGCGAUGGAGAUAGAUGAUGGUUUCGUAAGAUGAAUCUCCAGAUAUAAACAAACAAAAAGAUAGAGAGAAACAAGAAAAACACCGCCGUUGUUUUGUGGAGAAACAGACGAAGAAACAAGAGUAAGACUCUGGUGGCAGGGUAAGUAUGUAGGGAGAGAACAGAAGCAACUCAAAGAAAAAAGAUGUUGACUUCCUGGAAAUUUCCGGUCUUGUUCAUUGUUAAUAAUCUUUCGUUAAAUAAUGUUUUUAUAGAGGAGGCUCGAUCAUUGGUUGAUUUUCUUUGAUAAGCACAACUUUGGUGGGCCAUCUACGCGAUUCGGGUGAUCUUACAUGAUAAUAUCGGCAUCCCUUCAAUCAACCAACAAAGGAAGGAGCUCUAUGGGAUGAAUUUGAAAAGAUGGUGGGUUGCAGAGGCGCAAGGGUUUCUCCACUAAUGGAGGGAGACACAUGUGAGGAGGGUAAAGCUAAGGGGCCUCUCCCUGUUUUGACAAACUACACUAGGACCCACCCCUCGAUGGGGUACAAUGGGACCGCAUGUGCAAAUUUGUUGGAAAGAGUUUUAAGCAGCUUAGCUAGAGUGGGUAGGGUGGUGAAAGAAUUGUCCAAUCAUACUUUCACCAUCUUCUUCCCUCGCUAACAACUGUCCUCUCUACGAAGGUUUCCUUUUUCCUCCUCCUUUGUUAAUGGGUGAUUGAAGGGAUGCCGAUCCUAUAAAAACACUUUGGGGCCUUAAUCAUGCUUACUUUGUUGGUUGAUUGAAGGGAUGCCGAUAUUAUCAUGUAAGAUCACCCGAAUCGCGUAGAUGGCCCACCAAAGUUGUGCUUAUCAAAGAAAAUCAACCAAUGAUCGAGCCUCCUCUGUAAAAACAUUAUUUAACGAAAGAUUAGUUGUGCCAGUUCUUGUCAUUAAAAGCAAUACAGUCUUUUCAUGUGAUCUAUUAUCAUUGUCAUAUUAAAUAAGAACAAAUCAGUUUUUAAAGUAUUAAUGCUGCAUCAUCUAAUUGCGAAUGACACAACAAUCAGCAAUGAAUAUUUUCUCAAGUACAAGGACAGGAACAUCAUGACGCAGAUGCUCCAGAUUCUCACACAUUUGAAAAUGUAUGAAGCCCUUUUAACAGUUAAUCUGCAUUACAGGAAAGUGAGCUCAGAAUAGGAAAAAGAUGUGAAUUUAAGAAGAAGCGCAGCCUAUCAUACUAGACUGAGCAAUAUUAAGCUGUACAACAAGAAAUGAUCAUCUCAUAGCAUUGUCUGGAGCAUUCAAGUAGAAGAAUAACCGAAAUCAACUAAACAAGAUGAAAGACAUUGCGCCAACCCAUUUAAUCAAACAGGCAAAUAGAAGCAGCCAUACAAGAGCUUCAUUAGCUUCAUUACCUAUAACGUAAACCGUGUGUGGGAGAAACACUGUGAGAAAGCUUCAUGCAAACUAAAGACUGAUCCAUCAGCUUUCUCCUUCUUUAAUUCAAAAUUCGCAAAAAGUGAACAGAUAACUCUCUCAUUGUGAAGUUAUCUCCUGCCUAAAAUAGAUGUUUAGCAAUUAAGAAUCAAAAGCUAUAUAACUUAUAGAAGUAAUACAAAUGUAAUAAGAAAAAGAAAAAAACUUACUUCACAAGGUCAACAUUAAGACCCAAUCUUCUAGCAUCGCUCUUGGCUACCAAAAAGAAAAGCAAAAAUGUUAAAAUAAUUAAGCAACUUUCAAUAUUCAAGCCAUUGCAAAAGCUAAGCUAACUAAUCAACAUAUAUAUCUUCCCCUAAUAGCAAAGCUAAAAAUUAAGCAUGAUUAGUGCUUCAGUGACGAAAGGGAACGAACUUUGUUUCGUUUCUAGGUUUAUAGACUGGAUUCAGUCAGCAUUACGACAUAAUCAAAAGGAAGGAGUGAAGUUUGGUUACCGGAAUGGACUAAAUCCAGUUAUUUUACUUGAUGAUAUAUAGGCAGUAGUAUAAUUAGUCCUAUCAAUAAUGUUGGUCUAAACCCAAUAUAAUGGUUAUUACUAUUUCAUUGGGAAGAACUUGUUGUGCAUAGCUUUCGAACCUGUAUAAAGUGUUGAGUGGAUAUCGCCAAACAACCACAAUUACAAUAACACUAUCCAUCAAUAGCCGGUCACCUUAAUUCGUCAUUGAUGCCUUUUCUUUUGACGUCCGGACAUCCUUAUUCCUUAAAGUUGACAUAAUCUAUUAUUAAGUUAUUAAGAUGGUGAUUAAUAUUACCGUUGUAAUUAUUUUUAAAAAAGAAUUUUUUAUUUUAAAAUAUAUUAAAAUAUUUUUUUUAUUUUUAAAAUUUACUUUUAAUAUUAACAUAUUAAAAUGAUUAAAAAAUAUUUUAAAAAAAUUAAUUUAAAGUAUAAAAAAAUUCAAAGUGCAGUUUAACUAUAAAAAUAAACAAUAUCUAGGUUAAUUUAUGGGGUUGCUGAAUCAAUUUUAAUUAAUUAUUUUUAUAAAAAUAAUAUUUUUUUAGAAUUAAUCAAAAUAAAUCAAUUAUGUUAUUAUAAAUUUAAUCUGAUGAAUAAAAUUUUACCAAAUUAAUAUUUUUACCUUUUCAAAUAAAAACUUAACUCGCUUAAAGCUUCUCAUCACGGAUUUUCAAUUCAACCCACUAAGAAAAGUGGGGUUUAAUAACUAUAAUAAAUACAUUUCUAUUAUGCAACCAAAACUUCAACGUCUUCUUGAACCAGCCUGGAAAAUCAAGUCCUCCUGUCAUGAUUUUAAAUACACUUCUCUCAGUGGCAUGACCUUGUAAACUAUUUUGUUUCUGAAUUUUUUUUUCUUAACAUGAAAGACAUGAGGACAUCUCCCCUUUUUCCCUAAUAUCUCCGUCACCUCAUAAGAUUAAUCUCUGUAACCGAGAGCCUGUAGUUUUCACGUUAAGUGACUAUCAUGCUAUAAGCGUAGAUCGAGUGGAGAGAAAUGCAGACACAGGGUUAGCUAUGGCAACACAAGAGGGACAUUUUCAGGACUUCGUAUUGUAUCAUGUGAUCAGAAUACACACUCUGCAGACAUUUUUAACUGCCAUCUAUGUUAACAUGUCUAUGGAGGAUAGAGAUCCCAACCAAAUGGGAAAAAUUGAAUUCUACAGAAACGAAGAAUUGCUGUGUUCUUACAGAAUUUAUCAAGGCCUUUUGACAACUUCACAGUUGCUCCAUUCAGAAGCCAACGCUUUUUAGAAUCCUAGUCUAUUUGGUAGGAGGAAAUUACCAGAGGAAAAUGUAAAACAACAGGGGUAGCAAAACGAAGGAAAAGUUCUUGGUCAAAAACAAGAACAGAGAAGAAGGGAAGCCAAAAAUCCAAUGGCCGCACUCUAUUUCCUGUCUCAUAGAGUAGAAAGAACAUGAAAGAGAAGAAAAAAACCUAGAAGAAGAUUUUUCAACUUGAAAGAUAUUGUGUGAGUUUCAUAACUUGCAUAUCAUUUACUUGUGAUGCAAAGACUAAGCAGAUAAUUACCCAUAUCAAGUCUUUUCUCUUGAAACUCAGAGGACUUGAUCCACCAUUGGAACAUGGACUCAUGAUAGGAACUGGCUUGAGAAGGAAACCAGAAGGCCGAGAAGGCACCAAACCAUGAAUUGGAUUUAAUACACAACUAAAUUGAGUACUUUAUGAGCUGAUUGAGAGAGAUCUUGGCACCAAACCAUGAAUCUGAUAUUUUCAUUCCAGAAAUGUUUCCAACACAAGUUUUGAGGUAAAAUAGAAUGACAAGACACAUGAGCAGAUUUAUAUUCAAUCUAUGCUAUUCUUUUCAUGGAUUGAAAAUUAUAAUUACAAGUAUUUUCUGGAAGUGCUUGAUUUUCUUGUGCAAGAUCUAAGAUUUUCACAAUAUACUUCUGAGCUGUGACAACUUGGCAUCAUUUCAGGAGGCUGAAGCAAUUCUAGAAGAUAUCAGAUUUUCUCCAGUGCAAACACUUGGGUAUGGUGUGGUAAGAAAUCAGAUUGCUUUUUGUGAUACUGCACUAUGAUUAGUCUAUUUCAAUCAUUUCUGCUCUUUUGGAUUUCUUUUCCCCAACUAAAGCCAUCUUUUUUUUAAAAAGGAUAUCUUGUAUCUAGAGAGACGUGUUUAUGGGAUGGGAAUGAUCUUUUUAUUUUGUAGCAAGGACAUAAAAUAAUUACAGGUUGAUUUCUCUUUGUUUUGAAUGCAUGCUUCUGUAUGGUCUAGAGACAUGCUUCCACAAAGAUGUGUAUAUAAUUAACUAGAAUUACUCAUGUUGUUUACAUCAGGUCUUUAUUAAUCAUCAAUCCAUGAUUGAGAAAUAUCUAUUGCGUACCAUGCAAAUGUCCAUUGCAUCCUUUACUUACACUAUAUUUAUGCUGUGGACAGGGUUUUGUUACAGCAUCAUAUACAUUGCUAGGUUUGUACACUUUCUUCCUCAUGAACAGGCUCUCUAUUACUUUUCAAGAACGACUCCCCAAAAUGUUGUGGAGUUUGAAAUGCUUCAGCUGUAUUAUAUAGAACCAAUGAUAAAAAUUCUGGUUUUCUUUAUUUUUUUUUCUUUUUUGUUGCUUUCCUCACAUUCUUCUUGCCAACCAAGCUUGAACUUUGUUUCAGAGUGGGAGAAGACCUUACAAUUUAUUGCCAUCAGUAGCUUCAGUCAGGUAUACUUUUAUUUGUUAUAGUGCCCUGGUUAAUGUUCCUUUUACACGCACAUAGAUGUUGAUUUCUAAGCUGAUAAUGAGUAAAACAAACUUCACACAUUCUCAUAUUGUGCUAGUACUUAGAUCUCCUUUGUCUAUUUUGCAUUGCUAAAUUUAGUUAAGUGAACAUUGAGUUUCUCUAAUUAUUGGUUUCUCACACUCUGCCAGGCUAUUGAUCAGCGGGUUGCUUCUUACAAUGGCCCUGAAGAUUUUAAGCAAGAUGUGAGGUAUAAAAUAGUUUGCUUAGGCUAGUUUUGAGUUUAUUUGAAAGAGUUAUAAAAUGUACAAUAACAAAAUCUUGAAUUUAAAGUUUUUAUGUACUUACUGUUUUUCUUGAAUAAAUGCGCUAGAUGGUUGUUAUAGUUAGUUGAGGAAUUAGUUGAAUAACAGAAAGUUCGUUAGUCAGUUGCAAGGGAAGAACAAUAUUUACAGCUAUCUUGAAAACCAAGUAAUAAUUGAAGAUCAAUUUGCAGUAAUUACAGAACUCUCUCUCCCUUUCUAUUUUCUUUUAUAUCUCCCAAAAUUUUCUUUUGAACUUUUUGUCCGCUGGUAUAUUUUCAUCAAAGUGCAAAUACACCCCCCAGCUUUUCAACUCCAAAGGCCUUCGGAUCUCAUGACCUACCUCCCUCCCACAAUACACUCCAAGGUUGCAGAAAUUAAAUGUAACUUCAUUGCCAGAAUAUUUACGUAAAUGAUUUCCCAAUUUGAGCUCGUAGUGUAGAAUCAUGUGAUAUGAGUCACAUGACACCAAGACAUCUGUUGGAAUCUGUUCUUCCCAGAAAGCAAAGACGUCGACUUCAUAAUGCUUAUCGUUUUUACCCUUAACAUGGUAAUCACAAUAUACCUUAUGGAAGGGAAGAGGGCCUAGAAAGACAAGGCAGAAAGCAAUUCCCUUGAGCUGAUGACAAUUUGAGGGCAACUGUAUGGUGACUGAAGAUCCAAUUCCUUUGUCACCGAACCAUUCUGGAAUUUCACUCCCCGGUAGAACCAUUUGAAUACUGCCAUCUGGGAUCUUCUCUCCGGACUGUAACACAAGAGUCACAUUUCGAAAAUGUGAUGAAGCAAGCGAGAGAGAGAGAAGAAAGAAAGACAAGGGGGUUUAGAGAGAUACCUGAAUUUUCAAAUGCAUUACUGCUACCAGUGGUUUCUGAUCCAAUUUGAAGCAAUUUGUAAAAUCCAAUUGAUCAUGCCAUAAUCUACCGAUAUUUAUGAUUGAUAUUGCGGUUUCUAGUGAUGCACAAUCAUUUGUACGUAGACGCCUCAGCGAAGGGGGGAGCUCAGGUAACGUUUUAAUAGACGUUCCAUCUAAAUAUAGAGUUGUCAAAGAUAUCAUAUGCUUAAAUGAUAUCAAAGGUAUCUCUUUAAUGCCUGUUUUACUCAAGUCAAGAGCCCGCAAAGAUUUCAUAGGCACUGUGAUUUCUGGGAAGCUCUCAAGUUUUGAGCAACCACUCAUAUCCAACUUUUGGAGUCUUUUGAGAAGCUGGAUUGAUGAGGGCACCUCUUUAAUAGCAGUUCCCCUUAGAUUUAACCGCUCUAUAUCCUCUAAAUUCUCUGGAAACUUGGUCAUCUUUGAGCAACCAUCUAGAUUAAGACGUUCCAACUUGCCAGUAACUGAUUGUGGAACUUCUUUGAUUGAAGUUUGGUCCAACUGUAACCAUUCCAUAUUUUGUGAAAUCGUUGGACACGUGGUCACAUCUAGGCACCGACUUAUUAAAAGGUCUCUGAGAACCUUUGAAUCAAGCAUUGGAAAACUUCUAAGAUUAUAGCAACCACGGAGAUCAAUUUCUUCCAGCUUGUCAAGAUAUUGAAGAGAUGACGGAACCUCGGUUAAGCUUGGACAGUCCUCUAGUCUUAAGCGCUCUAAAUUUUUGGCCAUUGAUAGAUCUGGCAAUUCCGUCAAAUAUGGAGACUCAGAUAGGUCGAUUGUUCUUAAAUUUCCAACAUCCUGUCAACAGAAAAAGGCAUAAUUAGAAAGUUAGCAAUUAAAUCUGUAGCAAUUAAAUCUGUAGCAAUUAAAUCAUACCUUUACUCCUAUCCAAAGUUUUACAAGCUUGCUUUUGCGUAGGUGAAGCUCGACAAGGUGUUCAACAGGAAAAGAUGGCGGCAAGGAUUUCAAAGGGAAUCCAUCCCAUAGCACAUAUCUCAGCUCUUUAUGAGGAAGGUCCAUUGUAAAUUCAUCAGUGGAGGCAUUAGAUUCCAAGUUUAUGUUUCUCGAUAACUCGUCAUUGUCUAAUAUUCUUGUUGUUUCUUGGUCGUGCAUCCAUCCUUCGAAGAAAUGUGCUAUGUCAAGAAAUAUGGAUUUUUGUUCUGAAUCCAACCCAUCGUAACUAAUUCUCAACGCCCUUUCGAUUUGAGGGUUCUGGGCUAGUUUAUUCAAUGCACUCUGCCAUUCUUCGAUGCUUUUACCAUCAAGAGAGGAACCCAAAACUUUAAGAGCCAACGGAUUGCCUUGUACAUGCCUUACAAUCUGUGCUAUCAAGUCUCUCUGAUCAGUUGUGGGGAUGCAAUUCUUCAAGGCUUUCGAUCUAAAGAGUUGAAUAGCGUCUUUAUAGUUCAACCCCUCAACCUCGUAUGUCUCAUCAACUACAUUACUAAGCACUUGCUUGUCCCUACUGGUUAUGAGAACUUUACUGCCCGGACCAAAUGAAUUGUUUCGUCCAUCAAGCAAAUCUUUCCAUUCUUCAAAACGCAUUAAAUCAUCCACAUCAUCCAGAACAAUAAAAACCUUCAUACGACGAAGUCUAUCCCUCACAAAAGAAUCUCGAAAACUCAAGUAGCCUAUAGUGUUCGGAGUUUCUUGGCCAAGCAGCUGUUUAAGAAAUUUUCUUCGUAAAUCAGAUUGUUGCCUAAAGUUUUCAAAAAAGAUUGCUUCAAAUCGAGAACAAACCUUGCUGCACACAGCUUCAGCAAUCGUUGUCUUACCGAUACCACCCAUUCCCCAUAUCCCUAUAAUGAGAACAUCUAGAGAAUUUAUAUUUAACAAAGACUCAACUUUGCUAACACGAACAUCAAUUCCAAUUAGACCAGCCGUAGUGUGACUUGAUCCGGAGGAAGACGUGGCAUGCAAUUUUUCCAAAACAUCUCCAACGAUUUUCUCAAUAAAUUCAGACUCCAGCCUGACAAACAACCACUUAAAGCCUUAAUAUUUAUACAAGCAUUUCGUUACAAAUAAUAUUUUUUUUCAAAAUUAUUUUUAAUAUAAACAUAUUAAAAUAAUUUAAAAUACUAAAAAAAUUAAUUUAAAAUAAAAAAAUUUAAAGUUUUUACAAAACAUUUUAAAACACAAAACAAACAACCACUUAAUAACUAUACAAACAUUUUACAUUAAAUAAUAAUAUUUUAUUUUUUAAAAUAUUUUUUAAUAUAAACACAAAUAAUAUAAAAACACUAAAAAAAAUAAUUGAAAAAAAAACAAUUUGAAAACACAAAACAACCAACCACAUAAUAUCUAUACAAGUGCUUUGCUAUAACAUUUUCAAAAUCAAAUAAAAUAAAUAUGAAAUAAAUAUGAAUUCACAGAGCUCAUCAUUCUCAAUAAUUUUAAAUUAAAUCUCAAAUCCUCAACAAAUGAACGAAUAUUUUCUCAUGGGAUAUAUUUCAAGAGCUUACUCAGAAUUCCCUAAGCUCCAUCCAGAUAGAUUGGCUGCAUCCGUCAAAGCGUCUCUGAAGCUCUGCUCUCUGUCCAUCGUCAAAGCUUUCUCCUCUAUCAAUCUAGCCAAUGCAUCCCCAAAGCUUCCUGUUUGAUGUCUUACAUGGGUUGGAUCCACCUUGUAGAAUACCGGAAUAACUAUCUGUCCAUUGUUUUUUCUACACUCAAAAAUCUUUACAAGCUCCUCCAAGCACCAUUUGGAAGAUGCAUAGUUUUCAGAAAAAACAAUCAAAGAAAGCUUGGCCUCUUCAAUUGUUCUCAGAAGUGAUGCCGAGAUCUCAUCUCCUCUCACAAGCUGAUUAUCUAUGAAAGUUAGGAUGUGUUUCUGUUUCAAAGCAGUAUGGAGGUGGCUGGUAAAACCAAAACGAGUGUCUUCUCCCCUGAAACUAAGGAAGACAUCAUAUUUAAUUACUUGUGGCUGGGCGGUGGUUAAGGUGGAAAGAGUAGAUGGCGAUGGAAACAUUGGGGUUUCGUAUGAUGAAUCUCCAGAUAUAAGCAAACACUUUGAAGAAACAAGACAUCAAAUCCAAUAAUGGAAAUUUUCUUAGGCUUUACGUGUUUAAGACCCUGGCUUAGGCAUAUUUAUAAUUACAAUAAUGGGGGCAUCAAAUCCAAGAAUUUUCUUAGAAGAUUACAAGAUUGCACAUUGUUGAUUUCCUGGAAAUUCCCCAGUUACAAAGUGAUUUGAUAGGAAAAGGCAUUUAGACGUUGUUUUGUUUUUAUGGUAUUGACAGUGUUUUUAUAAAUUUUGAUCUUUUUUAUUUUUUAAAAAAUUAUUUUUUUUAUUAUUGUAAUUUACUGAUAUAAAAAUAAUUUUAAAAAAUCAAAAGCAUAUAGAUUCUUGUUUAUCACAUCACAGCUGUGAUAGAUAACUUUUUUCAUAUUUCAAAUGUAUUAGCUGUUCCCUUAGCGGAGUAGCAGAUCUUUUGUUAUUUGAUCGAGUGCAGUAUAACCUUUUUAAUGAAGUUUAUUUGUUAUUAUCGUAUUGAUAGAGAAUAAAUUAUUUUUUUAAUAUUUUAUAAUUAUAAUAGAAUUAUUUAAAUAUUCUUAAAAAUAAAAUAAAAAUUAAAGUAGAUGUUUCAGUCUUUUAAUGUUUUAAUAGCAUAAUAAAAUGAUUACAUUAUUUUUAAAUACAAAAUAAUUAAAAUUGAUGUCCAAGUAUUUUUUUAAUAUUUUUAUCGUAGCUUUUUAGUUAUAAUUAAUAUGAAUUAGAGGUAAUUUAAUAUGUUAUCAAUUAUAAUUAGAGGCAAAUGUAUAAUUAUAAUAUGGGGUUAUCAAAUUCAAGUAUUUUCUCAGGACAUUACAGAGGGUGCACACUGUUGACUCCAUAAAUUUCUCAUGUACAAAAAGCUUGAGGUCUUGUUAUUUGUUUUCCUGUGACUUGGACGGAAAGGGUAUUUAUGCUUUGUUUGUCUUUGCAGUACAAACCAUGUUUUUAUAAUAUUUUUUUAUUUGAGAUUAUUUUUUUUUUGUUAUUUUGGCUUGCUUGAUGUAUUAGUAUAAAAAAUAAAUUUUUUUAAAAAAAUAUAAAAAUUAUUUUAAUAUAUUUUCAAUCAAAAAAUACUUUAAAAAAUUACUACUACCAAACUCGUAAACAUCUCCAUAUAUUGGGUCCAAAUGUUUGCGCACAGUGAAGCUUUUUUUGGCUUUACAUUAUAUUAUAAUGGUUAUAUUGAUUUAAUUGAGAAGAAAUUGUUAUAAAUUAAUUUGAUAUUACAGUAACGCUUGGUUUUUAAAAUGUUUUUUACAUAGAAAUAUAUUAAAAUAAUAUAUAUAUUUUUUAUUUUUUAAAAUUUAUUUUUAAUAUCACACAUAUUUUAAUAAUAUAUAAUAAUAUAUAAAAAAAUUAAUUUAAAAUAAAAAAUAAAAUCCACAUAUUUUCUGGAGACGUUACAAGGGUGCGCAUUAUUUACUACGUGGGAAUUUCCUGUGUACAAAAGACUUUAAUGUCUUCGAUCCAAGAAUUUGCUGGCACUUUGUAAUUUGUUGACUUCACAUUAUAUUAUACUGACGAGAUGAAAUGCCAGUAUGCUGCGUGAUUUUAUAAAACAAAUAUAUUUGAUAGUGUUAUAACUAUGAACCAGCACUAGAUGAGCAAUAAAAACUAAAUAUAUAAUAAAAUAAAUAUUUCAUGACGGAAAAAAAAAAGUUGUGUUGGUGAUAAAAAAAACUUAGAGAUUGAAUAAAAUGAUUUGCAAUAAUUUAUAGUGUUUUGUGAAGAAAGAUAUAAUAUUUUUGCCACAUGAUUUAGCUUUUCUGUUAAUAAAAAAAUAAAAAAAAAUUACAAAGCUAAAUUCUCUACCAACUUAAUAUAUAUAUAAAAAAACCUACAAAGAUAAUUUUGUAAGGAAAAAAACCCAUGAGGAAAAACGUUGUAGCAAUUGACAAUGUUUUAUACUAAUUUAUCAAAAACAGUGUUUUCCCCAAUAAAAUAAAAUAAAAAACCAUUUAGAGAAAUAUUGUAGCAAUCCACAGUGUUUUAUGAGAAAAACUAUAACACUUUCCUCAUAUGAUUUAGCUUUAUUGUAAUUAUAAUUCUUAACCAACUCAAUAUUAAAAAAAAAUCAACAAAGAUAAUUUUGAAAAAAAAUCAUAAAAAUAUCAUAUAGGAAAACACUGCAACAAUUCACGGUGUUUUAAAGAAAAAAAUUACAAAACUAAAUUCUUAAUUAGCUCAAUAUUAAAAAAAAAAUCGACAGUGACAAUCUUAGAAAAAAAAAUAACAAAAAAAACACCAAAAAAAAGGGAAAAAUCAUGUUGGAAACAUUGUAGCAAUUCACAAUGUUUUAUGAAGAAAGCUACAGUGUUUCCCCACAUGAUUUAGCCUUAUUUAUAAUGACUUGUAAUUGUAAUUUUCAAACAACUUAAUAUUAAAAAAAAUAAAAUUGACAAAGAUAAUCUGGAAAAAAUUAUAAGAAAGAAAAACCAUGUGAAGAGACACUGCAGUAAUACACAAUGUUUUGUGAGGAAAUAUACAGUGCUUUCCCCACAUGAUUAAGCUUUAUUACAAAGUUAAAUUCUAACCAACUCAAUAUGAAGAAAAAAUAAAUUAACGAAGAUAAUUUUGGAAAAAAAUAUUACAAAAAAAGAAAAUACAAAAGAAAUUGAAAAAAAACCACGUGAGGAAAAAUUGUAUCAAUCCAUAAUGUUUUGUGAGGGAAAACUUGUAUUUACUUAUAAUUACAAUUCUUAACCAGCUUAAUAUUUAAAAAAUAAAAUUAACAAAGAUAAUUUUAGGGAAAAAUAUAACAAAGCAGAAAAAAACUAUGUGGAAAAAAACAUUGUAGCAUCCACAGUAAUUUGUAAAGAAAGUUACAGUGAUUUCCUCACAUAUUGUAACUGUAAUUUUUAACUAAUUCAAUAUUAAAAAAUAAAAUAAAAAAAGAUAAUUUCAAAGAAAAUAAAAAAAAUCAUGUGGAGAAAUAAUGUAGCAAUCAACAAUGUUUUAAAGAAAAAAAAUUACAAAACUAAAUUUUUAAUUAGCUCAAUAUUAAAAAAAAUCGACAAAUAUAAUUUAAAAAAAAAAAAUAGAAAAACUAUGUAAAAAAACACCAUAGCAAUCCACAAUAUCUUUUUUAAAAAAUUUUAAAAUAAAAUUUUUAACCAGUUCAAUAUUUAAAAAGUAAAAUUAAUUCAAAAUUACACACAAUCUAUUCAAAUAAAUCCGUAGAUGCCUUUUCCUUUUUCCUUUUAUAUAUAUUUAUUUAUUGUGAAGAAGAAGAAGAAGAAAAAGAAGUCGUCUUGAAGGAUGAAGGAGAGAGCAAGAGACGGGGGAUGGGCCAAUCCUCUUCUUCAUAUUGACGGGGACGACGACUUGACCUUAAGUACUCUUCCUGGCGAGUGAUAGGGCAGCGUGUUCGGGAAGCUGAGUUCAGAAAUUACGUGUUUCUUUUUACAUGCUUCCUUCCAGCUCAUUACACACAAUCUAUUCAAAUAAAUCGGCAGAUGCCUUUUCCUUUUUCCUUUUAAAGGGAUCACCGGCCAUCGGUGUUGUUGGAACAUAAACAAUUGAACAUUGGAAGAAAUAAAUAAUUUUCCCGUGCUUAAAUUACGGCAACUAUUCUUUUCAACUACGGCCAGACAUGACAGGGCUUUAGUAGAAUGCCUUUUUUCUUCUUCUUCCUCUGUCUUUUGGAGAAAAGAUGGAGAAGUUUAUUAAAAUUCAUGGCAAGUUUAUUAAAAUUAAUGGAUGCUUUUUCGAAAUUACGUGUUUCCUUUUUCCUUCUAUAUAUAUAUACAAGGAUAUAUAUUAUAUAAUAAGCUAAAGUGGGAUUGUGACAUUUCUGUAUGAUGUAUCUUUGUUGGUGUGUAUAUAUAUACCAACAUAAUUGGUUCUGUUUACUGCUUUAGGCAACAUAAUUGGCAUGCAGCCAUGUAAUUAUAAUUAUUUCUUUUCCUUCCAGUUCAUUACACACAAUCUAUUUAACAGAUGCCUUUUCCUUUUUCCUUAUAUAUAUAUAUAUAUAUAUAUAUAUAUAUAUAUAUAUGCUGUUUGUCUUUUUGGUAUAAAUAAUGUUUUUAUAAUUUUUUUUUAAUAUUUGUAUUUACUAAUAUCAAAAAUAAUUUUUAAAAAAUAAAAAAUAUUAUAUUAUUUUUUUUAAUAAAAAAAUAAGAACUACCUACUACACUUACAGAAGAAACAUUCCAUGUAUUGAGUCUUUGCGCGUGAGAUGACUUUUUUUGCCUCCCAAUAAUUAGCGUUAUUUGUAUUAUAACUUUUUUAAUAUUUCAAAUGGAUUAGCUAUUCCCUUGGCUUGGCGUAUUAGCACUUUAGGAUCUUUUGUUAUUUUCUCUUCAACUUUUUUAUUAUAUAUUUUCUUUACACAGCAAACACUUAUGUCCCCGUCAUUCUUUAAGUACAUUAACUAGUAUAUCGGCAUGCGAUUCACAGCAGGGUUAAUAUUAAUCUUUUUAAAAUUAAAAUAGCAAUCAUGUCAGCCUCAGCAUUUUGCAUCUAGAAUAGUAAAAGUCUAGAAUAAUAUAUAUAUAAUGUGAAGAAGAAGAAGAAGAAGUCUUGAAGGAGAGAGGAAGGGACGGGGAUGGGCCAAUCCUCUUCUUGAUGCUCGGGCAAUAAUAACCAUGUUGAUGGGGACGACGACGACUUGACCUUAGUCUUCCCGGCGAGUGCUUGGGCAGCGUGUUCGGGAAUCUGAGCUGCCUUGACAUUACGUGUUUUCUGGAAAUUAUGUUUUUUUGUCUUAACGGUGGCUUUCGAUAAUGUUCAUAUUUAUAGGAGAUAAAUCAAAUUUUAAACGUUUUGAAGCACUUAGGAAUGAUUUAAAUAUUUUAAAAGUAAAAUUUUUAAAACAAGGAUUCCUGAGUGUUUCUAUUUUUUAAUAUUUUGAUAGCAUAGUAAAAUGAUUAUCUUAUUUUAAAAUUAAAAAUUUAAAAUUUUCAAAUUCAAGUAUUUUCUCGGGAUAUUAUAAAAAAAUUUAUUUUAUAUUUUUAAUUAAAAAAUAAUUAAAUAUUUUUACCUUCAUAUUAUAUUAUAAUGGUAUGAUAAUUUGAUUGAGAAGAACUUAUAGAAACUGGUUAAUGAUUGUUUUUUAAAUGUUUUUUUCUUAUAAAUAUAUUAUAUUAAAAUAAUAUAUUUUUAUUUUUAAAAUUUUAUUUUUUAUUUCAACACAUCAAAAUAAUAUAAAAAUAAAAAUAAUAAUAAUUUAAAAUAAAAAAAUAAAAAAACUCAAAUUCAAAUAUUUUCUUAGUACAUUACAGAGGGUUCAAUUAUUGACAUCCUAGAAAUUUUAUUAACCACAAAAGGCUUCAUCUCUUCUUAUUAUUAUUAUUAUUUUGUAAUUUGGUAGGGAAAGGCAUCAAGUCUUCCAUCCUAGUGUUGCGUGUAAAAGAAAUAAUAAUAAUAAUAAAAGUGUUUGCGCGUAAACUUUGUUGAAUUUCACAUUAUAAUAUAAUGGUUAUUAUGAUUUCAUUGGGAAGAACUUGUUACUCUGCCCUAAUUAUAGGAUUUAAAAAAAAAUGAUACUAUUAAAGAAAUAAUAUGGUUUAAUUUAUUUUUUUUUAGAAAAAACAACAUAUUUUUUAAAAACCUGCUAUUUUAAAUCAUGAUUUUAAUAUAACCGUGAUUUUGCAAAAUCACAAUCUAUCCAAAUAAUUUGGCAGAUGCUUUUAUAUAUAUAUAUAUAUUGAAGAAGCUGAGUUGCCUUGACAUUGAGUAUUUCCUGGAAAGUACGCAUUUCUUGUCUUAACGGUGGCUUUCGAUAAUGGUCAUAGCACUUUCGGUUUGUUUUUGACCGAAAGAGGAAAGAAAUUUUUGACCGAAAAAUGAACACAGUUUACAAUAACUGGUGAUUUUUGGGCUUGUUUUUUACCCUCACCGACUACACAUACCAUGCAAUGAUGAUAUAAGAACCUGGAAAUAAACCCAGUAAGCUUUCAAAGUCCAGGUCUUUAAAAUUAGAAAAAUAAUCUUCAUGUAAACUCAGCAUAUGAAAAUAAUAAGAGAAGGAUAAGAAGAAGAAGAGGAAACCUGCUAAGUGGUCGUAGAAACCAACAACUUGAAGGUGUUUGCCAUCUCUUGGAGUAUGGCUAUCAGCAGGAACAAUUCUGUAAAAUGCCCUGUUUUUGCAUCCCAGUCUAGCUAAACGAAUCUUCACCGCCAUUUUCUCUUUAUUUCGAGUGUAUGUUUUUGUAUAGUCUAGAGACAUGAUUCCACAAAGAUGUGUAUAUGGUUAACUAGAACUACUCAUGCUGUUUACAUCAGGUCUUCAUUAAUCAUCAAUCCAUGAUUGAGAAAUAUCUAUUGCUUACCAUGCAAAUGUCCAAUGCAUGCUUUACUUAUUGUUGUAACCCAAUUUUGACCCACUUAUUGUUAAAUUAAUUUUAAGGAGGGUAAAUCUUGAAAAUUAAAAGACCAGGGGUUUGAAUGCAAGGAUUUAGAAACUUCAAGGACCAGAUUGGAAAUAACCAUUCUCAGCCCCAAAACAGCACCGUUUCAAUCAGGUGAUGUCCGUCAUCUUCGUCUCCAAAGCACCGAACGUCCGCCUGCAAAGAAGGAAACGAAAGUGUGAAACACCAGUAUCCUAGCCCAUUCAAAAUACAGAAAAGCAAUAUUUAUCUUCACGAUAAUUACAACCCGACGAGAUAAAGAUUGCACUUCGCAUCCGAGUCCUAGUAGGAACCGUCUCCCUCAGCCGUGCUUAUCAAGAGGAGAGACGUGAGGCUGAGGGAGAGGAGGAUUGAUCCCUAUAAAUACCCAACAAUUGACAACCCCCAGGGGAAGAGGGGGAGAAGGAGAAAGGGAGAAAAAACCGAGUAAAAAAGCCAGAGCAAAACAGAGCAUAAAAAUCACAGAGAGGAAUCAGUUCGGCCUUUGCCUUCAUCCUUACAUAAAACGACCAAAAAAAUCAAUACCCACAGAAGCCAGCAGCUUCGUUCUCGUUUCUGAAAACAGAGGGAAAGAGAUCAGCCAGGUGAAAGUCAUCAAUAGUCGUUCCAGCCCGAGCUUCGCCAUCGUCUCCAACGCUUCUAAUAGAACAGGUACACUCUGUUUCUUCUUCUUUUGUCACAAUUAAAUGGUAUUUUACACGAGGCAAGUGAAUUAAUUCACUUGCACAGUGUAAUUCACUAGCCCAGCCAGGCCACCGGCUUGGGCCAGUGGCCAGGCUGGGUUGGCUGGGUCUAGCCUAGCCCAUGUGGGCUGAGCUAGGCCCAGCCCAAAAAUGUAUAAAAAAAUAUAUAAAAAUUGUGUAUAAAAAAAAUAUGAAUUUAUUGUUUUUUUUAUUUAUUCUUUGACUUCAAAUUCAGAAUAAAAAUACCCAUUCAAAUUUAUUUCAUUGUAUUUUAAUAAGUUAUAUAAAAUAAAAAAUGUGUGAACCAAUAAUAAUAAUAAUAAUAAUAUAAGAUAAAAUAAAAUAAAUUUAUUUGGCAUAUUCACUGACGCCAGAGUCAGGAAUAAAAAAAUACUAAUGUAAAUUUAUUUUAUUUUAUUUUAUCUUGUUUUUAUUUAGCUACAUAAAAAAUAAAAAUGCGUAUGCGUAAAAAACAAAUAAAUUGAUUUUUACUUGUUUAUUAACUAAUGCCAGAGUCAGGAAUACAAAAAAUGAUGAUUUAAAUUUAUUUACUUUGAUACCUACGUAAUAUUUACCAACGCCAGAGUUGGAAAUAUCCGUAGUUGAAUAAUAUAAGAUAAAAUAAAAUAAAUUUAUUUGGCAUAUUCACUGACGCCAGAGUCACGAAUAAAAAAAAUACUAAUGUAAAUUUAUUUUAUUUUAUUUUAUCUUGUUUUUAUUUGGCCACCAAAAAAUAAAAAUAAUGCGUAAUAUUUUAUUUACUUUGAUACCUACGUAAUAUUUACCAACGCCAGAGUUGGAAAUAUCUGUAAUUGAAUAUUCACUGGCGCUAGAGUCAGGAAUAUUACGCGCAAACAACCAUAGUAUAAACCAACAAAAUGUUAGCAAUUAAUGAUAAAUAUUAGCAAUGCAGCCUGCCUUAGGCAGGACGUUUAAUGGGUGAUAAUAUCUUCCCUUUUACGUAACCAGUCUCGGACCAUAUAAUCUCUGCUGACCAGUUAGGGUUCCUAGUAACCGUAAUACUAGGUGGCGACUCCUUAAACAAAGAAUAUCCCAUUUAAAGAAUAGGAUGUCAGAAAUUCGUUCUUUUCAAAAACUUAAUUUUUAAGGCUGCCGCGAUGUCGGGUGCGACAGAAUGGCGACUCCACUGGGGAUCUAAGACUAAGCUUUGUCUUUAUUUGUUAAAAUUGCUACAAAUUCUUGUUGUGUUGUUUGUUUAUUUUUUGUUUAUUUUUUAUUUAUUUUGUUUUUUUGGUUUAUUUUAUUUAUUUAUACGGCUUUAGCAUCCAUAUUUAUUCAUGUCAUCAUAUAUAUUGGAUAUGCAUUGAUGCCUUCACACACCACGCAUUUCAUAAUAAAUAUCUGUUAUAUAAACUUUAUGUUAAGUGGGAGAGUAGCGGUACCCCAAUGGUUUUAGCCUGGGUAAGACUCGUGAAACCAUCCAACUUUCGCUUAAUUGUUUACUCGAUAGUGGUUGAUAUGCCUAAACUGAUAUUACUCAGGGCCUCUAUCUUCACGCUACUUGUAAGCCUCAUAUCAACCUUUCGAGGAAGAUCAUUGAGCAUGUGAAAGACCUUUCAAAGACUAGAUAGCAACCUACCCUGAGCAUUUAAUAACUAGAACUUACCCUUUAGGUUGUUUCCUAUGUAAGUUUCACUAAGCAAAGGUGUAACAUAUAUCAUUUCAUUACAGGAUUAUUAUUUCUGGGUGACAUAAUGGUUGUUAAUAGAGAAGUCAACACUGUUGAGUAUGGGCUUGAAUCUGAAUCAUUGCAUAUGACUGAGGGAGAUUGCCCUAGACUGGAUGAUAGUGGGAUACCGCUGCUAAAAGAUGUGAGAUGUGUAAUAAAUGAUGCCAUUCGUUUACUUCCACUCACCAAAUACUUGGCUGAUGUGACAGAAUUUACUAAGAUGUAUGAGAGAGUUUUGCAUCUUCUAAAUGUGCCAGUAUUGCCAUUGGCCAUAAGAGCUCUGAUUCAUUUUUGGGAUCCUGAUUAUCGAUGUUUUACAUUUGGGGAUGUCGAUAUGGUUCCUACCAUUGAAGUAUGGUGUUUUGACAGAAUUUCCUGAGGAUAUACAUAAGGUUACUUUCAUCAAAGACUUGAGGAUACUAUAGAGGAGCUUGCUAAGUAUUGGGAAUCCAGCAAAUGAGUUUGUAUAGAGAAAAAAAUAAUUCGGGGGUUUGAGAUGGAAACGGCUAGAAGAGUUGUUGAUUGCUAAAAAGUCUAAUCCAUGUGCUAAAGUAGAAGUAUACAGAAUAUUGGCUUUGGGAAUAUUUGGGUUGAUUUUGUGCCCUUCAUCUGUUGGAAUUGUUAGUUUAGAGGCAGCUAAUUUGUUUGUUAAGUAUGAGAAGACCAAAAUUAAUCCUUCUGCUGUGAUCUUGGCUGAAACUUUUUUGUCCCUCAAUCAUUGCAAAAAGACUGGAAAAGGUUCUAUGAGAUGUUGUGUUCCAUUAUUAUUCAUUUGGAUGGUAAGUCACAUAGAAUCCAAGACACCAAUAUUCCGGAAUUUUUGGUGGUUUGAUCAAAGGCCACUCGAAUUAUUUGUAUCAAAUGAAAUGGAAAUUUUUUUCUGAAGAUGACUGGAGGAUAAAACUACAAGGAAUUCCACGAAGCAAUUUUAAUUGGAGAGCUCCUUGGAUGAGAAAUGUAACGUACUUAAUGGGUUGUGGGAAGAAGCCUUGGGUACCUUUGAUUAGAGUGACUGGAUAUAUUAGCUAUGCGCCUGCUUUAGUUGCAAGAAAAAUUAAAGACCGUACAACUUAUGGGAAACCAAAAAAUGAUAAAGCAACAUAAUCAAACAUUGGAUGAUGCCAAUAACUUUUUGUCUAGAAACAACUUGAUGCAUACUGAGAGGAUAGAGGAACUACAAGAUCAGAUUAAUCGAGCAGCUGCAGAAGCCCAUUUAUUACGAGUGGAAGCUCGUCAAUUGGGAGGAGAUAUAAUGAAAUAUCGAAGGAGCAUGGAUAACACCGAUCUUUUUUUGAAAGCAAUAGCUACUAGAGGCAGUGUUUUUUCUCCUGUAAUAGAUUAGAUUAAUUUUUACUGUAAGUUUCUGAAUAAGUAAUAAGAGGGCUGAGACCCAUAUUUUUCAAUGCAAAGAUAUGUGUAUAUAGCUGAAAGCCCAAAUGUCAAAAAGCUAAGCAGAUUUCUUCUCGGCAUCGCAACAAUGAUAUCAAGUUCAAGUUCAACCCAUAUAUCCAAAGAAUGACGGCCAUAUGUCACCAACAAAAGCGAAUCUAUAUCCAAUAUGUGGCAUUCACAUUCAUGCAUCACAUACAUUUGCUUAUAGAUUGUCAUAUUCUGCAUAUAACAGGUGAAAUAUAGGUCCCCAACCUAAACGUAUUCAUAAUACUCGUUCACGAAAGAAAAUGGAAAAUGAAGAGAGAAAUCAGUUAGAAAUUCAACACCAAAGAGAGUUGGAAAGCCUGAAAGAGGAUGUAGCAAGGCUUACCAGCCUGCUUGAACAGGCUUUGAGGCCUAGAGUUGGAGAAGGGACAUCUUCUCAACAAACAUUUACACCUCAACCUCCGCCAUUUGAACCUUAACAUGCUGCUCCUUUCGCACCUGCUCAAGCAGCACAUCCAAUGAGGGUCCCCCACACUGUGUUGAUAGAAGAAGAACCUCAAAGGAACAAGAUCGUAGAGGAAAAUGGUCAGGAAAAACUAGCUGCUUUAGAAGAAAGAAUGAAGGCAAUAGAGGGGAAUAGUUUGUAUGAUCCGGUAAAGGCUGCUGAAAUGUGUUUAGUGCCUAAUGUGGUUAUUCCCAGAAAAUUCAGAGUUCCAGAAUUUGUUAAAUAUACUGGAACUCAAUGCCCAAUCACCCAUCUUAAAGCAUACUGUAAUAAGAUGGCUGAAGUAGUCCAUGAUGAGAAGUUAUUGAUCCAUUUCUUUCAGGAUAGUUUAAGUGAUGCUGCUCUUGCUUGGUAUAUGCGUUUGGAUAAUACCAAGAUUAAAGGAUGGAAGGAUUUGGUUGAAGCUUUUAUUAGACAGUAUAAGUUCAACAUGGAUAUUGCCCCAGAUAGAUCAAGUCUGCAAGCCAUGGAAAAAGGCAAUAAAGAGUCUAUAAGAGAAUAUGCUCAAAGGUGGCGUGAAUCAGCCGCACAAGUAAAUCCUCCAUUGUCAGAAAGGGAGAUGACUGGUUUAUUUUCCAACACUUUCAAAACCCCGUACUUUGAAUACUUGGUGGGUAGUGCUGCACAAAAUUUAUUUGAUUUGGUUGUCAUAGUUGAAAGGAUCGAACAAGCUGUUUGGACGGGUAGGAUUGUGGAUCCUACUGAAAAAAGAGGUUUUAUUGGAAAAAAAAAGAAGCGGAAGUUCACAAUAUUGAAAGGGAAAGUAGAGUGAAGAACACUUACCUAGAUAAUUACAGAUCCAAAAGUAUUACACCUACCCCCUCUAUAUCCAAUAUAAAAUUCUCUUCACCUACAAACACCCAAAAUAACCCAAUAAACAACCAAACCAAUAAUGCCUACCGCCCGAGAAGAAAUUUUCCAAUACAUCAAGUGCAGCUUCCACCAUUACCCAUGUCUCUUACUGAAAUGCACCAAAGAUUGCUUAGUAUUGGUCAGGUAGCACUUGUUCCCUUAGAACCUUUACAACCACCAUUUCCCUUUUGGUAUAAACCCGAUCAAAAAUGUGAAUACCAUGCUGGUGUUGUUGGUCAUCAUAUUGAUGGAUGUGUUGCAUUCAAAGGAAAAAUCCUUCAGCUCAUCAAAGCUGGGUGGAUUUCUUUUGAUGAGUCUCCAAAUAUGAAUUUUAACCCUCUACCAAAUCAUGCUUCUGGAGUUGGGGGAGUUAAUAGCUUGGAGAUAGGAAAGGGAGGUACAACAACUUUAAGGGUGACUAUGGAUAGAUUGUAUGGGAUGUUAAGGCAAACAGAUUAUCUAAAGACACCAGUCAAAAUACAAGCUGUAAGGAAUGCGAAUGAAUAUUGUAAAUAUCAUCAGCAGCUUGGGCAUGAUAUUGACUCGUGCGAGGAGUUUCAUUUAGAGGUAGAAAAUAUAAUGGCGUUGGGAAUGUUAAGAUUGAUGAAACCCAAAGAAGAUGAGUUAGUAGGAACAAUGACUGGUUGUAACAAAAAAGUGGAAGUUUAUAGAUAUAUACCAACCGAAAAGGGUCCACCAAAAAUGAUCCUAACCAAGCCUAUAAAUACUGUUAACGGAAGCUAUAAUGCCCAACCCUAUAAUUAUGGUUAUUCUUUUCACAGCACAAAUCCUGCCCCUGUUUUCCAUGCUGAAAUAGGGGGACUCACUCGGAGUGGGAGAUGUUUUACUCCUGAAGAGUUGGAAAACCAUAGAAAAGCCAAAGGAAAGGACAUGGUGGAAUUGGCCAGGCUGGGUUGGUUGGGUCUAGCCCAGCCCAUGUGGGCGGAGCUGGGCCCAGCACAAAAAUGUAUAAAAAAAUAUAUAAAAAUUGUGUAUAAAAAAAAUAUGAAUUUAUUGUUUUUUUAUUUAUUCUUUGACUUCAAAUUCAGAAUAAAAAUACCCAUUCAAAUUUAUUUCAUUGUAUUUUAAUAAGUUAUAUAAAAUAAAAAAUGUGUGAACCAAUAAUAAUAAUAAUAAUAAUAAAAUAAGAUAAAAUAAAAUAAAUUUAUUUGGCAUAUUCACUGACGCCAGAGUCAAGAAUAAAAAAAUACUAAUGUAAAUUUAUUUUAUUUUAUCUUGUUUUUAUUUAGCUACAUAAAAAAUAAAAAUGCGUAUGCGUAAAAAACAAAUAAAUUGAUUUUUACUUGUUUAUUCAUUGACGCCAGAGUCAGGAAUACAAAAAAUGAUGAUUUAAAUUUAUUUACUUUGAUACCUACGUAAUAUUUACCAACGCCAGAGUUGGAAAUAUCCGUAGUUGAAUAAUAUAAGAUAAAAUAAAAUAAAUUUAUUUGGCAUAUUCACUGACGCCAGAGUCAGGAAUAAAAAAAUACUAAUGUAAAUUUAUUUUUAUUUUAUUUUAUCUUGUUUUUAUUUGGCCACCAAAAAAUAAAAAUAAUGCGUAAUAUUUUAUUUACUUUGAUACCUACGUAAUAUUUACCAACGCCAGAAUUGGAAAUAUCUGUAGUUGAAUAUUCACUAGCGUCAGAGUCAGGAAUAUUACGCGCAAACAACCAUAGUAUAAACCAACAAAAUGUUAGCAAUUAAUGAUAAAUAUUAGCAAUGCAGCCUGCCUUAGGCAGGACGUUUAAUGGGUGAUAAUAUCUUCCCUUUUACAUAAUCAGUCUCGGACCAUAUAAUCUCUGUUGACCAGUUAGGGUUCCUAGUAACCGUAAUACUAGGUAGCGACUUCUUAAACAAAGAAUAUCCCAUUUAAAGAAUAGGAUGUCAGAAAUUCUUUCUUUUCAAAAACUUAAUUUUUAAGGCCGCCGCGAUGUCGGGUGCGAUCCUUAUACUAUAUUUAUGUUGUGGACAAAAUUUUGCUGCAGCAUCUUAUGCAUUGCUAGGUUAGUACAUUUUCUUCCUCAUAAGCAGGCUCUCUGUUACUUUUCAAGAACAACUCCCUAAAAUGUCGAAGAGUUUGAAAUACUUCAGCAGUAUUAUAUGGAAACAAUGAUAUAAAUUCUGGUUUUCUUUAUUUAUUUUUUCCUUUUCUUUGUUGUUGCUUUCCUCACAUUCUUCUUGCCAAACUGUUACUAUCGUUGGCUUUAGACAGGUAUACUCUUAUUUGUUAUAGUGUUUGAUCAAUGUUUCUUUCACACACAGAGAUGUUGAUUUCUAAGCUGAUAAUGGUUAAAAAACCAAAACAAAAAAAAAAACUUCACUCUUUUCUGAUAUUGCACUAGUACUAAGAUCCUUUGAUGUAUUCCAUAAAAAUAGCAUGCAUUCGACCAUUAAGCUAGAUCCCCUUUGAUGGAAAGUUUUAUGUCAUUGUUAAAUUUAGUGUAGUAAACCUUGAGUUUCUCUAAUUAUUGGUUUCUCACACUCCACCAGACUAUUUAUCGACUGGUUGCUUCUUACAAUGGCCCCAUAAGUCUUUUGUCCUGCAUGUAUUCAUGGUGUAAUUUGGUAAAUCAUAAUGGAAACUUAGAUUCUGCACAAUGCUAAAUGCCAUUUCUAGUAUGUUAUGAGAAGUAGUUAUGAGACACUUGUCAUAACCCAAUUUUUGAUCAUUUUAUUUUAAUUAUUAUUAUUAUUUUAUUUACUGAAAAUGAUAAAAAAAAAUGAUGAUGAAAAAAUAAUAAUGAUGAAAAAAUAAGUAAAAUGAAAUAAAGGAAGAAUGAAUUAAAAUUUGGGUUAAUGGCAAAAUGAUUGAAAGUUUUGGGGUUUAAUUAAACUUUGAAAUUAAUCUAAUUAAGCUUGAAAUUAAUUUAAUUAAUCCAAUUAAGGGUUUUAUUGGAGAAUUGAUAAGUUUUGAGACUUAAUUGAGCUUGGAAUUAAUUUAAUUUAUCCAAUUAAGGGUUUAAUUGGAGAAUUGAUAAGUUUUGAGACUUAAUUAAGCUUGGAAUUAAUUUAAUUAAUCCAAUUAAGGGUUUAAUUGGAGAAUCGAUAAGUUGUGAGACUUAAUUGGACUUUGGAUUUAAUUAAAUUAAUGAAAUUAGGGACUUAAUUGAAGAAUAUCAAAGUUUAGAGUUUAAUUGGGGUCCAAAUUGCAAAACUUAAAAUCCAAGGACCAGCUUGAAAAUGGCGCGGAAAUACAAGGAUCCAAUUGCAUUUUAUCCAGGGGCUUGAUUGCAUGAUUUCAGAACUUAAAGGACCAAAAUGCAAAUGGCCAUUAAACACAGCACUGUUCAUCGCCUUCUUCUUCAGGAGCCGUUUCUGGCAGUAAUGGCCUUGAAGUCGUUUCAAAUGGUUGGUAUUCUCUGGCUAUAAAGCCAGAGAAGAUGAGAGAGCGCGGGAGAGAAAAUAACAGAAACAAAGAGAGUGGGGAGGGGGGGAGACAAAAAACAGAGCCACAAACGGCAGAAAUAAGGAGUCACGGAACCGGUGGAAAACAAAUACCCAGAGGAAAGAAAAGGGAGCAGAACCGGGUAGGGAGACUGUACAGAGGGGAGCAGAAUUUGUGCCUUUGUUUUCUUCUAAAAGAGACAGAGGCGCUUGGCGCCAUUCUCUGGUAAGCUAGAGAAGGCCAUAGAGAAGGAAACAAGUAACUCAGGGGGCAGCGCCUUCCCCCCUUCACAACUGAACUCGCAGACGAAGAAGAAAAGGCAUCAGACCACGAAACCCAGGCAAGGAGGAAGAAAACAACGACAAGCACACAGACGAAGAAGGAAAUAAAGAAAGCAAGAACCAGAGGAGUAGACGGAAACAGAAAUAGAGGAAGAACUGAAAAUAAUCGAGGAAGAGACCAAGAACCACAGAAAAAUGGACGACGAACCGUGACCAGAACCAGUGUCACUGCUGCCUUCGGUUUUGCCAGCGCCAGGUAAGUAGCGUUUUCCUUCCUUGCAUUUUAAUUACAUGUUCCUGUAGGUAAAAACAGAAAUAAUGGCCAGCCGGGUCAAGCCUUGACCCGGCUAGGCCUGCUGGGUCCAGCCCAGCCAUGUGGGCUGAGCUGGGCCCAGCCCAAAAAAUUAAUAAAAAAAAUUAAAAAAUUAAAAAAAAAACAGAAAGAUAAAAAACAGAAAAAAAAUAAAAAAUAUGUAUGCAUGAAUAAAAAUAAUAUAAAUUUAUUGGUUUAUUCACUGACGCCAGAGUCAGGAAUAAAAAUACCGGUUUAAAUUUAUAUUAUUUUUAUUCUUUGUAUUUUUUAUUUUGUUUAGCUAAAAAAUAAAAAAUGUGUGCAUGCUUAAAAAAUAAAUUUAUUUUUAUUUAUUUAUUCACUGGCGCUAGAGUAGGGAAUAAAAAAAUAUAUUGAUCUAAUUUUUGUCGUAGCUACGAAUUUUUACCAACGCCAGAGUUGGAAUUAUUCGAGCUCGAAUAUUCACUGGCGCCAGAGUCAGGAAUAUUAUAAACAAAUCAUCACAGCAUAAACUAAUAAACAUUUAGCAAUUUAAGACAAAACCAACAAUGCAGUUUGCCUUAGGCAGAACGUUUAAGGGGUGAUAAUAUCUUCCCUUUUACGUAACCAAUCCCGAAUCAUCGAAUCUCUAUUGACCAGUUAGGGUUCCUAGUGACCAUAAUACUAGGUGGCGAAUCCUUAAACAAGGCAUUUUUCCCUAAAAGAAUCGGAUGCCAGAAAUCUGUUCUUUUUCCAUAAUUCAAGAGAAUUAUUUUUUAGGGCUGCCGCGACGUCGGGUGCGACAACACUCAUCAAUGAGCAUGCUUAUAUCGAAAAUCACAGGCUGACAAUAAAAGCCAUCUAAUACUCUUGUAGCUUGGUUUUGCUCAAAUCUUCUGAAGAAAUCACAGGCUGACAAUAAAAGCCAUCAAGAAAUAUGGAUUGUUGUUCUUGAUCCAACCCAUUGUAACUAAUUCUUUACGUAUUUUUGAUUCGAGGGUUCUGAGCUAGUUUAUUUAAUGCACUGCGCCAUUCUUCGAUGCUUUUACCAUAAAGAGAGGAACCCAUAACUUUAAGAGCCAACGAAUUGCCUUGUACAUGCCUUAUAAUCUGUGCUAUCAAGUGUCUGUGAUCAAUUGUCGGGAUGCAAUUCUUCAAGGCUUUUAAGCUAAAGAGUUGAAGAGCUUCUUCAUCGUUCAACCCCUCAACCUCAUAUAUCUCAUCAACUACAUUAUUAAGCACUUGCUUGUCCCUACUUGUUAUGAGAACUUUACUGCCCGCACCAAAUGAAUUGUGUCGUCCAUCAAGCAAAUCUUUCCAUUCUUCCAAAGGCAUUAAAUCAUCCACAUCAUCCAGAAGAAUAAAAACCUUUUUACGACAAAGUCUAUCCCUCACAAAAGAAUCUCGAAAACUCAAGGAGCCCAUGUUCAGAAUUUCUUGGCCAAGCAGCUGUGAAAGAAAGCUUCUUUGCAAAUCAGCCAUGGAACCAGUUUUUAAUUCUUGCCUAAAGUUUGCAAAAAAGAUUCCUUCAAAUCGAGAACGAACCUUGUUGCACACAACUUGAGCAAUUGUUGUCUUACCGAUACCAUCCAUUCCCCAUAUCCCUACAAUGAGAACAUCUGUAGACUCCAUAUUUAACAAAGACUCAACUUUGUUAACAUGAAAAUCAAUUCCAAAUAAACCCGUAGUAUGACUUGAAGACAUGGCUUGCAAUUUGUUCGAAACAUCUCCAACGAUUUUCUCAAUAAAUUCAGACUCCAACCUGACAAACAAGAAGAACACACAUAAUCGUUAGUCAAAAUGGACCGGACAAGAAGAAACAUAUAAACAUACUCACUCCUAAGUAGCUACAUCUAUACAUAGGAGGCACGUACGAGUAAUUGAGCAUCAUUACUGGCAAUGGAUAGUGCUAAUAUAUGUAACACAUGAAUCAUAGACCUGGACAAGCUUCUUUGACUGGGCCUCUCGAGAGAAUGCAUUUGAGUUCAGAAAUCUAUAGUUAAUCAAUCCUUGAAACUGAAAACUACUUGUAAGUGUAUAUCUAAGAAAAUCAAUGAAAUGCAAAUGCAAAUGCAAAAGAUGUUUUCUCAUAUCAUCAUAUCAUAUAAUCAUUUCAGUUAAAAAGUUUAAGUUGUUAGGAGAAAAUCUCAAAACAUAUGAUUUAUAUUAUUUUUCAAGGAAUGUGAUCUUUUUCACCUCAAAUAAAUAGACUAUUAAUGACCCGAUUUCAAGUGAAACAAUAGAAGAAAACAUUGAUUGCCCUAAUAAAAUUUAACAUAAGGAUUCUUAAGUAUCUUCUUUCUGUCUCCCAAAACUUAAGAUAUGUACAAGUGUUUCGCUACAACGUUUUCAAAAUCAAAUUAAAUAAAUACAGAGAUCAUCAUUGUCAAUAAUUUAAAAUUAAAUUUCAAAUACUCAACAAAAGAACGAAUAUUUUCUCAUGGGAUAUAUUUCAAGAGCUUACUCAGAAUUCCCUAAGGUCCAUCCAGAUAGAGUGGCUGUAUCCUUCAAAGCGUCUCUGAAGCUCUGCUCUUUGUCCAUCGUCAAAGCUUUCUUCUUUAUAAGUCUAGCAAAUGCAUCCCCAAAGCCUCCUGUUUGAUUUAUUACAUGGGAUGGAUCCACCUGGUAGAAUACCGGAAUAACUAUCUGUCCAUUAUUUUUUCUACGCUCAAAAAUCUUUGCAAGCUCCUCCAAGCACCAUUUGGAAGAUGCAUAGUUUUCAGAAAAAACAAUCACAGAAAGCUUGGCCUCUUCAAUUGUUCUCAGAAGUGAUGCCGAGAUCUCAUCUCCUCUCACAAGCUGAUAAUCUAUGAAAGUUAGGAUUUGUUUCCGGUUCAAAGCGGUAUAGAGGUGGCUGGUAAAAUCAAAACGAGUGUCUUCUCCUCUGAAACUAAGGAAGACAUCAUUUUUCAUUCCUUGUGGCUGGGCGGUGGUGAAGGUGGAAGGAGUAGAUGGCGAUGGAGAUAUGUGACGGUUUCGUAUGAUGAAUCUACAGAUAUAAACAAACAAAAAGAUAGAGAGAAACAGUCGAAGAAACAAGAGUAAGACUCUGGUGGCAGGGUAAGCCUGUAGGGAGAGAGCGAAAGUAACUCAAAGAAAAAAGAUGUUGACUUCCUGGAAAUUUCCGGUCUUGUUCAUUGUUUAUAUGUGAUAUGGUAGGAAAGGGCAUCAAGUCUUCGACCCUAGAGGACUUCUUUGCCUUCAUAUUAUAGUGAUGAUUUGAUUGGGAAUAACUUGUUACUCUACCCCAAUCAUUUAUUGUACAUUAAAGACAUAUAUAAUUGUGGAUUGAAAUAAUAAAGUAAUACAUGCUUUUUAUGUGAUCUAUUAUCAUGGUCAAUUUGUCAUAUUAAAUAAGAACAAAUCAGUUUUUAAACAUUUUAAAAACAAAGUAAAAUAAUUUAAAUAUCCUUAAAAGUAAAAUUUUUAAAACUAGGAUCCAUGGGUAUUUCAGUUUUUUAAUGUUUUGAUAGUACAAUGAAAUUACUAUAUUGUUCUUUUUUUUUUUUUGGUUAAUAGUCGAAAUUUUAUUAAGAAAAAGGCUACAAAGAUAAUAGCCUAACUUACAUCAGAUGAACAAGCAGAGGAUACUAUAUUGAUAUUUAGGGGUUUAUUUUUGUAUCUUCACCAUGGCUUUUUAGUUAUAAUCAAUGUAAAUUAAGGGUAAUUUAGUUAUAAAUAUAAUUUAAAAAAUAAAAAAUGGUUAAUGUGUAUGUUUGGGAAGCGUCCACAUUUUUUGAACAACACAUACAACAUCUCUCAGUAGGCAAACGCUACUUUUGUGACGACAAUGGAAGCAUCACAACAUCCUCUUUCCAGUGGGCAGGGAUGCGUGCAUAGUAGCGUAGUGAUUGGGCUACAAUACACUUUUUUCUUUACCUUUCUCUUUUCUCUCUCCUAGCCUCGAGUUUCAUGUCAUCUCUUUUAAAAAUUAAAUAUGUUAUGUUCAAUUUGUAUUUGUAUUCAUUUUGUUCUCAUUAUUUUAAUUAUUACUUGUUUUGUUUUUAAUGUUUUUUUAAAAUUGAUUUUUUUUUAAUUUCAUCUUUUGACAUUUUAUUUCAUUUAGUUUUUAUAUCCAAUUUGGUCCUCGUUCUUUUAGUUGCUAUUUUUUUUUUUAUCAUUUUUCUUGAUAAUUUUUUUUUAAUUUCAUCCUUUGUAAUUUUAUUUCAUUUGCUUUUUUAUGCAAUUUGCUACUCAUUCAUUUGAUUGCUAUUUGUUUUUUUUUCUUUAUUUAUUUUACUUUUUAAUUUAGUCCCUCAUUAUUUUAUUUCAUUUUAUUUUUAUAUAAAAUUUGGUUCUCAUUCUUUUAAUUGCUUUUGUUUUUUUGUUUUUUAAUCUUGAAUGAUUAUGAAUUUUGCUUCGUCAUUUUUUGGUGUUUGUCUUCUAUGGAAUAAUCUUAGUCUCAUGACCUACGUCACGGGUUUAAAUAUUAACCUGAUUUAACCUUGAUCUUUUUUAGGCUCUUUUUUAUAAAUUAAUUUUUUUUUUAAUUUCAUCGUUCAACAUUUAGUUAUUGGACCUUGAAAUUCAUGAUUUGUUUUGCUUUUCUUUCUGUGAGGUUAUUCCAAUCUUAUAUUUUAAAUCACGAGUUAAUCAAGUUAACCCGGAUUGACUUGAUAUAUAUAUAUAUAUAUAUAUCUCUUCCCCUAAAAGCAAAGCUAAAAAUUAAGCAUGAUUAGUGCUUCAAUGACGAAAGGGAACAAACUUUGUUUCGUUUCUGGGUUUAUGGACUGGAUUCAGUCAGCAUUACGACAUAAUCAAAAGGAAGGAGUGAAGCUUUGGUUACCGGAAUGGACUAAAUACAGUUAUUUUACUUGACGAUAUCUAGGCAAUCGUAUUAGUCCUAUCAACAAUGUUGGCCUAAACCCAAAAAAUUGUAACUAAAAUUUAUUCUUCCCUAUACCUGAUGACCUUUGUGCUUUAAUAACAAAUUUUUGAGACUUUAACUGAUGACAGAAUAAACUAUGAACAAUCAGUGCUAUCAAUGGUAAUAUUGAAUUACAUAUACAUAAGAAAAUAAAAUUACAAAUGCAUUACCCCACAAAGUUUAAGUCUUUAAUAACAAAGUUAUCUACACAUACAAUGCAAUGAGAACUUGAAAAUAAACCCUAUAAGCCUUCAAAGUUCAGACCAUUGAAAUUAGAAAUAAAAAAAAAUUCUCCAUGUGAACUGAGCAUAUGAAAAUAAUAAGAGAAGGGUAAGAAGAAGAAGAGGGAACCUGCAAAGGGGUCGUAGAAACCAAUAACUUGAAGGUGUUUGCCAUCUCUUGGAGUACGGCUAUCAGUAGCAACAAUUCUGUAAAAUGCCCUGUUUUUGCAUCUUAGCCUAGCUAAACGAAUCUUGGGCUGAUCUCCUUCAAGUGAGAAAUGGGAGAGUGAAUUGCAGGGGAGGGAGGGACAGUGUUUGUGGAUACGGGUUUUUAUAUGGAUAGAGGAUUGGAUGGUUUGCGGAUAUGGGCUUUUGUACUUCUUUCUUGUCAAAACUAUGCCGUUCUAACCACAUUGUGCCUAAUUGAUCCCUCUGUUUUUUUUAUAUAAAAAAAAUUGACGCUUUUGCAAUUGUUCGUUUUCGUUCCCAAAGGUUUUUCAUUUCAAUUUCAUCUUCCUAUUAUGUUUGCAUGGUUUAAAACCUAAUAAUUGCUUUCAAUUUGUUUGACACAUUGUUUUCGUAAUGUCAAAAUAAGUCUCUGCUUGGGAUUGAAUACUAUUUUUAAAAAAUUAAAUUUUACAAUUUAUUAUCAUUUGUUUUUUAUAAAUCAUUAUGAUCUUUAACAAAUAUCCUGAUAAGCCAAUCUACCAACUUUGAAUGUGAUAUGGAUACGAUUGAGAUUUUAUUCUUUGGCUAUAAUAAGCUAAAGUGGGAUUGUGACAUUUCUGUAUGAUGUAUCUUUGUUGGUGUGUAUAUAUAUACCAACAUAAUUGGUUCUGUUUACUGCUUUAGGCAACAUAAUUGGCAUGCAGCCAUGUAAUUAUAAUUAUUUCUUUUCCUUCCAGUUCAUUACACACAAUCUAUUUAACAGAUGCCUUUUCCUUUUUCCUUAUAUAUAUAUAUAUAUAUAUAUAUAUAUAUAUAUGCUGUUUGUCUUUUUGGUAUAAAUAAUGUUUUUAUAAUUUUUUUUUAAUAUUUGUAUUUACUAAUAUCAAAAAUAAUUUUUAAAAAAUAAGAAAUAUUAUAUUAUUUUUUUUAAUAAAAAAAAUAAGAACUACCUACUACACUUACAGAAGAAACAUUCCAUGUAUUGAGUCUUUGCGCGUGAAGAUGACUUUUUUUGCCAUCCCAAUAAUUAGCGUUAUUUGUAUUAUAACUUUUUUAAUAUUUCAAAUGGAUUAGCUAUUCCCUUGGCUUGGCGUAUUAGCACCUUUAGGAUCUUUUGUUAUUUUCUCUUCAACUUUUUUAUUAUAUAUUUUCUUUACACAGCAAACACUUCUGUCCCACGUCAUUCUUUAAGUACAGUAACUAGUAUAUCGACAUGCGAUUCACAGCAGGGUUAAUAUUAAUCUUUUUAAAAUUAAAAUAGCAAUCAUGUCAGCCUCAGCAUUUUGCAUCUAGAAUAGUAAAAAGUCUAGAAUAAUAUAUAUAUAAUGUGAAGAAGAAGAAGAAGAAGAAGAAGAAGUCUUGAAGGAGAGAGGAAGGGACGGUGGAUGAGGCCAAUCCUCUUCUUGAUGCUCGGGCAAUAAUAGCCAUGUUGAUGGGGACGACGACGACUUGACCUUAUAUCUUCCCGGCGAGUGCUUGGGCAGCGUGUUCGGGAAUCUGAGCUGCCUUGACAUUACAUGUUUUCAGGAAAUUAUGUUUUUUUGUCUUAACGGUGGCUUUCGAUAAUGUUCAUAUUGAUAGGAGAUAAAUCAAUUUUUAAACGUUUUGAAGCACUUAGGAAUGAUUUAAAUAUUUUUAAAAGUAAAAUUUUUAAAACCAAGGAUUCCUGAGUGUUUCUAUUUUUUAAUAUUUUGAUAGUAUAGUAAAAUGAUUAUCUUACUUUUAAAAAUAUAAAAAUUUAACAAUUUCAAAUUCAAGUAUUUUCUCGGGAUAUUAUAAAAAAAAUUUAUUUUAAUAUAUUUUUAAUUAAAAAAUAAUUAUAAUAUUUUUACCUUCAUAUUAUAUUAUAAUGGUUAUGAUAAUUUGAUUGAGAAGAACUUAUAAGAAAACUGGUUAAUGAUUGUUUUUUAAAAUGUUUUUUUCUUAUAAAUACAUUAUAUUAAAAUAAUAUAUUUUUAUUUUUAAAAUUUUAUUUUUUAUUUCAACACAUCAAAAUAAUAUAAAAAUAAAAAUAAUAAUAAUUUAAAAUAAAAAAAUAAAAAAACUCAAAUUCAAAUAUUUUCUUAGUACAUUACAGAGGGUUCAAUUAUUGACAUCCUAGAAAUUUUAUUAACCACAAAAGGCUUCAUCUCUUCUUAUUAUUAUUAUUAUUUUGUAAUUUGGUAGGGAAAGGCAUCAAGUCUUCCAUCCUAGUGUUGCGUGUAAAGAAAUAAUAAUAAUAAUAAAAGUGUUUGCGCGUAAACUUUGUUGAAUUUCACAUUAUAAUAUAAUGGUUAUUAUGAUUUCAUUGGGAAGAACUUGUUACUCUGCCCUAAUUAUAGGAUUUAAAAAAAAAUGAUACUAUUAAAGAAAUAAUAUGGUUUAAUUUAUUUUUUUUUAGAAAAAACAACAUAUUUUUUAAAAACCUGCUAUUUUAAAUCAUGAUUUUAAUAUAACUGUGAUUUUGCAAAAUCACAAUCUAUCCAAAUAAUUUGGCAGAUGCUUUUAUAUAUAUAUAUAUAUAUUGAAGAAGCUGAGUUGCCUUGACAUUGAGUAUUUCCUGGAAAGUACGCAUUUCUUGUCUUAACGGUGGCUUUCGAUAAUGGUCAUAGCACUUUCGGUUUGUUUUUGACCGAAAGAGGAAAGAAAUUUUUGACCGAAAAAUGAACACAGUUUACAAUAACUGGUGAUUUUUGGGCUUGUUUUUUACCCUCACCAUCAGGGGCGGAGCUAGGAUUAUUUGAUAGGGGGGACCAAAAUAAUAUAAAAAUAUAUAAUUUUUUUAAUUUAUUAUACAUGAAUUAUAUAAAAAAAAAACUACAUGAUUUAGUUUUAUUCAAAAAAGUAACUACAAAUAUAUAACAAUCUUUGUAUAAGAUAAGAAGUUUAAAACAAUACCAAAUUGAGUCAAAGCUAUGAAGUUAAUUUCAUCUUCAUAAUGUAUUCAUCACUUUAAUUUUGUUGGUCUUUGUACCUAUCAAAUAUAAACAUACAAAAUAUAUAAGAAACAUUAGCUAAAGCGAUACAUUAUUUAUGUUUGAUAAAACUUUAAAAUAAAGUAAAAAAUAAUAAAGAAUGAUUCUUACAUAUUUAUUUUAAUUGUGCUCGUCGUUCUUUCAUAGAGUAGAAAUCAUCAAUUAUCAUAUCACUUGUGAAUCUUUCAGCAAUUUUUUUUCUAUAUAGACAAUCAAAUAAUUUGCAAGAAAAUCAUCCUCCAUCCGAUUGCGAAGUCUUGUUUUAACAAUCUUCAUCGCUGAAAAAGCUCGUUCAGUAGUUGCUGUCGAAACAGGAAGAGUCAAAAUAAGCCGAAUCAACCUGUCAACGAGUGGAUAAAUUGUUGAUUUUUCUGUUUCAACCAAUCCUUGACAUAAUUCAGCAAUCGAUGACAUAUUCUUUAACUUUGGAUGAUUGGGUACAUCAAGCUCAUAAUGCUGCAACUGAAAUCUCAAAUGAGUUUUUUCUUGGUCAGAAAAGUCUUCAGGAUAGAACUUGUCAACAAGUAAGCAUAUAUCUUCAACACUGAAUAAUUUAUAAAUUAUUUUUAGGAUCUAAAGCUGUGCUCAACUUAAGAAGCUCGAUCGCCUGCUCAUUGAAUCUAUUAUUUAGCUCUUGCAACUGUUGAUCAACAAUAGCUGUAAAUAUAUCAACUCGAUAGUGAUGCUCAAUUGUUAUUGAUUCUGUUUUACGGCGAGAUCGUCCCACACUAGAAAAACAAGCAUCCAUAUCAGGGACUUCAAUGUCUUGAUGCUUACAAAAUGAUGUCACUUCUUCUAAAAGAGUUUCCCAACCAUCAUCUCUUAACUUCUGAAUUAAAGUCUUUGUGGUAGUCACCAAAUGCAUAGCAUUUAAAAUGUCUUGAGAUUUCUGUUGCAAAGCUUGGCAAAGCACAUCAGUAAUUCCCAUAACAUUUUUCAUUAUAUGCAAGAUGAAUGCAAAAUCAAAUGACAUUAGCAACUUAAAUGAAAAGGCCGCAUCACCACGUUGAGAAUAAGUAGAUCCAUCUAAAGAGAUGUUUUCAAGAACCAAGCAAGUUGCCCCAUACAUUUUUAUCAAACUGCAAAUUGAUUUGAAGUGCGAACUCCAUCUGCUAUCUCCAGGUCGUUGCAAACCACCUACUUGAUUAACUCCUUUACCCAUUUCAAUCUCACCAAUAUCAACUAAAUGUUCAAUUGUAGCUGCUUGAAAAGCCCGUAAUUCAUCAUUACGCUUGCAAGAAGCACUAACAAUGUUAAUAAGAAAAAUCAAGUUCUGAAAGAAAGUGUGAACAUCGGAUAUUUCUCUAGCUGCAGCAAUAAGAGCCAAUUGUAAUUGAUGAGCUAAGCAAUGUACAUAAUAUGCAUAAGGGCAAUCAUUAAUGAAUAAAACUUGCAAUCCAUUCCACUCUCCACGCAUAUUACUAGCACCAUCAUACCCUUGGCCCCUAAUAUUUUGAACAUCAAGAUUGUGAUGAGAUAAAAUAAAGGAAAUCUCUUUCUUAAGAGUUGAAGUAGUUGUAUCUUUGACAUGAACUAUAUCCAAAAAUCGUUCUCGUAUAAAUCCACUUCUAUCAACAAACCUUAUAACAAGGGCCAUUUGCUCUCUUCUGGAUUCAUCUCGAGCUUCAUCAACAAUUAAACAAAAUCUUGCAUCACCAAUCUCAUGACGAAUUGAAGACUGAACAUUUCUAGCAAAGACAUGCAAAAUUUCUUUUUGAAUUUGAUGCGAGGUGUAUUUAGCAUUUUGUGGAGCAUUAUCCAAAACAAGAGCACCUACUUGUUCAUUGUAUGAUGCUAAAAGUUCCAACAUUUCAAGAAAAUUACCUCGGUUUUUUAUUCUGGACGUUCAUCAUGUCCUCUAAAAGCACAUGCUUGAAAUGUGAGCCAACGAACAAUAUCUAUUGAAGCUUUAAUACGCAAUCGAUUAUUUAGAAUUUCUUGAGUAGUUUGCCUCUUAACUACCUUCUCAAUAUGACAUGACUGAUUUUUCAAAUUUUCCAAGCACCUGGUAGCAAAUCUAUGAGCUGAAUUCGGACUUUUUCCCAUAUGAGUUAAAAAAGCACAUCGUUCCCCAUCAUUAACUUUCUUCCAACAAUUGAAUCCUUUAACAGUAAAUGUGUCUGAUCCUGGCUUUCCAGAUGACUUACUUGAAAAUAGAUAGCAAGGGAAACAAAAUGCAGUAUUUUUCUCUGAAUAUUCAAGCCAUGGAUAACUUUUGAACCAAUGAGAUUGAAAUCGACGAGGAUGUUUCUUACCAGUUAGCGGAUAUUCAGACAUCAAAGGUUGAUAUGGCCCCAAAUUAAUGUAUGCCCUUCUAAUUUCAUCUUGUUGAUUAACCGGGUAUUCCCAAAUUUGAGGACGAUUGCUUGGAUCUCUAAUCAGAUGAGAAGUGUCAAUUCUAGUUGGAGGCUGCUCAUUAAUCAAUGCAGGUUCUUCAUAAACUGAAGCACAUUGGGGUUGUUCAACCAUAACUUCAACAUUACACAUUGGAGUUGAUUCACUAGGCUGUGAGUUAUCAAUAUUUUUCCUUUUUCUCAAAAAAAGAAUCAAUUCUUCUUAUUUUGUUCAUGGUUCAACCUACAAUCAAAACAUCAUAAAUUUUUAUUGUUUCCUAUUUAAAAAAUAAAUACAAAUAACGAUGUGUUGAAGCAAUAAUCAGAACCAAAAAUAAAUUUUUACAUGUAAACAACACUGACAUAUAAAAGUAAAAUUAACAUAUUAAAAAAAGAAAUUGAUAUAUAAAAGCAUAUCUAACAUUAAAAAAUGGGAUUACUGGUUCCUAAAUAAGAAAACUUACACUGAAUCAAAGUUGGGUAGACGCUCUUCAAAGAACUCAAUUUGGCUAAAGAUCGUGUCUAAUUGUAUAUUGGACCUGGUGAUAAUAAGGUACAUGUAAGAAAAAAUUGAUAAUUUUGGUGGCUCUGUUAAAAACAAAAUAUAAAAAAAUCCAAGCAUAAUCGAAACAAACAAACCCAUGAAAUAUAUCCAAUUAAUUAGAAAAAACAAUAUUCACUAUAACAAGAAAUAAAAAACGGUAAAACUAGUAGAUUUGAAAAAAAAAAUAGCAGAAUUAUAUAUAUAUAUAUAUAUAUAUAUAUUCUUAACAAACAUAAAAAAAAAAAAAAAAUUUACCUUGAUGAAGAAUUAAUUGGCAGCAGCUUUGCUUUAACUUUUGUGCUUUAUAUUAUUAGGUUAGGGAUGCAGUCUAUUAGAGUAUUAGGGAUGCAGUCUUGCAACAGAGAAGAAAAAGGAAGACACGGUAAAGGAAAACAAUAAAAUUAAAAAGCUGAGUUGGCCUUUUAUAUAGAGAUACGGAGAUACAAUAUUAAUAUCAAAUAUAACUAAUAAAAUAAUAAUUUAAUAUUAAAAGUUUAUUAUUUAUUAUAUUAAAAAAAAAAAAAAAUUUUGCAGGGGCCUGGCCUCCCCUUAGUUCCGCCACUGGAGCCUAUAAGUAAUAAGCUGAUGUAGUUAAAGGGGAAUAACUCCUCAUUCGGCGAAGCAAGAAUCCAGCUAGAAGCUAUUCAUUCCUUGUGCUGUCAGUUAUCAGUCUUGCAAAUCACAAAUGUUUCAUGCCAAGUAGAGCCUUCUUAUCAAUUUAGUGCUCCAAACACAUGUCCUGGGAAACGUUACAGCUCUUUCAUAGUUAGGUAGCGAGAAAAAUCCAUAACUUAGAGGUUGAGUUUUUGUACAAGAAAUAUACUAGAUGUGACUGUACAUCUGUAGUAUUUCUUUCUUUCUUUUUUCAGACUCGGCAGAAACUAAUAAACACUUCCUGUUGCUGUUUUCGUCGGUGUCCGUCAAAUUUUUUCAAAGGAUAUCAUGUUCAGGGGAUGAAGAAGAACCUCGUCCUCAUUCCUUCUCUGCAAUUACCACGAAGACAUCUUUCAGUGACCACCUACGUCUCUCACUUUUGGCAGGCGGAUUGAUAACAGCCCUUUCAGCAUUAGCUGCUCGGUAACCAAUGACUAUCUAUUGAAAGAAGGACAACAAAUUCCCACUCCAACACGGAUUGUAAAUCCCCCUGCAAUUCAGAUUGUAGAAUCUGACCUUAACACAACUUCCAGAGUUUUUAGUUUAACUCCAAAACAAGUUGCAGAGCUUCCCUCCUACUGCAAUGUUACGUUGCCCUGCAUACAAUUGUUAGGAUAAUAGUUAAUAGAGAUAGACUUUGAUUUGAUCGUAAACAUUACUUCCUCUGCUAGAGGAAUUAGUUGAAUAAAAGAAAGUUGGUUCGUUAGUCAGUUGCAACUUGCAAGGGAAGAACAAUAUUUACAGCUAUCUUGAAAACCAAGUAAUAAUUGAAGAACAAUUUGCAGUAACUACAUAACUCUUUUCUCCCUUUCAUUUUCUUUUCUUUCUCCCUCAAUUUAUUUUCUUCUGAACCGUUGUUUGUUAACGGGUAAAUAUCUGUACCCGUCCGUGUCCGCCGAUGGAUUUUCAUCAAAGUGCAGAUACACCCCACAGCUUUUCAACCCGACAGGCCUUCGGAUCUCAUGACGUACCUUCCUCGCCAUGUUGUUCCCUUCACGGUGGUGGAAUUUAAAUGUAACUUCAUUGCCAGAAUAUUUACGCAAUUGAUUUACGAAUAUGAGCUCGUAGCUUAGAAUCAUGUGAUCUGAGACACAUGUCUCCAAUAAAUAUAAUAGAGCAUGUCUUUCCUGGGAAACGAAGACGACUUCAUCAUCACCAUCAUUCUCACCGUUUUUACUCUUAACAUGGCAAUCAAAAUAUACAUCAUAAAAACCACAGGAGGGAAGAGGGAGUAGAAAGACAAGGCAGAAAGCAAUUCCCUUGAGCUGAUGACAAUUUGAGGGUAACUGUAUGGUGAGUGAAGAUCCAAUUCCUUUGUCACCGAACCAUUCUGGAAUUUCACUCCCCGGUAGAACCAUUUGAAUUCUGCCAAGUGGGAUCUCCUCUCCGGACUGUAACACAAAAGUCACAUUUCAAAAAUGUGAUGAAGCAAGCAAGAGAGAGAGAAGAAAGAAAGAGAAGGGGGUUUAGAGAGAUACCUGAAUUUUCAAAUGCAUUGCUGCUACCAAUGGUUUCUGAUCCAAUUUGAAGCAAUUUGUAAAAUCCAAUCCAUCCCAUAAUCUACCGAAAUUUAUGAUUGAUAUCGCGGUUUCAAGUGAUGCACAGUCUUGUGCAUGUAGAUACCUCAGCGAAGGGGGGAGCUCAGGUAACGCUUUAACGCAUGUCAUGGGAGGGAAGAAGGAGUAGAUAGACAAGGCAGAAAGCAAUUCCCUUGAGCUGAUGACAAUUUGAGGGUAACUGUAUGGUGAGUGAAGAUCCAAUUCUUUUGUCACCGAACCAUUCUGGAAUUUCACUCCCCGGUAGAACCAUUCGAAUUGUUUCAUCAAAUCCCUUGAUCUCCUCUCCGGACUGUAACACAAAAGUCACAUUUCAAAAAUGUGAUGAAGCAAGCAAGAGAGAGAAGAAAGAAAGAGAAGGGGGUUUAGAGAGAUACCUGAAUUUUCAAAUGCAUUGCUGCUACCAAUGGUUUCUGAUCCAAUUUGAAGCAAUUUGUAAAAUCCGUUCGAAACCAUGAACUGGCGAUAUUGAUGAUUGAUGUCACGGUUUCAAGUGAUGCACAUUCAUGUGUUGUUAGAGUCUCCAGCGAAAGGGGAAGCUCAGGUAAUGCUUUAGUAGACGUUCCAUGCAAAUACGGAACUCGAAAACAUACCAUAUCUUUGAUUGACAGUAGAUGUUCCAUAGGCACUGUGAUUUCUGGGAAGCUUUCAAGUUUUGAGCAAUCACUCAUAUCCAAUUUGCAGAGUAUUGUGAGAAACUGGAUUGAUGAGACGUUCCACUUAGUUAAAGGGGAAUAACUCCUCAUUCGGCGAAGCAAGAAUCCAGCUAGAAGCUAUUCAUUCCUUGUGCUGUCAGUUAUCAGUCUUGCAAAUCACAAAUGUUUCAUGCAAAGUAGAGCCUUCUUAUCAAUUUAGUGGUUUCUGAUACCUGAAUUUAGAGAGAUACCUGAAUUUUCAAAUGCAUUGCUGCUACCAGUGGUUUCUGAUCCAAUUUGAAGCAAUUUGUAAAAUCCAAUCCUUCCCAUAAUCUACCGAAAUUUAUGAUUGAUAUCGCGGUUUCAAGUGAUGCACAGUCUUGUGCAUGUAGAUACCUCAGCGAAGGGGGGAGCUCAGGUAACGCUUUAACGCAUGUCAUGGGAGGGAAGAAGGAGUAGAUAGACAAGGCAGAAAGCAAUUCCCUUGAGCUGAUGACAAUUUGAGGGUAACUGUAUGGUGAGUGAAGAUCCAAUUCUUUUGUCACCGAACCAUUCUGGAAUUUCACUCCCCGGUAGAACCAUUCGAAUUGUUUCAUCAAAUCCCUUGAUCUCCUCUCCGGACUGUAACACAAAAGUCACAUUUCAAAAAUGUGAUGAAGCAAGCAAGAGAGAGAAGAAAGAAAGAGAAGGGGGUUUAGAGAGAUACCUGAAUUUUCAAAUGCAUUGCUGCUACCAGUGGUUUCUGAUCCAAUUUGAAGCAAUUUGUAAAAUCCGUUCGAAACCAUAAACUGGCGAUAUUGAUGAUUGAUGUCACGGUUUCAAGUGAUGCACAUUCAUGUGUUGUUAGAGUCUCCAGCGAAAGGGGAAGCUCAGGUAAUGCUCUAGUAGACGUUCCAUGCAAAUACGGAACUCGAAAACAUACCAUAUCUUUGAUUGACAGCAGAUGUUCCAUAGGCACUGUGAUUUCUGGGAAGCUCUCAAGUUUUGAGCAACCACUCAUAUCCAAUUUGCAGAGUAUUGUGAGAAACUGGAUUGAUGAGACGUUCCACUUAGAUAAAGACGUUUCAACUUGAGAUUAACUGAUUGUGGAACUUCUUUGUUGGAAGUUUGCUCCAAAUGUAAGCGUGUCAUAUUUUGUGAAAUCGUUGGACACGUGGUCACAUUUAGGCAUAGCAAGUUCUUCCAGCUUGUCAAGAUAUUGAAGAGAUGACGGAACCUGGUUAAACUUGGGCAGUCCUUUAGUAUUUAGGGCUGGAAAGUGUAAUUAUGGUUAUUUUUUAAAGUAUUUUUUAUUUAAAAAUAUAUCAAAAUAUUUGAAAAUACUAAAAAAAAUUUAAUUUAAAAAAAAUAAAAAUUUUUUAAUUUUUUUCAAAAAUAAUUUUAAAACGUAAAAACAAACAAAACCUAAAAUUAAAGCACUCUAAAUUUUUGGCCAUUGAUAGAUCUGGUAUUUCCAUCAAAUAUGAAGAGUCAGAUAGGUUAAUUUUUCUUAAAUUUCCAACAUCCUGUCAACAACAAAAGGCAUAAUUAGAAAGUUAGCACCUCCAACUUCAUAUUUCUGAUCAUAAAUCUGCAGCAAUUAAAUCAUACCUUUACUCCUGUCCAAAGUUUUUCAAGCUUGCUUCCGCGUAGGUGAAGCUCGACAAGGUGUUCAGCACGAAAAGAUGGCGGCAAGGAUUUCGAAGGGAAUCCAUCCCAUCGCAAAUAUCUCAGCUCAUUAGGAAGAUACUCGAGGCCAGUAGGAGGAAGCUGCAUUUUAUCUUCUUGGGAGUAACGACGGCCAUAAAAAUUGAGAAAUCGAAGACCAUCCAUCAUUGCGAAGGCAUCAGAUUUCAAGAGUAUGUGUCUCGGUAACACGGCCAUGUCCAGAGAGAUGCCUUUAAUUUUUUGAGUUCCCUGUUAAAGAAAAAAGAAACAAUAAUACAAUCUACUCAAACACAUCAACUUUUGAGCAAAUACAUGAACGACAGUUAUUGGCUGUAGCUUUAACCUUAUUUUCCUCCAAUACUUGAACGACAUCAGGAGGAUGACAUAACCUGCUACGUUCGCCAGGAAAAUCAGAUUCUGCACGAACAAUGUUAAAUGCCAUUUCUUGUAGUAAAUCAUGCAUUUCUAUAUACAAGUAAUCAUCUACAGUAGUUAUGAGACACUUAUCAAUAAGCAUGUUUUUAUCGAAAAUCACAGACCGACCAUAAAGGCCAUCUAAUAUUCUUGUUGCUUUGUCCUGCGGCCAUCCUUUGAAGAAAUGUGCUAUGUCAAGAAAUAUGGAUUUUUGUUCUGAAUCCAACCCAUCGUAAUUCUCAACGCCCUUUCGAUUUGAGGGCCCUGAUCUAGUGUCUUCAAUGCACUGUGCCAUUCUUUGAUGCUUUUACCAUAGAGAAAGGAACCCAAAACUAUAAGAGCCAACGGAUUGCCUUGUACAUGACUUACAAUCUGUGCUAUCAAGUGUCUUUGAUCAAUUGUGGGGAUGCAAUUCUUCAAGGCUUUCGAGCAAAAGAGUUGAAUAGCUUCUUCAUCGUUCAACCCCUCAACCUCGUAUGUCUCAUCAACUACAUUCUUAAGCACUUGCUUGUUCCUACUUGUUAUGAGAACUUUACUGCCCGGGCCAAAUGAACUGUUUCGUCCAUCAAGCAAAUCUCUCCAUUCUUCAAAACGCAUUAAAUCAUCCACAUCAUCCAGAACAAUAAAAACCUUCAUUCGACGAAGUCUAUCCCUCACAAAAGAAUCUCGAAAACUCAAGGAGCCCAUAGUUUCCAGAGUUUCUUGGCCAAGCAGCCAUGAAAGAAAUCUUCUUCGCAAAUCAGAUUGUUGCCUAAAGUUUCCAAAAAAGAUUCUUUCAAAUCGAGAACGAACCUUGAUGCACACAGCUUCAGCAAUCGUUGUCUUACCGAUACCACCCUUUCCCCAUAUCCCUACAAUGAGAACAUCUGGAGACUCCAUAUCCAACAAAGACUCAACUUUGUUAACACGAACAUCAAUUCCAAAUAGACCCGUAGUGUGACAUGGCAUGAAAGAAGACAUGGCAUGCAAUUUUUUCAAAACAUCUCCAAUAAUUUUCUCAAUAAAUUCAGACUCCAACCUGACAAACAAGAAGAAACAUAUAAACAUACUCACUCCUUAGUAGCAGGCACGUAUGAGUAAUUGAGCAUCAUUAUUGGCAAUGAAAUGCAAUAAUACAUAUGAAGAAAUCAUUGACUAUCCUUCUAAAAUUUAAAGUAAGGAUUCCCAAGUAUCUACUUUUUAAUCAUCUCCUAAAACUCAGGUAUUCAAAAAAUAGUAAUGAUUAUAUUUUAAAAAAUAUUAUUUUUGAUAUAAAUAUAUUAAAAUAAUGUAAAAACACUAAAAACAAUAGUUUAAAAUAAAGAGAAUUAUUUAAAAAUAUAUAUAUUUUUUGAAACACAAAAACAAAAUGAACGAAUAUAUAUAAACACAUUAAAAUAAUCUAAAAAUACUAAAAAUUAAAAAAAAACAUAAUUUUUUUAAAAAACAAUUUAAAACACAAAAACAAAAACAAACAACCAUUUAAUAUUUAUACAAACAUUUCGCUACAAAUAAUACUUUUUUUAUUUUUUAAAUAGUUUUAAUUUAAACACAUUAAAAUAAUCUAAAAACAUUAAAAAAAAAUUACAAAAAAAAAAUAUUUUAAUACACCGAAUAACCAACCACAUAAUAUCUAUAGAAGUGUUUCGCUAGAACGUUUUCAAAAUCAAAUAAAAUAAAUAUGGAUUCACAGAGCUCAUCAUUCUCAAUAAUUUUAAAUUAAAUUUCAAAUCCUCAACAAAUGAACGAAUAUUUUCUCAUGGGAUAUAUUUCAAGAGCUUACUCAGAAUUCCCUAAGCUCCAUCCAGAUAGACUGGCUGCAUCCGUCAAAGCGUCUCUGAAGCUCUGCACUUCUUCCAACGUCAGAGCUUUCUUCUUUAUAAGUCUAGCAAAUGCAUCCCCAAAGCUUCCUGCUUGAUUUCUUACAUGGGAUGGAUCCACCUGGUAGAAUACCGGAAUAACUAUCUGUCCAUUGUUUUUUCUACACUCAAAAAUCUUUGCAAGCUCCUCCAAGCACCAUUUGGAAGAUGCAUAGUUUUCAGAAAAAACAAUCACAGAAAGCUUGGCCUCUUCAAUUGUUCUCAGAAGUGAUUCCGAAAUCUCAUCUCCUCUCACAUGCUGAUAAUCUACGAAAGUUAGGAUUUGUUUCCGGUUCAAAGCAGCAUGGAGGUUGCUGGUAAAACCAACACGAGUUUCUUCUCCUCUGAAACUAAGGAAGACAUCAUAUUUAAUUCCUUGUGGCUGGGCGGUGGUUAAGGUGGAAGGAGUAGAUGGUGAUGGAGACAUCAUAUUGUUUUGUGGAGAAACAGUCGAAGAAACAAGAGUAGAUGGCGAUGGAGAAACAUGGCGGCUUCGUAUGAUCAAUCUCCAGAUAUAAACAAACAAAAAGAUAUUGAGAAACAAUAAAAAUACCACCAUUGUUUUGUGGAGAAACAAGAGUAGGACUCUGGUGGUAAGGUAGGUCUGGAGGGAGAGAGCGGAAGUAACUCAAGGAAAAAAGAUGAGGCUGAUUUUGAAUCAGUAGCUUAGGCUUUACGUGUUUAAGACCCUGCCUUAGGCAUAUGUAUCAUUUAUAGGCAUCAAAUCCAAGAAUUUUCUUAGAACAUUACAAGAUUGCACAUUGUUGAUUUCCUAGAAAUUCCCCAGUUACAAAGUGAUGUGAUAGGAAAAGGCAUUUAUACUUUGUUUUGUUUUUAUGGUAUUCACAGUAUUUUUAUAAAUUUUGAUUUUUUUUAAUUAAUUUUUUUAGUUUUUAUUUUAUUUUAAUUUACUGAUAUAAAAAUAAUUUUUAAAAAUCAAAAGCAUAUAUAUUCUUGUUCAUCAUAUCACAGCUGUGAUAGAUGCCUUUUUUAAUAUUUCAAAUGUAUUAGCUAUUCACUUCGCGGAGUAGCAGAUCUUUUGUUAUUUUUUCUUCAACUUUUUUAUUUUAUAUUUUCUUUAAACAGUAAACACUUCUGUCCCACAUCAUUCUUUAAGGACAUUAACUAGUAUAUCGGCAUACAAUUCACAACAGGGUUAAUAUUAAUUUUUUAAAAAUUAGAAAAUAUUACAAGUGUUUAGCAAUAUCUAAAUGUUCCUGGAAAUUAUUUCUUGUAUUUGUUUUCUAAGGAACGGUUGCUUUGAUAUAUUUUUUUCAAAAUAAAAAUAACAUUUUGAUGUAUUUUUUCAAAAAUAUAUUUUAAAAAACAACUGUUACUGCACUCCUAAACACCCUCCUAAAAAAAAGUAUGUGAAAAAAAAACAUUAUAGCAAUUCACAAUAAUUUACGAAGAAAAUUAUAGUGCUUCCCCACAUGAUUUAGCCAUAUUUAUAAUUACUUGUAAUUGUAAUUAUCAAACAACUUAAUAUUAAAAAAAUAAAAUUGACAAAGAUAAUAUUAAAAAAAUUAUAAGAAAGAAAAACCAUGUGGAGAGACAUUGUAACAAUCCACGAUAUUUUGUGAGGAAAGAUACAGUGAUUUCCCACAUGAUUAAGGUUUAUUACAAAGUUAAAUUAUAACCAACUUAAUAUGAAGAAAAAAAAAUUAACGAAGAUAAUUUUGGAAAAAAAAUAUUACAAAAAAAAAAAGAAAACACAAAAGAAAUUGGAAAAAAAAAUAUGAGGAAAAACUGUAUCAAUCUAUAGUGUUUUGUGAGGAAAAACUUGUAUUUACUUGUAAUUGCAAGUCUUAACCAGCUUAAUAUUUAAAAAAUAAAAUUAACAAAGAUAAUUUUAGGGAAAAAAUAACAAAACGGAAAAAAACUAUAUGAAAUAAAACAUUGUAGCAAUCCAUAGUAAUUUGCGAAGAAAGUUAUAGUGUUUUCCUCCCAUAUUGUAACUGUAAUUUUUAACCAGCUCAAUAUUAAAAAAUAAAAUAAAAUAAAAAAAGAUAAUUUCAGAGAAAAUAAAAAAAAACAUAUGGAGAAACACUAGCAAUUAAUAAUGUUUUAAAGAAAAAAAUUACAAAACUAAAUUUUUAAUCAGCUUAAUAUUAAAAAAAUAAAAAUAUAUAAUUUUAAAAAACAAAAUAAAAAACUAUGUAAAAAAACACCACAUCAAUUCAAAAUAUUUUAAAAAAUGAAAUUUAAAGUGAAAUUUUUAAUCAGUUAAAUAUUAAAAAAAUAGAAUUAAUUCAAAAUUACACACAAUCUAUUCAAAUAAACCGGUAGAUGCCUUUUCCUUUUUCCUUUUAUAUAUAUUUAUUUAUUGUGAAGAAGAAGAAGAAAAAGAAGUCGUCUUGAAGGAGAGACGAAGGGACUGGGGAUCGAUGGGGCCAAUCCUCUGGGACGACGACUUGACCUUAAGUACUCUUCCUGGUGAGUGCUAGGGCAGCGUGUUCGGGAAGCUGAGUUUGGAAAUUACGUGUUUGUUUUUACAUGCUUCUUUCCAGCUCAUUACACACAAUCUAUCCAAAUAAAUCGGCAGAUGCCUUUUUCUUUUUCCUUUUAAAGGGAUCAUCGGCCGUCGGUGUUGUUGGAACAUAAACAAUCGAACAUUGGAAGAAAUAAAUAAUUUCCCCAUGCUUAAAUUAAGGCUACUAUUCUUUUGAACUCCGGCCAAACAUGACAGGGCUUUAGUAAAAUGCCUUUUUUCUUCUUCUUCCUCUGUCUUUUGCAGAAAAGAUUGAGAAGUUUAUACACACACCUAUAUACACCUAUAUACGUAUAUAGGUGUGUGUGUAAAUAUAUAUAAGGAAAAAGGAAAAAGGUAUAUAUUGGUGUGUGUGUGUGUAUAAAAGGAAAAAGGAAAAGGCACAUGGCAACUUUAUUAUAAUUAAUGGAUCGAGUAAAAUGUACAAGUUUCUUCGUAUAAUUUUAUUUUUUUCAAAUAGAAUAUUAAUUCGGAACUAAAAACAAUUAAAAAUUUCCAAAAUAUCCAUUUUAAACUGGGAUGAACCCCAGAAAAUAUUCGACUUUUAUCCAUAGUUUUAAAACCCGACCUGGUGGUCGACCCGGUCUUAUGACCGGGUCACGGGUCAGAUGGGUUGACCCGGGCUGACCCGGGUCAACCCAAAAAAAUCUAAUAAAAACUUCAAUAAAUACAAUUCCCCUCUUAUCCCUCUUUCUCAUCAAUCCACUUUUCAACUUUCAAAUUGCUUUCCAGCUUUCAAUCCACUUUCCAGCUUUUCAAUCGCAAAUAAACGUUCUUUUUUAAUCACCAGCAAAUAGGCAUUCUCUUUAAAUUGAGAAUUGAGAACACAUGGGCAUCAGAACAGAAAACAACAACAAUCAUGCAUCAACGACAACGCUGAUAUUCACGCACAAAACUUUGAAGAGGGGCUUUUCAAAUCAUGUCUUGAUGCAGGAUCUGAUCAAAAUCGGGUAUGCUGUCUUCAAUGGAAUCUACAUGAACGAGCAGGGAUCACUAAAAAGAGGAUGUCGUGUUUGGGGUGGAGGUGUAUUACGGGCAGUCGGGCAUAGGAGCUAUGCGAUUGAAAUUGCUUUUUCUUGUUAUCUUUAUCUGCAAUUUUGCAUCCUUCAUCCUUUAUCUGCAUAGUUUUGACUUUAAAUGGCCAAAACGAACGACGUCGUUUCGGACUCUGUAUGUAUAAAAAAACAAAGAGGCCGGGUCUCAGUCGGGUUUGUCCGGGUCGCCGGGUUCCGGGGGUCGACCGGGUUUCACCGGGCCAAUUCCUCGGCGGGUUUUUACUUAGACCCGGACCGGUCCUAGGCCCGGGUCGGCCGGGUCCCGGGUCGACCCGCCGGGCCGGUCCGGGUUUCAAAACUAUGCUUUUAUCCCCCCCUGCUGUCUAAUGUAAAAGACGGGUGUUUUUUUUCACUUGUCACGCUCCCCUGCAUCACCGGCUCAUGGAGGUAAAAAUCUUACGUCACAGCGACAUCAUCUUGUCCCCUGCAUUUUGUCCUCAGCUGGAAGACACGUGCAAAAAAGAGAGAGGUGAUCUAAAGUCAUUGUUGCGGACAAGCAGCAACCAGGAAGCAAUCCACUUGCCCCGGUGUCGUUUCACAAACAGUCAGUCAAAUUCACAGUCAAGGCAGAUGAUAAGGCUUUUGUAAAAUUUUGAGGUGGAUGGCAAUGAUGAUGUCUCAGACUUCAGAAAAUACAACAUUAAAAGAAGCAAAAACCUUAUCAUGAAAUUCGUUUUCCGGCCCUGAAUAAUAAUCAACAGUCAUGGCAUUGUUGAUCAUCGAAAGCCACCGUUAAGAUAAGAAAUGCGUAAUUUCAAGGAAAUAGAUUGCAGUCAAUCCAAGAGGUGGCAAGAAAAAGAGACCCAUCCAGUCAAAUUUUGCUUCCUUCCAGCUCCUUCCUGAAUAAUAAUAUAUUUUUUAAUAUUUAUAUGUAUUAAUGUUAAAAAUAAUUUUAAAAAAAUAAAAAAUAUUAUAUUUUUUUUAAUAAGAAAAACAAGAACUCCCUAUUACACUUACAGAAGAAACAUUCCAUGUAUUCAAUCCAAGUGUUUGCGCGUGUCGAGGACUUUUUUUGCCUCUCAAUAAUUAGUGUUAUUUGUAUUAUAACUUUUUUAAUAUUUCAAAUGGAUGAGCUUUUCCCUUGACUUGGCGUAUUAGCAGCUUUAGGAUCUUUUGUUAUUUUCUCUUCCUUUUUUAUUAUAUAUUUUCUUCACACAGUAUAUCGGCCUGCGAUUCACAUAUUCAGUUAAUAUUAAUCUUUUUAAAAUUAAAAUAGCAGAAGAACUUAUUAGAAAAUCUGUUUAAUAUUGUGGUAAUUAUUUUUUAAAAAAUAUUUUUUAAAAAAAAAAUACAUUAUAUUAAAAUAAUAUAUUUUUAUUUUUAAAAUUUUAUUUUUGACAUUAACACAUCAAAAUAAUAUAAAAAUAAAAAAUAAUAAUUUAAAAUAAAAAAAAUAAAAAAACUCAAAUCCAAAUAUUUUCUUACUACAUUACAGAUGGUUCACAUUUUCCUAGAAAUUUUCAUUAACCACAAAAAGCUUCAUGUCUUGUUAUUAUUAUUAUUAUUUUGUAAUUUGGUAGGGAAGGGCUUCAAGCCUUCCAUCCAAGUGUUUGCGCGUAAACUUUGUUGAGUUUCACAUUAUAUUAUAAUGGUAAAAAAAAACAAUUAUAUAUGAGUGUCCUCUCCCCUGAAACUAAGGUAGACAUCAUAAUUAAUUCCCUGUGGCUGGGCGGUGGUUAUGGUGGAAGGAGUAGAUGGGGAUGGAGAAAUAUGACGGAUUCGUAUGAUGAAUCUCCAGAUAUAAGCAAACAAAAAGAUAGAGAGAAACAAGAAAAACAUCGCCAUUGUUUUGUGGAGAAACAGUCGAAGAAACAAGAGUAAUUAGACUCUGGUGGUAAGGUAGGUCUGGAGGGAGAGAACGGAAGGAACUCAAGGAAAAAAGAUGAGGCUGAUUUUGAAUGAGUAGCUUAGGCUUUACGUGUUUAAGAACCUGCCUUAGGCAUAUGUAUAAUUUAUAAUAAUCAAAUCCAAGAAUUUUCUUAGAACAUUACAAGAUUGCACAUUGUUGAUUUCCUAAAAAAGAUUAGGCAUGUGAUAGAAAAAGGCAUUUAUAUGUUGUUUUGUUUUUAUGGUAUUCCCAGUGUUUUCAUAAAUUCUGAAUUUAAAAAUAAUAAAUUUUUUUAGUUUUUUUAUUAUUUAAUUUACUGGUAUAAAAAUAAUUUUUAAAAAUUAUAAGCUUAUAUAAAUUCUUGUUUAUCAUAUCACAGCUGUGAUAGAUAACUUUUUAAAUAUUUCAAAUGUAUUAGGUCUUCACUUGGCGGAGUAGCAUAUCUUUUGUUAUUUUCUCUUCGACUUUUUUAUUAUAUAUUUUUUAAAAACACUAAACACUUAUGUAUCUUCGGUCCAAGUAUUUUCCUUCCAGAGAUUUUUUUUUUUGCCUUCAUAUUAUAUUAUAAUGGUUAUGAUGAUUUAAUUAAAAAGAACCUGAUAGAAAGUCUGUUUGAUAAUGUACUUGAUUGUUUUUAAAAUAUUAGAAUUACAUUAAAAUAUUAGAAAUACUUGGUUGUUUUGUAAAAAAUUUUUAAUUAGAAAUAUAUUAAAAUAAUAUUUUUUUAUUUUUUAAAAUUUAUUUUUGAUAUUAGAAAAUUAAAAUAAUAUAAUUAAAAUAUAAAAAAAUUAAUUUAAAAUAAACAAAAAAAAUUCAAAUUCAAGCAUUUUCUCAUAGCAUUACAAAAAGUGCACAAUGUUAGAGAACCUGUUUGGUAUAGUGAUAAUAGUUAUUUUUUAAAAUAAUUUUUAUUUAAAAAUAUAUUAAAAUAUUUUUUUAUUUUUUAAAAUUUAUUUUUGAUAUUAGUAUAUUAAAAUAAUAUAAUAAUAUAAAAAUUAAUUUAAAAUAAAAAAAAUCAAAUCCAUGUAUUUUCUCGAACGUUACAAAGGGUGCAAAUCUACUUGGAAAUGUGUAAAGGAUUAAUGUCUUUUCCUUUUUAGAUGUCUUUUCCUUUUUCCGCGUUCCCAAACAGUGUCCCGCAGAUGCCUUUUCCUUUUGCCUUUUUUUAUCGGCAGAUGCCUUUUCCUUUUUAGAUAUUCUUAAAACAAAGUUCUUAAAACUAACAUUUUCAUAACAGGAAAAAGGAAAAGGAAAAGGCAUCUGUGUGUGUAAUUUCAAGGAAAAAAGAAAAAGGAAACACGUAAUUUAAAGGAUUGGCCCAUACCCCGUCCCUUCCUCUCUCCUUCAAGACGACUUGUGUACAGUGAUAAAAGUUAAAGGAAAAAGGAAAAGGCAUUUGCUAGAUUUUUGAGCGUAGAAAAAAUAAUGGACAGAUAGUUAUUUUUUACCAGGUGGAUCCAUCCCAUGUAAGACAUAAAACAGGAAGCUUUGGAGAUGCAUUUGCUAGAUUGAUUAAGAAGAAAGCUCUGACGUUGGAAGAAGUGCAGAGCUUCAGAGACGCUUUGACGGAUGCAGCCAAUCUAUCUGGAUCGAGCUUAGGGAAGUCUGAGUAAGCUCUUGAAGAAUAGUAGCCGUAAUUUAAGCAUGGGGAAAUUAUUUAUUUCCUCCAAUGUUCAAUUGUUUAUGUUCCAAAAACACCGACGGCCGGUGAUCCCUUCAAAAGGAAAAAGGAAAAGGCAUCUGCCAAUUAGCUGGAAGGAAGCAUGUAAAAAGAAGAAUUUAUUAUAAUUACAUGGCUGCAUGCCAAUUAUGUUGCCAAAAGCAGUAAACAGAACCACGAUUGUGAUUUUCAAUCGCUUUUAUAUUAAAAUCGUAGUUUAAAAUAGCAGUUUUUUUAAAACUAUUUUUUUUUAUAAAAAAAAAUCAAACCAUAUUAUAUAUUUCUCUAACUGUAUCAAUUUGUUUUUUAAAAAAAUUCCUAUUAUUAGGGCAGAGUAACAACUAACAAGUUUUUCUCUAACUUUAUCAAUCAUUAAAAUAUAAUGUGAAGUCAACAAGGUAGUAGUACGUGCAAACACUUAAUUUUUUACUGGGUUAGAUCCGGUUCAAUAUAUUUAUUUUUAGAUUGGAUUUGGUUUGGUCGGAAUAGUAGAGACAUGUUCUACUGUUCAUCAUUUUGCUGCUUUCAGUAAUCCUGCGUUUUCAACGCAGAUACUGAUAGGGGCCAUAAAAAGUAAAUUGAGUUUUAUUAAAAAAUAAAAUUAAACCAUAUAUUUCUCUAAUUGUAUCAAUUUGUUUUUUAAAAAAAUUCCUAUUAUUAAGGCAAAGUAACAAAAAGAAAAAACAAAUAACAAGACAUUAAGCCUUUUUGUACACUGGAAAUACAUGGAUUUGAUUUUUUUUUAUUUUUAUAUCAUUUUAAUGUACUAAUAUCAAAAAUAAAUUUUAAAAUCAUUUUGAAAAACAAAUGUUACCACAAUACCAAAUAGGUUUUCUAACAACUUCUUCUUCGUCAAAUCAUCAUAAUCAUUAUAAUAUAAUGUAAAAGCAAAAAAGUCUUUGGCACAUGCAAACACUUGGACUAAAGAUAUAGAAGGUGUUUGCGAGUGUGGUAAUUGUAAGACCCAAACUUGUAGCCCAAACCCAAGCUCAAGUCAACUCAAACCCAACAUAAGUUAACCUAGGUAUAUAAGAAAAAGUUGCGAGAGAAUUAAUUUUCUCUCUUCUAAAUCUUGUGGCCAUCAUGACCCUCCUCUAAUCAAACUAAGGAUUUCAGUUUGUGAUCUUGAGUUUUGGGUUUAAAAAAAGUGGAAGUAGCAAGUGGUUUUCUCUCAUGUUACUUUCGAUUAUGGUUUGUUUAUGGAAAGAUUAAAAAAGAGAUUACGGUUUAUAAGGAUUUGAAGUUUGUUUUGUUAAGAUUAAUUCAUGAUUAUUAAUGGUUUAAUGUUAAGUGGUUGAUAUUGAGUAUGUUGUUAAAAAUAAAGUUUUAUGAGUUGAUUUGUUUAAAUUAAUUUUUUUAUGGGUUAAGAAAUCCAUUUCAACCUUGUUGGAAAAUCUAGACAGAAUGGUCUUAAGGUUGAAGAUUAAAAAACUUUAUUUUGGUACUUGAUUUAUAAAAAUUAUAAUUUAGUCCCUCAACUUUGAAAAAUUAUAAUUUGAUCCCUGAUAUGUCUUUUGAGAUUUUGGACAGUGUUAUUAUGAGGUUAAGGAUGAUGAAUCUCAGUUUGAUAAUUGAUUUGAAAUAUUUUUAGUUUGGUCCCUUAAUUUUGGAAAUUUACAUUUUAGUCCUUGAACUUUUAAAAAAUUAUAGUUUGGUCCCUGUGUCAUUCUGGACAAAAUUAAGGAUGGUUUAUGAGUGAAAUUUCAAUGUGGUUAUGUAUUUAUAGUUUGGUCUAGUUUUGGUAAAAUUACUUUUUAGUCCCUGUUUUGGAUAAUUGUCGCUUUAGUCCCUAAACCUAGAAGACUAAACCUGGUUUUCUUUUAUGCAUUGGAAUCUAUUAUUUGUGUUGUUUUGAGUUGCUUUUGAGUAUAUUUUCUAUAUUUGUUAUAGGCUCUCCUAAUGAUCCUCAAUAGAUUUUACAAGUCUUUCAUCUGAUAUUCCUUUUAAUCUAUAUUUUUCCGGGUAAGUGGAAUAAUCUUUAAUGCAUAUAAUAUAAAUAAAUAUGUAAGUUGAUUAUAUGAUGAGUACGACUAGUUAAUCUCUUGAAUACUUAUAUAUGUUGCUAUAUUUUUUGAGUACUCACUUAUUCUUGAAUUUGCACCCGCUUUUUGUCAAACUAAAUUCUAAUCAAUAUGAUAUAUAUUUCUUUGAUGAUUCUGUGAAUAUCUAUUAUGUCUUGAUAUAGAACUUGUCAAUAACUCCAUGCUAAUGGAGAGUAGUUAGCCUUCACUCAUCUUCAGGGACAUUGUAAGAAACAACUUGGUCGAUAAAUAGUCUGAUGGAGUGUGAGAAACCAAUAAUUAGAGAAACUUAAGGUUCAAUAAACCAAAUUUAGCAAUGACACAUGCAAAAUAGACAAAGGGGAUCCAUCUUAUUGGUCAAAUGCAAGCCAUUUUUAUGGAAUACAUUAAAGGAUCUGAGUACUUGCACAAUAUCAGAAAAGUGUGAAGUUCAUUUUGAACAUUAUCAGCUUAAAAAUCAACAUUUGUGUGUGUGAAAGAACCAUUGACCAAAGCACUAUAACAAAUAAGAGUAUACCUGACUGAGGCUAAUGAUGGCAAUAAAUUGUAAAUUAUAAGGUCUUCUCCCACUCUGAAAACCAAGUUCAUGAGAGAUGGAACAAUUUCUACAAUGUUGUUGUGCUUCUUUAUUAAUCAACCAAGCUGUACAUAUAGGUUUAAGAGAAACUAAUCAACACCUAAAUACAAGGAAGGAUAAGAUGAAGACUCAUAGUCUUAAAGAAGUUUGAACUGAAUGAUUUAAUCUUCAUUCUGAUAGUUCAAGCUUGGUUGGCAAGAAGAAUGUGAGGAAAGCAACGAAAAGGAAAAGAAAAAAAAAUAUAUAGAAAACAUGAAUUUAUAUCAUUGGUUCUAUAUGAUAAUAAAAAAGCUCAUAAAAUUAGUCACAACCCAAUACUAAGAUAUAUAUUUUAAUAGAGAAAAUGGCAGUGAAGAAGAAUAGCCCAGGAAAUGGCGGCGAAGAUUCGUUUAGCAAGACUGGGAUGCACAAACAUGGCAUUUUACAGAAUUGUUGCUACUAAUAGCCAUACUCCAAGAGAUGGCAAACACCUUCAAGUUGUUGGUUUCUACGACCCCUUAGCAGGUUCCCUCUUCUUCUCUUAUUAUUUUCAUAUACUCAGUUCACAUGAAGAUUUUUUUUUCUAAUUUUAAAGACCUGGACUUUGAAGGCUUAUUGGGUUUAUUUUCAGGUUCUCAUAUCAUCAAUGCAUGGUAUGUGUAGAUAGCUUUGUUGAUGGGGACACCGAACCAGAAACAUUGGUUACAUACGCGUAUGAUCAUAGACGAUGGAGGAUAGCCCAAACCAUUGAGAAAUUGGGCUUUAGCUUAUGUUUUUUGGUUUAAUUUAUAUGAACUUUUAGUUAAGAUUUAUUAAUUUGAUUUUAUUUGUUGGGUUUGAUUUCUUUAUUGUUAGGUAUUUUAUUUAGUGGGCCAUAAGCCCAAACGCUUGUUCUAGUUAGGGUUUGAUGUGAACCUCGUGAUCACGUGGUCACGCAACCCACAAUCAAGAUUGAGAUCUAAUCCCGGAAAAACGAAAUAGGUCUGAUAUGAGUGCGACAUAAUGGAAACCUGCCCCAAGGCACCAACACUAUUGGAAUGAGUAGAAUGACGUCACAAAGCCAGUUAAUCUUCGAUAAGUCAGAUUGAGUUCGUUCAAGAACUGAAGAGUGCAAGAAUCACUCUCACAUGUUAAAACUGAAAAAUUCAGAAUAAUAAUCAUCAAAGCUGCCGAAAUUUUGGCUUACAUGAGUUUAAAUAGUUCUUGAAAAGUUAACCCUAAUGGACCCCUUAUGUGGACUUAUAUGAGGUCCACUCAAAACUGGCCCAAAACCCUAAAAUGAAAAGCCCAUAACCAGAUCCAAACAAGCCUUGGGCUGUAGCUAACAAAAUAAAAUAAAGCCCCUAAUAUUAAAUCCAUGUUCUGCCAUGAGAAUAAUAGAAUGAACUAAAAUAAUAUAGAAUUGAUUGAAGGCUUAUUUAUAGCCUUCCAUGCAGCCCUUUAAUCCUAGAAACAAAAGGAAAAGGUAGCCACCAUGUUGUUUCCAAGUUGUAGUAGGAUUAUUUUGUUUCCUUUGCUGUCCUCAUCUCAUGGCCCAAAUAAGGUUGUAUUGGACCCCUCUUGCACAUGGAUAAGAUGUACUAGGAUCUCCUCUUGAUACUCCAAUGGACCUUCCAAUUCUGACUUGGUGGAAACCUUCAAAACCAAUGCAUUCAAUGCGUCGUUCAAUGUCUUUGUCUUGGACCGAGUCAUUGGUCCAUUUGGAACAUGUAAUGGGUCCUUGCUGGUGUUUCUGGGCUGGUCCGCAUCAGGGUUUUAGUAUUUAUAUCCUACUUUUCAAAAUCUUAAACAGUUUUUGAUGAUUAAUAAAAAUAUUGCAGACUUUGCAUAUCUCUAAUCCCUUUUAUUCUCUUCUUUAGCUUCUUUCUUUCUCUAAACCUUCUUUUUUUUCUUGCUUUAAUCCUUAUUAUUUAUUGUCCCGCGUCAAAUUUAGUAUCAGAGUCAGGGUUUUAAUUGUUUUUACAAUUAAACGAUCCACAAUAUUUAUGCUAAACCCUAGAUCCGAUUUGAUCUUUUAAAAAAAAUUGUUCACUAUUUAAAAAAAAAACCUACUGUUCUAAUUGAAAAAAAAGAAGAAGAGGGAAACAUUGUUCAUCUUCUCCCCCAGCAAACCGCCGCCGCACAGCACGCCACCUUCGCCAGAGGGCAGAUCGGGCAUCCCCAACAACCACCAAAACCCACGACAGCUCUCUAUAGCACCUAAGGCGAAAGAUUUUCCUACAGCAGGCCGCUCUCCACGCCACUUGUAGUCACACCGAUUUACUACCUCUAAAACUCCUACAGCACCUCAACUUCCACCAAUAGCAACAGAUUAGUGGGUUACAAUAAUUGUAGCCCACGCCACCGUCACCAACCAACCCAGACAAUAACCCACAUCCACAACAAGUCACUCACACAAGAAGUAGUAGAUCUUCAUCGACGACGGCUCAUCUACCAGCUCAUCCUCUCCCCGCCAUCAGUAAGUCAGACAUCUAGCCACUACUUCGCUCCACAAGAAACCCACAGAGCCACACUGAAUUGUUAUCUCCAAAAUAAAUUUGUCUUUAGCCUCUUGCACCAUCUAGCGGCACCAACAAUAGCAUCACCCUCACCGAUUCUUAGAUAAAUCGCACCCUCCAGCAGAAGCAGCACCCGCCGCAGUCACAACUGGUCCUUCAGACCUAUUGAUACAGCAACAGUCAUGCCUCGCCACCAGCAAAUGACAAAAAAAGACUCGGUAAUUGCAGAACAGAAGAAGGGAUUUGAGGCAAAAUAAUUAGACCUGCCAUGUCAUUAACCACGCCAACAUAUUUAGCCAUGUCAACAUAUUCAUCCUCGCCAUCAAUGAAGGAAACCAGGAAACCAAAGAAGGCUCUCGAUGCAAAAUUAAUUAAGCAAACUGACCACAUCAUCUACCAUGUCAGCAGUCAAUUCCUCUAGUUUGCCACGUUAGCUCUAAAAAAUUCUAUCUUCCUCCCAGCACUCUAGUUAGUGAAUCACUCUCCCAUGUUAUUUGUUGAAGUUUAUUUUUUUUAUUUUUCACUUGUCAUUUAAAGUUAUUAUUAAUAUUACUUUUGUGCCUAGAAAAUUCUCAAAAAAAAAAAUUCUCACCUUACUUUUUAUUCGUUAAUUUGCUCAUUAACCUUUUUUUAUCAUUAAUAUCUAUUAUAUUGUCCUCUUUAAUAAUUGUGAGUCUUUGCCUUGACAUUGUAUUUGAUUAAUCAUUUACACUUGAGGGUUAAGCAUUACAUGCUUAUAAUCUUAUUGGUGUAAUUUGUUCUUGAUUAAUCUCCACAUUAAAAAAAUAAAAAAAAGAUAGGAUUAGCUUUAUUUUUGUAUUGUGACUUCACUUGCAAGAACCAUUUGUGAUCUCAAUUUCAUUUCUAAGUGAGUGUUGCAUGCUUUUGUGUCAUGAUCAUCUAGUGUUCAAGCUAACACUAUUGUAGACUCGACUAUUAGUGAUACUCUUAUGACCAUUUAAAGGGAACUGCAAACUUAGGUGAUCACCAUAUUUAAAAGAAUUGAGCCCCAAGAAAGUUUUAGAAUAAGGCACUCAAAGACCAAUAAAUAUCACAAGAAUAAUCAUUGUGGACAAGUUCACUCUGAGCGCCACCAGUAUGACUAUCAUUUAGGUUACUCUAAACACGAUGACUUUGAUGAGCUAGUCUUGAGUCCUAACAAAAUAGAAGCCCCCACUUUUGACGGUUGUCAUGACCUUUGGAUAUUUGAUAUGUGGAUUCGUGAUAUGGAUUGAUUCUUUGAGUGGCAUAACUUGUAUGAUAAUAAAAAAGUUAGAUUUGCUGAGAUGAAGCUUAUUGGUGAAACCAAAACUUAUUGGAGAGAAGUUGAAGAUUGUUUAGAGAUGAGAGGUAAACCUCCUAUAACUGAUUGGAUCAAAAAGAAACAAAACCUUCAAGAGAAGUACCUACCCCAGUCUUAUAGGAAUAAACUCUUAAGCCAAUGGAACAAUCUAAGACAAGGGAAUAAGUCUAUCAAUGAGUAUAUAACACAGUUUAAUGAUUACAUGAUGGGAUGAGCCAUAAGAGACAAUGAAGCCAUGACUUUGCGUAGAUUUUUUAAAGGCUUGAAAGAUGAUCUUAGAAGAGAAGUUAUAUUUCAAGGUGUAUCUACCCUUGACCAAGCUUAUACCUUAGUUAAAAACUACAAGUUGGUCACAAAGAAUCAAUGGAAGAAUCAGCAGGACUCUUAUAGUAUCCCUAUUAGGUCCCAAUUCAGAAGUAGUGAUUCUUUGUUAGGUGCUCCACCCCACAGACCUAAUCUUAGUAACUCCCAACUUUAUAAAAAAAGAUAAAGGCAAACGAGUUUUUAAUGAAUUGUCUAAGGUGAGUUCAAUGGUUAAGUAGCACUAAUUGUCUAGGUUUUGGUCAUAUCUAUUUAAAUUGUAGCUCUAAACCUUUAGCCAUCCAAAAAUAUAAGGAUAUAUGUAAAGAGGAAUAUUGUAGUGUGAUUAGUACUUAAAAGUGCAUAUUUAUCAAGGUUUUAUAGCAUCAUUUUGCACUUAAAGUAUCAAUAACUCCUUAACUAAAGCAUGGUUUAUAAUAAUAAGUCUAAUACUUAAAAUACCUUAAUAUAUGGUAAAUGUUCAUCUUAAAUGCAGGCAUAUCACAUAAAUCAAAGGAUUGAUUGAUGAAUUCAACUACUGAAAUUUGUGAAGAUAAGGAGAGGGUGAAAUUUAGAAAAGAGAUGUUGGUGCAGUUCAAACUGAAAUACUAUUCGGUAAUUGGGUCAUAUCUAGAGUUCUAUAUGUCCAAAUGAUAUCAUAUUUUUAAAAAGAUUCAGUAAGAGAUAGGCCUACAACUUUCAUGUUUUCAUCAAGAUCUAAGAAGGCCGUUUUCAAGUCCAAAUGAUAGCAACAACGGAGAAGUCCGAAUCUGUCCUGCAGCUCUAACACUGUUUAGUGUUUGGCCCAUAACUGGCGUUCUAGAAGUCCAAAUGACCUCCAUUUUUUUUCCUGGAAAUUUGAGUCAAUUUCCUACAACUUUCAUGUUUUCUAGUGGACCCAGUUCGGAAGCUAGCAUUUUUGUUUUAUUCAGACAAGAAGAUAAGGAUUUUCACCAAGUCAAAAGUUGGCCACCCACUCAACAAUUAGUUAUCAAAUCAAUAAUUCCGAAUUUUGGCCUAUAAAAGGAGGCAUUUGCCAUGUAUUCUGGGGCUUGGUUGUUCAGAUCAAGCUCAUGCUCUUUAUUUCUCUCUUUAUAUUUUUUUGUAAUUUUUAAGUUUUGCUUUCAUUAAUAUCUUGUUUAUGCUUUUCAUUUCUUUUCCUUUACUUAGUUAACUUGUAUUUUCUUUAUGUUCUUGUUUUGUUUAUUUAUGUUUCUCUUCUUCAUUAUGUUUAGCUAAGUUUAUUAUGUCAAGGUGAAAAGGUUACACUAAUGGUGUAAGAAUAAAUAUAGUGUAAACUCAACAUGGAUCUUAAUGUUUAAUAUUAACAUGUCUUAUCUUUUUAUCUUACUAAUUCUUAAUACCUUGCUUGUUAAAUGGUUAAUCUAGAUUUGUGUUGUAUAACACUUGGUACAGCAAAUGCUUGGCACUCUCAUAGCCCAACAGUAUGGUAUUACCUACACCUGGGCUAUGAAAGGAACUUGAUUUGUUGUUAACAUCAGUUAAUAUCAUGAAUCCUGACAAUAUUUAAAAGUGUGGUGUUAUGUAAUAAGAUAAUUAAUAUGAUCAUGUUAAAAUUUAUAAUGAGCUAUUAAUGAGAAAUCAUCCGAUUGGAACCUCCUUUUUAUGUGUGGUUUCCAUUGAGUAAUAAGAGUUUAUACUAUACUUGUUUGAAAUACCAUUGGUGGAUCCUCUAACCUUGACAUUUGUUUUUAUCAUUGUUUAAUCCUUACUUAAUCUUUAUCUCAAAGUUCUCAUUAAUUUCUUCUCUCUUAUUAUUAUUAUUAUUAUUAUUUACAUUCUGUUUAUAUUAUAUAAUAUAUAUCUUUGAUCUUUUCAUAAACUCAGUAUAUAGGCUGGAAACCUGUGACCCGAUCUUUUAGAUCAUUCUCAGGUAUAACAACGCCACGUACUGAGUAUUAUUAUUAUUUUAUUGUUGUUGUUGUUGUUGUCUUGUUAUUUAUAAUUUAUACAAUUAACCUCUCUGUGGUUCGACCCCGGUCUUGCCGGGUUAUUUAUUACUUCGACACUCCUGCACUUGGGAGAAGACAUCAAGCUUUUGGUCGUGUCAAGUUUUUGGCGCCGUUGCCGGGGAGGUAAAUUCUUGUAUAAAUUAUAAUAUUUAUUUAUUUUUCUACUUUUCAUUUUUUUCUUUUGUUUUGUUUCUUUUUUUUUUUCUUUUCUUUCUUCCUUUUCUUCUCUUUCUACACGUGCAUGAGAGUUUGGUCACGUACAUUAAAUGAUAACUUUGUAAAUACUCAUCUUUAGAAAACAUGGCCGAAGAAGAGGAUAAUCAAUCGCUUUAUAAUGAGAAUAAUCGGGUUAGAACACUUAGAGACUACAUGAAUCCACAAGAACAAUUGCGCGAUCAUGUAUAUUUUUUCCUCCUGAUGCAUCUCAUUUUAAUUUUAAGCCAGGCAUUAUUCAACUUUUACCUUCUUUUCAUGGCUUAGAUCUAGAAAAUCCAUACUUGCAUUUGAGAGAAUUUGAGGAAGUUUGUAACACUUAUAAUGACUCAAAUUGUAGCAUGAACACCAUUAGAUUAAAGCUUUUUCCUUUUUCUUUAAAAGAUAAAGCUAAAACAUGGCUACAAAAUUUGAGACCAGGAUCCAUUCGUGCUUGGGAUGAAUUGCAACAACAAUUUUUAAAGAAGUUUUUUCCAUCUCACAGAACAAACUCUUUCAAAAGACAAAUCACCACUUUCACUCAAAAACCAGGAGAAACAUUUUACCAAUGUUGGGAUAGGUAUCGAGACUUGAUUAAUACUUGCCCUCAUCAUGGUUUUGAAACAUGGAGAUUGGUUUCACAUUUUUAUAAAGGAUUAACACCUAAAGAUAGGCAAAUGGUGGAAUUGAUGUGCAAUGGAACUUUUGAAGAUAAAGACCCUAAUGAAGCAAUGGAGUACCUAGACUUGCUAGCUGAAAAUGCUCAAAAUUGGGACACAAUUUGAGGCACAGUAAAACUCAACCUCAUACAUCUAGUGGAGGUAUGUACAACCUUAGGGAAGAUCAUGACCUCCAAGCCAAUUUGCAUCUUUAGCUAGAAAAGUCGAGGCACUAGAAUUAAAAAGAGUGGUCAAUUAAAAUCUGUUCAAGACAUUGUGUGUCAAAUCUGUGAAACAAAUGAACAUGCAACCAAUGAUUGUCCAACUUUGCCUUCUUUCAAGGAAUGCCUCCAUGAACAAGCCCAUGCUUUAAACAGUUUCCAAAGGCCCAACCAUACUCGCAAACAUACAAUCCUGGUUGGAGAAAUCACCCAAAUUUUAGUUGGAAGAGUGAUAACAAUAAUGCACAAACUUCACAGCCAUCGUUUCAAGCACACCAUAAUUUCCAAAAUUCUCAUGGAUAUGCACCUCCUUAUGCUCCACCUCUAGAAGAAAUCUUGAGGAAACAUUGCAUUCAUUCAUUGAAAAGCAAGAGAUAAUCAACACUCAACUUGCUCAAAGCAUGACAGGUUUUAAAGAUACUCUUGCAAAGUUAACAUCUGCUCUCAGUUUUCAAGAGAACGGUAAGUUUCCAUCUCAACCACAGCAAAAUCCAAAGGAGAAAUACAAUGUAAAUGCAAGUAGUUCAGAAGUCAACACAUGGAUCAAGUCAAAUCAGACAUCACUCUUCAGUGGUAAGGUUAUUGAAAAACCAUUCUUGAACCUUGUGAGAAAGAUGAUGAGUCAAUCUCUGAGGGUAAGGAAGGGGUUGAAUCUGAACAUUGCAAAGAAAAGACUGAUUUCCCACCAGCACUUCCAUUUCCUCAUGCCAUGACCAAACAGGAAGCAAUCGAUGAUGAAAAAGGCACCGAAAAUGUUGUCGCGGAUCAUUUGUCAAAGUUGACAAUAGAUUCGACAUCCGACAUCACACCAAUCAAUGAUUACUUUCCUGAUGAAUCUUUACUUUCUCUUAGUUCAAUGCCUUGGUUUGCUAAAAAUAACAAUUUUCUUGCUUCAGGAUUUUUGACAGCUCAUUUGGAUAACCAAGAUAAAAGAAAGUUUUUGAGCGACGUGCAAAACCUUUAUUGGGAUGACCCUUACUUAUUCAAAUAUUGUCCUGAUCAAAUAUUUCAAAGAUGCAUUCCUGACAAUGAGGUAAGUAGUGUCAUUAAAUUUUGUCACUCUGAAGCAUGUGGGGAUCAUUUCUCGUCAAAAAAGACGACUGCAAAAAUCUUACAAAGUGAAUUUUACUGGCCCACCAUGUUCAAGGACUCAUAUGCAUUCUGCAAAACCUGUGAAAAUUAUCAAAAGGUGGGAUUUAUUUCAAAACAUAGAGAGUCUUUAGAUAAUCUUCCAUUGACUCUUAAGUCUCAUCACAGUGGAGAUGUGCAUAGUGCAAUACAUGAUUUAUGGCCCUAUUUUCAUAAAGAACAUGCUCAUCAUAGUCUUGGGAAUCUGACUAAAAAAAAGACAUUUUUUGCUAGUUUUUUAAAAAAACUGGAUGGGAAGCCUAUCCCCGACCCAUAGAGGGCGUUUAAGCCGUUUUUAGACGUAAAACCAAGGAAAGCUGUGAGCCACAAUCACAACUACCUGUACAUACACAUGCUUUUUCAAAAUAAAUAAAUAAAUAAAUAAAGAGAGAGAGUGUGUGAGACUACGACUGGCCUACAUAUAGGUGGUGUGAUUGCAUUUUCAAUUUCUCAUUUAUAAAUAUUUGCGUCUUUUGGUUUUAUUAUUGUGUUUUGUUGUUUCUUAUAUUUGUUUAAGUGUGUUUCAGGUUUGUUAGUGUUUGCUAUUUCAGGUGAUGUCUUCUAUACUCUAUCUUUCUACCUUAAGACAUUGAGGACAAUGUCUUAUUUUGGUUGGGGGGAAAGGGUAGUAGUUGAUAAUUAAAAAAAAAAAUUGUGUUUUCUAUUUCAUAAACUAUUUGCAAAACUGUUGUUACUAGGAUGGCAGAGUAAAAGGAGUUCUUUUGUUAAAGUGACUCUUGAGACGCAUCUUAGUAAACAUUCUUAACAGGUCUAUCAGAAUACUUCUUGAAAUAUUCAGGUUUACAAACUCUCGUAUUGGUAGCACUUGAUUCUGCUCAUAUGCUCAUUUAACAAGUAUUUUUAAAUCUUCAUUUUCACACACACACUUUAACAUAUGAUUGUGGGUUGCACAUUGGAUUAUUACAUUAUUUAUGUUCUUUUGUUAAAGGUAACAACUAAGGGAAAGGGAUAGUACAUAAUUUGCAAAAAAAAAAAAUGAUAAUAAAAAGGUAGAUAAGUUUGGUUUCGUAGCCUCCCUAACCUAAGCAAUUAAGCCCGAAGGGGUGUUUUAACACUUAAUACCCUAAAGUCAACUGACUUGGGAGCUAUUGGCCCAACGCUUGUUACAUGGGUUGAGGAGAAAAGCUUAAGGGAAUCAAACAUUGCACUAUCUACGUAUCAGUAUCUGCAACCCGAGUUGCUAAGCUCGUAGGGGUGUCUCAACACCUAAUGCCCUAAGACCAACUGGUCUGGGAGUCAUUAGCCUAAAACUCGUUACAUGGGUUAAAGACAUUGUGUUUCAAGUUUAUGUGUAUAUAAAUAAAUAAAUAAAAUAAAAAAAAUAAUAAUCCAACCAAGGAAGUUACCUUAAACAUUAGAACAAAAAUUUGUUUUUCUUCCAAGUAAAGCCCCAUAACUAUAUGUUGAUAUUUUGAGCAAAAAGAAAGGUUUAGUAAUAUCUUGUUUAAGAGGUAUUGAGCAGAUAUAUGAAUUUAAUGAGAGUUUGUUUAUCUGGAUAAUUAAAGUAAGUUGAAUGAUGAAUGCCUUGCUUUAUGGAAUUUGCAAAUUGUUUUUCUAUUUUAACGCUUUGAUUACUAGGGACUAGUAAUAAGCUGGUUGGGGGGUGUGAUUAGUACUUAAAAGUUAUUUAUCAAGGUUUUAUAUCAUCAUUUUGCACUUAAAGUAUCAAUAACUCCUUAACUAAAGCAUGUUUUAUAAUAACAAGUCUAAUACUAUAAAAUUAAUAUAUGGUAAAUGUUCAUCUUAAAUGCAUAUCACAUAAAUCAAAGGAUUGAUUGAUGAAUUCAACUACUGAAAUUUUGAAGAUAAAGAGAGGGUGAAACUUAGAAAAGAGAUGUUGGUGCAGUCCAAACUGGAACACUGUUCGGUAAUUGGGUCAUAUCUCGAGUUCUAGAUGUCCAAAUGAUUAUUUUACAAGAUUCAGUAAGACAUAGGCCUACAACUUUCAUGUUUUCAUCAAGAUCUAAGAAGGCCGUUUUCAAGUCCAAAUUAUAGCAACAACGGAGAAGUUGAAUCUGUCCUGCAGCCCAACACUGUUUCAUAUUGGAGUUCUAGAAGUCCAAAUGACCUCCAUUUUUUUUCCUGGAAAUGAGUCAAUUUCCUACAACUUUCAUGUUUCAAGUGGACCCAGUUCGGAUGCUAGCAUUUUUGUUUUAUUCAGACAAGAAGAUAAGGAUUUUCACCAAGUCAAAAGUUGGCCACCCACUCAACAAUUAGUCAUCAAAUCAAUAAUUCCGAAUUUUGGCCUAUAAAAGGAGGCAUUUGCCAUGUAUUUGGGGCUUGGUUGUUCAGAUCAAGCUCAUGCUCUUUAUUCUUUCUCUUUAUAUUUUUUGUAAUUUUAAGUUUUGCUUUCAUUAAUAUCUUGUUUAUGCUUUUCAUUUCCUUUCCUUUACUUAGUUAACUUGUAUUCUUUAUGUUCUUGUUUUGUUUAUUUAUGUUUCUCUUCUUCAUUAUGUUUAGCUAAGUUUAUUAUGUCAAGGUGAAAAGGUUACACUAAUGGUGUAAGAAUAAAUAUAGUGUAAACUCAACAUGGAUCUUAAUGUUUAAUAUUAACAUGUCUUAUCUUUUUAUCUUACUAAUUCUUAAUACCUUGCUUGUUAAAUGGUUAAUCUAGAUUUGUGUUGUAUAACACUUGGUACCAAAUGCUUGGCACUCUCAUAGCCCAACGUAUGGUAUUACCUACACCUGGGCUAUGAAAGGAACUUGAUUUGUUGUUAACAUCAGUUAAUAUCAUGAAUUCCUGACAAUAUUUAAAAGUUUGGUGUUAUGUAAAUAAGAUAAUUAAUAUGAUCAUGUUAAUAAUUUAUAAUGAGCUAUUAAUGAGAAUCAUCACCGAUUGGAACCUCCUUUGUGUGUGGUUUCCAAAUUGAGUAAUAAGAGUUUAUACUAUACUUGUUUGAAAUACUAUUGGUGGAUCCUCUAACCUUGACAUUUGUUUUUAUCAUUGUUUAAUCCUUACAUUAAUCUUCCAUCUCAAAGUUCUCAUUAAUUUCUUCCUCCUCUUAUUAUUAUUAUUAUUAUUUACAUUCUAUUUAUAUUAUAUAAUUUAUCUCUUUGAUCUUUUCAUAAACUCAGUAUAUAGGCUGGAAACCUGUGACCCGAUCUUUUAGAUCAUUCUCAAGUAUAACAACGCCACAUACUGAGUAUUAUUAUUAUUGUUAUUGUUAUUAUUGUUGUUGUUGUUGUUGUCUUGUUAUUUAUAAUUUAUACAAUUAAUCUCUCUGUGGUUCGACCCCGGUCUUGCCGGGUUAUUUAUUACUUCGACACUCCUACACUUGGGAGAAGACAUCAAUCUUUUUGUCGUGUCAUAGUGUUGAAAUGUAUGAGCCUAAUCUUGAGGAUUUUAGUGACCUAGAUGACAAGGGUGUGCAAGAAGAGAUACUUAAUAUAAUGAGUCCACGUGAGCUUGAGAAUGAUGUUAGGGAAGUGUCUGAUAAAUCUGCUUUAAUGGUAGAGGAAGUUUUAGGGAACUCUUUAGUGGAAUCGCCUAUAGAGAUAAAUAUGGUCUUAGAAGAGUCUCAUGAUAUUAGUUCUCCUAAACUACCUGAUUCCUCACCCCACAUGAUUGAUGUCCAGCACAUCAUAAGUUUAGAACAACAUGUUGAGCUUUCUGACCCCUUACCUCAUGCACAUGAUAAAGAAGAUGAAGAUAAUCUCAGUUUACUUGAUUGUGUCCAUACCAUGUCUACACAUGUUUCAAACAAUGUUUGUCUCAUUCCACACCCUCGAUCAUUUAAUAUUCAUAGUUAUAAACCCUGAGAAGCCUAUAGAACACCUUCCCAUAUCUUCUCAUGAUAAGAUGUCCAAGUCAAUUGAGUCGUUACCAUGCGGAGUUCAUAAUUUGCAUGUUGAGAUCAUGAAUCAAAUUCAAGCAAGUAAUGAAUAAUAUAAAUUUUGAGCUGAUUUACUUAAGUAUCAUGAUGCAUUUAAUGUUGGAGAUUAUUUCAUGAUACAGAUUAGACCUAAACGGUGUCCUUUGAAAACCGAUCAUAGAUUGCAAGUAAGUAGUGCUAGACCAUUCAAAGUGUUACAAAUGAUUGAAUCAAAUAAUUAUGUCAUUAAAUUGCCAUUAAACUUUGAUAUUAACUCUACUUUUAACAUGAAUGACUUCAUUAUUUAUAAAAUACAACAUAUCCUUGUUGCUCCUUUUGAUACCCCUACCUCAUUAUCCAUAUCUUUGGCACAAAGGGAACAUAUUAAUGUUACUUUGAAUGCACAGGUUGUUUUUACCAGGGAUAAUGAACUUCAACAAAUCCCAGUAUAUGGGCUCGACAACCAGAUUCAGACUAUACUUGGAUUAUCAAAGAGACAUCAUAACAACUUGAUCCUUAUCUUUGAGAGCAUUAUCGGAGCUACCUUGAUCCUAUACUCGAUAGGGUCAAGUUCUUCCAACCUAAGAGAAUUGAUAAGGACACCAAACCGGAAACAUUGGUUACGCACGCGUAUGAUCAUAGACGAUGGAGAAUAGCCCAAACUAUUGAGAAAUUAGGCUUUAACUUAUGUUUUUGGGUUUAAUUUAUAUGAAUUUUUAGUUAAGAUUUAUUAAUUUGGUUUUAUUUAUUGGGUUUAAUUUAAUUAUUGUUGGGUAUUUUACUUAGUGGACCAUAAGUCUAAACGCUUGUUUUAGUUAGGGUUUUAGUAUUUAUAUCUUACUUUUCUAAAUAUUAGAUAAUUUUUUAUGAUUAAUAAAAAUAUUGUAAACUUUGUAUAUCUUCAAUCCAUUUUCUUCUCUUCUUUAAUUUCUUUCUUUCUCUAAAGCUUCUCUCUUUUCUUGCUUUAAUCCUUAUUAUUUAUUGUCCCGUGUCAUUUGUUACUCAAGACUUAAACUCUGUGGGAUAAUGCAUUUGUAAUUUUAUUUUCUUAUGUAUAUGUAGUUUAAUAUGACCAUUGAUAGCUCUGAUUGUUCAUAGUUCAUUUUGUCAUCAGUUAAAGUCUCAAAAAUAUGUUCAUAGUUCAUAGUUCAUAGUUCAUAGUUUUAGUAGUUUUGUGGGUUAAUUUUCAUGUAUUUAAUUUAAAUCUAGUCCAAACCAAGGUCACUGGAUCAAGGUUUUAAGAAAGAGUAUUUCUUUCCUCUUUCGUUUUUCCGCUCAAGGUUGGAUGGAGGCCAGAAAUGAGAUGCAAGCUCACAUCAUGAAAAUGGGUCAAAAUUCAAAAACAUUCUAUCAAGUUGCCUAAGCCUGGGCCAAUCCUGUUCUUGAUGCUCGGGCAAUAAUAGUCAUAUUGAUGGGGACGACGACUUGACCUUUAAGUCUUCCUUGAAAUUACGUGUUUCCUUUUUCCUUAUAUAUAUAUAUGUAUGUAUGUAUGUAUGUAUGUAUAAAAGGAAAAAGGAAAAGGCAUCUAUGUAAAAGGCAUCUAUGUAAAAGGCAUCUGUGUGUGUGUAAAGGAAAAAGGAAAAGAGAAGUGUUUAGUGAAAACAAAGACAAGAAAUUCGAAAUUUCCAGGAAAAUUAUAAAAGAAUUUGAAGUAAAAAAUUAAUAGACUAAAGAAUGAUGUUGGACAGAAGUGUUUAGUGUUUUAAAAAAAUAUAUAAUAAAAAAGUUAAAGAGAAAAUAACAAGAAUAUAUAAUAAAAAGUGUUUAGUGCUUUUGAUUUUUAAAAAUUAUUUUUAUAUCAGUAAAUUAAAAAAAAAAACUAAAAAAAUUCAAAAUUUACAAAAACGAAUUUCCAGGAAAUCAACAAUGUGCAAUCUUGUAAUGUUCUAAGAAAAUUCUUGGAUUUGAUGCCUAUAAAUUAUACAUAUGCCUAAGGCAGGGUCUUAAACACGUAAAGCCUAAGCUAUUGCUUCAAAAUCAGCCUCAUCUUUUUUCCUUGAGUUACUUCCGCUCUCUCCCUCCAUGCCUACCUUACCACCAGAGUCUAAUUACUCUUGUUUCUUCGACUGUUUCUCCACAAAACAAUAUGAUGUCUCCAUCACCAUCUACUCCUUCCACCUUAACCACCGCCCAGCCACAAGGAAUUAAACAUGAUGUCUUCCUUAGUUUCAGCGAACAAGACACUCUUGCUGGUUUUACCAGCCACCUCCAUGCUGCUUUGAAACGGAAACAAAUCCUAACUUUCGUAGAUGAUCAGCAUGUGAGAGGAGAUGAGAUUUCGGCAUCACUUCUGAGAACAAUUGAAGAGGCCAAGCUUUCUGUGAUUGUUUUUUCUGAAAACUAUGCAUCUUCCAAAUGGUGCUUGGAGGAGCUUGCAAAGAUUUUUGAGUGUAGAAAAAACAAUGGACAGAUAGUUAUUCCGGUAUUCUACAAGGUGGAUCCAUCCCAUGUAAGAAAUCAAACAGGAAGCUUUGGGGAUGCAUUUGCUAGACUUAUAAGGAAUAAAGCUCUGACGUUGGAAGAAGUGCAGAGCUUCAGAGACGCUUUGACGGAUGCAGCCAAUCUAUCUGGAUGUCCCUUAUUAGGGAAUUCUGAGUAAGCUCUUGAAAUAUAUCCCAUGAGAAAAUAUUCGUUCAUUUGUUGAGGAUUUGAAAUUUAAUUUAAAAUUAUUGAGAAAGAUGAGCUCUGUGAAUCCAUAUUUAUUUUAUUUGAUUUUAAAAACGUUGUAGCGAAACACUAUUACGUGGUUGGUUGUUCUGUGUAUUAAAAUGUUUUUUAAAAAAAAAUUAAUUUUUUUUAGUGUUUUUAAAUUAUUUUGAUAUGUUUAUAUUAAAAAAUAUUUUUAAAAAAUAAAAAAUAUAUAUAUUAUUUGUUGCGAAAUGUUUGUAUAGAUAUUAAGUGGUUAUUUGUUUUUGUGUUUUUAAACAAAAAAUAUAUAUUAAAAUUUUUAAAAAACAAUUUAGUGUUUUUAGAUUAUUUUGAUGUGUUUAUAUUAAAAAAAUAUUUUAAAAAGUAAAAAAAUAUUAUUUGUAGCGAAAUGUUUGUAUAUUAUUUGUUUUUGUGUUUUAAAAUAAUAUUGAUGGAGAUGAUACUAUAAGAUAAGAUGAUAUGAGAAAACAUUAUAUGCAUUUGCAUUUCCAGUUUCAAGGAUUGAUUAAUGAUGCUCAAUUACUCAUACGUGCCUGCACUAAGGAGUGAGUAUGUUUAUAUGUUUCUUCUUGUCCGGUCCAUUUUGACUAACAAUUAUGUGUCUUCUUCUUGUUUGUCAGGCUGGAGUCUGAAUUUAUUGAGAAAAUCGUUGGUGAUGUUUUGAAAAAAUUGCAUGCCAUGCCUUCAAGUCACACCAUGGCCGGUCUAUUUGGAAUUGAUGUUCGUGUUAGCGAAGUUGAGUCUUUGUUAGAUAUGGAGUCUCCAAAUGUUCUCAUUGUAGGGAUAUGGGGAAUGGGUGGUAUCGGUAAGACAACGAUUGCUGAAGCUGUGACCAACGAGGUUCGUUCUAGAUUUGAUCAAGGAAUCUUUGUUGCAAACUUUAGGCAACAAUCUGAUUUGCAAAAAGAUUUCUUCAGGCUGCUUGGCCAAGAAACUCUGAACACUAUGGGCUCCUUGAGUUUUCGAGAUUCUUUUGUGAGGGAUAGACUUCGUCGAAAAGGUUUUUAUUGUUCUGGAUGAUGUGGAUGAUUUAAUGCUUUUGGAAGAAUGGAAGAUUUGCUUGAUGGACGAAACAGUUCAUUUGGUCCGGGCAGUAAAGUUCUCAUAACAAGUAGGGACAAGCAAGUGCUUAUAAUGUAGUUGAUGAGACAUACGAGGUUGAGGGGUUGAACGAUGAAGAAGCUAUUCAACUCUUUAGCUCAAAGCCUUGAAGAAUUGCAUCCCCACAAUUGAUCAAAGAGACUUGAUAGAAAGAUUGCAAGGCAUGUACAAGGCAAUCCGUUGGCUCUUAAGUUUUGGGUUCCUCUCUCUAUGGUAAAAGCAUCGAAGAAUGGCGCAGUGCAUUGAAUAAACUAGCUCAGCACCCUCAAAUCGAAAGGGCGUUGAGAAUUAGUUACGAUGGGUUGGAUUCAGAACAAAAAUCCAUAUUUCUUGACAUAGCACAUUUCUUCAAGGAUGGGGCAGACAAAGCAACAAGAAUAUUAGAUGGCUUUAUGGUCGGUCUGUGAGUUCGAUAUAAGCACGCUCAUUGAUAAGUGUCUCAUAACUACUGUAAUGAAUGUACGAGCUAGAAAUGCAUGAUUUACUACAAGAAAUGGCAUUUAACAUUGUUCGUGCAGAAUCUGAUUUUCCUGGCGAACGUAGCAGGUUAUGUCAUCCUCCUGAUGUCGUUCAAGUAUUGGAGGAAAAUAAGGUUAAAGCUAGUGCCAUUAACUGUCGUUCAUGUAUUUGCUCAAAAGUUGAUGUGUUUGAGUAGAUUGUAUUUAUGUUUGUUUAUUCUUUUUUCUUGUUUAACAGGGAACUCGAAAAAUUAAAGGCAUAUCUUUGGACUUGUCCGUGUUUCCGAGACACAUACUCUUGAAAUCUGAUGCCUUCGCAAUGAUGGAUGGUCUUCGAUUUCUCAGUAUCAAUCAUUCCUCCGAAGUUGAUAAAAUGCAGCUUCCUCCUACUGGCCUCGAGUAUCUUCCUAAUGAGCUGAGAUAUUUGCGAUGGGAUGGAUUCCCUUCGAAAUCCUUGCCGCCAUCUUUUCGUGCUGAACACCUUGUCGAGCUUCACCUACGCGGAAGCAAGCUUGAAAAACUUUGGACAGGAGUAAAGGUAUGAUUUAAUUGCUGCAUAUUUAUGAUAAAAAAUAUAAAGCUGGAGGUGCUAACUUUCUAAUUAUACCUUUUUCUGGUGACAGGAUAUUGGAAAUUUAAGAACAAUCAACCUAUCUGACUCUCCAUAUUUGACAGAAUUGCCAGAUCUAUCAGUGGCCAAAAAUUUAGAGUGCUGUAAUUUUAGAUCCCUGACACGUUUCAAAAUCGUUUUUGAAAAAAAUUGAAAAUUUUUUAUUUUUUAUUUUUUGUUUUAAAUUAAUAUUUUUAAAAUGUUUUCAAAUUAGUUUUAAUGUAUUUUUAAAUAAAAAAAUAUUUUUAAAAGCAACCACAACCAUACUUUUAAAAGCCUUGAAACUAAAGGGCUGUCCAAGUCUAACCGAGGUUCCGUAAUCUAAGUGGAAGUGCUGUCAAAGAGGUGUCCUCAUCAAUCCAGUUUCUCGCAAGACUCCGCGAAUUGGGAAGAUCUGUUUUAUCCCUUUCAAUCUCUUUUGUUUCUCCCUCAAUUUAUUUUCUUCUGAACUUUUGUUUGUUAAGGAAGAUCUGUGUCCGCCGGUAGAUUUUCAUCAAAGUGCAGAUACACCCCCACAGCUUUUCAACUCGACAGGCCUUCCGCUCUCACGAUGUCUCCACCUUCCCCGGUAGAAUUUAAAUGUAACUUCAUUGCCAGAAAAUUUACAUAAAUGAUUUGCCAAUUCGAGCUCGUAGUGUAGAAUCAUGUGAUCUGAGUCACAUGUCUUCAAGGAAUAUGAUGGAGCACGUCUUUCCCGGGAAGCGAAGACGACUUCAUCAUCACCAUCAUGCUCACCGUUUUUACUCUUAACAUGGUAAUCACAAUAUACAUGAACAUCAGAACGAUCAUCGAAUUCAUAAAGCAUGUCAUGGGAGGGAAGGAGUAGAUAGACAAGGCAGAAAGCAAUUCCCUUGAGCUGAUGACAAUUUGAGGGCAACUGUAUGGUGACUGAAGAUCCAAUUUCUGUCACCGAACCAUUCUGGAAUUUCACUCCCCGGUAGAACCAUAGUUUUAGAAAAUGAUCAAAAUAGGUCAUGGCUUGGGAUUGAAUGUUUGAUUUUUAAGUUAAAUAAAAAAUAAUUUCAAAAAAAACAAAGUUAUUAAAUCUAAUACAACAUAUAACUCAAAUCACGAAAUUACUUGGGAUUGAAUACUCACGCGUGAAUGUACAUGCUUCCAACCAUAUAGCUUCAAUUAUUAUGCUAUAACAUGCUUCAGCUAAGCAAGAAGCCAGCUUGAAGCUAUUCAUUCCUUGUGCUGUCAGUCAUCAUUCUUGCAAAUCACAAAUGUUUCAUGCCAAGAAGAGCCUUCUUAUCAAUUUAGUGCUCCAAACACAUGUCCUGGGAAACGUUACAGCUCUUUCAUAAUUAGGUAGCGAGAAAAAUCCAGAACUUUGAGGUUGAGUUUUUUGUACAAGAAAUAUACUAGAUGUGACUGUACCGUAUUUAUUUCUUUCUUUUUUCAGACUCUGCAGAAACUAAUCAACACUUCAUGUUCAGGGGAUGAAGAAGAGCCUCAUCCUCAUUCCUUCUCUGCAAUUACCACGAAUACAUCUUUCAGUGACCACCUACGUCUCUCACUUUUGGCAGGCGGAUUGAUAACAGCCUUUUCAGCAUUAGCUGCACGGUAACCAAUGACUAUCUCUCUUCUCUGUCGUGCGCGUAAUAGUACUUCAUAGAAACUCAAUUCCUCGCCUUCACUGAGGUAAAGAUCUGCUUGCCUUAUUUGUAGCUCAUUUCCCUGAUGAAGGCAAAAUGUUUGUGAAUGAUGAGUUUAACUGAUUAAAGGAUCUUAAAUUCCAACAUCAUCAAUAGCAACAAUUUCACUAAUACAACAAAGGAAUCACUCUGAUCAAUGCUCGAGGGUUGUUCUAAGCAGGAAAGAGAGAACAUGCUAGCAAACCCUUUGCUGUUGUGGUCCAACAUAUUAACUAGCUUAAUUUAUCACAACCAUAAUGAUUAUUUGGAUGCAGGGCUCACGCUAGGCUACUUUCUCAAUAUAAGAAGCAGGGCAUCAAAGUCAUUAUAAUAUAUGAUUUAAAGGAGUGACCAACUAAAUGCACUAGGGAACGAAGGUAAUGAUCACCUGAUGUGUUUAAGAUUUCAUCCUUUUCAGCAUUAGCUAGCAAAGUUUCAUGGGCUCUAUGCAGAUGGCCUUUUGUGUGUGUGUGUGUGUGUGUGUGUGUGAGAGAGAGAGAGAGGAUUUAACGUGAUUGUUAAAAGUGCUUUCAAUAUCUUCCCUCAAGAGUUGGGCAAAAAACUAGAGCAAUCCUGUAAAAACAUCGCAUGAUAGUACUUGUCAAACUACCUCCACUGAGAACUUUCCAAUUUCUGCUGAAUAGGAAAGCUAUAGUAAGUACCUCAUUUGUUUCUUUUAACCUUUACAUAUGUUCCGAAUUAAACAUAUAGAUAAGGUACUGACAGGCAAAUUAUGAGAAAAGAAAACAUUGCAUUCACUUGUUGGAAUUUUAUAUUGCAAUUUUGUAAGCCCACUUCGCCCUUCAAAAUUUGGUUUUCCAUAGAGUGCAAUACGAUCUCAGAAUUUAACAGAAGUGAGACAAAAGAAUACCUCAUCUGCAAAGAGCUCUUCUAAUACAUCAUUUAUUUGUUGAUCUUCUGCAACCAUGGCCAAUGCCAUGCUGACAAGUUCAUUUGAUAAAACAUAAUCACAAUGCAUCCAAAUAAUUUGGCAGAUGCCUUUAUACACACACGUGGUAUAUGCUCCACAACAUAUUAAUAAUAAUAUUUUUUUGAAAUAGAAAAAAUAUAAAGAAUAAAGAAAAUAUAUUAAAUGUUUUGAAUUUGAUAACAACCUAAUUUUAUGUGGUCCUGAUAAAAAUAUGACCGAAUGGUAUUGGGUCUAAUGGAGAUAGAACCCAACAUUAUUGAACUUUUAUGCAUGAUAAGACGCAUGAAAACUGAAAUCAUUGCUUUGUCUAUAAAAAUAAUAAUAAUAAACUAACAGAUUAGUAGUUUAUUGUACAUCAAAGACACAUAUAACUGUGGAUUAAAAUAAUUACGUCACUAUUUUGCUCUUUUAAAAUAAAAUCAUUUAAUCAGUUAUUAAAAACAAUAUAUUUUUUAUGUUAUCCAUUUAUUAUAACCGUAUUAAAUGAAGAAUGAAGAUAAAUAAGUUUUUAAACAUUUUAAAAAUACAAUGAAAUAACUUAAAUAUCUUUAAAAAUAAAAUUUUUAAAAUUAGGAUCCAUAAGUGUUUCGGUCUUUUAACAUUUUGAUAGUAUAGUGAAAUAACUAUAUUGCUCUUAAAUGUCAAAAAAAAUAAAAUUGAUGUUUAUGGUUUUUUUGUAUUUUUUUCAUGGCUUCUUAGUUAUAAUCAAUGUGAAUUAGGGACAUUUUGGUCUUUUAAAAAUAUAAAUAUAAUUAAAAAAUAAAAAGUGGUUUAUGUUGGUGUCUGAGAGAUGCCUGCACUCUUUGGGCAGCGUAUGCAACAUCUAUCAGCGGACAACCACUGCCUUUUAUGACGGCGUUGAAAGCAUCACAAUAUCAUUUUUCUAGUGGUCAGGUAUGUUUGCAUGGCUUUUUUUCAUUUUUUCUCUCUCUUAACCUCAAAUUUCAUGUUAGCUCUUUCAAAAAUUUAAUGUGUCUUUUUUUUCUUAUUAUUUUAAUUAAUAUUUAUUUUGCUUGAAAUGCAUUUUAAAGUUGAUUUUUUCUUCAAUUUUUUCUUUUAACAUUUUAUUUCUUGUCCUCUUUCAAACAAUAGAGUUAGGUUCUCUUUAUGGUAUAAAUAAUGUUUUUUUUUAUUUUUUCAGUUUGUUUUAAUGUGUUGUUGUAAAAAAGUAUUUUUUUUAAAUAAAAAAUACUUUAAAAAACAAUUAUUAUUUGCUUUCAUAUUAUAUUAUAGUGGUUAUGAUGAUUUGAUUGAGAAGAAUUUGUUAGACAACUAAUUUGAUAUUGUAUUUAUAGUUAUUUUUUAAAAUACUUUUUAUUUAGAAAUCUAUUAAAAUAAUAUUUUUUUAUUUUUUAAAAUUAAUUUCAUAUUAUAACAUCAAAAUAUGUUCUCAUGUACAAAGGGUGCACAUUGUUGAUUCCUGGGAAUUUAUUAUGUACAAAAAGCUUUGGUUUGUUUUGAUGUGUUGCUAUAAAAAGUGAUUUUUUUAAAAAUAAAUAAAAUAAUACAUUGAUAUAUUUUUAAUUAAAAAACACUUUAAAAAAUAAUUAUUAUAACACUCAUAAACACUUUAAAAAUGUUUGUGUGUGCGGGUAAUAUUUUUGCUUUCAUGUUAUAUUAUAAUGAUUAUAAUGAUGAGAAGAACUUCUUAGUGAACCUAUAUCGUAUUGUAGUAAUAUUUAUUUUUUAAAGUUUUUUUUAAAUGAAAAUAUAUUAAAAUAAUAAUUUUUUUAUUUUUAAAAUUUUAUUUUUGAUAUUAAUACAUCAAAAUAAUAUAAAAACAAAAAAAAAUUAAUUAAAAAUAAUUCCUAAAAAUAUUCCAUGUACAAAUGCUUCAUGUCUUGAUAUUUGUUUUUUUAUUAUUUGGUAGGGAAGGACAUCAAGUCUUCGAUCAAAGUGUUUGCUCGUACUGAGUACUCUGUUGACUUCACAUUAUAUUAUAAGGGUUAUUAUUAUUUCAAUGGGAAGAACUUGUUAUGCAUAACUUGUGAACCUGUAUAAAGUGUUGCGUGGAUAUCGCCGGCGAGAAGGAAAAGAUUAGCCAGCGGAGAUAAAAUUGUUGAUCUCUUGAGCUGGUCAAAUACCAUGUCAAAUCUCUUCCAAGGUUUAUCUGGACAUGGAUGAUUCCAGGUUGUAGUUCUAGUGUUGUGAUCAAUAUAAUACGUUUUCCCUGUUGCUGCGUCAGAUCGCCUCUCCCAGCCUGGUGGCAAUGGAGCAGCAUAUGCAUCACCAUAGUUAUUGACUGACUGAUAUAUAACAGUAAGCCAAAUCACUAUCAAGUGAUAUGGCCAACCUCCUGCGUUACUCCACAAAACAUUGCGGAGCACCAAAAUAACUAGCAGCAUUCCAAGGAAUCUGGAAAAAUUAAAACGAAUGACUCCAUUUUGAUGUGAUCUUAUGCAGAAAGCACCAGCAAAAUCAUCGGUGUAGAUGAUUUCACCCCUGCAAUCCUAUUUUUUAAGUCAUAAAUACAUGACAUGCUAUAAAAAUAAAAUAAAUUAAAACUUUUAUCCUUUUAAUUUAACUAAGAAAAUCAUCCUACAACUAUUUUACAGUUAUUUAAAGCAAAUUACAAUAUGAUUAAUUAAUAGAAACAAUGAUUUUUUUAAUUAAUAGAAACAAUUAAAACUAGGACUGAGCAUUUUCGGUGACAAUUUAAUUAUAUUUUUUCCCUUCUAAAAAAAUAACUGUAAACUCUUUAUCUUCUAUGCAGUCGAAUUCCGCCUCAUAGUCAUCACGAGUUUUAGAAUUUCACAAGGUAGAAUUUUAUCUUUUUAAUUUUUUUAAAAUUUUAUUUUUUAAUAUUUAAGUUUUUAAAAAUUCAUCUUCAUAUAUAUUUUACCUUUUAUUUUAAAUUUUAUUUUCUUUUGGAAUCAAAUAUCUCAAUCCUAGUUACUUAUCUAUUAAUCAAGUAUUGAUCUAUUUAUUUUAAUGCACAUAUAUAAGUAUUUUAAUUUAUAAUUAAAAAAAUACCUAUUUAUUUAUUUUUCUAUUAAAAAAAAACUAAUUCAAAAUAAAAUGAAAGGCAAAUAUCUAAUUGUUUUAUAAAAUAAUAUUAUUUUAGUUUGAAAAAAAAAAAACUAAACUAAAACCACUUUGUUUUGAAAUUGGCUUUGCUCAAUCGGCUAAUCAGCGAAUCGGGUUUUGGAUUCGAUCAGACCCCGGACCUGUAUGAAAUCUAUGGUCGGUCCCCACCUGAAGAAACGAGAGGCAGAGAGAAACCAAAGAGAUGAGCUAACGGCAUCGACAAGCCACACGAUUCGAUUCUCUACCAUGAUAUAUAUAUAUAUAUAUAUAUAUAUAUAUAUAUAUAUUGUUUCCUUUGACAAGUCGCAGCACAAAUUCCAAUACCCAUUUUCAGUUUCCUAGAUUUUGAGUAAGUUUUUGAAGUGGGUGGUUUGAUUUAGCUUAGCUUACCGUGUUGUAAAUUGUCAUCUUUUUUGUUGAAUGCUGUACUUGGACGUCACUUUUUGUAGUAUCAUGGUGUUAGUGAUUGUAUUGUGAGGAACCCAGUUGGGGAAUUGGUUUAUUUGUUCUGAAUCCACUCCGGUUUGGUUUGUUUUAGCUUAGUGUGUUUUACUUACUUGUGAGUUAUACACUUGAAUAUGUUGUUUUGUGGAACGAGUUCUUUGUUUUUCAUGAUUUUGUUUAAAAAUGGAGCUCAAGCUUGAGUUUCUAGAAGCCAACUUCAGGAGCGUUCAUCUUGGUAUAAUGAAUUGAAGCGAUCAUGGUUCAGUUUUGCUUAUUUUGAUCCAUUUCUCACUUGUCUUUCAUAGUUUUGAUCCACAUUGAUGCCAUUUGUUUUCACUAUUCGAGAAAGAGGUUACUUUUUUUUUUUCAAGGAAUCCUCUUAUAAGUUGAUUGCUUGUCAGAAAUGGAAAUAACCCUUAUUCAACUUAGCUUGGUUUAAUUACUGCUCUUUUUUUCAUGGGCGAAUUUAGAGAUUGAACUGCAUUUUAAUUGUAAAGUAUUACUUUCAUGCAGAACAUGGAAGCUUGGUGAUUUUGAUAAGGUUUAUAUUGAGUUAACAAAAGAUGUUGCCUGUUUGCUUUGCCACUCAGUGUUGUUCCUCUCAUUCUCAGGUGAGUUUCACUUCCUAGACUGUAAUUUAAUUCGUGUUGUUGCCAAGUUUCUAUCAUCCCUGUACCUUGAAUUUCAUCUAUGCCCUUAGUUUUAGAGAUACAUGGCCUCUAAUUAGGUGGAGAACAAGCCGGGACUAUAAUUGAACUUUCGCUAAAGAGAGAAAUUCUGGUGUCAAAAAAUAAAAGAAAAAAUAUUAGUGUAACUAGACAUGUCUGCCUCUUUAUAAAAUAUGUUUGAUGUAUUUGAGUUGAAAAAUCUGGGGUGCCUAAGUGAAGGUUUUGAAUGAAGGUAUAAAUUAAUCUUCAACUGUUUAAGUAUAAAGGUCAGUAUGACAUCAUGUAGAGCUUAUGUGCCCAAGUGAAGGUUUUGAAUUGAUUCUCAUGCUCUAACAUGGUAUCAUCGUCCAGUUAGCUUUCUCCUUCCUUCUAGGCCUACACAUCAGAGGGAUGCUGAGUAAAUCCCUUAACAACCUAGCAGAAAGUUUUGCAUGGCCUAAUAAUCUGCUUGUACAUCUCCGUUUAGUAGUUUAAGCAUCUGGGUGUGAUUCCCUAGCACCAACUUCCUUCUCAUGUGCAGUGGAUUAUGAUGGCAUUUUCUCUCCGCUUAAGAGUGUGUUUAGCAUUGCUGUCAAAACACCGUUUGCUAAAAAUAUAAUUCUUUUUUCUUAAAAAAUUUUUUUGUUGUUUUUGAACCGUUUUGAUGUGUUGAUGUCAAAAAUGUAUUUUAAAAAAUAAAGAAAACAUUAUUUUGAUGUGUUUUCGAACGAAAAACACUUUGAAAGUAACCGCUACCGCAAUGUCAAACACGCUCUUAAUCUGAUUACUUACAUCAGAAUAUAAAAUUAAGAUAUGAGGUAUGUGAGACUCUUCAAUAUACAAAUUCCUUGUCCACCUUUAAAGAACAGAAUUUGACAAUUUUCAGUGAAGCCUUGCAGGUAGUAACUUCCAUGCACAUCGGUUAUCAAUUCACCAAGUUUUGUUUUAUCAUGUCACAUCUUUCUUCAUAUACCUCUGGCAUAGUAUUUCUAUUGUCAAAAAUUUCAUUCAUGUAUUUGAAACCACAACUAUUGCAGAUAACAUUCCAAUGAGGUCUGCGACCAUUUUGCUCAGUCUGGAAGGAUUUCGAGUCCAGAUGUUAUGUCGUAGACAGGGUACUUUUGGGAAUGUCAAAUAUAACUCAUCACCAAAGAAUUUCCUUCAAAACACAAGCUAUAAAGUCUUUCUACUCCAAUUUUAUUGAAAGCUUUGCUUUCAUUAAUGAUCAUUCUUGCCCAAAUGAACUAGGCAACAUUAAUUGCACCCACACCCUAUGGGAGAGGGUAAACUGAAAUUCUUAGAAAGUUAUAACAUAUCUGAUGUUGAAAAAGGACAUUUGAACUCUGCAGACCAGUUUGUUGAUAAUACAGAUAGUUUAAUAUGACUUGUGGAACUUGAAAUAACAUCAACUAUUGAUAUGACACCAGAGAAUCCCAGUUUGGGAUCUGAUUCCCUGGAAAUGGAUAACGAUUCAUUAUCUAGUGCAAAGGCUGCUUUUGAUUAUUUUUUGGGCGAGGUUAGGGACUCCAUCAACACUUCAAUAAAUAAUGGAGGAAAUGUUGUGCAAAGCUCACUAGACACAAUUACUUCUUCAAUAAUAUUGUUUAAGGAAAGUGCUUCAGAAGCAGUAGAUGGUGCCUUGAGUAAAGUAUUCUCUACUUUUGAUCAAACAGGAGAAUUAGCUGGCGAUAGAUUGACUAACUUUUCAUCUGGUUUGAGGGAAGCCACACAAAAUGCUACUGGCACUUCUAUUGAUGUGCUCAGAGUUGCAAUCGCUGCAGUGGAGGAAUCUAUAGCAAAAGGGGCUUCUUUUAUUGUUUAUUCUUAUGGGCCUGCCAAGGAUUUGCUUCCUCCAAAGAUCAGAGGCGUGCUGAAUCUGUCUGAAGAAAGGAUAACACAGAUUUUGAGGCCAAUUGGUGCAACUUUUCAACAUGUACAUUAUGCUUGGCACGUUUUACUUUGAUGGCUGUUGUACUCUCAUUUAAUUGUAUGGACUUGAAAAAAAAAAAAAAAAUCUCCUGCAAAGAUAUAUUUGGAUUAUUUUAGAAAUCUUUUUGUUGGAGACAUCAGUCACUGCUUUCAGCUUACAGGACUUCUAGUUGAAAACUCAAUUACGUCCAUCUCUGUUACAUUGCUUAAUUAUGUGUUGAUCUAACUAAUUUAUGAUCCAAAACCAAAGCUGAAUUUCCUAAACCUGCUUUUACACCUUAAGCAGGUUUACAUUGCUAUUGAGGGGCUGGAGAAAAGGCUUGGCUUGGAUCCAAAUGAUCCAGUUGUGCCUUUUGUUCUUUUCCUUGGAACCUCAACCACUUUGUGGUAUGGAUGUCCUUUUGUGCAUAAAGAUUUGUUUAUUUAACCUGCAUUACAUGGGAAGCUUAAGUUUUCUACCAGAUUUGUGCAGGGGUUUUUAUAGGGUGUGGGUAUAUGGUGGUUACUCUGGAGAUUUGUCUCCGCAAUUAACUUUGGAGCUCUUGGCAGGGAAGGAAGACGCCAUACUUAUUGAUGUCCGGCCUGAGGCAAGAGAGUAAAUUUUCUGGCCUUUUAUGUUCUUAAGUUUCUUUUGUUAGAAAUUCUAGUAUCUCAAUGAGAGACACUAAAGCUGACUGCUCAGACAUUUACUGAAGGGUCUGUAUUGUUUUUUCAACUCUGUUCAUUAAUACAUUCCAUCUUGUAGCUACCCCAUUUCAUAUUUUCAAUAGUUAAUUUCUUUUCACUAGGAAAUAUUACUUACCAUCCACCUUUCUACCCCAUUUCUUUUACAUCACGGUAAAAAAAUCUCAAAUUUGGCACCCUCAUUAAUUUCCUUUUUUUCCCGUUAACUUGGCAUUGAACUAGGUGGACAUUGUUUAUAUGAUGGUUCUCAUAGAAAGAGAUGGCAUUCCUGAUCUUAGGCGAGCCGCUCGGUUUUGCUAUGCAAGUGUAACUCUACCAGAGGUUGGUUUUAUUUGAUAAUACUAUUCUAAAGCUAUGAGUGGAGAGGUAUUGCUAUUUGGUAUGAGGAUGAUAGUUUAGAACAAUUACUUUGUUUCUAAAUGUCAAAUAACUCUUUGAACCAACAAUAAAAAAAUAAAACAAGAAUUGGAGCUUGGCUGUAUCCCUUUUUCAUAACUCUGUCUUAUAUUCUUCAACUUUAUUCUGGUAGAUGGCCCAGUAAGGAAGCUUUUAAAGGGUGGACGGAUCUUGAUGACAUCUUAAUUGCCUCAGUCAUUCGAAACUUGAAAGCUGUACAGGUAUAGCUUUAUGUUUUAAGAGCUUUGAUAUAACUAUUGUUUAUGCAUGCUGUCAUUGUUUCGAGACAUUCAGAAAAAUGAGAAUUCUGAGUGGUGCAAGACAGAAAGGAAAUUCUCGGGGGGAGUGAUUUGGGUUUGGUUUAAUCGAUGUUGUGUGUUUUAGCAUCAGUGGCCUCUGAGGACACAAGAAAUUGUUUUGGUAUUACCAUAUGCAGUACAGUCGCUACAUCACAAUCUCCUGAGUGUUCCAUUUUUAAAUCCUGAAGCAGGAACAUUGUCUCAGAGAUUUUUUUUUUCUUAUACUGUAGGACAAGUACCAGGUAAUGGUUAUGGAUGCUGAUGGUUCUCGUUCUAAAGGCAUCGCUAGAUCCUUGAGAACGCUUGGGGGUUAAGGCAAGUAUUUGGAAUCUCUAAGAAUUUUUUUUUAUCACAUAAAAGCCUAAACAUCUAAUUCAUCAUGGAACUAGAAGGGCAAAAUGAAUUUAUCCACUCUCCCUUAGUCAAGUUUCUUUGGGAUAUAAAACAUUUCUGAGAGUUUUUCAGUAUCAGUAACCUUAGAAACAAAUAACAAUAUCCAUAUUAACCAGAUUUGGGAAGAGUACAUUAAUGUCUUAUGUGCAUUUACAAUGUUGUUAAGUCAAAAACCGUUACUCCUUAUGCAUGUUUUCUGUCGUAUAAAUGCUAUAGAUAGAACCCAAUUUUCAUUCCGGUUGUUCUCAAGUGGUAUAAUUCAGAAAGCACAUUAGUAUUACAUCUAACUUAUGUCCUUAAAAUCUCUCUCUCUCUCUUAAAAAUAAUAAAAAAAAGUCUUUACCUUGCUUGAAUGGGAAGUUGCAAUGUAUUAAUCAAUUUCAAUAUUCUUUUAUUUCACUCCAUAGAUUGAUGUAAAUGGCUUGUAGAGAAACAAGUUAAAUGCAUGAAUUUUAGAUGAUAUCAUGGUUCAUUCCUGUACUAAUCAUAUAAUUUAGAUAGAGAAGAUAGUAGAAUUUUGCAGAAUUAAACUUUGUGACCUGUAUUAUAAGAAAAUUUGAACUGCCAGGUUAGUCUAUUGUUAAUCUGGAACCACAACCUAUUGUAUCAUAUUGCUAAUUGUUUGUUUGCAUUUUUAUGUGACAAAGACCAUACUUGGUCCAACGUGGCUUCCAACCUUGGGUAAAACAAGGUAUCCAAGCUAAGGAGCUGAAACCUGAGACCAUGCCAACCAUACUUAAUGAGGUAAGGUUAUUGCAUGACUUGCAUAUUCUCUUAACUAGUAUAAAAUUCUAGAAAUACAAAAUUCUAUUUCCCGAAAGCCAUUGAUCAACUCAAAGUAUAUGUGUGGACAAUGACAAGCUGUAGAUUAUACAAUAAUAUAUUCGGCCAACUGAGAUAAACCUAGAGAGUUGAUUAAUUUGACAUUUAUUUCAAAAACACAUGAAAAGAGUGAAAUUUCUUUGUUGGGUGCACAUUGGUGCACAAUGGAUACUAUCAAAAUGGUAUCCACACCGCAUAGAACAACAUGCACACACAGAGGCAUAUGAGAUGUACUUGUGUCUGUGCAGUGCGUGUGUAAAUUUACAUGGAGAGACUUAUUUCAAAAACAAAUAAAAAGAUGUGCUAUGUGCAAUCACACUUGUAUGAACACGUGCAUCAUGAGUGUUUGUAUAUAUGUAAUUGAUGGGCUACCAUAAACUGGGUAUGCAGGCCAUAGGAAUUGUGUAUGUUUCGACACAUGACGGUUUUCUUUUUCUUUUCUUUUUUGUUGCUGUCCUCACAUUCUUCUUGUCCACCAAGCUUGAACUUUGUUUCAGAGUGGGAGAAGACCUUACAAUUUAUUGCCAUCACUGGCCUCAGUCAGGUAUACUUUUAUUUGUUAUAGUGCUCUGGUUAAUGUUUUUUUUACACACACAGAUGUUGAUUGUUGAGCUGAUAAUGGUUAAAACAAACUUCACACAUUCUGAUAUUGUGCUAGUACUCAGAUCCUUUGAUGUAUUCUGUAAAAAUAGCAUGUAUAUGACCAUUAAGCUAGAUUCCCUUUGUCUAUUUUGCACGUGUUCUAGGGAAAGGUUUAUGUCAUUGAUAAAUUUAGUUAAGUAAACCUUGAGUUUCUCUAAUUAUUGGUUUCUCACACUCCGCCAGACUAUUUAUCAGUGGGUUUCUUCUUAUAAUGGCCCUAAAGAUUUUAAGUAAGAUGUGAGAAGUACUUUAGACACAUAGAGGUAAACAUGUGAUUUGCAGAAGCAAAUAUUCAAACACGCAACUAGAAAAAUUGUUCACAUACGUGUGGUUAUGGCGCAUCCCUAGCUUGGACAAAGAAAAAGACGCAACUAGCUCUUAAGAAUUCUUAGUUGUCUGCAUUGAAGUCUCAGCUAACUUUCAAUCCUUCUCGAGGACUUGUAAGUAGGUUAGGUGCAGUUCUAGGUUUUGUUUCUGAGAUCACGUUUCAAUUGGCCUCACGCUAACCACUUCAUGAGGGAAAACCUCACAAACUUUAUAAUAACUAGGACGGAGACUACUAUUUUUGUCUUGUUUUUCCUUGGGUUAAGCUAAACGUCAGAAACAUGUUAUACGACUAAUUUCUGUCGUUUUUAUAAUGACACCCUUGUUUUUUCUUUUUCUUUUUUCUUUUUUCUUUGUGACGUGGAGACGCUCAUCUCGUAUAAAUUAAUUUUUUUGUAGUGGGUAACUUAUAUUUUUGUGAGAGGUCGGAGUACAGCUCGUGACAUAUCUAAUAUCUCUUUGAUGGACCCCCGGUGUAGGAGAGGAAUGCCAGACCCAUGGCCUGCGAAUCGUGGAUGAAAAGAACAGGGCAGACAAUCUAUAAAUUGAAAUGCUUAAACUCAACGAUAUGGGAAUUCUUCAAUGAAAUGCUAUUUAAUUAGCAUUAGUAUUUCUCUUUUCCAAAAGAUCUUCCGUUCAAACCUUUUUUUUAAUUAGAAAAAACCAUGGAAAGUUGAGCCGUGGACAUGUACCCACCACAAAUUUUGUCAAGAGAUUCUAUGGAUCCAGUUUUAUAAUGAGGUUGGUUAGCUGUAAAGGUCCCCAAUUCGGUUCAAAAAAAUUUUGUUUGAAUUAAUUUUGUUACCUUUUAUUUUAUUUUUAUAUUUCUUAGUUUUAAGUUUAUUUAUUUAUUUAAAGAGUUAUAAUAUAUGCAAUAACAGAAUCUUGAAUACUUACUGUUUUUCUUUUGUUGUUAGUAUUCAUUAGUUAGAUGGUUGUUACAGUUAGUUGAGUAAUUAGUUGAAUAACAGAGAGUUAGUUCAUUAGUCAGUUGCAAGGAAAUAACAAUAUUUACAACUAUCUUGAAAACCAAGUAAUAAUUUAAGAACAAUUUGCAGUAAUUACAGAACUCUCUCCCUUUCAAUCUCUUUUAUUUCUCCCUCAAUUUAUUUUCUUCUGAACUUUUAUUUCUCCCUUUCAAUUUCUUUUAUAUCUCCCAAAAUUUUCUUUUGAACUUUUUGUCCGCCCGUAGAUUUUCAUCAAAGUGCAGAUACACCCCACAGCUUUUCAACUCGAAAGGCCUUCGGCUCUCAUGAUCUCGCAUCCUUCCCCAGUAGAAUUUAAAAGUAACUUCAUUGUCGGAAUAUUUACGUAAAUGAUUUACCAAUUUGAGCUCGUAGUGUAGAAUCAUGUGAUCUGAGUCACAUGGCUUGAUCAAGUAACGUAAUAGAAGGCUUUUCUGGGAAUCUAAGACGACUUCAUCAUCACCAUCAUGCUCACUGUUUUUACUCUUAACAUGGUAAUCAAGAUAUAAAUUAACAUCAAUAUCAUCGACUUUAUAAGGCAUGUCCUGGGAGGGAGGAGGGAGGAGGGAGUAGAAAGACAAGGCAGAAAGCAAUUCCCUUGAGCUGAUGACAAUUUGAGGGCAACUGUAUGGUGAGUGAAGAUCCAAUUCCUUUGUCACCGAACCAUUCUGGAAUUUCACUCCCCGGUAGAACCAUUUGAAUUCUGCCAAGUGGGAUCUCCUCUCCGGAAUGUAACACAAAAGUCACAUUUCAAAAAUGUGAUGAAGCAAGCAAGAGAGAGAGAAGAAAGAAAGAGAAGGGGGUUUAGAGAGAUACCUGAAUUUUCAAAUGCAUUGCCUCUAUCUGUUCUUUCUGAUCCAAUUUGAAGCAAUUUGUAAAAUCCCUUUGAAACCGUAAUGUCAGCGAAGAGGGAAUCUCAGGUAACGCUUUAAUAGCUGUUCCAUGGAAAGUCAGAUGUUGCAAACAUACCAUAUCUUUGAUUGACAAGGGUAGCUCUUUGAUAGGUGUUCCAUGCAAUUCCAAAUAUUCCAAAGAUACCAUAUCUUUGAUUGACAAGGGUAGCUCUUUAAUAGGCGUUCCAUCUAAUCUUAGAGUCGUCAAAGAUAUCAUAUGCUUAAAUGAUGAUGAGGGUAUCUCUUUAAUGCCUGUUUUACUCAAGUAAAGAUAACGCAAGGAUUCCAUAGGCACUGUGAUUUCUGGGAAGCUCUCAAGUUUUGAGCAACCACUCAUAUCCAACGUUUCGAGUCUUGUGAGAAACUGGAUUGAUGAGGGCACCUCUUUAAUAGCAGUUCCCUUUAGUUCUAAUGUUUUUAUAUCCUCUAAAUUCUCCGGAAACUUGGUCAUCUUUGAGCAACCACUUAGAUAAAGAUAUUUCAACCGGCCAGUAACUGAUUGUGGAACUUCUUUGAUUGAAGUUUGUUCCAACUUUAACCAUACCAUAUUUUGUGAAAUCGUUGGACACGUGGUCACAUCUAGGCACCGACUUAUAAUAAGGAAUCUGAGAACCUUUGAAUAAAGCAUUGGAAAACUUCUAAGAUUAUAGCAAGAACGGAGAUUAAUUACUUCCAGCUUGUCAAGAUAUUGAAGAGAUGACGGAACCUCGGUUAAACUUGGACAGUCCGUAAGAUCUAAGGACACUAAAUUUUUGGCCAUUGAUAGAUCUGGCAAUUCCGUCAAAUAUGGAGAGUUAGAUAGGUUAAUUCUUCUUAAAUUUCCAACAUCCUGUCAACAGAAAUAGGCAUAAUUAGAAAGUUAGCACCUCUCCAACUUCAUAUUUCUGAUCAUAAAUCUGCAGCAAUUAAAUCAUACCUUUACUCCGGUCCAAAGUUUUACAAGCUUGCUCCUGCUUAAGUUAAGCUCGACAAGAUGUUCAGCACAAAAAACACGCGGCAAGGAUUUUGAAGGGAAUCCAUGGCAUUUCAAAUAUCUCAGCUUAUUAGGAAGAUAUUCGAGGCCAGUAGGAGGAAGGUUCAUUGUAAAUUCAUUUUCUUGGAAGGAACCAACAUAGAAACUGAGAAAUCUAAGACCAUCCAUCAUUGCGAAGGCAUCAGAUUUCAAGUGUAUGUGUCUUGGUAACCAGUCCAAAGAUAUGCCUUUAAUUUUUAAUUGAUUUCCCUGUUAAACAAGAAUAAAGAAUAAACAAACAAUAGUACAAUCUACUCAAACACGUCAACUUUUGAGCAAAAACAUGAACGACAGUUAAUGGAUGUAGCUUUAACCUUAUUUUCCUCCAAUACUUGAACGACAUCAGGAGGAUAACAUAACCUGCUACGUUCGCCAGGAAAAUCAGAUUCUGCACGAACAAUGUUAAAUGCCAUUUCUUGUAGUAAAUCAUGCAUUUCUAGCCUAUCAUAAUCAUCAGUAGUUAUGAGACACUUAUCAAUGAGCGUGCUUAUAUCGAACUUCACAGAUCGACCAUAUAAGCAAUCUAAUAUUCUUGUUGCUUCGUCUUGGUCCAAUCCUAUGAAGAAAUGUGCUAUGUCAAGAAAUAUGGAUUUUUGUUCUGAAUCCAACCCAUCGUAACUAAUUCUCAACGCCCUUUCGAUUCGAGGGUGCUGAGCUAGUUUAUUCAAUGCACUGCGCCAUUCUUCGAUGUUUUUACCAUAGAGAGAGGAACCCAAAACUAUAAGAGCCAACGGAUUGCCUUGUACAUGACUUACAAUCUUUUCUAUCAAUUCUCUAUGAUCAAUUGUGGGGUUGCAAUUCUUCAAGGCAUUCGAGCUAAAGAGUUGAAUAGCUUCUUCAUCGUUCAACCCCUCAACCUCGUAUGUCUCAUCAACUACAUUACUAAGCACUUGCUUGUCCCUACUGGUUAUGAGAACUUUACUGCCCGGACCAAAUGAAUUGUUUCGUCCAUCAAGCAAAUCUUUCCAUUCUUCAAAACGCAUUAAAUCAUCCACAUUAUCCAGAACAAUAAAAACCUUUAUUCGACGAAGUCUAUCCCUCACAAAAGAAUCUCGAAAACUCAAGGAGCCCAUAGUGUUCAGAGUUUCUUGGCCAAGCAGUCGUUUAAGAAAUUUUCUUCGCAAAUCAGAUUGUUGCCUAAAGUUUUCAAAAAAGAUUCCAUCAAAUCGAGAACGAACCUCGUUGCACACAACCUGAGCAAUCGUUGUUUUACCGAUACCACCCAUUCCCCAUAUCCCUACAAUGAGAACAUCUGGAGACUCCAUAUUUAACAAAGACUCAACUUUGCUAACAUGAACAUCAAUUCCAAUUAGACCCGUCAUAAUAUGACUUGAAGACAUGACAUGUAAUUUGUUCAAAACAUCUCCAACGAUUUUCUCAAUAAAUUCAGACUCCAGCCUAACAAACAAGAAGAGCACACAUAAUUGUUAGUCAAAAUGGACCGGACAAGAAGAAACAUAUAAACAUACUCACUCCUUAGUAGCUAUAUCUAUACAUAGUAGACACGUAUGAGUAAUUGAGCAUCAUUAUUGGCAAUGGAUAGUGCUAAUGUAACACAUGAAUCGAUGAUAACAUUGAGUUGAGUGAUAUGUAAAAAUACAUGACAUUUUUCAGUGAUAUGCAUGUAACACAUGAAUCGAUGAUAACAUUGAGUUCAGUGAUAUAUAACACAUGUAAAAACUAGAAACUACAUGUAAUCGGUGUUUAUCUAAUAAAAUCAAUUAAAUGCAAAUGCAUAUGAUGUUUUCUCAUGUCAUCCUUUUCACCUCAAACAAAUAGAAUAUUAUUUAACGACAAAAGAAAACAUUGUCUGUCCUUGUAAAAUUAUUUAAAACAAAAAGAAUAAUUAAAAAAAAAACAUUUUGAAACAUAAAAACAAACAACCACUUAAUAUCAAUACAAGCCUUAAUAUUUAUACAAGUAUUUUGCUACAAAUAAUAUUUUUUUUUCAAAUUAUUUUUAAUAUAAACAUAUUAAAAUAAUUUAAAAACAUUAAAAAAUUAAUUUAAAAUAAAAAUAAUUAAAGUUUUUACAAAACAUUUUAAAACACAAAAACAAACAACCACUUAAUAUCUAUACAAACAUUUUAUAUUAAAUAAUAUUUUUUUAUUUUUUAAAAUAUUUUUUUAAUAUAAAACACAAAUAAUAUAAAAAACUAAAAUAAAAUAUUUAAAAAAAAAACCAUUUUAAAACACAAAACAACCAACCACUACAACGUUUUCAAAAUCAAAUAAAAUAAAUAUAAAUUCACAGAGCUCAUCAUUCUCAAUAAUUUUAAAUUAAAUUUCAAAUCCUCAACAAAUGAACGAAUAUUUUCUCAUGGGAUAUAUUUCAAGAGCUUACUCAGAAUUCCCUAAGCUCCAUCCAGAUAGAUUGGCUGCAUCCGUCAAAGCGUCUCUGAAGCUCUGCACUUCUUCCAACGUCAGAGCUUUAUUCCUUAUAAGUCUAGCAAAUGCAUCCCCAAAGCUUCCAGUUUGAUUUCUUACAUGGGAUGGAUCCACCUUGUAAAAUACUGGAAUAACUAUAUGUCCAUUUUUUUUUCCACGUUCAAAAAUCUUUGCAAGCUCCUCCAAGCACCUUUUGGAAGAUGCAUAGUUUUCAGAAAAAACAAUCACAGAAAGCUUGGCCUCUUCAAUUGUUCUCAGAAGUGAUUCCGGAAUCUCAUCUCCUCUAACAUGCUGAUCAUCUUCGAAAGUUAGGAUUUGUUUCCGUUUCAAAGCAGCAUGGAGGUGGCUGGUAAAACCAACACGAGUUUCUUCUCCUCUGAAACUAAGGACGACAUCACAUUUAAUUCCUUGUGGCUGGGCGGUGGUUAAGGUGGAAGGAGUAGAUGGCGAUGGAGAUAUAUGACGGCUUCGUAUGAUGAAUCUCCAGAUAUAAGCAAACAUUUCGAAGAAACAAGAGUAAGACUCUGGUGGUAAGGGAGGUCUGGAGGGAGAGAGCGGAAGUAACUCAAGGAAAAAAGAUGAGGCUGAUUUUGAGUCAGUAGCUUAG
rnacentral:lncRNA from 1 species